AACUUAAAUAGAAGGCUGUCGGAUCAAUUGCUUGCAUUAUGAGCAUCCGGAGAAUCUCUUCAUAUGUUCCUUCGCCUCUCUCUUGUCAGAAAUAUGAUGUGUUCUUAAGCUUCAGAGGUGAAGACACCCGCAAAUUCACAGACCAUUUGUAUGCUGCUUUGGAUAGAACAGGAAUCUUUGUAUUCAAAGAUGACAAAGAACUUGAGAGAGGAAAAGCUAUUUCAUCAGAACUACUUGCAGCAAUUGAAGAAUCAAGAAUUUUGAUUAUUGUUUUCUCAAGAAACUAUGCUUUUUCAACUUGGUGCUUGGAUGAACUUGUUAAGAUUGUUGAAUGCAAGAAUACAAGUGAUCAUCAACAAAUGAUUUUUCCAAUAUUCUAUGACGUGGAACCAACUAUGGUGAGAAAACAGACGGCAAGUUUUCAGGAAGCAUUUUUAAAACAUGAAGAAGCUUUCAGGGAGAAUAUAGAAAAGGUACAAAAGUGGAGAGAUGCUUUGACGGAGGUGGCCAAUAUGUCUGGCUGGCAAUUGAAGGACAGGUACCAUUCUUAUUCUAAAAUACUAUCUUACCAAAGAUUGAGGUUAGUUAUUUUUGUUUGUCUUGCAUGAGUCAUAAGUAAUGGGUUGAUUUUGGGAUUCCUUCCCCAUCAAACAACUUCCAAAAUGUAUUGCUUUCAUUCAAUAUCAUUAAAAGGUCUUUGAGCCAUCUUAGAAUUUUUGAGAUUUCAGAAAUAAAAACAGUGUAGAAUGUAAAUGAAUUUAUUAACAUUAUAUGAUGUAAUUGAAAUAACAACUUGAUCACUGAAUUUUUGUAAAGGAAUUGUUAUGGAUGAACGUUGAUAUAUCUACUUGAAGAAGCAACAAGAGAUUUGAUCUAAUGAAUAUAAUAUUGCACAGUUUGUGUAUUACCCUUUUGUAGUUGAUUUGACAGUACAUUCAUGCUAAAUUCAAUUCAACAACACCAAUGUUAAUUUUCUUGUUCUUUUCAAUGUACAGGAACGAGCCGGAAUUUAUUGUGGAUAUUGUCAAGGAGAUAUCCUGUAAAAUUUCUGCAAAAUCUGAGACUCUUAAGGAACUAGUUGGACUAGAUUCACGCUUGGAGAAACUGAGGUUUCUUAUAAAUAAAGGGCCUACUGAUGUUCGUAUGAUAGGUAUCUGUGGUAUGGGAGGUAUAGGUAAGACAACUCUUGCAAGAGUUGUUUAUGACCUGAUCUCUCAUGAGUUUGAAGCCAGUUGUUUUCUUGCUAACGUUCGGGAAAUUUCAAAAAAAAGUGGCCUGGUCUUUUUGCAAAAGCAGCUUGUUUCCCAGUUACUAAACCUUCCAGAUAGUGGCGUAUGGAAUGUUUAUGAUGGUAUGAACAUGAUCAGAAGUAGGCUACGACGCAAAAAGGUUCUUCUUGUUAUUGAUGAUGUGAUUGAAUUACAACAAUUAGAAAGUCUAGCUGGAAAGCAUGAUUGGUUUGGUAUAGGCAGCAGGAUUUUCAUAACAUCAAGAGAUAAGCAUUUGUUGAUGGCACAUGGAGUGGAUGAAGUUUAUAUGCAGGAGCAUCUAAAUUAUGAUGAAGCUCUUGGACUAUUUUGCUUAAAAGCCUUUAAAUCCCAUAAGCCAUGGAAAGGAUACGAGCAACUGUCGAAAAGUGUUGUAAAGUAUGCCGGUGGUCUUCCAUUAGCUCUCAAGGUUUUGGGCUCCUUUUUGUUUGGUAGAACUAUAGCUGAAUGGGAAAGUGCACUACAAAGACUAGAGAGAGAUCCUGAAAAUGAAAUUCUUGAUGUACUUCAAAUAAGUUUUGAUGGGUUAAAAGAAACAGAGAAGAAGAUAUUUCUCGAUAUUGCAUGCUUCUAUAAAGGGAAGUAUAUAGAUUAUGUAACCAAAAUUCUCAACUACUGUGAUUUUGACCCAAUUAUUGGAAUUGGAGGUCUUGUUGAAAAAUCUCUAUUAACUGUAGAUGAUUUCAAUGGACUGUGGAUGCAUGAUUUAUUACAAGAAAUGGGUCGACAAAUUGUGAGGAGGCAAUCCCCUCAAGAGCCUGGAAAUCGCAGUAGAUUGUGGGAGGAAGCAGAUGUAUGCCAUGUAUUAUCACAAAAUACAGUAAGUGAUUAGUUAAGUUGAAAACUUGUGAUUUUAGGAUCAUGAUCAUAUCUUUAACUAAUUCAAUCUUUGCAUAGUUUUAUCAAGACUUUCUUUCUUUCAAUUUUUUUCCCACUUAUGUUUUGUUAAAAUGUUUAGGGAACUGAUGCAAUUGAAGUCAUCGUAUUUGAUUGCUUUAGCAACAAAGAGAUGCAUUUCAGUGCUAAAGCCUUUUCUAAUAUGACUAAUCUUAGAGUGCUCCAAAUCCUUUAUGUUCAACUUUUGGGAGACCUUGAAUACCUCUCCAACGAGUUACGGUUUCUUGAUUGGAAAAGAUAUCCAUCGAGAUCCUUGCCAUCAAAUUCGAGAUUAGAUAAACUCAUUGAACUUAACAUCCCUCAUAGCAGCAUUGAACAUCUGUGGAGCGGAAUCAAAGUAAGAUUGUUCAACUACAUAUUUAUAGUUUUCAGUGAAUACUUAUUGAUAAUUUCAUACUUUCAUUCUUUUAAGUUAUGUGAUAAUCUGAGAAAAUCAUGUUCUUUUGUAUCAUUUUGUUUCUUAUAGCCUUUGACCAGGUUGAAAACCAUGAGUCUCAAGCAUUCCGAGAACCUCAUAAGGACGCCAGAUUUCACAGGGGCACCAAAUUUAGAGCAGCUGAUUCUUGAAGGAUGUACAAGGUUGCAUGAGAUUCACCCAUCUUUGUUGGUUCACAGGAAGCUGAUUUUUUUGAAUUUGAAAGGUUGUACAAGUCUUACAACUCUUCCAGCCAAGAUCUUUAUGAAAUCUCUUGAAACACUUGUACUUUCUGGUUGCCUGAAAUUGAAGAAAUUUCCAGACAUUGUGGGAAGUAUGGAGUGUCUGCAGGAACUUCAUUUGGAUGAAACUGAUGUUAAAGAGCUGCCACCCUCAAUUGAACUUCUAUCUGGACUUGUUCGGUUGACUUUGUAUGGCUGCAAAAAUCUUGAGCGUAUUCCGAGUACCAUAAGUGCUCUAAAAUAUCUAUCAACUUUGAAUCUUUCUGGCCUUUUGAAGUUCAGAGAGUUCCCGGAGAUCGUGGAAAGUAUGGAGCAGCUGUUGGAGCUUCAUUUGGAAGGAACUGCUAUAAGAGGACUGCCAGCGUCUAUUGAAUUACUUUCUGGCCUUAUUUUGUUGAAUUUGAAAGAUUGCAAAAAUCUCAAGAGUCUUCCAAGAACUAUAAAUGGUUUGAGAUCUCUUAAAACGUUGCAUCUCUCUGGCUGCUCCAAACUUAAAAAUGUGCCAGAGAACUUGGGCAAAGUAGAAAGCUUGGAAGUACUUGAUAUAAGCGGGUGCAAAGGACUGGUGCAAUCAACAUCAUGGUUUCUGCACUUCCCCAUCACUUUGAUCCGAAGGAAUUCAGAUCCUGUGGCUUGGAGAUUCCCAUCUCUAUCAGGUUUGUGUUGUUUAAGAAAAUUAGAUAUCAGUGACUGUAAUCUAGGGGAAGGAGCAAUCCCAAGCGAUAUUGGCAACUUGUGCUCAUUAAAAGAGUUAUAUUUGAGUAGAAACAGUUUUGUUUCACUUCCAGCAAGCAUUAUCCAUCUUCCUAAGCUUCAGAAAAUGGUAUUGGAGGAUUGCAAGAGGCUUCAAUCUCUACCACGACCUCCACCCAGUAUUUUGUCAAUUAGAGUAGAUGGUUGUACUUCAUUGGAAAUGAUAUCAUGUGUGUUAAAAUCUUGCAAGUCAAACAGCACAUAUAUUCAUUGUAUGGACUGUUUGAAAUUCAACGGCUUGGCAUUUUCAAUGCUGAAAGAGUUCCUCGAGGUCAGUCUCUUACUCCAUGUCUCUCUACCAUGCCAAACAUAUUGCAGUAAAUUUAUGCAGAGGUAUGGUUUUAUUUUUUAUUUUUUCCUCUUAAUUUUUUGGUUGCAGGCUGUGUCACAUUCGCGACAGCGUUUAAGCAUUGUUGUUCCAGGAAGCGAAAUUCCAGAGUGGUUCAUGUAUCAGAACAAGGGUUCUUCAAUAACACUCAACAGGCCUCCCGAUUCAUUUAAUAAGAAUAAGGUGGCGGGAUAUGCUAUUUGCUGUGUGUUUCAUGUCAAUAAGCAUUCAACUAGAAUCAGAACUUUACGUUCAUAUCCCACAAAGUGUUUGACCUGGCGCUUGAAAGGUUCUAGAGUCGUUGAUAGUACUACUUUUAGGGAAAAGUUCGGUCAGGAUGGGUCAGCCCAUCUUUGGCUACUCUAUUUACCUUGUCAAGAACAAGAAUGCUAUGAACACAAUUGGCAUUUUGAAUUUCAACCCUUGUGGGGCCCAGGAUUGGAGGUGAAAAAGUGUGGUUUCCAUCCAGUUUUUGUGCACCAAGUGGAGGAGUUCAACCAAACAACAAACCAAUGGACUCGCUUUACUUCUUAUAAUCUAAAUGAAUUCCAUCGAAAUCUUGUUGGAUCAAAUAUGGAAGUAGCCACAACAUCAAAGCGAAGCCUUGCAGAACAUGUUGGGACAGCUGAGGCCAGUGGAAGUGGCUGCUGUGAUGAUGAGGAAUCUCAAGCUAAAAGAUUUAGACAGCUCGAUUGAAGGGAAAUAAACUAGUGAUUAUUCUCUGAAUUUAUGUGCAAGUACGCAUCUCAGAUUCUGAGUUCCAAUUUAUGUUCGCUGCAUAUGGCAAAUCAUUUAUAUUCUCUUUAUUUAUUUAAUGUAUCUAACCUUGCAAAAAAAAUUCUUGUUAAACUCCCAGAAGAUGCUCUGCUUGGAUCCAAAGUAAAGGACUGAAAUAAAUCCUCUGUUUUGGAUCUUACCAUCACUGUUUCAUUGCAUCAUUAUCUCUUGCAGCUUUCUCAUUUUUGUAUUUGUUAUUUCAUGCACGUGUGCACACCCAAUGUAUAAUUAAUAACUUUAUUUUUUAUUUUAGUACAGUGAAAGAAAAUGACUGGGGGGCUUUUGAACUCAAAUGAGAUGAGGACUUAACUAUAUCCAUUCCCUUCCUUUUGAGCAAAAGAUGCCAGAUCAGGAAGUGAUAAGGGCAAGUUCUUGGGUACACUUGAAUCCAUCUAUACCCAGUUCAGGUUAUUCGGAAAACCAAAGUUAAUGCAAAAUCAGAGAACAAACCAGAGGAAAGCUCUGUACUACAAUCACUCUGCCAAAACUACCACAAUGAUAUGUGGUGAUGAGCAGUAAACCAAGCAAGACUCCUGAUGCAAGCAAUUUAUUGAAGGCUUUUCCUUAAGUUCCUUACUGCAAAAAUGCAUGAAUCAGGCAGCUAUUUUAGCAGCCCAGGAUUAGGAUUGCUUGGUCAUUUUGAGACUACUUUGCAGACUCAUAUUCAUCUGGAGAGUAAACAAUUAAUGUUUCCAGGUUGAAGCAAAGACGCCUCUGAUCUGGUGCUAACCCAUAGUAUGAAAGUAUAAUUAUUAUUUUUAAAACAAACAAAAUUUUAAUAUGAUAUUCAUCAUUGAUUUAAUCGAUUUUAUCUAACAAAUUAUAUUAUAAUUAAUUUAUACACCCUACAUUACAUUAUAACCGAUUCCAUAAAAGGUGAGAUCGAUCAUCUGUCAUUUCCCUGCAAAUACACAGUCAUUCCUUGUCUAUUUUUCAUUUGCUCUGAACCCACAACAACAAGCAGGAAGAUAUUUAUCCGUCAUAUUUCGAAGCUUAAUCAUAAUCUCAAGUUAUGUGUUAAGUUCAUCAAUUUUCCAAAUCUUAAUAUCUGUUAACGGGUAGUAAACAAACAACAGCCACAGCAUCAGAAGGCACUAGUGCAGUUCAAGUAAAAUCUAUGUUCAUUCAGUAAGAAUAUAAACAAGCAAAAACUGUGUCAACUAGAACUCCAGAAGCUAUAGGCAACACAAGGAUAUUCAAUCAGAUUGCAAUCACCUAAUAUGUUUAUUGUUCAUUCAUUGCAAUGCAAUUCAUCGACUAUGAUACAAACCACUUUCGAGGCAACUUUGCAUCUGGUGUACUUUGCACUUCUUCAAGCUUCUUGUUCUUCAAAUUGUUGUUCAAUCCCUCACUGCUUAAAACAAGAUGUUCAUCUGGUUCAUGUAUUAAAUUUUGUGCAUAUUAAGUAUAGUUAAUUAACAUUAAUAUUAGGUUUAAAGUCUCUGAAUUUAUCAGUAAGUAUGCAAUUUCAAUUUCAGUUUUGUUCUUUUUGUCUGUUAUAUCUACUCAUGCAAAGUUUUAUUUUAAAUUACUAAAAAAUGCUCUGCUUCAAUCAGAAGCACAGAAUGUCUCCAAAGUUGCUUUCGCGCUCGAUCAGAUUAGCCCCUUACUGGAAUUUCUCGAAGGUUUGUUAAUAAAUCGUAGUUAAAUCCAAUGCCUGCUGAUAGAAACAAGCCGUUGAGUCGUAUUUCAAAUAGCAAAAGGAAUGGACGGCCCGUGGGAAAAAAAUUCAGCUAAUGCCGUACGAUGAGUCUUAUUUUCUUUAUUUUUUAUUUUAUUUAUUACUAUUAUUUUCUUUUUCGUUUUUCGUUUUUUGAGUUCAUUGUUAAAGAAGAGAAAAGAAAAUUUGAAGAUUUGAAUUUUAUGAAUUCUGAUGAGUUGAUAAUUAAAGAAAGAGAAAACACAAAGGACAGACCCCAACCAAAAAAAAAAAAAAAUUGGUUUCUUAUUCUAAUUAUCUCUGUUUUGAUUGGAGAAUCAUUUAUUCUGUUUUAAUUAAUGGUAUGUUUACUUCAUAGAAUGGGGAAUGGGAAUGAAGGAAUGUGAAUGAAAUCCAUGUUUACUUGGCAAAAUGUAAUUUGGGAAUAAGAAUAAAGGAAAAUGAUAAACGAACUCAAAAAAGACAAAAAGACGACAGAAACGCAGUGUUGAAUUGCUGUUUCACGCGUUGAGUUCUGCUUCUUUGAGUCUUGCAUGGACCCACAAGAAACGCACCUCCCCAACCACUCAUUUUCCUUUCCUUAGUUUAUUCCCCCUCCACUCAUUUUACUCCCCCUCCAUUUGCUUCAUUACCAGACUCCCCCUCCAUUUGCUUUGAUUUGCUUCGUUACCGGACUCCCCCUAGACGAUAGCUGCUUCUUGUUCUCGCCGAGCCCCUUCUUUUUUUUUUUUUCCUUCUCGCCCAGCCCCAUUUACUUUGUUACCGGACGACGUCCGCCACUCAUUUUACUCCCCCUCCAUUUGCUUCGUUACCGGACUCCCCCUAGACGACAGCCGCUUCUUGUUCUCGCCGAGCCCCUUCUUUUUUUUUCCUCGCCCAACCCCACUUGCUUCGUUAUCAAACGACGUCCGCUUCUUGUUCUCGCCCAGCCCGGAUCUACAACGGACACGAUCGACUCUUCUUCAUCUACGACGUCGCUACUUUGGAGACUUCUAGUUGUUGCUUGCUGCUGCAGUUGUAGUGACCCAUCCAUAAGCAUUUCUUUUUUUUUUUUAUCUUAUGGAUGAUGAAAUUUUGAGAUUGACAGUGUGAGCAUUUCUUCCAUAAGCAUGUUCAAUUCAAGCUCAUUUCAAUUCUCAGUGCUACCGAUUGGCAGUUUGAGAUCAUCUUUGUGUAUCAACUAGUAAUGGGUGCUGAACAGAUAAUCCUUUUUCUAAUUAAUCUUUUCCGAAUUCUAUUAAUCUUUUACUGCGAUUUGUCACACUGAUGAUAUAUUAAAAAAAUAAAAAAGUUGCACUUUUGAUAUAAAAGAAAAUUAUCUCUAAUUAAUUUUCAUUUUUGCUAUGAAAAGGUAAUUAUUCCCGAAAAUCUUUAUUCUCCUGUCCCCAUAAAAUUAACCCUUAAAUUGUUGUUACCUUUUGUUACUAUUUGAUGCAAGAAUAAUUUAGCAUCUAGAAUUUCCAUAUAUAAUUUGUUUUGCUUUAAAUAAUUUCCCAAAUUGUUUUUCUACUUCUGGGAGUUGUAUUUCUUGCAUUUGUUGUUACUUUUGGUUUUUAUUUUUCCUGCUACGAAUAGACUUGUUUCUUCUGACAAGCUUUGAAUAAUAUAUGCUUCAAAUCAUUCUCAUUGAAAUUAUUUUGUCUGUGGAAUUCUUGUGGUCAAUUCUAUUAUAGCACAACUUAAAUUUCUAUUGUUAUAUUCGAAUUAUAAAUUUCUAUUCUUAGGCCCCGUUUGGGAUUGCUUUUGGGAGGGUUAAAAGUGAUUUUAAAAAUCUAAAAGUUAAUUUUGGUGUUUGGUAAAAAAAAAUCAAAAUCACUUUUGCCAGAAUCAGCUCCUCAUAUAGCUAAUUUUGAAAAGCAGGGAAGGAGUAACUUUUAGAUUCUGAUUUUGAGAAUCAAUUUUAUCAUUUAAUAUAAUUCCAUAAAUAUUCUUACAAUUAUUACUUAAAUCCGAAAUUAUCCUUAUUUAAAUUGGAAACAAAAUCAAUAUUUUAAUAAUUUUUUAUUGUAAUUAACGCACACCUUUCGUUUACCCUAUUUCUUCAUAUUUUGUGUUCUAUCAAAACUUCUCUAGUGCAACAAAGCAAGAUCCAGUACAUGUUCCAUCACCAUAUUCAAUAACAGUAAGUGAUUCAUCACCCUUUUCAUGCAUAUUCAAUGUAAUUUUUAUUAUAAUAUUUGUUGUUUGUCUUAUUUGGGUUUGUUUAUAUAUAAACAAUUCUAUGCCUAUGUAAUUUUUAUUAUAAUAUUCAUUGUUUGUCUUAUUUGAAUUUUUUAUUAUAAAUGAUUCUAUGGCUAUGCAAUUAUUAUUAUUAUAAUAUUUGUUAUUUGUCAUUUAUUUUUUAGUCAUUUAUUUUUUUACAACAGUUUAACAAUAAGAUUUACCAAACACCCAUAACUGUUUUCAAAAUUCACAGUACUUUUGAAAAUAAAAUUUACCAAACACUUAACUGAUUCUCUUCACAGCUGAUUAUUUCUACAGCACAGCUAACAAUAAUUAUUUUAAAAGCUGCAGCAUUACCAAACUGGCCCUUAAUAUACAAUAUUUUGAGAGUUGAAGACUAGUCACUUUUUUCUGGAAAAAAAAAAUCAUAUUGGAGUACAUUGGGAAGAACAUAAUAAUCAGUUCAAUUUCAAUCCUAAGUUACGUGACUUAUUACAUUUAUUUUGAUUGACUAUUUGACGCCAUUGUUAGAUAAAAAUUUGGUUAUAAUAGAGAUGGCCGACUGCAGGUCCAUAAGAUCAGUGUAAGUGCAGGGCAGGGAAAUCAACAAAGUCCAUAAAAAUUUUAGUCUUACUUCCCUGUAUUGCAUAUCAAUAUAUAUUAUCAUUAGAAGUUUCUUAGCAUAAAUGUUUAAAAUAUUUAUUUGUGAUAAUAUUUUAUCUAAAUUUUUCCAAUGUAGAAUUCAAAUGCCUACUCAAAGCUGUUAUGUUGUUUUCAAAGGACGAAAGCCGGGCAUAUACAAUUCUUGGCGUGAAUGCCAGAUGCAAGUAAAUGGAUUCAAAGGGAAUUCUUAUAAAUUUUAUAAAUCUUUGUUGGAUGCCGAAAUAGCCUCCAAUGAUUACAUAAAAAGGCAUGAAAAAUUGCCAGAGACAUCCAAUAUGUUAAAAACUACAAAAUUUAUUGUGGAAACACUCGAAAAGGGUGCAAAUUGAAGUGUCUACAUGCGACAAAGCUGUGCAAACUGAUAAAGGCAGAAAUGAUUGUAUUAUUCUGCCUAUAUUAUCCAUUGUAUGUUGUAUUUUAGGGAUAAUCGUUGCUAUAUGUAUUUUGCAUAAAUGAAAUUGUACCCCAUGUUAUGUAUAAAUUUAAAUAACUUAAAUAAAAUAAUUGUUGUGUAUGAAUUGUUUUCCUCUAGACUCUAUGCAUAUGAGAUAUGAAUUCUGUAACAUAAGAAAAGUAAUUUUGUAAAAUUAUAUCCUUGCACACAUUUGUGCAACAUGGCUCUUUAAGUGAAUUUUAAUUCUUCGCACAGGGCCUCUAUUAUCUACUAGUGAAAACAAAGCCUCCAAUUUAUAUUAAUAUUGUAUCACACAUUAGCUUUGCAUUUUCAAGAGGAUACAAGAAUCUGAAACAGUGAUAAAUUGAAGAUGAUUAGAUUUGAUAACUUAAACAGAAUUGAGAACCUGAAGAAAGGCAUGGACAUAAGUAUAAAAGCAGAAAACAGUUCAAUUAAAGACGUGGACAUGAGUAUGAAAACAAAAUUUAAGAGGAAGAAUUAUUACCUUUCACAUAGCUGGAAAUAUUUGCACUGACUGCAAAACCAUCGGUGCCUAUACAAUAUCACUUCAUGACAGUGCGAGCAAACAAAUUGUAAGUGGACAACAUUAAAAAAAUCUAACAUAAUUUCAAAAAUUUAAAGUUCAAUUUAACACAAAACAUUAUUCCAUCACUACAAUUUCAAAGAUUUAAAGUCAAAUCUAACAUAAUUUUAAAAAUUUAAAGUUUAAUUUAACACAACAUUAUUUCAUCACUACAAUUUAAAGCCAAAAUACAAGUCAAGUAUCAUCAUUGUUAUCUUCAUUACGCUGCUGCUGCUAUAGUAACUGUUGGAAAUUCUCACUUUGAGAUCCUUGAUAAGUCAUCGAAGGAGAAGAAUAAUGCAACUGCGAAGUAUACGGUGGGACUGGUUGCUAUAAUACAUAAAAAUAAACAUCAUAGUACAUUACAGAAAUAUUAAAAUAUAUGUAUUCAUUAACGACUUAUAAACAACAACUUACUGUGUGCCAAUUAUAAGGAAAUGGCUGAUAAAUGUUGCUUCCACCGAAUUGGGAUUGGUACAUAGGUACCUAAUCAAAUAAUAAAAUAUAUGUAAAAUUCAUAUAAAAAUCUUAAAACUAAAAUUUAAAUAAUUUAAUUCUUACAUUAUAAUAGCCCAUAGUGCCGCAUUAGUUGAGAUUUCCGUAAAUAAUACUUCCUUCUUGUAGUGUCUAUAUAUGCGCAAUCUUAUACUUAAUUACAUAUCCUAGAAACAAAAGAAAAUUUUAAAAGAAAAAUUCACAAAAUUUACCAUGGCUAUGUUGCUCCCUUGUGUAGAGAUUUCAUUAGGCACAUGAUAAGAUGAUGGGGCAUUUUCUUGUAAAUCCUACAAGAUUAUUAAAGACAAUUAAACUAAGACCAAAUUAAUUAGAAAAUAGAUCUUUUUUUUUAAUCAUAGCAUAUUUUUUUGUGUGGACUUGUUCUUUUGAACGCAUUUCUUACGAAUCGAAGAUUCUUUUCUUAGGCAAGGUGGAUGACCUUUACGACAUGUCACUAUUGGAUUAUUCAGUGCAAGUUGAACAUUGUUGCUGCUACAACUUACUUCGCCAAUAACAGUUCUUUCCACACUCUCACUGUUAAUUUGUUUGUUGCUGCUACAACUUGUUCCACCAUUAUUAGUUUUUCCCACACUUGCACAGCGAAUUUGCUUGGGCAGAUCCUUCAUUGCUUUCUCAAUCCAAUCCAACACCGUUUUAUAGCUAUUUUCAUCAUCAGAGGCUAUGUCUGCAACCUCACUGAAAUCGUUACACAUUUUUUCAUAUCUUUCUUGCUGGAUGGUCAAAUUCUACACACCAUAACAAACUUUCAGCUUACUAUAACAUCUCCUCACAUCUUUCCUCCACCUUGAUAAAAUGUAUCUUUCUGGAUGUAAUUCAACUGAGUUACGUAUCAGCACUGCAAGGGCAUGCCUGCAAAGAAUCCCCCUAAAUUGGAACUUUGAACAUAUUCAAUUAACUUCACACUCAACUUCUUCAAAAACAACCUCAAAGAAGCCUCUCCGACCUUGCCCAAAUGAUUCAAUUAUUUGAUUUAUUGAUCCCACAGAAUCUGAGAUAUCACAAAAUAUCAGAGCAGUCAAUUCUUCUUGAAAUUCUUUAAACUUGGAAAUGGUGUACACUUCAACUUGCCUCUCCAUCUCAUAUCUUGAUACGCAUAGUGUCCUUUUACUGAAACACUUGGCAUCUGCUUGUCAUUCUAAUUCAGCUUUCCUCCUCAAUGCAUUUUCAUAUUGUUUUACAAACUGUUUCAGGUUUGUUUUUGAGUUAGCAAAUCCAUCAAAAAAUGCAUUCAUACUUUCACUUCGCUGAGUUGUUGACAUUCCUGCCCAAAAAUAGCCUUUUAAAUAGCAUGUGACCCAACGAUGCCUCUCAUCGUACAAACAUUUAACCAAUCAUUAUCUCAUAAAUCAUAUUUUGUAAUCAUGCAAUGCCAAGCUUCUUCAAAUGCAUUAGAACUCAGUGAAUCAUAAAUAGGAGAAAGCAGGGAAGAUAUAAUACCUUCACGUUCAUUAAAAGCCCCUAACUUCUCAGGCACCUUUUUCAUUAUGUGCCAUAAACACCAUCGAUGCCUAAUAGUAGGAAAAACGUUUCCAAUUGCCUUUUGCAUUGCCAUGUCUUGAUCUGUAAUGAUACCAAGGGGAGGAGAAUCAGAUAUGCAUGAUAGCCACACCUCAAAUAACCACGUAAAUGUCUCCGUAUCCUCGAGUGAAAUCAAUCCGCAUCCCAACAAAAUAGAUUGUCCAUGGUGAUUAACUCCAACAAAGGGCGCGAAUGGCAUGUCAUACUUGUUGGUCAGAUAUGUAGUAUCAAAUGUGAUGACAUCUCCAAAAUAUUUGUAAGCUGCCCUACUCCGCGAAUCUGACCAAAACACAUUCUUUAAUCGAUCCUCUUUAUCCAAAUCAAUGCUAAAAAAAAAUCCAUUACAUUCUGCUUGCUUUUUCUGGAAGUACUUUAAAAGCGCCAUAGCAUCUCCUUCCUCAAGCUGUAAUCGCCUUGUUUUGUCAACAAAAUUUCUACAAUCUUUUUCUAAGAAUGACACAUUUUCAUACCCACCAGCUCCAACAACAAUAGAAUUGAAAUUUUGGGCAAUUCUAAUUCCUGCACAAUCAUUCAUUUCAAUUUGCUUUUUAGCGCUUGCACUAAUUCUGCGAUUGCAUGGGAAAUACCUAGCUUUGUCUGGACUCAAUCCAUGGUUGUGUUGAAGAUUUAAAGUUUCGAAGAACCCAUUUUCCAUCUUCAUUUAGACAACCUCCAAUUUUUGCAUCACAACCAUUUUUCACAUUCUGUUUCGGCUUCACUGCAUUAGCAGAUUUACUUUCUGACUUGCCGCUAUGCCCACAUGCAAAUGUCGCAUAUUUUACAAUUCCAUCAGUCCCCUUCUUAGUACUUCGAACCUUCACAAAAAACCCCUCUUAUUUACCCUAAGCUUUGUAAAAUGCAAACAUUUCUUCAUGAUUAUCAAAUAACAUUCCAAGAGCUGGCUCACAUUUGUUCGGUUCCACAAUUUCAUUUACAUCGUUAGCUCUUGUUUCUUGCAACUCUUCAAAUGUAUGCUCAUUUUCCAAAUACUCCAUUUCUACAAAAUAAUUAACAUUUGUAUUAAGACUCUUAUAUAACAUUUUGUCCAGUAACGAAAAUUCCUAACAAUUUAAAUAUAUAAAACACAUCCACAAAUUUUUAUAAUUUAUUCCAUUAUCUCCAACAAUUUAAAUUAUAAAAUCCUAACAACUUAAAUAUAUAAAACACAUCCGGAAAUUGUUAUAAUUUAUUCCAUUAUUUUCAGCAAUUUAAAUUAAAAAAAUCCUAACAUAUAUAAAACACAUUUAGAAAUUGUUAUAAUUUAUUCCAUUAUUUCCAGCCAUUUAAAUUAAGAAAAAUCCUAACAUAUAUAAAACACAUUCAGAAAUUGUUAUAAUUUAUUUCAUUAUUACCAACCAUUUAAAUUUAAAAAAUCCUAACAUAUAUAAAACACAUUCAGAAAUUAUUAUAAUCUAUUCCAUUAUUUCCAGCCAUUUAAAUUAAAAAAAAAUCAUAACAAUUUAAAUAUAUAAAAAGCAAAAAUCUACAAAUUUUUACAAUUUAAAUUAAAUAUUCUAACCAUUUAAAUAUAUAGAAUACAAUAAAAAAUUUAUUUGAAUGUAGUGAGAGUCACCAACUUACCAAUUAAUCAGUACCAAAUUUAUCAAGACCUCUGUUUGUAGAUCUAGAUCUAACUUCUUCCUUGUGAUAAGCGAGAUGCAGAGACGGAACUGAUGAGAUACAGAGACGGAACUGGUUUUUCCUUCCUAAAUGCAGAUAGCUCGCGUUGAGUAAAUGAGAGGUGAGAGAUGGAGAGAGACUAAAGAUGGCCGUAAAAAAGUAAUCUCUUUUCGUUACUUUUCUUUCUUUCUUUUGAUUAUUUUAUUUUUUAAAUGAAAAAAGUAAUGGACAAAAGCUGGUGAGUACAGUUGAAGUAGCAGACAUUCACGUGCCAAUUUUUCUAUCGUCCCUUUGUCGUGGCGGAGUUCAAAUAGCAGAACUCAAGAAUAAAAUGUGUGGGUCCCACAUAAUUUGGGAAUAAUGAUAAUAAUAAUAAUAAUUAUUAUUAUUAUUAAAUUUUAUUAACUUAUUAUUUUAGUUAUUAUUAAUUAUUUUAUUAAUAUUAUCAUUAUUAACAAUAAAAAUAAUGAUAAAAAUAAUAAUUAAUAAAAAUAAUGAAUUUAUCAUUAUUAACGAUAUUAUCAUUAUUGUUGUUGUUGUUGUUGUUGUUGUUGUUGUAAUAAUAAUAAUUAUUAUAAUAAUAAUAAUAAUUAUUAUUAUUAUUAUUAUUAAAUUUUAUUAACUUUAUUAUUUUAGUUAUUAUUAAUUAUUUUUAUUAUUAUUUUUAUAAAUAAUAAUAAUAAUGUAAUUUUCAUUAUCUAGAUAUAAAAAUGAUAUUAAUUAAAAAUAAUAAUAAUAAUAAAUGUUAAUAAUGAUAAUAUUAAUAAAAAUAAUAAUAAAAAUAUUAAUAGUAACUAAAAUAAUAAAUUUAAUAAUAAUAAUAAAUGUUAAUAAUGAUAGUAUUAAUAAAAAUAAUUAAUAAUAACUAAAAUAAUAAAGUUAAUAAAAUUUAAUAAUAAUAAUAAUAGUAAUAAUAACAACAAUAAUGAUAAUAUUAUUAAUAAUGAUAAAUUAAUUAUUUUUAUUAAUUAUUAAUACUAUGGGUAUUUUGAUAAAUUGAUUCUCAUUCCUAUUUAUUUUGCCAAGUAAACACAUGAAUGACAUUCCAACAUAUUCUCAUUCCCAUUUAUUUUUCCCAAGUAAAUAUUGAAAUCUCAUUCUCAUUCCAGUCCAUUCACAUUCCCAGCCCUUUCUCAUUUCACCCAAUUCUCAUUUUAUGAAGUAAACGCACCAUAAAAGAUGAAAUUGUUACAAAUCUUCCUAGAAGGUUCAAAAAUAAUAAUGAUUGAAUACUAUCAGCUUUUAUUUAAUAGCUGAAACUUUCAUGUCAGAAAACGUAUAACUUAAAAGUGACAGAACCACUAUAUAUUAAACGAGACUUUAAAAUUUUUUUUGUUAUAGUUUUGUAUUCGUAGUUCACCUUUAUCCUACUUCCAUGGCAAUUUGGAUUCAAAAACAAAACACGUGUGCUUUAGGCAGAAUACUCUAUACUGAAAUGGCCUUAUUUUUUAUUAUAUUUUAUAUUUUAUAUUUUUUAAAGAUAAGACAGCGAACAAAGCUCAAAUCAAUUCGAGACCCUGUGGGAAUAGGUAAGUGAAAUUGUUGCUUUUCUACAUGCAGAGUUUUACAGCAACAAAUUCUAUUUUUCCAAGUAUGAGAUCAACUGCGCUUGAGUAAAUAAAGCAAGAGAAAACGCUUGCAGAAACCUCAUGUACAUACAAUUAGAGCUAGCAAUAUUUGACACGACCCGAUUACCCGACACGAACACGACAUAAAUAAAUGGGUAUAGGUCGUUAAAUUUAACACGAUUAUUAAAUGGGUCGGGUUCGGGUCAACAUGAUUUUUUUCUGUGUCGGGUUUGGGUUAAAAUUCUUGACCCAUUUACCCGAUCAAUGACCCGAUUAUAUUUUUUAUCUUAAAAUAAUUUACAUAUUCUUAUCAUUAAAACUCAAAUAUUAGAGAUGGUUUUCUCUUUUUUUAAUUCUUUAAAAAGGUGAAUAUAAACACAGUGUUUUAUUUAUAAAAUUUUAAAUACAUUUAGAGCUUCAAUAGUGUAAAUGUGUAAAAAUUGAUAGACAUGUAUAUUUUAUAAUAUUGAUAUAUAUAUAUUCACAUCGGCCUAAUUCAAGUCGGAAUAAAACCCUUAACCAAAGAAGGCUUGGAUACUUCUAUCCUUGCUGUCCUAAGAGAUGGGCGAUUCAUCUCUUUUGACUGGAAUUUAUGUUGUGUACUAAAAGCAGUGAUCAUUGCUUUAUAAGAGAUUUUAAAAAUCAAAGCAACUGGGAUGGAUCCCUCAAUCAUAUUGUAAUUAUGAGUCUUGAUUUGUAAAAUCAUGCUUUUCAAAAUAUUUUUAUCUUUAAGGGAGGUGCUUUGGGCUUUGGAUAGCUCUUUACUUGGGCCUAAGAAGCCAUUUGCCAUAUGCCAUAAGUGUGGCAUAAAAGGCCAUACUGCAAAGUAUUGCAGAAUGAACCGAAAACUUCAUGAGUUAGGACUCGAUGAAGAAAUCCUCUCUAAAGUUGCCUCUCUUCUUGUAGAGUCUUCUGACUCUGAGUCUUCCAUAUCGGGAGACAGUGACUCCCUCCAAGUCGAUGAGCUAAUUGAUUCAUAUAUAUAUAUAUAUAUAUAUAAUUAAAACCUCAAUAGUGUAAAUGUGUAAUAUAUUGGUAGAUAUGUAUAUUUUAUAAUAUCGAUAAAUUAUGUAUGUAUGUAUGUACAUACAUAUGUAUGAUAGUGUGUAAAUAUUGGAUGUAACUUUUGUUCAAUAUAUAGAUAUUAAACGGGUUAUUGGGUAACCCGAUUAUUUUUUCGUGUCGGGUUUGAGUCUUAAUAUUUUGACACGAUUAUUAAAUGGGUCGGGUUUGGGUCGACCUAAAUUUGACAUGACACGAAGCUGACACGACAUGAACACGACCCGAUGACCCGUUUUGCCAGCUCUACAUACAAUGGAAAAAAAUUGAAAGUUUUUUUGGUCCAAAAUGACCACUGUAUAAGUAACCAACUUUACCAUUAGGGACUCUCCAGCCACCCCUCAACCUGAGAUGAGACUCCCGCCGAAAAACAUUCUUCUUCCGACAGAACCUGCCACCAAGCUUUGACAAGUCGCUAACUUGCUCGGAAACAAUAUGUGAAAGAUUGAUAUCAAAUUUAAGCUUCUAUAGCGAAAGACGUUGUCGGUUUCUGAUUGUAUUGCUUACUGUUAUGUCGUCUUAAACGUGAUCGAGAUAACGGUUACUCCUUCAUUAUCAAUGUAUGAUCAUCAUGUAAUGUCGGUUACGAACAUUAUAGUAGAGCGCUUGUCUUGCGCGUGACAUAUGUUAAAGAUAAACUUAACUUGUCACUCCCCGGACACGUGCGCCGAGGCUGGUCAAAUGAUUAGUUGUUACAGCCGUUGGUUUUGGCGGGAAACGAAGUUGGCAAGUGGGGGAGGUCCCAGAAGGUUUUCGAGGCUAUAUUAAAUAGCGUUAGAAGCUGCAAUUUGUCAGCAUGUAAUCAGAUCAUCAUAAUUUUGACCUUGUUCUUGAAUUCCUGAUGAUUAAUGAAAUCCGUUCGCCUGUUCUGCACCAGGAACUAGGCCAUCUGGCUUAGCCUCGAAAAUCUGUGUUCGUUGUUUUCUGAUUACUGUUUUUGCUUUCAAUUAUGGUAUGAUUCCCAUUCCCAAAAAGUUGUUCGACAAAAUGCUCAAGAAGGAAAGGAACCGAGCAUCCCACCUGAUGUCUUGAACAAACAAAAGAGACGAUUCCCACCUGAUGCCAAUGGCUUUUACGAACCACGGAAAAAACAGAAUGGUUUCAACUCUGUGGAACAGAGUGCAGUUAAGCCAGUAACAGAUUUAGCAAAAGCAACACUUUGAUAAUACUCUCUGCUUGUGCGCUUUACAAAAUUCCUAAUUUCCUUUGUAACAUGCAAACUGUGUCAGUUCAUCAAUGUGCAUUCCUAUCAGUAUUGAUCAACAUAAUGGUUCAGACUCAUGGAGCAAGAAUGUUGAUAAGGGCAGCCACGAUGAAUAUCAGAACUGAUCUAUGUAAGCUCAGGCUCUGAUUUUCUAUCCCUUGUUUCACCAGUACUUCAACAAAUGGAAAAGUUAGGUUGAAUAACAGCUAAUCACAUCUUAGGUGGCCGCUUCUUCUUGCUUAGCAACAUCUAAUCUUCUGUAAGUUAAUUUCUUACAUUUUAUAUUAACUUGUCUCCUGUAUUUAAGCGUUUGCUUAUGUAAUAAGUGUUACGUUUCUCAUAAUUCAGUUAAUCAGUUUAAGAGGAGAUUUUGUUCUCUUGUAAUUGCAACUUUGCUGAUUAUGAUUAUUUAAGAACCAUUUACUUAUAACAUUUAAUUCCAAAUUAAUAGAUUUUUUUGACUGACAUAUUUUUGUAAUAAAUUUUUCAUAUAAUUUCAAAAAUCAAUUCUAGAGGAAAUUUCGUUCUAUUGUUGCCAAGGCAUAGAAACUGGUUGCAACUCUGCUGGUAGUUUGUGUUUCAUCGAUACAAAGGUUGGCAGUGCAGGUUUUGGACUAUUUCGGCACUUUAAUGUUAUGUUUAAAUGACAUUUUGAGUUUGCCGAUUUCUCAUAGCAUUGAUAUAGCAUCUAAUUCUAAAUUAAACUUUUAGGAACUCAGAGUGAGGCUGCUGUGGCAUUAAUUUCUUGCAUCAUGAGCAUCCAGGGAGUUUCUUCUUAUGUCCCUUAUCCUCUCCCUCAUUGGAAAUAUGAUGUCUUCUUAAGCUUCAGAGGAUAAGACACCCGCAAAAAUUUUACAGACCAUUUGUAUUCUGCCUUGGAUGAAAAGGGAAUCAUUGUAUUCAGGGUUGACAAAGAACUUGAGAGAGGAGAAUCCAUUUCACCCGGACUCUUUAAAGCAAUUGAAGAAUCCAAAAUUUCAAUUGUUGUUUUCUCCAGAAGCUAUGCUUUUUCGACUUGGUGCUUGGAUGAACUUGUUCAUAUUCUUGAGUGCAAAAACACAAAUAAUCAACAAAUGGUUUAUCCAAUUUUCUAUGACGUGGAACCGGCUGUUAUAAGGAAACAGACAGAAACUUUUCAAGAAGCAUUUGCUCAAUAUGAAGAAGUUUUUAGGGAGAAUAUAGAAAAGGUACAAAAGCGGAGAGACGCUUUGAGAGAAGUGGCUAGGCUAAUUUAUUGGGCUGGGAAUUGAAGGACGUGAUCUUUCUUAUUGUCAAAGAUUUAUAAUUUCCUAUUCAAUGAUUCGAUUUGAAACUAUGUCCUCACGCACUUCAAUUCAACGACACGAAUCUUUUCUUAUCUUUUUCAAUCUGCAGGAAUGAAUCUGAAUUUAUUUUGGAGGUUGUUAAGGUGAUACCAAGAACUAUUUUUUACUAUAAUAUGUUUUAAUAGAGUAUGUCUACUCAUUUUAAAUAUUACUAUAGUAUAAUAUAUUAUGUCUAACAUAUUAUAAAAUAUUUUUUAAAUAUUGAAAUUAUUUUAAAAAUAUAUGUUAUUAUACUUAGUUUAAUAUUAUAUUUUUAUUUAUUAUAAAACAUUAAUGAUAUUUUAUUGGAUUUAUAGAGUUAAAGGAUAUCAUAAUUAAAAAAGAGUUUGGUGUUCUUUAUUAAAAAUUUAAAGAUCGGUGGGAUCAUUUUUCUAAGCAUUGGGGUAUAGAUAUCAUUUUCCUUCUAUAGUUGUUUGACAAAUUAAUUAUGACAAAGUGGAAGUUUAUAAGGAAUAAUUAAUUAUGCUAGUGGAUUAUAACGAAUAACCGAUUAUGCAAGUCAAUUUUCACUAAGACUUGCUUUUGGAAUACAAACACACAGAUUUACUUAAGUAGAGGUCGGCGCACACCCUCCAAUCGAGAUCCGAAGAAAUUUUACAAUUACAUUUUGGGAUUUAUUAAAGAUAAUUUUUUUCUUUUUGGUAAUAAAGUAAAUAAGAAGCUGUGGUGAAGUCUUGUAAUUCAAUUAUUAAAGAGAGUUAUCAUUAAGAGGAAGUUUCAUUGAAUGGUAAUUUCAUCGCGCGAGGUAAAGACUGGAGAGCGACCCUUUUUGACCAAGACUUGCUUUUGGAAUAUACAAUGCAACAACGCAACUGAGGAGCUGGAAACUGUGUAAUCGCUUUAAUUUUCCAAAUUUAGUAAAAAUCCUCAGAUUUCCCUCAAAAGAUAGAUGCACAAGGAAAAUUUUAUGAUGUCAUAUUUAACUACGGGAUUAGCAUGGAAUAAACAAAAAUUUUAUAAAUGAUAUAAGACCAAUAAAUAAAAAGCAAAACAAGUAAAUUAUUAGAAGAGUGGUAAAUUGAUGUUUUAAAAUUGAAAAUAAAAAUGACACUUGUAAAAUUAAGAUAAAACUUAUAAAUCAACAUUAAACUUUAACUCAACCAAAAAGAAGUUUAUUAAUUGAAUUUAAUUAAACAAAAAAAGCACUAAUUAAGCAAAGGAAAAACACCACUCAUUAAUUGAAAACAAAAAAAUUGUAUUGAAAAUAAUUAGAAUAAGUUUUAUUUAAUUGGUUUAACCAUGAAUACUAUAUUCAUCCUAGGACAUUUAUAAUUUUUUUUUCCAUUUUCUAUUAUAGUAUUUGUUUACUACAUAUGUUAAUCAAGCAAAAUUAUUUUUCUUAUUGUGGAUCAAACCAAAACAAAAUAAAAAGAUAUUUUUAUAUUACUAAAUAUAUAUGAAAUAUCAACAAAAUUGGAUCUAAUUUUCAGUUUUACACAUACUUUAUAUAGUUUCAAACUUUACUUCUUUUACUUAAAAAUCAUUUGGCCUUAUUGUCGAGAAGAUUUAGAAGAAUGUAGAAUCACCUUAUCUUAUAAACAGAUUUAAAAACCAUGAAAUGAAUUUUUUUUCUUAAUAAAAUUUCACAUAUAUUAUCACUUGUAUUAUAUAAACCCAAAACUAUAAUUAUUUCAUUUAGAAACAAAAUCAAUAAAUAUAUAGGAUAGUCAUUAUUAUAAUAAGCUUUUAAUUUACAUUUGUAAGUUUUUAUUUUUUUAAUAACUCUUAUAUUAAUUUACUUAUUUAACCUUCCUUUUAUAAGUUUUAUGUUUCAUUUACAUAAUUUAUAUUUUAUUUUAGGCUGAAUGUGUUGUGCAAAUUUUAAUAUAUUUAUAAGCACAUGAGUCUAUUGAAGUAUAGACUAAAAAUAAUUUAGAUUGAAUCCAUAGGGACUGUCAAUUUUUAGGAAAGUAAAAUUUAAUCUAAGUCCAUUAUAACUCUGCCCUAGUUGAAUAAAAAACAUUUUGUUUGAGAAAAUUAAAGCUAAGGAUGCAAUUAAAAUUAAAACAAGUAAACUAACACAACAAUUCAAGAGAUUGAGCAUACCAUGAUUUCAAAAUCUACCCAAUUUACGAGUAAAUUAACACAACAAUUCAAGAGAUUGAAGGUACCAGGAUUUCAAAAUCUACCCAAUUCAAUUAACAAUUAUCUAAUUACUAAUCAAUUCUCAAUUUUAGUAUAACUACUUGAAGUCAAUCUAUGUCUACUCAUGAAUAUAAUAAUUAAGCCCCAUUAAAAUUAAUCUUAUGUAAGUUCUUUUUCUAUUUAAUAGUAUGAUAUCUAAGCAUCCAUCUAAUCAUAUUGAAUAACAAAUAGUUAAAGUUUACCUAAGCACUCUAUGCAAAUAAUUUAAUGAAAGACACAAAAUCAAAGAUAAUCACAUAUAAGUUUUAUGGAUCCAAGCAUAAAAUAUUAGUCCUAACAAUCAAUAAUACACGACACAAUUGAUGAAACGAUUUAAUUGUACUCAACCAAAUAUGUGAAACAAGAGCUAUAAACAUUAAAGCGCUCAUGUAAGAAAUUAAUUGAAUAAUAAAAAGCAAUUUAUUUCAUUGAAUAGGGUUUUAUCCUUAGUCCUAGUAUAGAAGAUUUAGUUACACAUAAUUGAAUUGGGGAUAAAAGAGUAGAUAAAACCAGUCAUGGGAAAUAAAUCCAAGUGACUGGCUCUUUCUCCAAGCUGUAGCUACUGUUCUGCUUCAAUUCCUCCUGGCGGCUGCAAUUCCCCUCUUUAAUAUGUAAUUAGAGGGGAAAUAUAUCGAUAUAUUAUGCCCAUCAUAAUGCUGAUUUAUAAACUUUAUGUUACAUUUGUAAGUUUUUAUUUUAUUUACAAGUAAUACAUCAAUUCACCACUUGUUAGUUUAUUGUUUUACCUUUCAUUUAUAAGUCUUAUUUUUCAUUUACUUAAUUUAUAUUUUUUUUAUACUUAUUGUUGAUUUACAAAUUUUAUGUUAUAGUGGUAAAUUUUUAUUUUAUUUACCAAUGAUACACCAAUUUAUCACUUCUUUAUUAAUUUAUUAAUUUUACCUUCCAUUAGCAAGUCUUAUAUUCUAUUUACAUAUUUUAUGUUUUAUUUUACUCUUAAUGUUGAUUUAUAAGUUUUAUAUUACAUUUGUAAGCCUUUGUUUUGUUACUAAUAAUACACUAACUUUCCUAUGUUAAGAAACUUGUUUUAUAUUCCAUUCACAAAUCUUAUGUUUCACUUACAUUAUUUAUGUUUGGCAAGCCUCCCUUUAGACUUGCUUCUUUUUCCAGGUUUGCGGCUUUGUGAAUGACCUAUCGCUGUCAAUGCUUCUGCUACUGUAUCUUUGUGAUCCUUUCUGUCUUUCUUUCUGAUCUCAGAGUUGUACAAUGCACUGCAUACAGCAUCGAAUGUGACAUUGUCCUUCCCAUGAAGCAAAGUAGUGGUGAGAUGAUCAUAUUCAUCAGGAAGGGAAUUCAACAACAAUAAUGCCUUAUCUUCAUCUUCAAAUUGCUCAUCCAAAUUUAGCAAAUCUACUAAUAUUUUGUUGAAUGAGUUCAAAUGGUCAUUCAUUGACAUGCCAGGUGUAUAUGUGAAACGAUAGAGUUUUUUUUUUUUCAUAUAAAGCCUAUUUUCAAGGCUUUUCUUCAUAUACUUUCUUCCAGUGUCUCCCACAAUUUUUUUGCCGAUGUCUCCCUCAUGACAGAGUAUUUCUGAUCUUUAGCCAAACAUAGGGGAAUAGUACCACAUGCCUGUCUGUUGAGUUUUAUCCAUUCCUUGUCAUUCAUCAUGUCAGUCUUUUCUUCAAGAGCAACGUCCAACUCUUGUUGACAUAAGACAUCAAACACCUCACAUUGCCACAUACCAAAAUUAUUGGUACCAUCAAAUUUCUUCACUUCAAACUUUGCAUUAGUCACAGUAGUCCUCGCUGAUGAAGACGACGACAAUGCCUCUGCUAUCAUUUUUAUCUCAAAUGAUCAAUUUCUUCAACAACUAUUUACACUGAAAAAACAGCCUCUAUGAUGUUUAUUUCGCGUGAAUAAAUGCACCAGGAAAGUUCCCAAGAGACUGGACGGGAACUCCGUCCCAAUUAAAAAUCAGAAUCCUUAGACUCUUAUCGUCUUGUUGACAGAACUUUCCUAGACAUACAAAAAUAUACACUACUUACAAUAGACUGUCCCCCAAAGUAUAAAUGACCGUCUCUACCGUAUUUGUGAACAGUACCAUAUAGGAGAAUAGUACUGUAUACGUGAAUAGUAUAGUAUCCCCCCAAAUACGAACCGUCGGCUCUGAUACCACUUGUUACGGAAACGCGGGCUGAGCAAUUACUAAUAUUGUAACUUUUGGAGAAAUAUAAAUGUGGUGAUAAACAAAUGCAAAGAAAAUAUGACACAAUAAUUUACGUGGUUCGGCGUAAUGCCUAUGUCCACAGACAAAAACUGGAAGAUAAUUUUACUAACAAAUGGGAAUUUACAAAAGUGGAAAAAACUCACAAAACCCACAACCCCAAUACACCCAAAUGGAACCUCACUAGAACACUCAAGUGGAAGCUCUCUCAAAUUCUCUCAAAGAACUCAUUUGCAAUUGCUCUCUACCUCUCUCAAAUUGGGAUGCAUCACAAAUGAACAAUAGCCCUUCUAUUUAUAUGAAUCGUAGCUCACCUACCACUUUCAAUUUGGCUACAACUUGCCAAAUUGACAAAUUAAAUUUAGAAUGGAAAAUCAAUUUGGUGGGCAACAAAAUCUACAAUUUUGAAAAAAAAAAUCAAUUGGCUUCUAGAAAACCAUCACAUUUUUUCUCCAUGCAACUUCAACAAAAUCGUGCCACCAACCUUGCCUUUUGAAAUUGGCAAGCCCACCAACUUUGUCUUUCGAAAUUUGCAAGCCAUUCUUUGACUUUUCAACACAGUACAACCAUUUCUUGUAACCGACAAUGUCAUCUCAUCUGGAUUACAAAUUCUUGUUCAUUUUUAAACCCUAAUAAUAAUACUUCUCUGUUUAGUAGAGCUUGUGUAAGCAAAACAGAGCAUUAUGUAAUUUAAGUUAUUAGCAAUUUGUUCAGAAGAUUUCUGUCUCUCUGAAUUUGGAAAAAUGUAAAAAAGAAUGGAGACGAGUGCUCAAUGCGAAUCCGCAGGUCUAUGAUAUGAUAUGUAAGUUGUUAAUUACUUCAUUGUCUUUCACAUAGGAAGGCCAAAAAAAUCUGAAUAAUGGAAACUUUAAAGUUGUGGAUAACAAAGAUGGAAACUUUAAUUUUUGUUUUUUUUUUGGGAAACUGUGUUUCCUUUAAUCAAAUUAAUUUUUUUAAAAGUCUUUAGAUUUUUCUAAUUAAAUUAAGACCAAAAACAAGGUGUUAACCAUUAUAUAUUUUAGAAGAGUAAUAGAUCUUGUAAGAAUAUUUAACUAACUAUUUGGGAAAAGGAUAUCUAUACCUCAAGGUUUGAAAGGUUUGGGGAAAUGGUCAUGCAAACCCCCAAGUUUAAAAAAAAGGACUUCAAGACUCCAUUUUGACUGUAUUAUGCUUUGAAAUAUUAACUAAAAAAUUAACUUUAAAAUUUUUAAUAAAUACAAAUACUAUAUAAAUAAUGUAAUCUAUCUAGUAGACUAAUAAUAUUUAAAUAUUUAAAUAUUUAAAUAAAUUUAAAUAUGUAUAUUAUUAUAUUUAUAUUAAUAAUAUAUUUGUCUUUAUUGUAGAGAUUUUUAAUAAAUAUUUGCGCUAAAUACAUUUAAGAAUUAAAAAGAAUCUCAUAUACUAAAAAUGUUGAAAUUAUUAUUUUACAUUAAUAUUCAAAAUAAUUUAAAUUUAACACAUUUAUUUUAAUGUUAUGUUUCUCUUUAUUAUAAAAUUUACUUUAACAUAAGUAAAUAUAUCUAAUAGGUUGUAAAAUAUUAAAAUAUUUUUAAAUACAUUGAAAUUAUUUUAAAACAUUGAAAUUAUUUUAAAAUGUAUAUAUUGUUAUAUUUAUUUUUAUAUUAUAUUUCUAUUUACUAUAUAAAUUUUUUAAAAAUAAUAGAGACAAAGGAUAUUAUGAUCAAAAUGGAGUUUUAGUAUCUCUUUUCAAAAGUUUGAAAGUGUUGGUGACCCUUUUUUCAAAUUUUGAAGUGUAAAUGUCAUUUUCCCUUACAAUAUUUUAUAAUCUUAGAUAAAUCUGAUUCCAAACCCCACUUGCACGGCCCUUUGUUGCAUAUAUUGUAUAAUUUUUUUUUUUUUAUUACAUGAGACUAUUGCUCAGAUUACAACUCAUAUACAUGAGACUAUUACUGAUAUUUACAAAUCAGACUAUUACUGGGACCAACUGACAUCAAUGCUAAUGGAGCUCUGCCCAGAUUUUAACCCUCACAAAUAUUCGAGGGAUGUCUAUGUUGGGAAAAUAUGCUCUUUAAAAGCAUAUGUGUUUAUUUAAUUGUAAUAAACAAUUUUUCUGAUUAAUAAAAUAAAUGAGGUAUUUUAUUCAAAUAUUUUAAUUGCAUUAAUAUUUGUAUUAAAGUCCAUUUAAUCAUAUUAUAUGUAUUUAUGUGAUCACCAUGUGGAUUCACAGAAGACAUAAAUACAAGUUAUCUUAUGAUUAAAUAAAUUUAGUUCGCAGUUGAUAAAUAAAGUUGGGCACUUUAUUUAGGUAUAGACUGUAAUAAAUUCAUUGAAUGAUUUGUCUUAAUCAUGUAUGAAUUUAUUGAUGUAGUACGACUACAUUGAACAGGAUCACAUAUGAGAUUUAAUUAACUUUGUAAUAACUGUCAGACUUAUUAAAUCUCAUAGGCGUUGAUUUUACUGUAAUCUUAAUCUUGAGUUAAUUAUGAUUUCAUGAUUGUGAUUGUUAUUUCAUUUGAGUUAUCAAUGGGCACGACACAUCCUUGUGGUCAAGAUUACCCGGUAUCUUGGUGGGAGCAAUUAUGAGUAUUGGAGUUAUGGAUUAACAAUAUAGAAUUUGUACAACACAUCUCUUGAUAGGUUUUCGGUACUUGAUCAUAGAAUUCUCUGGCCAGAGUGUGUCAACAUAUUUAGUAUGUUGAAAAUGAUCAUUAGAGAAAACCAGUAAGGAUCAAGGAAUAAGAUGUUAUUAAAUUGAUUGGACAGUUGAGAUAUCAAUUUAAUUAACGAUGUGGUACAAAGGAUUGUGCAGUAAAGAAAUCAAUGUGGCUUGGGACGAAUUAUUAUUCGAGCAUACAAUUAUGGAAGUCAGUUCCAAUCUUUUAGUGGAGUAGAUUUGGAAUUAAAUAAUUGGGUUAGUUUAAUUACAGGCCUAAUUAUUGUAGCCACUAUUGUAUGUUCCCAAAUGAUCCCCGGGUUAGCUCAUUUAAUUGACUGCACCACUACUGGACUAAUAAGUAAGAUAACUAGCUAUUUGGGUCAAAAACCUAAAUAUAUCAUUUAGUGGGAGGCUCCAUUUAAUUAGCUUUUGUAUAAGGGGCCUUAUGUUAUUUUACAAGGUGGGUCCCUUAUUGAAAAAGCAAAUAACGUGGGUUUUGUUUUUUGGAUUAUUUGGAGCCUAGGGUUUUCACUAAAGGGUGAUAUAAAAGGCUUAUUUUCUCAAAAGAAAAAUGGGGAAGCCACUUUAUACAGAUCGGAGAAUAAGAUUUUUCUCUCGAUUGUUGAGAGAAAAAUUUUCUCGUGCUAGUUGCUUUGGUAGUGAUAACGGCGCCCACACGUCAAGUGCAGAUCGAACCUGAGUCAUAACCUGGAAGAUCAUUGGUGACAGUUCGUGAUCUAACAAGCGUGGUGGUGACGGAUCGUGAUCUAACAGGAGUGGUGGUGGCGGAUCGUGAUCUAGGAGCCUAAAUCACUUCAACGGAAAAAGCCAACUCGAAAUUUCAAGGUACGAUUUCUGGAUUACGUAUUCCUAUAUAUUAUAUGAGAGCGGUCCUUAAAAGGUUUUAUAAAAAUUUAAAAACCGGAUUUUUCCCCAACAAUUGGUAUCAGAGCAGCCUCAUAUUAAUAUAUAAGAAUAUUGUAUGAAAUCAAUCUUGAAAUUUAUGUAUUAGAGUGGCACAAUUUAUUCAGAUAUAUAUCAUUUGUUUAAUAUAUGAAUAAAGCAUGUUAUGGUUUGUCUUAAUUCAUGGUUAGAUUUUCCGAUGUAUUUUUUCUUUGGAUCUGUAACAAGAGGGGUGGUUUUUUAUCACCAUAAUUCCCUCUUGAUUUAUUUUACUGUAAUUGAAAUUUUGUAAGCCAAAAUUUGCGUUGAAAAUUUGUAAAUCACCGAAGCAUCAUCACUGGAAAACGAGUGCAAACAAUCGAGGCCGGAAAUUUCAGCAACGAGGGGCCAGCAGCACACGCUGCUGCGCGAGCAGCGCGCGGCCAGCAGCACAUGCUGCCAGCAGCGCGCGCUGCAACGCAAGCGUGCACGCAGCAGCAGCGCGCAGCAGCUAGCGCGCGCGGGAAGCGUGGCUUGUGCGCGCAGCACGCGAUGGCACAGGCUGCUCGCGCAGCAAACAGCGCGUACGGCCAGCGUGGCCAGCAGUGCGCGCGAGUUUGAUGCGUUUCCGGCGACGCGGUGGCAGGUGGUUCGAUGUCGGAGAUGCGUCAGAGGUCGGCUGGCAUCUGAACAGUGGUGGAGGUUUUUGGAGAUGGCGGCUGGGGAAGAGAGAAAGAAAAAUAUGGAUUUAGGGUUUCAUGGUUUUUAUCAUUGAGGUCCCUAUGGCUCCAUAAUUUUUCUUUUGGGUAGACACGUUUAAAUUUUUUGCAUUUAAGUCCAAAAAUAGUUUUUGGGCUUUGUGAAUCCUAGCUUUAGGCCCAAUUUCAAUUGGGUUUAAUGGAUUAUAAUGCAUAGAUAAAAUUGAACACAUUAAAUCUAUUUUUGGUCCAAAAGUUUUAUUUUAAUAAAAUUAUUUAUUUAUUUCCUUUUAAAAUUAAAAAUUGGACCAAUUAUAAAUUUAAAAGCCCAAUUUCCCCUAGUCCAUUAACAAAAACAAGAUUAUGAAAGAUGGACAUUGACAAGAAGCCCAAUGAAGAUUAGGCUUAGGGUUAAUGUAUUUUUCAUUAUUAGGAAAGCCAUGAAUUAAGAUUAUUUAAUUGUUUUUCUAUAUGUUUUGUUAUGGAUGAUAACAUGCCAUGAUAACAUGUCAUAUAGAAUAGGUAGUGCCACUCUAUGCAUAAUGAUACAUGUCAUUCAUUAAUUAUGAAUUUCAUUAUAUUGUUUGAAAUUUGCACAUGCUUAAUAAUAUUUGAUAUCAUCUAGAUAAUAUUAUAGGAAGCAUGCAAUUAACAAUAUGUAUGUUUUAAAAAGGAAAAACCAAUUUUAAAAUAUUGAGUGGGAGAGGGAAAAUUCAAGAUAAUUUUCCCACGGGCUCCAUUGUUAGUUCAAUAAUAAAAUUAUAUAUAUACCUCGACUUCAUGAUACGGUGAUGCUCCCUUCGAAGGGUAUAUAUAUUAGAUAUUUUAUUUGAUGAACUUCAUCAAAGAUAAAAUUGAAAUAUUUUUCAAUCGAUUGUUCACCCCAACGGUGACUAUUGAUAUGAAAAAUACGUAGAUUGAAACAAUGGUUAUACACUCAACUAAAGUUUGUUAUUAACCUUCCCAACGAAGCUCUGUUAACAAAUUUAGGUCCAAAGGGAUAACGAUAAUUAUUUAUCAUGUCUCUACAUGAAAGUAAAUAAUCCAAUGGAUAAUUGGGUCUAGUAAGUGAAGACAUGACUUCCCCAACGGAUAGCUUGUCAAAGCGGUACUAGAUUAUCGUUACAAUAAAUUAAAAUGCAUUUAUGGUUUUUUGCAUUUUUGUCAUUUAUUGUGAAUAUUAUUUCAAAGUAUUUAUGCAUGUGUAUUUUGUUUUUUCAGAAAAUGUCUUCCAUCAACCCAUUAUUAUUUAUCCUUGUUAAAAAUGAACUCACUGGCGAAAAUUAUUUAGAUUGGAAACGCAAUCUAUUUAAUAUUCUCACUGCUAAGGGAAGCAAAUAUGUGUUGACCCAGCCUUGCCCUCCUGAACCAUCGUUAUACGAUUAUAGAAAUCAGAGGAGCCUUAUGAGAAAUGGUGCGAAGCUAACAAAAUGGCUAAGCGCUAUAUAUUGGCUUCGAUUUCUGUGGAACUGCAUAAGAAACAUCGGAGCAUGGAAACAGCCACUGAAAUAAUGGCUAGUCUUCAUCAGAUGUUUGGGCAAAAUACCCAUUUUGCCAGAGAAGCAGCAUUAAAACGUAUUACGGAUACUCAGAUGGAAGAGGACACAAAAGUUCGUGAUCAUGUCCUCAAAAUGAUGGACUAUUUGAAUGAGGUAGAGAUUCAUGGUGUUCAAAUCAAUGAUACAUCAAAGAUUAACAUGGUGAUUGAAUCUUUACCUGAUACAUUCAAAGAGUUUAAGGUUAGCUAUAUCUUAAACAAUAAAGAUAUGACCUUAAUUGAAUUAAUGCACGAACUACAUGCUAUAGAAGAAUUUUAUCAUAGCAGAAAACUUCCUGAAAAAGGAUUCUCUUCAAGGCUUAAGUCGAAAGACAAGAAUGAGCAAGCAAGAGUUGGGAUCGGCGAACUGUCCACUAAAAGAAGUGGCAAGCCAAAAGGCAAGUGUUACAAAUGUGGACAGAAGGGUCACUGGAAGAAAGAUUGUCCUAAGAUUAUUAAAAUCAGGUAUAGGAAAUCUUUAAGCUUCCUAAUUAGUUCAGAUUUCUAUUGAUUCAUACAAUAAUGAAUUCUGAGAUAACUAAUCUUAUUUGUAAUUCAUUUAUUUGGUUUUCAGGAAACCAAGAGAUUAAGUGAAGAAAGCUUCAAACAGCAGUUGAGGACAUGCUAGUUUAUAUCAAUUGAAAGACUAGAUCAAUUUUACAAGACUUUAGUUUUGAUAUUUGUCUUUAUUUUUCAAAAUAUUAGAGGAAUUUAAUUUCGGUGGCUUGUUUUAAUAAACAGGAGUACACUGUUAUUUUUGGAUCCUCUAUUUAUUACUUAUUUUGGUUAUUUAUAAAGACAAUUUAUAUCAUAGAAGUACAUUGAUCUAUUCAAAGUAAGAUAUAAUGAUAAAAAGUGUAUGCAUUUAUCUAAGAAAAGAAAUGUUUCUUCUAAACCAAAAAUCACCUCUGAUACUUAUGCUUAAGUCAUAUAAACUAUAAUAAGAUUUUAAGAAAAUGAUUAAUGAUAGACUUGUUGGCCUAUUAAGAUUGAUCAUUGUAACUCUAUAAAUCUUAUUUAGAAAAGUAAUAUGACAAGGAUGCUCUUUUUGAGCUAAAAGCAGAACAUUGUAUUUGAUGAUUUAGCGCAUACAAAUGUAUACGGACUAAUCAGUUUACAUGUUAUAAGAGGUUAUGAGUAUUCUAUCAAUCUUGUUGAUGAAUAUUCAUUUCAUUUAUGUUUGUCUAAAUGCGUCAUGAUUCCAUUACUUUUGAAAUUCAAAAGAGUACGCGGAUAAGACAGAAGCAAUUAGACAGGAACAUAAAAGAACUUCGAUAUGAUCGAAACAAAGAAUAUCUCUAUGGAGAAUUCAAGCACUAUUUGGUUGUCAAUGAACACUAUGAUACAAUAGUGUAAUUAAAUGGAGAAACAAGAUUCUUUUGGAUAAGACAAGAUAUAUACUAAGUGGUUUAUCAUUUACCUUUUUGAUUCCAGAUACUAGUAUUUGAAACUACAAAGUUUAUUGAACUUAGUUUCAUCUAUCUCGGUGUCCACUACUCCAAGAAAUUAUGAAAAAGUCACAAACAUGGUUUGAGACACAUUCGUAUUUGGAGUUUACUAGUAUUUCUACUAGAAUCAGAGAUAGAGAAGAUGGAUUCAUGUUCAGAAGCUUGCAUGUUUUAGGUAUCUUAAAGGAAUAAGGGAAAGUCUGAAUUAUAGUCCUCAAGACAGGAAUGUAUUUAUAGAAAUAUUCUUUACUUUCUUUGAGGAAGACUAUAUAAUGACUUAUAACCUAAGAGUAAGGUAAAACUAGAGAAAUAAAAGAGAUCAGGUUGAUGCUCAGCUUUCAACACCUGUUAUAGAACAGGAAGAACAGCAACAACCAGCUGAUCAGUACAGGAUUAUCCUUGAACAACCAUCACUUUUAGAACCUCGUCGUAGUGGGAGGGUAACUAGGUUACCUGCGAGAUACAUGCUUUUGGGAGAAACCUAUACGGCUAUCUCAGAUGAACAUGUACAAGAUCCCACUAGUUACAACGAAGCUCUAAUAGAUAGAGAUGUUGAAUUUUAGAAAAAAAGGCCAUGAAUCAAGAAAUGGAAUCUAUGUAUUCCAAUAAAGUCUGGGAACUUGUAGAGGCACCAAAUGGGGUAAAACCUAUAGGGUGCAAGUAGAUCUACAAGAGAAAAAAUAGGAGUAGUCGGAAGGGUGGAAACAUUUAAAGCAAGAUUAGUAGCCGAAGGGUUUACUCAGAAAGAAGGAAUCGAUUAUAAGGAAACCUUUUCUCCGGUUGCUAUGCUUAAAUCCAUCAGGAUUCUGCUCUCCAUUGCUGCAGUGCUAGAUUAUGAAAUUUGGCAAAUGGAUGUCAAGACUGCCUUUCUCAACGGGCAUCUUGAAGAAAACAUCUACAUGCAGCAACCAGAUGGAUUUAUACAAAAAGGCCAAGAACACAUGGUAUGUAAGUUGCAGAGAUCCAUUUAUGGAUUGAAGCAAGCAUCCCGGUCAUGGAACAUCAGAUUUGAUCAAGCGAUAAAAUCGUUUGGAUUCAUUCAGAACAUUGAUGAACCAUGUUUGUACAAGAAAAUUCAAGAAAAAUUUGUAGCCUUCCUAAUUCUUUAUGUAGACGAUAUUCUCCUAAUUGGAAACAAUAUAGGAGUAUUGACUACAAUAAAGAGUUGGUUAGCAAAACAAUUUGAUAUGAAAGACCUAUGAGAGGCAAGUUAUAUUCUUGGUAUCAAGUUACUUCGAGACCGGAAGAAUAAAACUUUAGCCUUGUCUCAAGCGGUCUAUAUCGAUAAGAUAUUGGCUAGAUUUAGCAUGGAAAAUUCCAAGACUGGUUUAUUACCAUUCAGACAUGGAAUUACAUUCUCUAAGGAUCAAUCACCUAAAACAUCUGAAGAGAUAGAGAGAAUGAGACGAGUUCCCUAUGCAGACGCUGUGGGAAGUCUCAUGUAUGCCAUGCUUUGCACUAGGCCAGACAUCUGUUUUGCGGUAUGGAUGGUUAGCAGAUAUCAAUUUAAUCCUGGACCUCAAUACUGGACUGCGGUCAAGCAUAUAAUGAAGUAUCUGAAAAGAACUUAAAAUUAUAUGCUUGUGUAUUCUGGUGAUAAACUUAUUCUAGUGGGUUAUACUAAUUCUGAUUUUUUGUCAGAUAAGGAUUUUAGAAAAUCAACUUCCGGCUAUGUGUUUACAUUGGGAAGUGGAGCUACUAGUUGGAUGAGUGUGAAACAAUCUUGUAUCACAGACUCAACAACUAAAGCUGAAUAUGUGGCUACAUCUGAAACUGCAAAAGAAGCUAUAUGGCUCUGCAAGUUCCUACGAAAUCUUGAGGUGGUACCUGUUGUAACUGCACCCCUUAAACUAUUUUGUGAUAAUGGUGGUGCGGUAGCUCAAUCUAAGGAACCAAGGAACCACAAGAAACAAAACAUAUUGAAAGGAAGUAUCAUCUUAUAAGGGAAUAGUGUAGAAAGGUUAUAUGACAGUACCCCAAAUGGCAUUAGAUGCUAAAUGGCAGAUCUUAUUACAAUGGCCAUUAGUGGGAAACCUUUAUAACCUGCACUUAGAGCCCUAGAGCAUGUGCAAUAUGCCAGAUAUGCUUUGAGAGCUAGUGGGAGAUUGUUGGGAAAAUAUGCUCUUUAAAAGCAUAUGUGUUUAUUUAAUUGUAAUAAACAAUUUUUCUGAUUAAUAAAAUAAAUGAGGUAUUUUAUUCAAAUAUUUUAAUUGCAUUAAUAUUUGUAUUAAAGUCCAUUUAAUCAUAUUAUAUGUAUUUAUGUGAUCACCAUGUGGAUUCACAGAAGACAUAAAUACAAGUUAUCUUAUGAUUAAAUAAAUUUAGUUCGCAGUUGAUAAAUAAAGUUGGGCACUUUAUUUAGGUAUAGACUGUAAUAAAUUCAUUGAAUGAUUUGUCUUAAUCAUGUAUGAAUUUAUUGAUGUAGUACGACUACAUUGAACAGGAUCACAUAUGAGAUUUAAUUAACUUUGUAAUAACUGUCAGACUUAUUAAAUCUCAUAGGCGUUGAUUUUACUGUAAUCUUAAUCUUGAGUUAAUUAUGAUUUCAUGAUUGUGAUUGUUAUUUCAUUUGAGUUAUCAAUGGGCACGACACAUCCUUGUGGUCAAGAUUACCCGGUAUCUUGGUGGGAGCAAUUAUGAGUAUUGGAGUUAUGGAUUAACAAUAUAGAAUUUGUACAACACAUCUCUUGAUAGGUUUUCGGUACUUGAUCAUAGAAUUCUCUGGCCAGAGUGUGUCAACAUAUUUAGUAUGUUGAAAAUGAUCAUUAGAGAAAACCAGUAAGGAUCAAGGAAUAAGAUGUUAUUAAAUUGAUUGGACAGUUGAGAUAUCAAUUUAAUUAACGAUGUGGUACAAAGGAUUGUGCAGUAAAGAAAUCAAUGUGGCUUGGGACGAAUUAUUAUUCGAGCAUACAAUUAUGGAAGUCAGUUCCAAUCUUUUAGUGGAGUAGAUUUGGAAUUAAAUAAUUGGGUUAGUUUAAUUACAGGCCUAAUUAUUGUAGCCACUAUUGUAUGUUCCCAAAUGAUCCCCGGGUUAGCUCAUUUAAUUGACUGCACCACUACUGGACUAAUAAGUAAGAUAACUAGCUAUUUGGGUCAAAAACCUAAAUAUAUCAUUUAGUGGGAGGCUCCAUUUAAUUAGCUUUUGUAUAAGGGGCCUUAUGUUAUUUUACAAGGUGGGUCCCUUAUUGAAAAAGCAAAUAACGUGGGUUUUGUUUUUUGGAUUAUUUGGAGCCUAGGGUUUUCACUAAAGGGUGAUAUAAAAGGCUUAUUUUCUCAAAAGAAAAAUGGGGAAGCCACUUUAUACAGAUCGGAGAAUAAGAUUUUUCUCUCGAUUGUUGAGAGAAAAAUUUUCUCGUGCUAGUUGCUUUGGUAGUGAUAACGGCGCCCACACGUCAAGUGCAGAUCGAACCUGAGUCAUAACCUGGAAGAUCAUUGGUGACAGUUCGUGAUCUAACAAGCGUGGUGGUGACGGAUCGUGAUCUAACAGGAGUGGUGGUGGCGGAUCGUGAUCUAGGAGCCUAAAUCACUUCAACGGAAAAAGCCAACUCGAAAUUUCAAGGUACGAUUUCUGGAUUACGUAUUCCUAUAUAUUAUAUGAGAGUGGUCCUUAAAAGGUUUUAUAAAAAUUUAAAAACCGGAUUUUUCCCCAACAGUCUACUCCUCACUCAUGAGUAAGGGAGAAGACUACCUUCACUCAAAUUAAUUGAAGAAGGAAAUACCCCCACAAUGCUUUUGUGGGGGUUCGAACUGCUGCCCUCCAAGUUGGAGGGCAGCAGCCCUGGCCACUCGGGCUACUGCCCGAGUGGUUAUAUAUUGUAUAAUUAGUUAUUAGUAACUUUCCACCAAUAUGCUGCAAUUAAUUUCCUAGCAGUUUCUUUACUGUCUUAUUACUAAGUACUCUGGUUCUAAUCGUUGGAUAUUAUCCAACGGUCAUUUAGGUAAAGGACAAACAAUGGGUUUUGUUUACCCCUAAUGCAACGUAGUUGUGGUUACAUAUAUAUAUAUAUAUAUAUAUAUAUAUAUAUAUAUAUAUAUAUAUAUGUUUCAGUCCAUAAUUUUAAAGUGCAGGAAAAUGUGGGAAAAUUUUAAAAUCGCAUGGUUUUAAAGAUUUUUCAGACUUUCCUGCUUAUAUAUUUGCACAACUAUGAUAUUUUAAAUUAAAAUUUUUACUUAAAAUUUUGACAUAAAUCUUGAGAAAUUGGUUCUAAGAAAUCUAAUAGUGGAUGAAGAAUCAAUAUUAAAUACUACUUUAACUUUCAAUAUCUAUAAUUAGAUUGCUUGAAAUUAAUAGUCUAUCAAAUUUUUAAGUAAAAAAUUUAACUUGAAACAACACCACCAUGUUUAUUACUAUAUUUAUAUUUCUAUUUCAUAAACAAUUUCUUGGAAAAUGGUCGAACGACAGUUCUGUUGACUAUUUAACAAACUAAAGAAGAACAUUAUUUUCAAUGAUAGCGAAUGCUAUUGGAAGAAUUUUAUGAUAUUUAAUAAGGAAAAAGACAGCUAAACCAUCAAGAUUUGUGGAAAUGUUAUGGAUGUCCCCAAUUUUCAAAAUGGAAUAACAAGAUUCAUUUUUAACAAUAAAAUUCUUUGAAUAUAGCAAUUAGAAAAUUGACUUUAAAUUUUUUAAUAAAUACAAAUAAAUAUGAGUAAUAUAAUUUGUCUUAUAGACUAAUAGUAUUAAAAUAUUUCUUAAUAUUUAAAAUAAUUUUAAAUUUUUUAAUUAUUAUAUUUAUUUUAGAAUAUAUUUUUAUUUAUUAGAAAGAUUUUAAAUAAAUCUUAGCGUUAGAUAGAAAUUACACCUAGUAAAAUAUCUCGCGUAUUAAUUAUAUUAAAAUUAUUAUUUUACAUAUUAUUGAAAAUAAUUUAAAUUUAAAUUUGUUUUUAAAUAUUAUGUUUCUUUUUAUUAUAAAAUUGACUUUAAUUCAAUAAAAUAUAUUUGUAAAAUAUUAAAAUAUUUUUAAAAUUUGAAAUUAUUUUAAAAAAUAUAUAUUAUCACAUUUAUUUUAAUAUUGUAUUUCUAUUUAUUAUAAAAUAUUGGAGAUAGUUUUUUUAGUUUAUAAAACUAGUGGGUAUUAUGGUGAAAAUGAAAUCUUGGUAUCACAGGGUGAGUAUUUUGCACAACAAACCUGUGUGUACCUAUAUAAUAUUUUUCUCGAAAGUUGUUAAGUAAGCUUUGAUAUUCUUGACUAAUUAAGCUAAGAUGCUUGUGAAAGAGCUAAAGAGAAAUUGAGCAAUUGAGACAAAGAGAACAUAUAUUAUUCACAAGAGUAUAUGUACAAGAGAGCUUUGAUAGCUUGUCUAUAAGUGCUCAAGUCGCUUAUUGCUCUUACUUGUUGCAAAUGCUUAGUGUCAUGCCCUAUUUAUAAGGAGGUUUGCCUUAUUAUUCUAAGUCUAGAGAGUUCUCAUGGCUUGUAGAGAGCUCUUAUGUCUAACAAUGCCUACAUUAUCCUAGAGAAUUCUACGUACAAGCUGCAUGCUAAGACACUCUAGCAAAUUCUGAAGAAAUCCUAACCAGGUACAAGUGUGGAAUGCAAUAGAGAUGGAGCAUUCUAGAGACAAGGCAAAAAGUUAAAAGGCUGGAAAAUUUGGACGGUCCAUGACACUUAGUAUCCUUUUUCUUAACAGUUCUUUGAAUAAUUAAUUGCAACAAGUGGAAAUUUAUAAUGAAUAAUUAGUUAUGCGAGUAGAAGUCUAUGACGAGUAAUGCGCAAGUCAAUUUUCACUAAGUCUUGCUUUUGGAAUACAAACAUACUACAGAGCUGAGGAUGAAAAACUAGCUAGAAGUUGCGCCAUUUUAUUAACUUCUUUCCUUUGGGAAAAUACUUCAUUGGAGUUCAAAUAAGCUGUAAGUUUUAUCUUGUAUAUUUAUCUUUUAUUUUCAGAAUUAAUUUGCAGAUCCUGUAUGUUUAAAUAUUGAAAGAAAGCUUGAAUGUUAAUUUUGUAUGAACUUAAAGGCCGGCAUACGCACUCUACAAUCAGUAUCUGAAAAAAAUUUCUAAUUACAUUUUGGGAUUUAUUAAGUAUAAUUUUUCUUUUGGGAGUAAAGAAAGCUUUUUUUUUUUUUUAGGGUAAAGAAAGCAAAUAAGAAGCUGUGGAUCUGUUUAUUUUGUUUAAGAAGAAGAUCAUUGAUUUCCAAAUCAGAAGCAUUCUCUUAUUAAGUUUUUAUAUUAGUGAUUUGUUGUCUUUAAACAAUAUUUUGGUACAAUUUAUUGUCAACUAAUUUUAAUUAAUAAAAUUCCCUCGCACCAUUGCACAAAAUAAAAAAAGAAAAGAAAAAAUCAGUAUAAUUUAUAUAUGUUUGUCUAUUACUCUAUUGUGGAAGUGAUGAGGUGCAGUAGGCGAAAAAAGAAAGGCAAAAUUUCAGUUUCUGUCAGAUUCUUUCUCUAACUUGAAAAUCAAGAUCUUUGUGCAAAGAAUUUUUUGAAAGUACUUAUUUGCUUAUAUGUAACUUGUACCCUUAAUGUUCCUCUUAAUUCUUUCUAAAUGAUAUAUGGGUUUGUCUGGCACACUAUUUAUUUAAUUAUAUGAAAUAUUUUAUUUUACUUUUAUUAUUUACUAAUAUAAAAAGUACUACUUUAUUGAUAAUAUUUUAAAAUUUUUAUUGAGAAAGAUAAAUCAUAAAUUUAGUUAUAAGUAAUAGUUUAAAAUAUUAAAAUUCUAAUAAAAAAUUUUAUUUAAUGCAGGGAGCUUAUGCAACUGAAUACGACGCACCAACGGCCAAACACACCCUAAAUUAAUUAUACUACUUGACACUUUUUUUUUCCUCUUUUUUGGUGCCCAUAAUUUUGGAUGAAUCUUGUUGCUUGCAUGGUGUUGUCGGUAAGACUCACAUGACUAUAAUGCAUAUAUGGCAAGGAUUGAUUACCCACUUUUAUAUUAUCGAAUAUUUUGUGUAAAUUAGGUUUUGGAGCCCUUUGAAAUGAACAAGAGUUGGAAUUUCUAUUUUCUCUAUGAUUUCAGAACGGGUUUGAGAGUCUUCAAAUCUGUGGGUGUUUAGUUAGCAUGUCGAUGAUCAGUUUCCAAACAUGGUGGGUUGUGGGUGUGAUAUAUAUGUGAAUUUUUUUAUUUAAAAAAAAUGUCAAAACCAGGUUUUCUCACCCUCUUUCCUGGUGGAGUUUUAGAGGGUCUUUAGGUUAGGUUUAAGCCCAUUAAAAAAAAAAAGGCUACAAGAUUUCAUCACAUCUUUCAGCAAGAAAAUCUGUAAUUUGGAUUACAAUUCUACACAAGUUGGGAGUCCAAAAAAAAAGACAUUUUCCUCACCAACUUAAGAGGUGGUGAUAAGAAUUACAUGAAUGUAAUGCGUAUGUGGAAAGGAUGAAAUCCGUAAUGUGAUGCAUACAUGACAAAGAUCAAGACCAUCACGACAUGCACAGGUGGCAAGAAUCAAGCCCAUUAUGUGAUAAUUGGAUGACAAGAAUCAAGACCAUUAUGGCAUUCACAUAUGGCAAUAAUCAAGGCCAUUAUAGUCAUACACAUAAGAAAAGUAUUACAACUAUUAUUAUUUUUUAAUAUGGAUCCUUGAUUUAUGAUGAUUGAUUACUUUUAUGUUAUUGAAUAUUUUAUCUAAAUUAGGCUUGAGAGCCAUUUGAAAUUAAUAAGAAUGAAUUUUCUCUAUAAUUCUAAAAAGUAUCAGUUGUUCCUAGCAAGACUUACUUUAUUCUAAAUUUUCAGGAACAAAUAAAAUGACUUCAGUAAGCAACCAAAAUGUCUCUCACUGGACAUAUGAUGUCUUCCUAAACUUUAGAGGAGCAGACACCCGUAAAAGCUUCAUAAGUCAUCUAUAUGCUGCUUUGAAUGGGAAAGGAAUUUAUGUAUUCAAGGAUGACGAAGAACUUGAGAAAGGAGAGUCCAUUUCUCCUCGUCUCCUUAAAUCAAUUGAAGCAUCAAGAAUUGCAAUUAUUGUUUUCUCAAAAAAUUAUGCUUCUUCCACUUGGUGCUUAGAUGAACUUGUUCAAAUUCUUGAUUGCAAAAACAAAAAUGCUCAACGAAUGGUUUACCCAAUUUUCUAUGACGUGGAACCAACAGUUGUAAGGAAUCAGACCGGAAAUUUUCAAGAAGCAUUUGCUAAACAUGUAGAAGUUUUUAAGAAGAGUAUAGAAAAGGUACAGAAGUGGAGAGAAUCUUUGAAAGAGGUGGCUAAUAUCUCAGGCUGGGAACUAAAGGAGUACAGGUAGCUCUUCUGAUUAAUAUGUUUAUUAGUUUAAUCAAACAACAUUUAAUAUACUAUUUUCAGCUAAAAUUCUUCUGAUUAUUAUGUCUACCUUAUGAUGUGCAGUAAAUGAAAUAAUAGCUCCAUAUAUGUAUAUUUGCAAAUGAAUAGGUACAGAUGAAUGUAGAUAUUUCGCUAGAACAUACCUAAAGGUUAGCCAUAUAUAAUAACGUGUUACUUAGCCAUAUGUAAUAACAUGUUACGUGCAUUACUUCAAUUUGAUCUAAUGAAUAUUGCAUGGUUUGGAUUUUAUUCAUAAUAUGGAAUUUAUUUUUUACCACGUUCAUAAUAAAUUUAAUUUAACAACACCAAUCUUUCUUUGUUCUUUUCAAACUACAGGAACGAGUCAAAAUUUAUUUCCGAUAUUGUCAAUCCAAUAUCAAGUCAAAUUCGUGUAAAAUCAAAGAUUCUUAAGAAGCUAGUAGGAAUAGACUCACGCUUGGAGGAACUGAGGUUUCUUAUGGAUAAAGGUCCUAGUGCUGAUGUUCGUAUGAUAGGGAUAUGCGGCAUGGGAGGUUUAGGUAAGACGACUCUUGCAAGAGUUAUUUAUGACUUGAUCUCUCAUGAAUUUGAAGGAAGCAGUUUUCUUGCUAAUGUUAGAGAAAAAUCUGAAAGGGAAGGUGGUGUAAUCUCUUUUCAAAGGCAACUCGUUUCCCAAUUACUAAAGCUUACAGAUAAUAGGAUAUGGAAUGAGGAUGAUGGCAUUAACAUUUUAGGGAGUAGGCUGCAACACAAGAAGGUUCUUCUUGUUAUUGAUGAUGUGGUUGAUUCAAAGCAAUUAGAAUAUUUAGCUGGAAAGCAUGGGUGGUAUGGUUCAGGCAGUAGGAUCAUCAUAACAUCAAGAGAUGAAGGUUUGUUAAAGACAAAUGGUGUGGCUGAAGUGUAUAAGCCUAAUGGACUAAACUACAAUGAAGCUCUUCAACUCUUCAACAUGAAAGCUUUUAAAACCAAUCAGCCUUUGGAAGAACGUGUGCAGCUAUCUGAACGUUUUGUAAAUUAUGCUGGUGGUAUUCCAUUAGCUAUCGAAGUUUUAGGUUCCUUUUUGAAUGUUAGAUCUGUGGAUCAAUAGAGAAGUACCAUGGAAAGACUUCAAAUAGAUCCUCCAAAUAAGAUUAUGAGUAUAUUUGAAGUUUUGACCGACUACAAGAUUCUGAGAAGAAAAUAUUUCUUGAUAUUGCAUGUUUCUUUAAAGGGAAGGAUAGAGAUUAUGUAACAAAAAUUCUAGAGGGAUGUGGUUUUUUCCCUGUCAUUGGAAUAGAAGUUCUUAUUGAAAGAUCUCUUUUAAUAGUUGAUGACGACAACACACUGGGGAUGCAUGAUUUGUUACAAGAAUUGGGACAACUGAUUGUCACGAGACAAUCCCCCGAAGAACCUGGGAAACGCAGCAGAUUAUGGAAGGAAAAAGAAGUACGCCAGGUUUUGAUAGAAAACACAGUAAGUGAAUUAUUAAAUGAAAAACUUGUUGAUGCUUGCUACUUUAUUUUUCCCAAUUACAUCUCUAACGAAUUUUCAACAUCUUGACAUUAUGUUUUUUAUUUACUUAUUGUUUGCUUAUAAUUUUUAGGGAGGUGAAGUAAUGGAAGGAAUAAUAGUUAAUGCCUACUUUCCUGAAAAUGAGGUUUACUUAAGUGCAAGUGCUAAAGCAUUUUCGCAGAUGACCAACCUAAGACUGCUCAAAAUUAGUAAUGUGCAACUUCCUGGAGGCCUAGAAUACCUCUCUAACAGGUUGCGAUUACUUGAUUGGCAUCGGUAUCCUUUGAAACCUUUGCCAUCAAAUCUGCAAUUGGAUAAAAUUGUUGAAUUUAAAAUGUGCUACAGCCGCAUUGAAGAAUUAUGGAAGGGAAUCAAAGUAAGAUCAAUUAUUUUGUCAAUAAUUUGAAUUUUUUCUGUGAAUAAUUGUUGAUAGUAUUACAGUUGUAUAUAAAUUAAGAAUUAUCAUUUUUUUCCUGCUUUUGUUUUCAACAGCCUUUAAACAUGCUGAAAGUCAUGAAACUCAGCCAUUCACAGGACUUGAUUAAAACACCGAACUUCACAGAGGUCUCAAAUUUAGAGGAGCUGGAUCUUGAAGGAUGUACAAGGCUGCAUGAAAUUCACCCAUCUUUACUGCUUCACAGUAAGCUUAUCAUAUUGAACCUGAAAGAUUGUACAAGUCUUACAACUCUUCCAGGCAAGAUUUCUAUGAAAUCGCUUAAAAUACUCGUUCUUUCUAGUUGCUCGAAACUGAUAAAGAAGUUUCUAGGGUUUGAUGGAAAUAUGAAUGAUUUGUCAGAACUCUGUUUAGACAGAACAACUAUUGAAGAGUUGCCAUUAUCAAUUCAACAUCUAACUGGACUUACUUUGUUGAAUUUGAAAGAUUGCAAAAAUAUCAAGAGUCUUUCAAUUUCUUUAACAAGAUUAAAAUGCCUAAGAACUCUUAAGCUCUCUGGUUGCUCAAAGUUUAGGAAGUUUCCAGAGAUUUGGGGAGGUAUGAAAGAUCUGACGGAGCUCUUCUUAGAUGGAACUUCCAUUACAGAAGUGCCAUCUUCUAUAGAACUUUUGACCGGACUUCAAUUGUUAAAUUUGAAUAACUGCAACAAUCUAGUGAGACUUCCCAGCGGUAUAAAUGGUUUGAAAUCUCUUCAAACUUUAAAUCUCUCAGGAUGCUCCAAACUUGAAAAUGUGCCAGAGACGCUUGGGCAAAUAGAAAGUCUGGAAGAACUUGAUAUAAGCGGAACAGCUAUAAGACGACCUGCAUCCUCCAUUUUUCUUAUGAAGAAUCUUAAAACACUAUCUUUUUCUGGGUCCUAUGGACAACCGUCGUCUACAUCAUGGCAUUUGCAAUUUCUCUUCAAUUGGAUGCGGAGGAGUUCAGACCUAGGGGCUUUAAGGUUGAUUUCUCUGUCAGGUUUGUGCUCUAUAAGCAAAAUUAGAUCUCAGUUACUGUGAUCUACGGGAAGGAACAAUCCCGAGUGAUAUUGGCAACUUAUACUCAUUAAAAAAAUUGUAUCUGAGCGGAAACAAUUUUGUUUCGCAACCGGAAAGCAUUAAUCGUCUUUUUAAGCUUGAAAUAUUGGUGUUGGAAGAUUGUAAAUGUUGGGGAAAAAUCAGGUUUUUAAUUUUAUUUUUAUUAAACCUUUUAAGGACCGCUCUCAUAUAAUAUAUAGGAAUACGUAAUCCAGAAAUCGUACCUUGAAAAUUCGAGUUGGCUUUUUCCGCUGAAGUGAUUUAGGCUUCUAGAUCACGAUCCGCCACCACCACUCCUGUUAGAUCACGAUCCGUCACCACCACGCUUGUUAGAUCACGAACUGUCACCAAUGAUCUUCCAGGUUAUGACUCAGGUUCGAUCUGCACUUGACGUGUGGGCGCCUUUAUCACUACCAAAGCAACUAGUACGAGAAAAUUUUUCUCUCAACCAUGGAGAGAAAAAUCUUAUUCUCUGAUUUGUAUAAAGUGGCUUCACCUUUUCCUUUUUGGGAAAAUAAGCCUUAUAUAUCUCCCUUUAGUGAAAACCCUAGGCUCCAAAGAUUCCCCAAAAUAAAGCUCACGUUACUUUUCAUUUAAUAGGGGACCCACCAUGUAAAAUAACAUAAGGCCCCUUACACAUAAGCUUAUUAAAUGGAGCCUCCCACUAAAUGAUAUAUUUAGGCUUUUGACCCAAAUAGCUAGUUAUCUUGCUUAUUAGUCCAGCAGUGGUGCAAUCAAUUAAAUGAGCUAACCCGGGGAUCAUUUGGGAACAUACAAUAGUGGCUACAAUAAUUAGGCCUGUAAUUAAACUAGCCCAAUUAUUUAAUUCCAAAUCUACUCCACUAAAAGAUUGGAACUGACUUCCAUAAUUGUAUGCUCGAAUAAUAAUUCGUCCCAAGCCACAUUGAUUUCUUUACUGCACAAUCCUUUGUACCACAUCGUUAAUUAAAUUGAUAUCUCAACUGUCCAAUCAAUUUAAUAACAUCUUAUUCCUUGAUCCUUACUGGUUUUCUCUAAUGAUCAUUUUCAACAUACUAAAUAUGUUGACACACUCUGGCCAGAGAAUUCUAUGAUCAAGUACCGAAAAACCCAUCAAGAGAUGUGUUGUACAAAUUCUAUAUUGUUAAUCCAUAACUCCAAUACUCAUAAUUGUUCCCACCAAGAUACCGGGUAAUCUAGACUACAAGUAUGUGUCAUGCCCAUUGGUAACUCAAAUGGAAUAACAAUUACAAUCAUGAAAUCAUAAUUAACUCAAGAUUAAGAUUACAGUAAAAUCAACGCCUAUGAGAUUUAAUAAGUCUGACAGUUAUUACAAAGUUAAUUAAAUCUCAUAUGUGAUCCUGUUCAAUGUAGUCGUACUACAUCAAUAAAUUCAUACAUGAUUAAGACAAAUCAUUCAAUGAAUUUAUUACAGUCUAUACCUAAAUAAAGUGCCCAACUUUAUUUAUCAACUGCGAACUAAAUUUAUUUAAUCAUAAGAUAACUUGUAUUUAUGUCUUCUGUGAAUCCACAUGGUGAUCACAUAAAUACAUAUAAUAUGAUUAAAUGGACUUUAAUACAAGUAUUAAUGCAAUUAAGAUAUUUGAAUAAAAUACCUCAUUUAUUUUAUUAAUCAGAAAAACUGUUUAUUACAAUUAAAUAAACACAUAUGCUUUUAAAGAGCAUAUUUUCCCAACAAUCUCCCACUAGCUCUCAAAGCAUAUUUGGCAUCUCACGCAUGCCCAUGGAUUCUAAGUGCAAGUUAAAAGGUUUCCCAGGUAUGGCCUUAGUAAAAGGAUCUGCCAAGUUUUGCUGUGACGCAAUCUGAGUAACCUCCACAUCACCUCUCUGCACUAUAUCCCUUAUAAGAUGAUACUUCCUCUCAAUAUGUUUUUGUUUCUUGUGGUUCCUUGGUUCCUUAGAUUGAGCUACCGCACCACUAUUAUCGCAAAAUAGUUUAAGGGGUGCAGUUACAGCAGGUACCACCUCAAGAUCUUGUAGGAACUUGCGGAGCCAUACAGCUUCUUUUGCAGCUUCGGAUGCAGCCACAUAUUCAGCUUCAGUUGUGGAGUCUGCGAUACAAUAUUGUUUCACACUCCUCCAACUAAUAGCUCCACUUCCCAAUGUAAACACAUAGCCGGAAGUUGAUUUUCUGGAAUCCUUAUCUGACAUAAAGUCAGAAUCAGUAUAACCCACUGGAAUGAGUUCAUCACCAGAAUACACAAGCAUAUAAUUUUUAGUUCUUUUCAGAUACUUCAUUAUAUGCUUGACCGCAGUCCAGUGUUUAGGUCCAGGAUUAGAUUGAUAUCUACUAACCAUCCCUACCGCAAAACAGAUGUCUGGCCUAGUGCAAAGCAUGGCAUACAUGAGACUUCCCACAGCUUCUGCAUAGGGAACUCGUCUCAUUCUCUCUAUCUCUUCAGAUGUUUUAGGUGAUUGAUCCUUAGAGAAUGUAAUUCCAUGUCUGAAUGGUAAUAAACCAGUCUUGGAAUUUUCCAUGCUAAAUCUAGCCAAUAUCUUAUCGAUAUAGACCGCUUGAGACAAGGCUAAAGUUUUAUUCUUCCGGUCUCGAAGUAACUUGAUACCAAGAAUAUAACUUGCCUCUCCCAGGUCUUUCAUAUCAAAUUGUUUUGCUAACCAACUCUUUAUUGUAGUCAAUACUCCUAUAUUGUUUCCAAUUAGGAGAAUAUCGUCUACAUAAAGAAUUAGGAAGGCUACAGAUUUUUCUUGAAUUUUCUUGUACACACAUGGUUCAUCAAUGUUCUGAAUGAAUCCAAACGAUUUUAUCGCUUGAUCAAAUCUGAUGUUCCAUGACCGGGAUGCUUGCUUCAAUCCAUAAAUGGAUCUCUGCAACUUACAUACCAUGUGUUCUUGGCCUUUUUGUAUAAAUCCAUCUGGUUGCUGCAUGUAGAUGUUUUCUUCAAGAUGCCCGUUGAGAAAGGCAGUCUUGACAUCCAUUUGCCAAAUUUCAUAAUCUAGCACUGCAGCAAUGGAGAGCAGGAUCCUGAUAGAUUUAAGCAUAGCAACCGGAGAAAAAGUUUCCUCAUAAUCGAUUCCCUCUUUCUGAGUAAACCCUUUGGCUACUAAUCUUGCUUUAAAUGUUUCCACCCUUCCGUCUACUCCUCUUUUUCUCUUGUAGAUCCACUUGCAUCCUAUAGGUUUUACCCCAUUUGGUGCCUCUACAAGUUCCCAGACUUUAUUGGAAUACAUAGAUUCCAUUUCUUGAUUCAUGGCCUUUUUCCAAAAUUCAACAUCUCUAUCUAUUAGAGCUUCGUUGUAACUAGUGGGAUCUUGUACAUGUUCAUCUGAGAUAGCCGUAUAGGUUUCUCCCAAAAGCAUGUAUCUCGCAGGUAACCUAGUUACCCUCCCACUACGACGAGGUUCUAAAAGUGAUGGUUGUUCAGGGUUAAUCCUGUGUUGAUCAUCUGGUUGUUGCUGUUCUUCCUGUUCUGUAACAGGCAUUGAAAGCUGAGCAUCAACCUGAUCACCUGACAGUUCUUCAAGUAUUACCUUACUCUUAGGUUUGAAGUUAUUCAUAUAGUCUUCCUCGAGGGAAGUGAAAUGUGUGCUCACUAUCACUUUCCUAUCUUGAGGACUAUAAAAUAAACCUCCCCUUGUUCCUUUGGGAUACCCCACAAACAUACAAACCUCAGAACGUGAAUCCAUUUUGUCUGCCUUUGGUUUCAGCACAUGUGCUGGUGAUCCCCAAAUACGGACAUGUCGUAAACUUGGUUUACGACCUGACCAUAAUUCUAUUGGGGUUUUAGGCACUGACUUAGAUGGAACUAAGUUCAAAAGGUAAACUGCAGUUUCCAGUGCUAAUCCCCAAAAAGAGAUUGGUAAUGACGAAUAACUAAGCAUAGAUCUCACCAUAUCCAAAAGAGUUCUAUUUCUUCUUUCAGCUACCCCAUUUUGUUGUGGUGUUCCCGGGGCAGUCAAUUGAGAUAUAAUCCCAUUUUCAACCAGAUACUCUUUGAAAUCUCCUGAGAGAAAUUCACCACCUCGAUCAGAUCGAAGUUUCUUUAUGUUCUUAUCUAAUUGCUUUUCUGUCUCAGCCCUAUACUCUUUGAAUUUCUCAAGAGCUUCAGACUUAUGACGCAUCAGAUAAACAUAACCGUAUCUUGAGUAAUCAUCAGUAAAAGUGAUGAAAUACUCAUAACCUCCUCGAGCUUGUACAUUGAUUGGUCCACAUACAUCUGUAUGUACCAAUUCAAGUGGUACUGUUGCACGUACUCCUUUUGCCGAGAAUGGCCUUUUGGUCAUUUUCCCUUCUAAACAGGAUUCACAGAGUGGCAAUGAUUCAUUUUCUAAUGGACCCAAGAGCCCAUCUUUGAUCAUUCUCUGUAUCCUAUUUUGGUUUAUAUGACCCAAGCGUAAAUGCCAGAGGUAACAUUGGUUGGAAGAAAUAUUUCUUUUCUUAGAUAAAUGUGUAUGCUCAUCAUUAUUUAUCACUGUGUCAUGCAUAGAAUGGAUCAGUGGACUUAAAUGAUAUAAAUUAUCUUCCAAUGUACCAGAACAAAUAAGUCUCUUAUUUUGAAAAAUAGAAACAGAGGAUCCAAAAUUUACAGUGUACCCUUGCUUUGACAAACAAGCUACUGAAAUUAAAUUCCUCUUAAUGUCUGGAACAUAAAGACAAUUAUUCAAAACUAAAGUCUCAUUAUUAAAAGAUAAUAAAACAGAUCCAGUCUUCACUGCUGACACGAACUGUCCUGUCCCUAACUGCAGCUUGACGCUUCCUUCACUUAUUUUCCUGGUUUCCUGAAACCAAUAAAGUGAAUUACAAAUAUGAUUAGUUGCUCCUGAAUCCAACACCCAAGUGUCAAUAGGAUUCUGAACUAAACAGGCCUCAAUUAUAAAAAGAUUUCCCUCACCUGAUUUCACAAUCUUAGGGCAAUCCUUUUUCCAGUGACCUUUCUGUCCACACUUGAAGCAUUUGCCUUUCGGCUUGCCAUCUUGCUUGGUAGACGGUCUCUUUUUCCCAGCUUUCUUCUUACCUUUGCCUUUCGGCUUAGGCCCAGAAGAUGAACUUUUUUCAGUAAUAUUUAUGCUUCCCAGAGAUUUCUCAGCACGAUAGAUCUCUUCAGCAGAAUGAAGUUCGUUCAUCAAUUCAGUUAAGGUCAUGUUUCUUUUGUUCAUGUUAUAAUUGACCUUAAACUCCUUGAAUGUUUCUGGCAGAGAUUCUAGCACCAUGUCAAUCUUUGAGUUAUCAUCGAUUUGUGCUCCCUGAAUCUCAGCCUCAUUCAAAUAGUCCAUCAUUUUGAGGACAUGAUCACGAACUCUUGUGCCCUUCCCCAUUUUACUGUUCAUAAUUCCUUUCAGCGCUGCUUGUCUCGCAGAGCGAGUACUCUGCCCGAACAUCUGUUGGAGACUAUCCAUUAUUUCAGUGGCAGUCUCCAAGUUCUGAUGUUUGGUCUGCAGAAUAUUAGAAAUCGAGGCUAAAAUGUAGCACUUUGCCAUUUCAUUGGCCUUUUGCCAUUUCUCAUAAAGCCUCCUCUGAUUUCUAUGAGCAUCAUCUGCUGGAACUGGAGGGCAUGGCUGGGUUAAGACAUAUUUAUAAUUUUCAGCAGUCAGGACAAUGAAUAGAUUUCUUUUCCAAUCUAUAUAGUUCUCUCCAGUGAGUUUGUUUUGACUCAGAAUAAUAGUAAGUGGGCUCAGGGAAGACAUUUUCUGAAAAAUAAAACAUCCAUGCAUAAAUAAUUUGAAAUAAUAUUCACAAUAAAUGACAAAAAUGCAAAAAACCAUAAAUGCAUUUUAAUUUAUUGUAACGAUAAUCUAGUACCGCUUUGACAAGCUAUCCGUUGGGGAAGUCAUGUCUACACUUACUAGACCCAAUUAUCCAUUGGAUUAUUUACUUUCAUGUAGAGACAUGAUAAAUAAUUAUCGUUAUCCUUUUGGGCCUAAAUUUGUUAACAGAGCUUCGUUGGGAAGGUUAAUAACAAAUUUUAGUUGAGUGUAUAACCAUUAUUUCAAUCUACAUAUUUUUCAUAUCAAUAGUCACCGUUGGGGUGAACAAUCGAUUGAAAAAUAUUUCAAUUUUAUCUUUGAAGAAGUUCAUCAAAUAAAAUAUCUAAUAUAUAUACCCUCCGUAGGGAGCAUCACCGUAUCAUGAAGUCGAGGUAUAUAUAUAAUUUUAUUAUUGAACUAACAAUGGAGCCCGUGGGAAAAAUUAUCUUGAAUUUUCCCUCUCCCACUCAAUAUUUUAAAAUUGGUUUUUCCUUUUUAAAACAUACAUAUUGUUAAUUGCAUGCUUCCUAUAAUAUUAUCUAGAUGAUAUCAAAUAUUAUUAAGCAUAUGCAAAUUUCAAACAAUAUAAUGAAAUUCAUUAUUAAUGAAUGACAUGUAUCAGUAUGCAUAGAGUGGCACUACCUAUUCUAUAUGACAUGUUAUCAUGGCAUGUUAUCAUCCAAAACAUAACAUAUAGAAAAACAAUUAAAUAAUCUUAAUUCAUGGCUUUCCUAAUAAUGAAAAAUACAUUAACCCUAAGCCUAAUCUUCAUUGGGCUUCUUGUCAAUGUCCAUCUUUCAUAAGCUUGUUUUUGUUAAUGGACUAGGGGAAAUUGAGCUUUUAAAUUUAUAAUUGGUCCAAUUUUAAUUUUGAAAGGAAAUAAAUAAAUAAAUUAUUUUAUUUUUUUUUAUUUUUUUAUUUUUUUAUUAAAAUAAAACUUUUGGACCAAAAAUAAAUUUAAUGUAUUUAAUUUUGUCUAUGCAUUUUUAAUCCAUUAAGCCCAAAUAUCAAUUGGGCCUAAAACUAGGAUUCUUUAAGCCCAAAACUGUUUUUAGACUUAAAUGCAAAAAAUUAAAACUUGACUGCCCAAGUGAAAAAUUAUGGAACCAUAGGGACCUCCAUGAUAAAAGCCAUGAAACCCUAAAUCCAUAUUUUUCUUUCUUUCUUCUUCCCCAGCCGCCAUCUCCAAAAUCCUCCUUCACUGUUCAGACGCCAGCCGACCUCCGACGCCGACGCCGACGCCAAACCAACUGCUGCCGCCUGGCCGGAAAACGUGCCAAAACCCGCGCGCAACUUUCUGCUGGCCUCGGCAGCGUUGCUUCCAGCUGCAGCACAUGCAGCGCGCGCUGCUGGCCACGCUGGCCGCGCGCGCUGCUUGCUGCUCACAGCGCAGCGCGCGCCGCUGGCCAAUGUUGGCCGCGCGCGCUGCUUUGCUGCGCACAGCGCAGCGCGCGAUGCUGGCCAUUGCUGGCCGCGCACGCUGCUGCAGCAUGCCCUGGUUUGCUGCCGCUGUCAUAAUUUCCGGCCUCCGUCGCUCCGAUCUUGAAAAUCUGAGAUUAAUUUACAAAUUUCCUAGACCAAUUUUGGCUUACAAAAAUUCUAUAACUGUAAAAUAAAUCAAGAGGGAAACAUGGUGAUAAAAAACCACCCCUCUUGUUACAGAUCCAAAGAACAAUACAAAAGAAAAUCUAACCAUGAAUUAAGACAAACCAUAAGCAUGCUUUAUUCAUAUAUUAAAUAAAUAAUAUACAUCUGAAUAAAUUGUGCCACUCUAAUACAUAAAUUUCAAGAUUAAUUUCAUACGAAAUUCUUAUAUAUUAAUAUGAGAUGGCUCUGAUACCAAUUGUUGGGGAAAAAUCAGGUUUUUAAUUUUAUUUUUAUUAAACCUUUUAAGGACCGCUCUCAUAUAAUAUAUAGGAAUACGUAAUCCAGAAAUCGUACCUUGAAAAUUCGAGUUGGCUUUUUCCGCUGAAGUGAUUUAGGCUUCUAGAUCACGAUCCGCCACCACCACUCCUGUUAGAUCACGAUCCGUCACCACCACGCUUGUUAGAUCACGAACUGUCACCAAUGAUCUUCCAGGUUAUGACUCAGGUUCGAUCUGCACUUGACGUGUGGGCGCCUUUAUCACUACCAAAGCAACUAGCACGAGAAAAUUUUUCUCUCAACCAUGGAGAGAAAAAUCUUAUUCUCUGAUUUGUAUAAAGUGGCUUCACCUUUUCCUUUUUGGGAAAAUAAGCCUUAUAUAUCUCCCUUUAGUGAAAACCCUAGGCUCCAAAGAUUCCCCAAAAUAAAGCUCACGUUACUUUUCAUUUAAUAGGGGACCCACCAUGUAAAAUAACAUAAGGCCCCUUACACAUAAGCUUAUUAAAUGGAGCCUCCCACUAAAUGAUAUAUUUAGGCUUUUGACCCAAAUAGCUAGUUAUCUUGCUUAUUAGUCCAGCAGUGGUGCAAUCAAUUAAAUGAGCUAACCCGGGGAUCAUUUGGGAACAUACAAUAGUGGCUACAAUAAUUAGGCCUGUAAUUAAACUAGCCCAAUUAUUUAAUUCCAAAUCUACUCCACUAAAAGAUUGGAACUGACUUCCAUAAUUGUAUGCUCGAAUAAUAAUUCGUCCCAAGCCACAUUGAUUUCUUUACUGCACAAUCCUUUGUACCACAUCGUUAAUUAAAUUGAUAUCUCAACUGUCCAAUCAAUUUAAUAACAUCUUAUUCCUUGAUCCUUACUGGUUUUCUCUAAUGAUCAUUUUCAACAUACUAAAUAUGUUGACACACUCUGGCCAGAGAAUUCUAUGAUCAAGUACCGAAAAACCCAUCAAGAGAUGUGUUGUACAAAUUCUAUAUUGUUAAUCCAUAACUCCAAUACUCAUAAUUGUUCCCACCAAGAUACCGGGUAAUCUAGACUACAAGUAUGUGUCAUGCCCAUUGGUAACUCAAAUGGAAUAACAAUUACAAUCAUGAAAUCAUAAUUAACUCAAGAUUAAGAUUACAGUAAAAUCAACGCCUAUGAGAUUUAAUAAGUCUGACAGUUAUUACAAAGUUAAUUAAAUCUCAUAUGUGAUCCUGUUCAAUGUAGUCGUACUACAUCAAUAAAUUCAUACAUGAUUAAGACAAAUCAUUCAAUGAAUUUAUUACAGUCUAUACCUAAAUAAAGUGCCCAACUUUAUUUAUCAACUGCGAACUAAAUUUAUUUAAUCAUAAGAUAACUUGUAUUUAUGUCUUCUGUGAAUCCACAUGGUGAUCACAUAAAUACAUAUAAUAUGAUUAAAUGGACUUUAAUACAAGUAUUAAUGCAAUUAAGAUAUUUGAAUAAAAUACCUCAUUUAUUUUAUUAAUCAGAAAAACUGUUUAUUACAAUUAAAUAAACACAUAUGCUUUUAAAGAGCAUAUUUUCCCAACAGUAAAAGGCUUCAAUCUCUGGCACAACUUCCACCCAACGUAAAGAAAGUUAAAGUGAAUGGUUGUGCUUCGUUGGUGACAUUGUUAGGUGCAUUAAAACUGCGCAAGUCCUAUUGCACAUUAAUUAAUUGUAUAGGCAGCUUGAAAUUGCUUGGAAACAACAGUCUGGAAUUUUCAAUGCUACAAGAGUACCUUGUUGGUAGUUGAAUUUGUAGGGAAUGACAACUGUAGAGAAAUACAACAAUAAUGGUGGAACUUUAUUACGUAAAGUAAUGUGUUUACAACUAACUCUGUAUGUAGGAAGAAAAAUAAUAGUAAUAAGUAAACUGCAGAAAUUUUGUGUGCUUCAAGGCACCUUACAAAUGUCGCUUUCCUUAAGACGUUAUUUGCCCCCACCAAUUGAGUGAUGCACAUGGGUUAAGCAAACACGCCUCCAGGAUACAAUGAAGCACUUGUUUGUUUGCUUGCGUUGUGCAUCGAUGAAUGCAAACUAGAAUACUUUUGAAUGUAGCAAGCCUGCCAAGAAACAAUAUAUUGUUCCUGUAGAAAACAAUAUAUUGGAUUGUGAAUGCACAAAAGAAAUUGGUGUUUUGUGUUGAAAUUCGUACUAUAUAAAGGAAUGCUAAGAAAAGAGUGGUGUAGGAUCAUUGAUUUCAUAUCUAAAUGGCUUAAACAUGACCCCUAUUUAUAGAUAUACUUGUGCUCCCUUAUUUGGGUUGUCAUCUUUCAUGAUACCUCUUCAUUCAUGGCCAUUGGAUCUAGAUUUGAUUUUAAUCAAUGGUCCAAAUUGAACCAUCACCAUUUCAAAUGAAAUGUCACCAUGAAAUGAUGUAUCUCUAAGUGAAAUGUUGCCAUGAAAAGUUAUAUUAUUUAGUAAAAAGAUACAUUUUCUACAAGACACAAUUAAAUGGACAUGUCCUUACAACAAGAUAUCAUUUAAUUAGACAUGUCUUUAGUGAAAGGUACCUUUCUAUAAGGCACAAUUAAUAGGACAUGUCUUUACCAUAAGACACAUUUAUUUUGAAAAUUUUCCAACAAUCCCCCACCAUUUUCAAAAUAAAUGAAUUUUGAAAAAUUAUCUUGCACAUGCUUGGAAAACUUAUGCAUAAAUGAAGGUGUCUUUUGGACUUGAACCUUCACUUGGUGACAAUACAUCAAAGUUAAUCAAGGUGGCGUGGUAGGCAAGCUUUGAACCAGCGACCUUAAUCGACUAACUGGAUAUAUCUCACACAUAAGUUUUCCAAUACUCAAGUAUUCCUUAGCCGACACGUGGAUUGGCCCUGUGUCUAUAUCCUGUUUUCAUGAGUUUUUAAUAACCAGCCAAGUUACAUAGGAAGCGGCACCACCUCCUAUACUCACAUAGGUAGACUUAUCUAGAAUGUCCUUGUAACUAAAACAUUUAUAAGUCUAUUAAAAGCUAAGUAGAUUAACCUUUUCCAUAUGUUACAGGUAUCAAGCACUAACCUUUGGGACGCAUCUAAAAAUAUUAUAGUGCUUGCUAUCACAACAUAUGAUGUACUUUUGCUCAUUGAACCCAAGAUCUUGAUAUUUCAAGUGUUGGGUUGAGUUUCCAUCAUUGGUGAUAAGAUGAUGCUGGCUUUAGUCCCAUCCCCUUAGAAGUUUUAAAUACAAUAUCCCUUGCAAGGCCUUUAGUUAAGGGGUCCGCCAAAUUUUGGCAUGAUUUCACAAAGUCAAUUGUGAUUACUCCAUAUGUAAGUAAUUGUCUUACAUAACUAUGUCUUAGACCAAUGUGCCUAGACUUUCCAUUAUAGAUUUGACUCUAUACUCUUGAUAAAGUUGCCUCACUAUCACAGUGAAUAGAUACAGGAGGAAUUGGUUUAGGCCAAAUAGGAAUUUCUAUAAGCAAAUUCCUUAACCAUUCAGCUUCCUUGCACCAUGAAGCCAAAGCUACAAAUUCUGCACCCAUGGUGGAGUCUGCUAUACAAGUUUGCUUCUUUAAGCCCCAUGAAAUAGCUCCUCCACAAAGAUUAAAAAUCCAACCACUUGUGGAUGUAUGAUCAUCUCGACCAAUAAUCCAACUAGCAUCCGAAAAUCCUUCCAAAACUGAAGGAUCUCCAGUGUAGUAUAUAUCAUAAUCCAUUGUAUGUUUUAAAUAUUUUAGAAUUCUGUACACUACUUGCCAGUGUGCUUGGCUUGGAUUACUAGUAUAUCUACUGAGCUUUCCAACAGCGAAAGCAACAUCAGGCCUAGUACAAGUCAUCACAUACAUAAGACACCCAAUAACAUGUGCAAAUUCUAAUUGGGACACUGAUCUGCCAGUGUUAGGAUACAGUCUUAUGUUUGAAUUAAAAAGUGUUGACACAGGCUUACAAUCAUAAUAAUUAAAUUUCUUUAAAAUUUAAUCAAUAUAAUGUGAUUGGGUUAAUAUUAGGCCAUUCUCAUUUUUUUUUAAUUUUAAUCCCCAAAAUCACAUCAGCAAGUCUCAUGUCUUUCAUAUCAAAAUUAGAUGACAAUAAUGAUUUAGUGAGUUCAAUGCACUCACUAUCAGUACCAAAAAUUAACAUGUCAUCCACAUAUAAACAAAUAAUCACACCUUUAUUUCCAUUGAAUCUGCUAUAGACACAUUUAUCAGAUUCAUGAAUAUUAAAUCCAUUUGAGACAAUCACUUUGUCAAACUUUUCAUGCCACUGCUUUAGAGCUUGUUAAAGACCAUAUAAAGACUUGACUAGUUUACAAACUUUAUGUUCUUGUCCUGGCAUAACAAACCCUUCUGGUUGUUUCAUGUAAAUUUCCUCAUCUAAUUCUCCAUUUAAGAAAGCUAUUUUUACAUCCAUUUGAUGGAUUUCAAAAUGAUAAAUUGAAGCCAAAGCAAUCAAGACUCUAAUAGUAGCAAUUCUUGCAACAGGGGCAUAAAUAUCAAAAUAAUCAAGGCCUUCUUUUUGUGUAAAGCCUUUUGCUACUAGUCUUGCUUUAAAUCUUUCAAUUGUUCCAUCAACUUUCUUCUUCUUUUUGAAAAUCCAUUUACAACCUAUAGGAUUAGAGCUAGGUGGUAAAUCAACUAAUUUCCAAGUCUUAAUACCCACAAUAGAGUCCAUUUCAUCAUUAAUGGCCACUUUCCGAAAAGCAGCAUCUUGAGACUUCAUUGCCUCUUCAUAGGUGAGGGGAUCAGACUCUAUAAUAGGUGUGAUCAUGGUCUGUUUUGAUUGUGAGUCUCUUGUCCCUUCAACUAAAUAGACUAUAAAAUCUGGUCCAAAAGAUUUUAUAGUCCUUAUUCUUUUACUUCUUCUCAAAUGAUUUUGCUCAUUAUUAACAUCACGCUUUUGACCAAUUUCUAUUUGUUUAUCAUUCUCUUGAGAAUCAAUACUUUUUGGUAUAGUGGAAAAUCUAUUUUCAUAGAAUAUUGCAUCUCUAGAUUCCACUAUAGUGUUGAUCUCAACAAAGCUAUUAGGUUCUGUUACAAGAAACCUAUAAGCUUUACUAUGCUCAGCAUAUCCCAAGAAUAUGCAUUCAAUGCCCCUUUCUCCUAAUUUCUUUAUCUUAGGUUUUGGUAGUCUUACAAUGGCUCGACAACCCCAAACUCUUAGAUAAGAAAGAUUAGGCUUUCUUUUUUUCUAUAAUUCAUAUGGGGUCACAUUUGUUUUCUUAUUAGGCACUCUAUUUAAGAUAUGACAUGCAAUUAAAAUAGCUUCACCCCAAAAACUUUUACCAAGCCCAGCAUUAAAAAGCAUAGCAUUAACCAUUUCUAUUAAUGUCCUAUUUUUCCUUUCAGCUACGUCAUCUUGUUGUGGAGUAUAUGAAGUGCUAGUUUCAUGUACAAUGCCAACAUAUUCACAAAAUUCAGAAAAAGCAUAUUCACCUCCUUUAUCACUUCUAAGGCAUUUAAUUUUAGUGUUUCAAAAAUUCUCAACUUCAUUUUUAUAAGUUUUAAAUUUUUCUAACACUUGAUCUUUAGAAUGUAAUAAAUAAACAUAGCAAUAUUUUAAAAAAUCAUCAAUAAAUAUUACAAAAUAUUUUUUACCACCUUUAGAAGGAUUACUAUGCAUAUCACACACAUCGCUAUGAAUUAAAUGCAAUAAAGAAGAUGUUUUUUCAAUUUUUGGAAAAGGAGAUCUUGUGAUUUUAGUCCGUGCACAUACUUUACAUUUUUCACGCAUAUCAUUUUCAUGCUUAGGAAUUAACUCUAAAUUAGCCAUAUCAUGCAAUCUUCUAAUAUUCACAUGUCCUAAAUGAUCAUACCACAAAGAUAAUCAAUCAACCAUAUAAGCAGAAGAAACAUUCAUAUUAUUGAUAUUGAGUUUAAACAUUCCUUCAUACAUGUAUCCUUUCCCAACAAAGGUACCACCCUUAGAUAAUAUAAAUUUGUUUGACUCAAAAAUAAACUCAAAAAUAAGUUUGAAGCCAAACUUAUUAAGAAGGCUACUAGAUACAAGGUUUUUCCUAACUUCAGGAACAUGAUAAACAUCAGUAAGAGUUAAAGUUUUUCCAGAAGUAAAAUCUAGUUGCACAUUGCCUUUUCCUUUAACUAUUGCAGUGGAGGAAUUUCCCAUGUAACGAACACUUCCAUCAUCCAUUGCUUUAUAAGAUUUGAAAAGGCUACGAUCCUUCCAUACAUGCUUGGUUGCACCAGAAUCUAUCCACCAUGCAUUAUCAUCUUCAAGAACAUUAAUCUCAGAUAUCAUGGCCACAAAAUUUGUGUUCGAAACUUCCUUUUGUUUCUUCAAAAGUCGACAAUCUCUUUUGAAGUGGCCAGGUUUUCCGCAGUGGUGGCAUACACCCUUCUUUUUCUUCUUAUUGUUUUGAUUCUCUUUGGAAUCAAACUUUCUCUUUUGGUUAUUCUUAGGGUGAUUAGAAUGCUUAAACUCAUUCCCCUCCUCCACGACAUUAAUUUUAGAGGACAUAGCAGUCUGGUCCUCAAGACUAUUAAGCUUGAGUUCCUCUUCAAUACGAAGACUUUGACCUAAGCCAUCUAGACUAAUUUCCUCUUUGUUAUGUUUAAAACUUUUCUUAUAGUCUUUCCAAGAGGGAGGAAGUUUAUCAAUAAUUGAAGAGACAAUAAUAGACUCAUCCAUUUUCAUGUUGUGUUGGUUGAAUUGAUCAAGAAUAUGCAAAAUCUCAUUAUAUUGUUCAAUUACAAGUCUAUUAUCAACCAUUCUAUAAUUAAAAAAUUUAGAAGCCAAGAAUUUCUUACUUGUGGCAUCUUCCAUCAUGUACUUAGCCUCUAAUGAGUCCCAUAUCUCUUUUGCUAUAGGUUUGUUGUGAUAUUGAUCAAACAAAGUAUCGGACAUGGCAUUGCAAAUGUGUCCCUUGCACACGUAGUCAUCUUGCUCCCACUUCUGCCGCACUCUGGUUUCUGCUAAUGUCUUGAUGAGCAUAUAAUAUAUGUAUAUUUUACCCUUCAUUAAAUAAUUACUAGUUAUAUUUAUUUGUUAUUUUUAAUUAAUUGAAUUGUUUUAUUGAAUAGGGAAUUAAUUGGAGAUUAUGGAUAAAAAAAGCAUAAAGGAGUUCAAUUUGUGAGCAUUAAAGAUUAAUUAACUUGGAAGCAAUUAUGCUUAUAUGCAUGUUAAUUCAAGCCAAGGAAACCGAACUCAACAAAUGCAUUCACCAUCCAUAUGCGGACAAAGAGGAGAAAGUGAUAUUAGCUUUAAAAGUGGCCAGCACAUGAGGAUUAAAUGAAGCUUGAUUAGGCUUUGCAUAAGUGGGCUCGUGUUGAGCAAUUAAAAGAGGAAACAAUUUAUGGCUUAUGGUGGGCACGUGUGAGAGCUAAAGCAAAUAAAACGGCAAGCCUUUUGGCUUUAGGAUUUAAGAGGUGGGGCCUAUUUUAAAGAUUAUAAAAGGGAGUUUUGGCUUUUGGAGAAGGGGGAGCCGCUGGACGGAAACAGAAGAGUGCAGACGCAAUUCGGGCAGAGGAGAAUCGGCAACCAAAAGAAACUGAACAAUUUGCAGCCGCAAAGGAGAAGAAAAAAAAUCAGCAGCCAGAAUUAAAUUAAAGCAAAGGCAGCCGCUUGAAUUAAUCUCCAUGACUGGUUUUAUCAAUUCUCUUAUUCCCAAUUCAAUUAUGUUAGGCUAGAUUUUUAUUUGGUUGAGGGUGAAUUCAAAACCCUAAACAUGCUAUGCAAUUAAAUUUAAAUUCUAUCAUUCAAUUUAUUUAAUUGAGAUUUUUUAUGUUCUUUUAUAAUUAAUGUUUAUGAUUUUAUUCUCGUCUUGUUUAAGUGGCCAAUUAGAUAGGACUUGAAUAAAUUCUAUUGCUAGAUUAAAAUUCUUGAUCCGUAAUUGUCUUGAUAUUUUAAUCAUUAGUAGUAGAUUGGAAUCAGUGAUUUCUAUUGGAGAACAUAACUUAGGUUAAAUAAUCCGAGCUUGUGUGUUUAUUGCCUAGAUCAACCUAAUAUCGUUCUUUGUUUAAAUGCUUCCAUUAUCUUAAAUUUAAAGAGCUUAUUUUAAAUUAUUUAAUGGUUAGAGAUUAGGUGAAGAGCUUGUUUUGCCUAACGAUACACUAAAGAAAGAUUGAGACUAACAGAGCUUAUUGUUGUCUACGGUUGAUAGUUUCAAUAUAAAUUGAUGAUAGAAUUGAUAUAUUAUGUGCAUGUUUGGUGGUGGCGAAUGAUCCUUUAACCAAAGUUUUCAUCAUUAUUAUUUCUUUCUCCUUUAAUUAAAGUUUUUAUUAAAUUCUUGUUCGUAGUUUUAAUUUCUUUAUUUCUUACUAUUUAGUUAAAAAUUCAUAAACCCCCCUUUUUAUUUAUAAUUGGCAUUUUCUUUAGUUAGAUUAAUUUAUAUUAUUAUUACUAUUAUUAUUACUACUAUUAUUUUAUUUUAAAUCUUGCUUUAGAGUUGAUAAUAAAUAUAACUAGUAUAGUCUCUGUGGGAUCGAUCCUUACUCGCUCUGUACUAAUUAUUUAUACUAGUGGUAAGGUUUUAAAUUUGGUGCACCUUAACGACACUACCAUGUCUCAUCCUCAUGUUCUUGAGGCUUUGGUGUUGUGAGAACAUAGACCACAUUGAGGCUUGUCAACAAGAAAUGCAACUUUUUCUGCCAACGAAUAAAGUUGCCACCAUCGAACCGCUCCAAUUUGACAAAAUCUACUGCAAAUUGUCGAAGAGAUGAACUUGGUGCCAUUGUUGUAGAAAUAACGUCUUAAGAUUGUUGGUAGUUGAAUUUGUGGGGAAUGGAAAAUAUAGAGAAAUACAACAAUAAUGGUGGAACUUUAUUACGUAAAGUAAUGUGUUUACAACUAACUCUGUAUGUAGGAAGAAAAAUAGUAAUAAGUAAACUGUAGAAAUUUUGUGUGCUUCAAGGCACGUUACAAAUGUCGUAAGACGUUAUUUGCCCCCACCAAUUGAGUGAUGCACAUGGGUUAAGCAAAUACGCCUCCAGGAUACAAUGAAGCACUUGUUUGUUUGCUUGCAUUGUGCAUCGACGAAAGCAAACCAGAAUACUCUUGAAUGUUGCAAGCCUGCCAAGAAACAAUAUAUUGUUCCUGCAGAAAACAAUAUAUUGGAUUAUGAAUGCACAAAAAAAAUUGGUGUUUUGUGUUGAAAUUCAUACUAGAAAAGAAUGCUAAGAAAAGAGUGGUGUAAGAUCAUUGAUUUCAUGUCUAAAUGGCUUAAACAUGACCCAUAUUUAUAGAUAUACUUGUGCCCCCUCAUUUGGGUUGUCAUCUUUCAUGAUAUCCCUUCAUUCAUAGUCAUUGGAUCUAGAUUUGAUUUUAAUCAAUGGUCCAAAUUGAACCAUCACCAUUUCAAAUGAAAUGUCACCAUGAAAUGAUGCAUCUCUAAGUGAAAUGUUGCCAUGAAAAGUUAUAUCAUUUAGUAAAAAGAUACAUUUUUUAUAAGACACAAUUAAAUGGAUAUGUCCUUACAGUAAGACAUCAUUUAAUUAAACAUUUCUUUAGUGAAAGGUACCUUUUCUAUAAAGCACAAUUAAUAGGACAUGUCUUUCCAUAAGACAAAUUUAUUUUGAAAAUUUUCCAACAUACCUUAAGGUCAGUCUCUCACUCCGUGUCUUCCAGCUAUGCCGUAAUUAUGCCCGAAAAUUAAGUAAUGAUAUGGACUCCUUAAUUUUUUAUAUUUUGGUUGCAGGAAGUGUCAGAUCAAAGAAAUUUUUUCUUCAUUGUUGUUCCAGGAAGCGAAAUUCCCAAGUGGUUCAUGUAUCAGAAUGAGGGUUCAUCAAUUACUAUCAGAAGGCCUUCAUAUUUGUAUAAUAAGAAUAGGGUUGUGGGAUAUGCUAUUUGCUCUGUUUUUCAUGUCCCUAAACAUUCAACUGGUAUCAAAUUAUGGCAUUCAUAUCCCACACAUCAAUUGCACUGCGAAAUGGUCGGUUCUAAUACCUUUUACUUUGUAGAUUUUAGAGAGAAAUUCGGUUAUUGUGGGUCAGACCAUCUUUGGCUACUCUAUUUGUCUCGUCAACGCUGCUAUGAUACUAAUUGGCAUUUUGAAUCUGAUCAUAUUGAGUUGUCAUUUAAACCUCAGUCAGGUCCUGGAUUGAAGGUGAGGAGGUGCGGUUUCCAUCCAGUUUAUAUGCAUGAAGUCGAGGAGUUUGACCAAACAACAAAGAAAUGGACUCGCUUUACUUCUUAUAAUCUGAACGAAUUCCAUCACAAUUUUGUUGGAUCAAAUUUGGUAGCCACAGCAUCAAAGCGAAGCCGUGCAGAAAAUAUUGGGGCAACUGAAGCCAGUGGCAGUGGCUGCUGUGAUGAUGUUUAAGAACCACUUCUUAAAAGAUUUAGACAACUCGAAUGAAGGGCAAAGCCUACUUGUUACUUAUUCUCUGCAUUUAUGUGAAAGUAUGCAUCUCGAUUUCAAUAAUUUAUUUUCUUUUCAUAUGGUAUUUCAUUUGCUUUCUUUUUAUUUAUUUACUAUAUCUUCUCUUGCAUUUUUUUUUUUUUUUUGGUUAAAUCACAAGAAAAUGCUCGACUAGGGUGAAAUAGUUGGUCAGAAACAAAAUAUGUCUUGCAAGAAUCAAAAUUGCUUUCGUGCACGAUCAAAUUGAAGCUUUGAAUUUUGUGAUUUCUCAUGAGCUGAAAAUUAAAGAAAGGAAAAAAAAAAUAAAGGACUGAAGUAAACCUCUGCUUUAUAUUCUUACUAUGCCUGUUUCAUUGCAGCAUUGUCUCUUCUUGAAGCUCUCUCAUUUUUUGAAUACAUAAUUGACGAAUUGUAGCAUCGAUACAAGUAAACAGUAAACUAAUUAGGCCAUCUCAAUCUGAUUGAUUUUUUUCUUUAGUACAGUUGUAUUAGAUUAGAUUCGUCUCAUUGUAAGCUUUGAAAGAGUAUUAUAUGUCUCAAACGGACACUUAGAGCGUAUGACUUUGGAAAGAUACUCUAUUUAUCCUACACAGCUAUCCUACAUCAAUUGCAUUGCUACGAGUGAACAAUAAACUAAUAAUUAGGUCAUUGCAAUCUGAUUAUUAUUAUUAUUACUCUUGGCAUGCAGCUUCUGCUGUUCUUUCUAUUUGAGUAGCUCAGCUACGCUUAUUCUAUAUUAUAUAGCACUUGAAACUGAUAUGGAUUUUCCUUUGUUGAGAUUCUUACUUAAUUUUUUUAGAUUUUACUUGAAUAGCUCCAGCGCCUUCUGAGUUUUAGUUAUCAACAUUAUAAAUUAAACCAAUACCAAGUGUGACAAAAUGCUGCAAAUUAAAUAAACUGUACAAAUUAAAUUGUUAAACAAACUGUAUAAAUUAAAUUGAUUUAUAGAGGAAAAUGAGAUUGAAUGACCAGUGUAUAGAUUAAAUUUACUCUUGUUAGUUUCAGAGAUGGAUGAAGUGAAAUUAUCAAUACUACUUAUAUUUUAUGUAAGGAUCGUAUCACAUAUAUGACCAAAAAUAUAUUCGGCAAAAAAUUAUUGUUCAUAGCCGCUGACAGGUAGUGUCACAACAUCUUAGCAUCCCCAAGGCCCAUUUCCAUCUGAUGAUAUUGGAAUUUUGUUGAAUUUUACUGUGCUUAGUUAAUUUGGGCUUUUCGACUUUCGUUGAGCUUUGGCACCCCUGUAAUCUUCUCAUAAAGCCACGCAUUGGGAGGAUGAAAGACAAAUAUGUAUGUAGAUGAUCGAUCUCGAGUUAUAUAUUACAUGGAAUUGCAGGCCAAGCUCAAGAGAGGAACUGGCGAAUGGAGCCUGAUCCAAUAAUAUAAAUUGAGGGGGGUGUUUAAAAUAUUUGUAAACUCGCAGAGGUUAGCUCGUAAUAACUCGAAAGUUGUCAGGCGUGUAUUUGCUUAAACUGAGACUUCUGUAUUUAGCGGGAAAAGCUGUUAUUGGCGUUGCCGUCUUGGUCAAAAGAAUUGGUUAGAAAAAGUGCUGGUUGACUUUUCUGGGUUUGUUAGCUGAGCGUUAGGCAAUCUUUCUAGGCUUGAUGACUCUGUAAGUACUGUGAUUUAGGAAGCAAAUGAGGUAUAGUUUUAAAGAUUGUCGGUUGAUUUCUUUAGGAAAGAAAGAGCAUGAAACUCUCUUCUUGUUCUUCAAUUUUUCUAGUUUGUGCUCUGUUCUUGAUCAAGGGUAUUGAUUGGUCAUUAACCAAUCAUCGUGCGGUGCUAUAAAAUCUGAUAUUACGACAGUUUUGCUUUAAGAGAAGAUUUAUGUGCACAUAACAGAGGCCUACUACUCUAUGGAGCAGAAUGCAUUUAAGACAGUGACAAAGCUAGAAAAUGCAAAAAUUGCUUCAGGGAUGCCAUUGGCUCAAGUACUUUAACAUCAUAUGCCAUUUGCUCAAGUACUUUACAAAAUUCAUAAUUUCCUUUUUAACAUGCAAACUGUAUUACUUCCAUAUGCAUCCCUUUCAUGUCAAACAAAUGAGCUAUCUAGAUGGUCAACACCAUCUUUAGUUGAAAAGAAAACAAAAGAAGAAUGGAGAAUGAGGAGUCGCAAUCUAGAAGCUGUAAAUGUUUGAAGAAGAAAUAAGAGGCACACGGCUUUGACAAAAGAAAGAAGAAAAAAAAUAAUAUAUAAUUGAUGAAUAGUGCCAAAGCUUUCUCUAUAAAUAGAAACGAAGAGAAUGAGCAAAUUCAAUUCCAUUUUGAGAGGCAUUCAAUUUUGUAGAGAGAGUCGAGAGUUGUGAGAAAUAAUUCUUGCAGAGCAGAGAGUCUAGUGAGUGAGAGAUUGGGUGUAUUGGGGUUUUGGGUUGUGAGCCAAAAUAUUACAAUACUUGUAAUCCUUAUUUCACUAGUAAAAUAUUUCCUUCUGUUUUCGCCCGUGGACGUAGGCUAAAAGCCGAACCACGUAAUUUCUGGUAUUCUCUUUUGUGCUUGUUCUUUAUUUUCUUACAAUUUUACUUUAGCUGCGUGUCUGCUUCACCCACCAAUUUCCUAACAGUGGUAUCAGAGCUAUUGGUUGUAUUUUUUUUUUUUUGGAGUCAGGAACUGUUCACGUAAGGGGUACUAUUCACGUAUACGGCACCGUACACGUAUACGAUACUAUUCACGUAUACGGUACUGUUCAUGUAUACGGUGUUGUUCACAUAGACUGAACUAUUCACGUAUACGGUACUAUUCACGUGAAACGGUGGGAGCGAUCCAAGAAUUUUGCGGUGCAAAUAAGGGAAUAGUGGUGUGAGUAAAGCAACUGUGUGGUUUUGUACAUGUCUAGGAAAGUUCUGUCACAAAGGCGAUAAGAGCUUAAGGAGUCUGGGUUUUAAGUGGGACCAUUGUGACCCCUCCAGUCUUUCCUGGGAACUUUCCUGGUGUGCAUUCUCACACAUACUCAUAACUAUUCAAGGUGGUAUACUAGCUUGUGUGCAGUAUUUAUCAACAAAAUGGCGGCAAAGUAUGAAAUUGAGAAAUUUAACGGAAAUAAUUUUUCGUUGUGGAAAAUGAAGAUGAAAGCUGUAUUGAGGAAAAAUAAUUGCUUGGCAGCAAUUGGAGAAAGACCCAUGGAGAUAACUGAUGACAAGUGGAACGAGGUAGACGGCAACGCCAUUUCUGAUCUACACUUGGCACUUGCAGACGGAGUAUUAUCCAGUGUGGCAGAGAAAAACACAGCGAAGGAAAUUUGGGAUACUCUCACAAAAUUGUACGAGGCCAAGUCACUACACAACAAAAUCUUCUUGAAGAGGAAACUCUAUAUUCUUCGAAUGGCGGAAUCUACAAUGGUGACCGACCACAUCAACACAUUGAAGACUCUAUUUUCACAACUCACAACGUUGGGUCAUAAUAUAGAGGAAAAUGAACGUGCAGAACUUCUACUUCAAAGUCUACCAGAUUCGUAUGAUCAACUCAUCAUCAACCUGACGAACAACAAUCCAGUGGACAGUCUAGUUUUCGACGAUGUUGCGGCCUCCGUAUUAAAUGAGGAGAGCAGGCGGAAAAAUAAGGAAAACAGACAAGCAAGUUCGCAGUAAGCGGAGGCGCUAUCGGUGACGAGAGGGAGAUCAACGGAACGUGGCCCCAGUGGGAGUCAAAAUCAUGGUAGAUCAAAAUCCAGAAGUAAGAAGAAUGUUAAAUGCUACAACUGUGGCAAGAAAGGGCACGUCAAGAAAGAGUGUUGGAGUAACCAGAAGAGAAGAGAGGGCAAAGAACCUGAGUCAUCAAAUGCUCAGGGUUGUGUAGCAAGUACCUCGGAUGAUGGCGAAAUUCUAUACAGUGAGGCAACAACUAUUUCAGAAGGCAGAAAACGACUUUCUAAUGUCUGGCUUAUAGACUCAGGAGCUACCUGGCACAUGACCUCUAGGAGAGAAUGGUUCCACACAUAUGAACCUAUCUCAGGAGGAUCUGUAUAUAUGGGUAACGAUCACGCCUUGGAGAUCGCUGGUAUUGGUACUAUCAAAAUAAAAAUGUUUGAUGGUACAAUUCGCACAAUUGGGGAGGUACGACAUGUCAACGGCCUGAAGAAAAAUCUAUUGUCUUUGGGACAAAUGGAUAGUCAUGGGUACAAAACUCUAUGGAAUUAUGAAGAUCGUUAAAGGAGCGCUUGUAUUGAUGAAGGCAGAAAAGAUCAGUGCUAAUCUAUUCAUGCUUAAAGGAGAAACACUACAGGAGGCUGAUGCGUAUGUCGCAUCAAAUGGAGAAGAGUCAACGAUGAUGUGGCAUCUCAAACUUGGUCACAUGUCAGAACAAGGUUUGAAGAUUCUCUCUGAACAAAAAUUACUUCCGGGGCUCAAAUCGGUAAGUUUACCAUUUUACGAGCAUUGUGUUAUAAGUAAGCAGCAUAGAUUAAAAUUCAGUAGAUCUAUUGCUAGAAGUAAAUGCAUUCUAGACUUGAUUCAUUCUGAUGUUUGGGAAUCACCGGAUAUAUCUAUGGGAGGUGCAAAGUACAUGGUGACUUUCAUUGAUGAUUAUUCCAGAAGAUGUUGGGUGUAUCCGAUUAAGAAAAAGUCAGAUGUAUUUUCAGUAUUUAAAGAAUACAAAGCGCGGGUGGAACUUGAAUCUAGUAAAAAGAUCAAGUGCUUGAGGACAGACAAUAGUGGAGAAUAUACAGACGGUGAGUUUCUUGCUUUCUGUAAGCAAGAAGGUAUUCAGAGGCAGUUCACGGUGGCAUACACUCCUCAACAAAAUGGAGUGGCAGAGCGGAUGAACAGAACUCUUACAGAACGGAUAAGAGCUAUGUUGAGGACUGCUGGUCUACCCAAUUCAUUCUGGGCAGAAGCAGCCAAAACUGCAUGUUAUAUAGUAAAUCGGUCGCCAUCUACAACAAUUGGGUUGAAGACGGCGAUGGAGAUGUGGACUGGAAAGCCAACUGAUUAUUCCUACCUACAUGCAUUUGGAUGUCCUGUGUACGUGAUGUACAAUGCCCAAGAAAGAACAAAGCUGGAUGCAAAAUCUAGAAGAUGUAUCUUCUUGGGAUAUGUUGAUGGAGUAAAGGGGUAUCGUCUGUGGGACCCCACUGCCCACAAGAUCGUCAUCAGCAGAGAUGUUAUCUUUGUAGAAGAUCAACUGCAAAGAAAAGAUGGAGAUGAUGGCACUGUAAAAGAAAAGUCAGAAACUAUACCAGUAUAUGUGGAAAAUAAUCCAGAAGAUUCAGAUUCUUCUGAAGCAGCACCAGAGCACGAGGAACAAGAACCAGUCGAAUCCGAGGCUCCAGAAGUUCGUCGGUCAACUCGUGAGAGACGACCGCCAACGUGGCACUCGGAGUAUGUUACAGAGAUCAACGUUGCAUAUUGUCUUCUAACAGAGGAUGGAGAGCCUUCAACUUUCCAUGAAGCUUUAAACAGCUUAGAUGUUGCUUUGUGGAUGACAGCAAUGCAGGAAGAAAUUGAAGCUCUACACAAGAACAAGACAUGGGAACUUGUACCACUACCACAUGGAAGAAAAGCCAUUGGAAACAAAUGGGUCUACAAGAUCAAACGUGAUGGCAAUGACCAAGUGGAGCGGUAUCGUGCAAGAUUGGUGGUGAAAGGAUAUGCUCAGAAAGAAGGUAUUGACUUUAACGAAAUAUUUUCUCCGGUAGUUCGACUCACAACAGUCAGAAUAGUCUUGGCAAUGUGUGCUACAUUUGACCUACAUCUAGAGCAGUUAGAUGUUAAAACUGCAUUUAUUCAUGGAGAACUUGAAGAAGAAAUAUAUAUGCUCAAACCAGAAGGUUUUGCAGAAACAGGAAAGGAGAACUUGGUUUACAAGUUGAACAAAUCUCUAUACGGUCUCAAACAGGUGCCGAGGUGUUGGUAUAAGAGAUUUGAUUCCUUCAUUAUGAGCCUUGGAUACAACAGACUCAGUUCAGACCAUUGUGCAUAUUACAAGAGGUUUGAAGAUAAUGAUUUCAUCAUUUUGCUGUUGUAUGUGGAUGACAUGUUGGUAGCAGGUCCCAACAAAGUUCGAAUCCAAGAAUUGAAGGCACAGUUGGCUAGGGAGUUUGAAAUGAAGGACUUGGGCCCAGCAAACAAGAUUCUAGGGAUGCAAAUUCACCGAGACAGAAAUAACAGGAAGAUUUGGCUUUCACAGAAGAACUACUUGAAGAAAAUCUUGCGGCGCUUCAACAUGCAAGAUUGUAAGUCAAUUUCUACCCCACUUCCUGUUAAUUUCAAAUUAUCCUCAAGUAUGUGUCCUAGCAAUGAAGCAGAGAGAAAGGAGAUGUCUCGAGUUCCGUAUGCAUCAGCAGUGGGAAGUUUGAUGUUCGCUAUGAUAUGUACUAGACCAGACAUUGGACAAGCGGUGGGAGCAGUCAGUCGAUACAUGGCGAAUCCUGGUGGAGAACAUUGGAUAGUUGUGAAGAGGAUUCUGAGAUACAUCAGAGGAACUUCAGAUGUUGCAUUAUGUUAUGGAGGAUCAGAAUUUACUGUCAGGGGUUAUGUGGAUUCAGAUUUUGCAGGAGAUCUUGAUAAAAGGAAAUCCACUACUGGUUAUGUGUUUACACUUGCGGGAGCAGCUGUAAGCUGGGUUUCGAAACUGCAGAUCGUUGUGGCAUUAUCUACAACAGAAGCAGAGUACAUGGCAGCUACACAAGCUUGCAAGGAAGCUAUUUGGAUACAAAGGUUAUUGGAGGAGCUCGGGCACAAACAACAGAAAAUUCCUGUGUUUUGUGACAGUCAGAGUGCCUUGCACAUUGCAAGGAAUCCUGCCUUUCAUUCCAGGACAAAGCACAUAGGAGUUCAAUAUCACUUUGUUCGAGAAGUAGUGGAAGAUGGAAGUGUGGAUUUACAGAAAAUUCAUACGAAGGAGAACCUAGCAGAUGUUUUGACCAAGCCAAUAAAUACUGAUAAGUUUGUCUGGAGUAGAUCCUCUUGUGGCCUAGCAGCAACGUAGGCAACAUGACUAUGGCGAAGCAGAAAGGAUGGUGUGGAGAUUGAUUGGUCCUUAAUCGAAUCUCCAAGUGGGAGAAAUGUCAAACAAAUGAGCUAUCUAGAUGGUCAACACCAUCUUUAGUUGGAAAAGAAAACAAAAGAAGAAUGGAGAAUGAGGAGUCGCAAUCUAGAAGCUGUAAAUGUUUGAAGAAGAAAUAAGAGGCACACGGCUUUGACAAAAGAAAGAAGAAAAAAAAUAAUAUAUAAUUGAUGAAUAGUGCCAAAGCUUUCUCUAUAAAUAGAAACGAAGAGAAUGAGCAAAUUCAAUUCCAUUUUGAGAGGCAUUCAAUUUUGUAGAGAGAGUCGAGAGUUGUGAGAAAUAAUUCUUGCAGAGCAGAGAGUCUAGUGAGUGAGAGAUUGGGUGUAUUGGGGUUUUGGGUUGUGAGCCAAAAUAUUACAAUACUUGUAAUCCUUAUUUCACUAGUAAAAUAUUUCCUUCUGUUUUCGCCCGUGGACGUAGGCUAAAAGCCGAACCACGUAAUUUCUGGUAUUCUCUUUUGUGCUUGUUCUUUAUUUUCUUACAAUUUUACUUUAGCUGCGUGUCUGCUUCACCCACCAAUUUCCUAACAUUUCAUUGUUGUUUCUCACCACCAUUGUCUCCCCAAUGCGGCUGACUUCUAAAAGCAGUUGUUCCAAACAUGUUAUAUGGCUUCAGAUCAGGCCAACCAUUAAUAUGUGCCAAAAGUUUAUCCACUUGAGGCAGCGUAUCAGGCCACUUUCUUGAAUUCUUCCAUUUGACGGCCAGAGGUUUAUCCAACUCUAACUCAAGACGUUCAGUACAGACGUCUGCCCGAGGUUCAGUUGGAAGGUUAAUUCCACAUAAAGACGGACUCUCCCAAUCAUACCAAAUUCGCGAAACAUGGGCUGGUCUUAAUGACAAAGAAGGUAUUACUAGUUGCUCUAUGCUAGCUCGACGCCCAAUCAACUCCAAGCGAGGAUCAGCUGGGUCCUGGAAGUCGGAAAUGGGAUUAAUAGAUGCCGUUCUGAUUAACAUAUGGAAUGUCUGCGAUGGUAUUGACAUAAUUGGAAGUAGGCUGCGAUGGAAAAAAGUUCUUCUCAUGAUCGAUCAUGUGUCUGAUGUUGAACAGCUACAAAGUUUAGCUGGAAAGCGUGAUUGGUUCGGUCCAGGCAGCAGAAUUCUAAUAACAACGAGAGAUCAACAGUUGUUGGUGGCGCAUGAAGUGGAUGAAGAGCAUAUUCUGAACCCUGAUGUACUAAAUAACGAUAAAGCUCUUCAACUCCUUAGUAUGAAAGCUUUUAAAACCCAUCAGCCUGUGGGAGAGUAUGUGGAGCUGUCUGAACGUGUUCUGGAGUAUGCUGGUGGUCUUCCAUUAGCUCUAAAAGUUUUGGGAUCCUUUCUAAUUGGUAGAUCUGCGGAUCUAUGGAGAAGUGCCAUUUGGCGUGUUUGAUAAAAUCUUUUAGGGCAUACGAAGAAGAUGAAGAAAAAGCUGUUGACAGGUAAUAUUUGUCAAAUUAAAAAGUCAUCGUGAUUUUUAUUUUUAUAUUUUAUUUUUGUCCAAACCAAUAAAUUUCUCGGAAAUUACUUGUGGUGUAAGGUAACCAACACAACAAUGAAUGACGUAAGACGCGACGCAUGCUCCUUUCAAAAGUUAUAGCAAACCGUAUACAAGAAAUUCAACCGAAUCCCAUCAUUUAAUUAUUAAUAAAUACACAAUUUGCUUUUGUCAAGAUUUACUUAAAUGGUCACAUAAAUUCUCUUAAUUUCACAAAUAUUCAUUAAGAUCAUUUUUUAACAAUUAUCCCUUGGAUUAUAACAACACAAAAAUUUAUUUUAAAUAAACUUCUAGAAUAAGUAUAUAUAUAACAUUAAAAUAAUCUAAUAUAUAAUAUUAUAAAUUUUAAAAAUUAUUUUUGAAUUUUAAGCAAAAUUAUUUUUAUAUUAUUAUUCUAUUUUUCGCAUACUAAUAAUAUAAAGUCAAUAUACAUUUAACAUUCAAAAUAACUUACAAAUUCUAUGUUAUAUAUUUUGUUUAUAAUUUUUUAUAUUACCUUUUUUUAUAUCAUGUAUAUAUUAGCAUAAAUUUAAAGUUAAUUUUUGGAUUAAUGGAUUGAAGUAUUAGUUAAAACUAUCAAGAUAUAUUGAUAAUAGCAAAAUACUAAAAAUAAUUUACAUGACAUAUAUGUGUUAAUUUAGCUAACUAUAUUUAUUUUAAUAUUUUAUUUGUCUUUAUAUCCAAAGAUAUAAUGAUUAAAAAGGGGUAUGUAUGACCAUUUAUGAAAUCAAAGAGGUACAUGUGACCAUUUAAGCAAAUUUUGAGGGGAUGUUAGGCAUUUUCCCUUAUUUUAAUCUUUGACCUCUCUCUUAGAUGCUCUAUUUAAGAUUUCCUUGAGUGCACUCUCCACUCUGAGUCGGAAAAAUUAAAUUUAAAUUAUCUGCUACAACUUUUGGGAUUUGUUUAUUAUGAUUUUUCCUUUUUGGUAAAGUAAGGAUAAUAAGUUACGCAAAGAUAAAAGUAGAAAUUUAGUUCAUAUGUAACAUAAACUUAAGUGAUCACGUUAAAUAAUUGACUUCUAGUUACAACUUUGACAUGCACAUUUCAUUUUUGAGAAGCCCGUAAUUUUGGAUUAGUUUUGUUGCUUUCAUAGUAUUGAUGGGCAAUUGUUCCGAGGAUUUCACGUGAGUUAUAUUAAAUUUUUAGGAGUAAAUUAAUAGAUAAUGGCUUCUACGACACUACAACAAAUACCACCUUUUGUACCAUUUUACGAUAGCAUUUUCUUUUAAACGUUACCAAAUAUAAUGCUAUUGUAGCAUUUUAUACAAGAAAGCUACAAUUAGUCAUUGAAUAAUAUUAUUUAUUUUUUAAUUGUAUUUCACAUUUAAUUUGUAGCACUUUCUAAAUGCUAUAUUUAAUUUUUAAUAUCGUAGCACUUAGAAAUGCUACAAAACAAUGUUACAUUAAAUAAUAUCUAAUAUAGUAGCAUAUUUAUAUGUGCUACAUAUAAUAUUGAAUAAUAUAGCAUUAUAAAAAUGGUACAAGUUAACAACAAUUUUGUGGCACCAGAAAAAUGCUACGAAAAGGUAAAAAUACUCCCGCGGGAAAAUUUUGUCUACCGCCAAACAUUUAGAAAUUGCCUCCAUAUUUUUAUUUUAUAAUUUUCUUUUUACCUAAAACUCUUAUUUGACUACAAAAUCCCAAAAGCUUUUUAUUUUUUAUUUUUCUCUCAACCAUCCAACAAUGUCGAACUUGCUGAAGUCACAAGUCUUCCAUGCUUGGUCUGCAAUGGUAUAUAUGCAACACUUCAUAUGUCUCUUUUUUUAAUAUAAUAAUUAAACGAAUUUUUUUUUUUCAUUCUUGGGAUUUGGCAGUUCAAAAACUAGUUUAGUUGAGGUUUAUAUUGUUUGGCUUGUGCUUUUAUUUAGGUGUGCUUGGAUGAUGCCUGAUUUGGGAUUUUUUAAAUUUGAAUGUGCUUGUGGGUUUGUAUUGAUGAUUAAAUUCUUGUCAAUUGUGUAUUAGUUCUUUUUAAAGUGUCACUUGUAUUUGCAUAUUAUUGAUGUGACUUUAUUUGUAGUGUUUGUGGGGCUACUAGAUCAUUGUAAUUUUUAUUUGUCAUGAUCAAUUUUGGGUUAUUUUGUUUGAACUUUUGAGACUUUUAUACUAUCUGGUUCAAUCAUUUCAAGAUGAGAACAUCAAGCAAGAUUAUUAUAUGGACUUAGCUAGUUUGAGUUUAGGUUUUAGAGUCUAUGAGUACUUCAAAUUCCGCAUGGAGUGAAUGAUUUUGGGAUUGGUAUAUUCAUCUCUUUCUCUGUGUAAAAGCAAACUAUUGUACUACACUUAUGAGAAUGAAAAUACUAUUGCCUAAAACUUAUUUUUGAGCAAUUAUUAGUUUAGUUAAAUAUUGGUGGUUACUAUUCAUGUAUUCCCAAAAUGUUUAAUAUCUUGGCUUGAUAUUGUAUUGACAGUUUCAGUUUAAUAUCAAUUUUACUAGUUGCUUGAUAAAAAAAUGUUUGGUGGACUUGCGACCACCACCUAACAUUGUAUUACUUUUUUCAAUGUUGUUUUAAUUUUUGUUUGAUUGACUAUUUGUGUGCUAUUUCAAUUGUGCUUAUUGCUCAUUAGUGAUGGUAGGUAACUAUAGCAAGUAAGUGAGCUAGAAGCAGGGUAUUCAGCUGAUUAAAGGAAAGUAUUAUUUAUUGGGAACACAACAAAUGUGGGUGAUAGAUUUUUGGUACUUAUCCUAAUUUUUUUAAACAUGACUGUGGAUGAUAUUUCUUUCAGCAUCUUUAUGUUAAAAAUAUAAAAGCUUAUUUUCCUGAUCAGAUUCAGGAGCUCUCGAGCAAAGGGGUUUUUAUAUAUGGAUCAUAAGUGCAGUUUAUGGAAAUCGAGGUAGGCUAUUUUAUCUCCAUAGAGCUUAACUGAAUUACCCAAACGAGUAUUGCCUGUGAGAAAACAAUUUUGGUGAUGCAUAAAAAAAGAGAUACAUUUUGAAUCAAAUACCAUAAAUGUCUGCCAUUAACUACUGCAACUCUCUUUAUUGUAUUGUUCUUGAAAGUAAAUUGCCUUCUAUUUGCUUCAUUUUUUACUUCAGUUCCAUGUUUGCGUUGUUACCCUCUUACAACUACAAUGGUCUAGAGCUACAAGUCGAAAAGAAAGUUCUUAGGACCAAAAUUUUACUAUUAUUUAAACAUUAUGCUUAAAAUUCUUAUAUAUAAAACUCAUGACAAUAAAUUUAUUUAAAUUUAUAUAUCUAAAUGCUUACACAAAUUUUUCUCUUUAUUUAUUUCUUUUACGAUGGUACACACUUAUCUUUUUAUUUUCUCAAUUUAUAAUAAUGCAGGUCAUGAUGAUAAAUACAAGUGAAAAAGUUUUGGCCACAUUCUGAAGAUGAAGCAUUAGUUUUUGUUUAUUGUUUUUCUAUUUUAAAAGUAGCAUAUUUGUUAAUAGUCAAGCAUAAUUUUUAUUUGGAGUUGAUAUUUAUCUUCAACUUAUGAAAUUAUGCAUUGUUACCUUGAUGCAAUAUUUGAUAUAAUAGAUGGUACUUUUUGUUCAUUUGGAUUCUAAGCUUGCAUUUGUGAAAGUUUUGUAUUGUUAUCAAGAUGAAUAAUAUAAAUAUUUAAGCUAAUUACCAAUUUCUUUAAAUUUAUGAUGACAACGUUGAUACAUUGUUAUCAGAUAUAAUAACAAUGUUUAAAUGCUACUAAAUAUUUAAUUUUAAGCGAUAUAAAAAAUGUUAUAAAUCAUAAGAGAUUGCUUCAUUUUUAUUAUGCUAUGACUUAGGAUUUGGUAGCACUUAUAAAUGCUUAUAAAUGCUAUGGCAAGGUAUUUAGUAGCAUUUUAUGAAUGCUACGAGUCAUGAAAUAGUAACAUCUAUCUAAAGCUACUGAAAAUACAUAUGUAGCUUUUAUUGUAUGCUACAAAAAUGUAAUUUAUAGCAUUCCAUAACUGCUGCCAAAAGAUAUACUUUUAGUAACAUGGGCUAACAUAGCACUUUUAAAAGUGCUACCUUUUACUUUUAGUAGCACAUUUGAGAUGUUUCUAUAGCUCAAUUUUGUUGUAGUGCGAGCAUCCAAAAGGUCUCUCAUGGGAAAUAUGAUGUCUUCUUAAGCUUUAGAGGAGAAGACACCCGUAAAAGCUUCACGGGUCAUCUCUAUGCUGCUUUGAAAAAUAAAGGCAUUUAUGUAUUUAGGGAUGACAAAGAACUUGAGAAAGGAGGAUCCAUUUCACCUGAACUCCUUAAAGCAAUUGAAGAAUCAAGAAUUUCAAUUAUUGUUCUCUCCAAAAACUAUGCUUCUUCCACUUGGUGCUUGGAUGAACUAGCUAAGAUUGUUGAAUGUAAAAAUAGAGAAGAUCAAAUUCUUCCAAUUUUUAUGAUGUGGAACCAACUGUGGUAAGGAAACAGACAGCAAGUUUUGGAGAAGCUUUUGCUAAACACGAAGAAGCUUUUAGGAAUAAUGUAGAAAAGGUGCAAACAUGGAGAGAUGCUUUAAAAAUUGUGGCCAAUAAAUCUGGCUGGGAAUUGAAGGACAGGUAAUCAUUCUUAUUCUAUAUUAUCAAUUCUUUUUUUUUUUUUUUUGGUUUUGCAUGAUUAGUAACUAUGAAACAGAUUUUAGUAUUCAUGAUUCAACACUGUUUUCAAUUACCAUAGUAGUAUUAUUAAUGAAUUAAUAUUUGCAAACGAAGAGAUAUGGAUGUUGAUAUGUUAAAUUAUUGUAUUUUGAACUUUUGAAGACUGUAUAAUAUGUUGUGAUGCUUUGUGCUCUAUUAAUCAGAUUAAAAAAAAUGAAAUUUUAUUCUUAGAUUGACUCUUGAGCUAGAUUGUUAAAUACUAAUAACAACAAUGACAACAGUUGCAACACCAAUGAUAGAUCAAUAUCAUUACAUAUUUAGCUAAUCUAAUUGAUUUCAUGUGUGUAACAAAUGAUCUUAUCAAAAACUGAUCUUAAAUCUCUUUCAAUCUAAUUUGUCCUAUUUUUUCCCAAUCAUUAGCAGAAGAAAUUAAAUAAUUUAUUGGGUUGGGUUUGAAUUUUCUCAUUCCAAUUGUUUCCUACUUAACUAUAUGACUUCAAUUUGAUGAAAUGAAUAUUGCAAAGUUUGGAUUUUAUAUAUAACAUGAAAUUGAUUUGCUACUACGUUCGCACCAACUUUAAUUUAACUGUGCCAAUAUUUUCUUGUUGCUUUCAAUGUGCAGAAAUGAGUCAGAAUUUGAGGAAAUUGUCAAUGUGAUAUCAAGUAAAAUUCAUACAGAACCAGAGACUAUUAAGGAGUUGGUAGGAAUAGAAUCACGCUUGGAGAAAAUCAGGUUUCUUAUGGGUACAGGGUCUAGUGACGUUUGAAUGAUCGGGAUAUGGGGUAUGGGAGGUCUAGGAAAGACAACUCUUGCAAGAGUUGUUUAUGACUUGAUGUCCGUUGAGUUUGAUGGGAGUAGUUUUCUUGCCAAUGUUAGAGAAAAAUCUGAAAAAGAAGGGAGUGUAAUCUCUUUACAAAAGCAACUCCUUUCCAAUUUACUGAAGCUUGGAGAUAUUAGCAUAUGGCAUGUAGAAGAUGGUAUUAAUAUAAUUGGAAGUAGGCUGCGACAGAAGAAAGUUCUUCUCAUAAUCGAUGAUGUCGCUGAUGUUGAACAGCUACAAAGUUUAGCUGGAAAGCGUGCUUGGUUCGGUCCAGGCAGCAGGAUUCUAAUAACAACGAGAGAUAAACAGUUGUUGGUGGCGCAUGAAGUGGAUGAAGAGCAUAUUCUGAACCUUGAUGUACUAAAUAACGAUGAAGCUCUUCAACUCUUUAGUAUGAAAGCUUUUAAAACCCAUCAGCUCGUGGGAGAAUAUGUGGAGCUGUCUGAACAUGUUCUGGAGUAUGCUGGUGGUCUUCCAUUAGCUCUAAAAGUUUUGGGAUCCUUUCUAAUUGGUAGAUAUGUGGAUCUAUGGAGAAGUGCCCUAGAAAGACUAAAAAGAGAUCCUUCAUAUAAGAUUAUGAGUAUACUUCAAAUAAGUUUUGAUGGACUACAAGUUUCAGAGAAGAAAAUAUUUCUCGAUGUUGCAUGUUUCUUUAAACGAUGGGAUAGAGAUUACGUGACAGAAAUUCUAGAGGGAUGUGGUUUUUCCCCAGUCAUUGGAUUGGAAGUUCUUAUUGAAAGAUCUCUGUUAACGGUUGAUGACGACAACACAUUGGGGAUGCAUGAUUUGUUAUAGGAAUUGGGACAACUGAUUGUUGCAAGACAAUCCCCCGAAGAACCUGGGAAACGCAGUAGAAUAUGGAGGGGAGAAGAAGUGCGCCAUGUGCUGACAAAAAACACAGUAAGUGAAUUAUUAAAUGGAAAACAUGCUGUGCUCAUUAAUUUCUUUUACCCAAUUGUAUCUAUGUUGAAUUUUCAACAUUUUUACUUUAUUUUUUUAAUCAGUCGUACAAUUAUUUUUUUCUUACAAUUUUCAGGGAAGUGAAGUAGUUGAAGGAAUAAUAAUUGAUCAACGUUACUUUCUUGAAAAUGAUGUGUAUUUAUGGGCAAGUGCUAAGGCAUUUUCGAAGAUGACCAAUCUAAGAUUGCUAGGAAUUUGUAGUCUGAAACUUCCCGAAGGCCUUGAAUGCCUCUCUAACAAGUUGCGGUUACUUGACUGGCCUGGUUAUCCUUUGAAAUCUUUGCCGCCCAAUUUGCAAUUGGAUAAAACAAUUGAAUUUAAAAUGUUAUGCAGCCGCAUUGAAGAAUUGUGGAAAGGAAUCAAAGUAAGACCAAUAUUUUUGUCACUGAUUUAUAAUUUUUUGGUGAAAAGUUGUUGAUAAUAAUUUUAUUAUUAUACCCGUAAAUGAAUUAAUUGCUCCUUUUGGUUUUCAACAGUCUUUAAACAUGUUGAAAGUCAUGAAAGUCAGCUAUUCGCAGAGCCUGAUUAAGAUACCAGAUUUCACUGGAGUCCCAAAUUCAGAGAAGUUGUAUCUUAAAGGAUGUACGAGGUUGCAUGAAAUUCACCCGUCUUUGCUGCUUCACAGUAAGCUUGUCAUACUGAACUUGACAGGUUGUACAUGUUGAAGUCAAUAAAUUGUUGGUGCAAAUUUGUUGAAGUCAACAAAUUGUUGGUGCAACCAACAAUUGUAGAGAAGCAAAAUCAAAUUGAUUUUGUAAGCCGAAAAGAAAGAAUGGACAAAGGGGAUAGAUUUGAAAAAUAAUAAUAAUUAAAUAGCUAAGGAUUUCAUUAUAUUUUUAAUUAUUUUAUUCUUUGCAUAGUAAUUCAUUUCUUCUAUAAAUAGCUAAGGAUUUCAUUCAUUUGAAAGCAUUCCAAAAUUGUUAAGUUUAUAAGUUUUUAAGCUUUUGAGAAAAGUGAGAAAAGUGAGAAAAGUGUGUCUGGGGAAUUUAUCUUUCCUGCAGAGUGUGAGAGUACUGGAUAUAUUUGGGUUUCUGGAAAGUGAGAUUCGUUACUCAAAUAUUUGUACUCUAUUAAUUGUUAAAUAAACAAUUAUUCUUUUUUGCCUCCGUGGAUGUAGGUUUAAUUACUGAACCAUAUUAAAUUCUUGUGUCCUUUAUUUUUCAGUAAUUAUUUAGUGCGCUUGAUUCCGCAUUCCGCGCACAACAAGUGGUAUCAGAGCCGACGGUUUGUACUUGGGGGAUACGGUACUGUUCACAUAUACGUACUGUUCACGUAUACGGUACUGUUCACAUAUACGGUACUGUUCACGUAUACGGUACUGUUUACAAAUAUGGUGGAGACGACCAUUUGUACUUGGGAGACAGUCUAUUGUAAGUAGUGUGUAUUUUUGCAUGUCUAGGAAAGUUCUGUCAACAAAGGCGAUAAGAGUCUAAGGAUUCUGGUUUUUAAUUGGGACCGAGUUCUUGUCCAGUCUCCUGGGAAUUUUCCUGGUGCAUUUAUUCACGCGAAAUUAACAUCAUAGAGACUGUUUUUCAAGUGAAAAUAGUUCGUUCAGAAAAUGGUAGAAGGUGAAACUUUCAGAAUUGAGGAGAGAUCUACCGAGACUAUUUCAGGAGACACUUCAGGUGGGAGGCAAGAUUUGUCAAAUCGGUAUUCAGUGUUGAGUGUUAGAAAAUGCAUAUUUAUAAAGGAGAAAACCGUCAUUUUACAUUUCAAGUCUUAUUAACAACCCUUACUUUUAUGUAUUUAACCUUCUUGUGAUUUAAUUACAUGUGUUUUAUUUUAAUUAAGUAUUUUAUGUAUUUUAGGGGCAUUAUAGUCAUUUCACAAUAAAGGAGAGAUCAGAUGGAAAAACAGACAUCACUUUUGAACUCAGGACGGUCGAAAACCUUAGCAGGGGCAUAAAAGGAAAAAUGGCACUAUUCACAUGUACGGUACUAUUCACGUAUACGGUACUGUAUAUGUUACUGUUCACGGCACUGUUCACAUAGACGGAUCGAUGACGUGGCAUUGACCAAUGAUGUGGCAUUGACUGAUGAGGUGUCACGAUCCUGUUGGACUAAAAUUCUUAUGUACUGUUGAUGGUGACGUGGCAGCAUAUCAGUGGACGAAAAAUCUCGCGUACGGUGCAUGCAUCACACAGGAUUAUUUUCAACCAAACCGUGUUACUGUUCAUCCACGUGGUCAAACCGUGGACUGUUGACUGAUGACGUGGCGCAAUCCUGAGCGUCCAAACUGUUUUUAAUCCGAUGGCCAUGAUUUACUCCAUGUAUCUAUAAAAAGGGGGCCUCUCCCCCUAAUUUGAUAGCUCUGAAUCCAUUUUUGGGAUCCAUUUUCUGCAAUUCCUUCUCCAUCUUGUAUUUUCUUUGUAUUUUAAUAAAUUCCCAUUUUGCCCUUAGUUCAAUUAUGAGUAGCUAAUUUCCUUUCAAGCUUGGGUUGAAGGUGAAGUCUCAACAUGUGUCAUGGGCUUUAUUUGGUAAAUUUAUUUUCUUUUUCCCUCUAGUUUUUGUGGAUGAUUUGACUUAUCGUCGACAAAUAAUACUGAUCUUGUCUAGAUACCGCCUUGGUUACACCGGCUCUCUAGUAUAAGGUUAUAAUUAUUUGGCACGAUAAGCCCUUAGCACCAUAUUGAUUAGAGCGUGGUUCGGAUUCCCCCCUCAUGAUUUAAUUGGCAUUAAUACGGAUUAUUUAGCCCAUGAUGCAUGUUGAUACGGAUCCAGAUACCCAAGUACGUCAUUUCAAUACAUUUCUCUUCAAUUUAUUCUCGCCAUUGCAAUUCCAAUUUUAGAAUUUAUUCUCGCCAUUUUAAUUUAAGUUUUAGCAUAUUCCAAAUCAUUUCUACCACAGAUCCAAUCAACCAUUUGCAAAAUUAAUUCUAUACACAAUUAAAAUCUACCUCCUCGUGGGAUCGACACUCGUCACCAUUGAUCUAUACUACAAUAGAUUCGUGCGCUUGCGAGUACAUUAAAAUUUGCACAACAAGUUUUUGGCGCCGUUGCAGGGGAAGUAAGUAAUUUUAAUUCAUAGAAUUAAUUUUUGUGAAUAAUUUCUUUUAUUUGUUUUCUUGUAUUUUUUAUUAAAAAAAAAAAGUAAAUCUACAUUUAAAGGUUAGUAUUUCUUUUCUUUUUCUCUUCUUUAAAAUUCUGUAAUUUAAUUUUCAAUUUAUUUUUUCUUUGUAAUUUUUGUUUAUUUUAUUAAUUUAAUUUUUAGUUAAUUUAUUUCACGUAUUUGUUUUUGUGUAUUUUUAUAGAAAGGUUGUAAUAGCGCAAUAAGGUUAGUAUCGUAAUUUCUCCCUCUUCUUUAUUUUUAUUUGUUUUGUUCCCAUCGUUAUUUUUAUUUUAUUUGUUUUGCAUGCAUGGUCGUAGGUCAUUAUUACCUAAUCUUGAACCUAUAGACAUUGAACUAGAAAAAACACUUCGCACACAAAAGCACAUUAAAAAUAAAUUUGGAAUGGAUUUACAAGCACCACAAGAGAGGCCAUUCAAGGACUAUUUUAGUCCUUUAGCUAAUUUGAGCACAUCAUGCAUAAGAUACCCAAAUGUAGCUGCUAGGAGCUUUGAACUAAAACCUAGUGUGCUAAAUUGUCUCCCCACAUUCUAUGGCCUAGAAAAUGAGGACCCAUAUAAUCAUCUGAAUGAUUUUCAUGCCAUUUGUCAAACUUUUAAAUAUGAAAAUUUUUCAGACGAUGAUGUUAAACUUAGAUUAUUCCCAUUUUCUUUAAAGGAUAAAGCUCGUUCAUGGUUAAAUACUUUGCCUGCUAAUAGCAUUGCAUCAUGGGAGCAAAUGGUUACAAAAUUUCUAAAUAAAUAUUUCCCAGUGCAUAAAACCAAUUCUAUUCGCAGGGAAAUUUCAGAGUUUACACAAAGAGAGGACGAGCAGUUUUUCGAAACUUGGGAGCGAUUCAAUGGGCUACUCUUGAAGUGUCCACAUCAUGGGUACGAGAAAUGGCACCAAUGCCAAUACUUUUUGGAGGGAUUAUUGCCGAAUGUGCAAGAAUGGCUAAUGGCAACAAGUGGAGGAGAGCUAAUGUCAAAAAGUGCAACAGAGAUUUGGGAAUUCUUCCAGCGACAAGCGGAUAAUUCCCAACAACAGAGUCGAUCACUCAGGAAUACUAGAAGAAUUAAAGGAGUAAAUGAGGUUCAAAUUGGAGAGUCAACUUCGGAAAUCAAAGAAGUCAAGGAGAUGGUUGAAGGUCUUGCUCGACAAAUAGCAUCGUUGUCGACUGCUAAAUCAACAGAACCACAUGACCAUGACUCAUACUCCGAUCAAGCCAAUGCCAUAGGUGUAAUGAGAAAACCAUCGAAUUACAACCCAUACUCCAACACAUAUAACCCUGGAUGGAGAGACCGCCCCAAUUUUUUAUGGUCUCAAGGAUUCCAACAGAAUGGACCAGCAGCUCCAACUCCACCAAUGCAACAAAUUCCUUAAAAUCCUCAAGCCUCUCAGCCACCAUUCAGACCAUACAAUCAGAACCAGAACUACUCUCAACCCAGACCAUGGGAGGAUGCAUUCCAGAAUUUCAAGAAUGUUACUCACUCUACGAUUGAGCAACAGAAUCGCACCAUUGAUGGACUACGAAAUGAAUUGAGAGCGGGCUUCAACUCACAAGCCCAAUCAGUUUCAAGCCUCGAGAAGAUGGUGGGACAACUUGCUUCUUCAGUUCAGACCUUGGCGAUGACUGUUGCGAAAGGCAAGUUUCCAAGUCAACCAGUGCCUAACCCUAAAGGAGUACAUGAAGCAAGUACCAGUUCACCACAGCAGCAUGGAGAGGUCAAAGCAGUCAUGACCUUACGAAAAGGAAAAGAAGUCGACAACAAAGUGGAGAUGCCGGUGACAAAAGAAAAUCAAAUUGUACCUGUAAAUGCUGAGGACUCACCACCGGAGGAGAAAGAAGAAACCAACCCACGAGAGUACAUUCCCAAGGCUCCAUUUUCUCAUAGGUUAGCUAAAGGAAAAAAAGAGAAAAUCCACAGGUGAGAUUCUCGAAAUCUUCAAACAGGUAAGUGUUAACAUCCCUUUACUUGAUGCUAUAAAGCAAGUUUCAUCUUAUGCCAAGUUUCUUAAAGACCUUUGUACUAAAAAGAGAAAUAUGUAUGUUCAAAAGAAGGCAUUUUUAACAGAAAACAUUAGUUCUAUACUCCAACAUAAAAUUCCUUUAAAAUGCAAAGACCCAGGCUCCCCCACUAUCUCAUGUAGUAUAGGGAACCACACAAUUGAGAAUGCUUUGUUGGAUUUAGGAGCUAGUGUAAAUCUAUUGCCUUACUCAGUAUUUUUGAAACUUGGACUGGGAGAAUUACACCCAACUCCAGUGGUGUUACAGCUUGCAGAUCGGUCAACGAAAAUACCUCGUGGUAUUGUGGAGGACGUGCUUAUCCAGGUAGACAAGUUUUAUUUUCCUGUUGAUUUCAUUGUAAUUGACACUCAACCAAUACAGGACUCAAGGAAGCACAUCCCCAUUAUUCUAGGCCGACCUUUCUUGGCAACUGCAGAUGCUCAUAUUCAAUGUAGGACCGGAAAUAUGCAAUUGUCCUUCGGCAACAUGACUAUGGAGCUAAAUAUUUUCAACAUUGCCAAACAACCUCACAGUGCAGAUGAUGGAAUUGUUGAUGUGGAUUUAAUAGAAACAAUAGUUGAUAAUACUUUUCUUUCAAACCUUAGUGAUGAUCCUUUACAAACAUGUUUAACUCACUUUGGUUUGGAUUUUGAUAUUGACAGAUCGGUUGAUGAGGUCAACGCUCUACUUGACUCAGCACCAUCCAUGGACACUAAUAAAUGGAAGUCAAGAGUUGAACAACUAGCACCAUCAGAGAAGAAACUCAUUCCAUCAUCAGAAUCACCACCGAAACUCGAGCUCAAACCAUUACCCAACACAUUGGAAUAUGCAUUUUUGGGGGAAGAAAGUACUCUACCGGUAAUCAUCUCAUCAUCCCUUAAUGACGAACAAAAAGGUAAGUUGUUGGAUGUUUUGAAAGAGCACAAAGGGGCAUUAGGAUGGACCAUAGCAGACAUAAAAGGUAUAAACCCUGCAGAUUGCAUGCAUUACAUUCACCUUGAUGAAAAUGCUAAAUCUACUAGGGAAAUGCAACGUCGGUUAAAUCCUAAUAUGAAAGAAGUUGUUAGAACAGAAGUCCUUAAGCUAUUAGACGCAGGUAUCAUUUACCCAAUUUCUGAUAGUUCAUGGGUCAGUCCUGUACAAGUUGUCCCCAAAAAGUAAGGAGUCACAGUAGUUACCAAUGCUGAUAAUGAAUUGAUACCAACUAGAGUAACUACAGGAUGGCGUGUAUGCAUUGAUUAUAGAAAGUUGAAUUCUGUCACACGUAAAGACCAUUUUCCUUUACCAUUUAUUGAUCAAAUGCUUGAUAGAUUAGCAGGCCAUGAAUUUUAUUGCUUUCUAGAUGGCUACUCAGGAUAUAAUCAGAUUCCCAUAGCACCAAAAGAUCAAGAGAAAACUACUUUCACUUGCCCUUUUGGCACUUUUGCAUAUAGGAGAAUGCCAUUUGGAUUAUGUAAUGCACCUGCUACAUUCCAACGAUGCAUGUUGAGCAUUUUUUCUGAUAUGGUUGAAUGAUUCCUUGAAGUCUUUAUGGAUGAUUUUUCUGUCUUUGGUGACUCGUUUGAUCAAUGUUUACAUCAUCUAACAUUAGUUCUGCAGAGAUGUAUCGAGAAGAGCUUAGUCUUAAAUUGGGAGAAGUGUCAUUUUAUGGUAAAAUAAGGUAUUGUUCUCGGUCACAUCAUUUCGAGCAAAGGUAUUGAGGUUGACAAAGCCAAGGUGGAUCUCAUUUCUAAUCUUCCUCCACCCAAAACAGUCAGGGAAGUAAGAUCUUUCUUUGGGCAUGCUGGUUUUUAUAGACGUUUUAUUAAAGAUUUUAGCAAAGUUUCUAGAACCUUAUGCAAUCUACUUGCUAAGGAUGUACCUUUUGUCUUUAAUGAUUCAUGUCUUGUUGCGUUUGAAAAAUUAAAGCAUUUGUUGACAUCAUCACCCAUCAUUCAGCCCCCAAACUGGAGCUUACCAUUUGAGCUCAUGUGUGAUGCAUCUGAUUAUGCAGUAGGAGCAGUAUUAGGACAAAGAGUUGAUCGAGUUCCCCAUGUUAUUUACUAUGCUAGUAUGACAUUGAAUGAUGCACAGUUGAACUAUUCAACUACUGAAAAAGAAAUGCUAGCAGUAGUGUUUGCAUUGGAAAAAUUUCGAUCUUAUCUCAUUGGUUGUAAAAUAAUUAUAUUCACAGAUCAUGCUGCUCUUAAAUAUCUUCUCACAAAGAAAGAUGCAAAAGCUAGACUAAUUCGUUGGGUGUUACUUUUGCAGGAAUUUGACUUGGAAUUCAAAGAUAAGAAAGGGACAGAAAAUGUUGUGGCGGACCACCUCUCUCGUCUCCAUUUUGACACAAUAACAGAGCCAUUAAUAUUGAAUGAGUCAUUCCCAGAUGAACAAUUAAUGAGUGUGGAAGUAUUACCUUGGUAUGCUGAUAUAGUUAAUUAUCUUGUUACAGGUAAACUUCCAGAGCAUUGGACCAAGCAAGACAAGGCUAAAUUCUUUGCAAAGAUAAAGAAUUUCUUUUGGGAUGACCCAUAUUUGUUCAAGUAUUGUGCAGACCAAAUUGUUAGACGAUGUGUCCCUGAAAAUGAAAUUCAGAAUAUUCUUUCAUUCUGCCAUGAACAAGCUUGUGGAGGCCAUUUCAGUGCUAAGAAAACGGCAACUAAAGUUUUACAAUGUGGUUUUUAUUGGCCAACUAUAUUUUGAGACGCUUACACUUUCUGUUCUUCAUGUGAUAGGUGUCAACGAAUGGUGAGCAUUACGCGAAGGAACAUGAUGCCACUAAAUCCAAUUUUAGUGGUUGAGAUUUUUGACGUCUGGGGUAUCGACUUCAUGGGACCCUUUCCCUCUUCUUUUGGCCAUCAAUACAUAUUGGUUGGUGUUGACUACGUAUCGAAAUGGGUGGAAGCAAUUCCAUGCAGAACCAAUGAUCACAAAGUGGUGAUAGGAUUUUUGAAAAGCAACAUUGUUUCACGCUUUGGAUUCCCUCGAGCGAUAAUCAGUGAUGGUGGUGCCCACUUUUGUAACAAAGCAUUCAAGGCUCUUUUGACAAAGUAUUCAAUCACACACAAAGUGGCGACCCCGUAUCAUCCGCAAACCAGUGGCCAAGUUGAGAUCUCCAAUCGAGAAAUAAAGCACAUAUUAGAAAAGACGGUGAGGCCAGACAGAAAGAGAUUGGUCAUUAAGACUUGGUGAUGCAUUAUGGGCAUAUAGAACGGCUUUCAAGACCGCGAUUGGGAUGUCACCCUAUAGGCUAGUGUAUGGAAAAGCUUGCCACCUAUCUGUGGAACUCGAGCAUCUUGCAUAUUGGGCCAUCAAGAAAUUCAACUUUGACAUGCAGCAAGCCAGCUCAGAAAGAAGAUUACAACUGGCAGAACUUGAAGAAAUUCGCAAUGAUGCAUACGAAAAUGCCAAAAUUUACAAGCAACGAAUGAAAGUCUUUCAUGACAAGCACAUUAUGAGAAAAUCUUUCACUCCAGGUCAGAAAGUGCUUUUAUUCAAUUCUCGCUUGCACCUAUUCCCAGGUAAGUUACGCUCUCGAUGGUCUGGUCCCUUUAUUGUUCAUACUGUUUUUCCACAUGGGGCAAUUGAAAUUAAAGACCCAAAGAACGGUGUCACGUUUAAAGUUAAUGGUCAAAGAUUAAAGCCAUAUCUAGAAUACUAACCACAUGGAGAAGACACCGAAAUAAAUUUGAGUGACCCACCAGAUUUGAAUUGAUUUUUAUUCUUCUUUUCGUUGAUUUGAUUUUUCUUUCUUUCUUUUUAUUAUUCUUUUGCUAAUUGAAAUUAUUUUUGCAUAAGUGUGUUUGUUUAACAAUUAAGUUUUCUCUUAUCAUUUUUAAUCAUGAGUACCUUACUUAGACCGUUCCUCCUGAACAUUCUUAAACCACUUCAACGUGUCAAAACUCAUCUCAAACGGCAAAUUCAAUUUUGUAAAACACAUCGUAUUUGGGCUCUACAACCACCAGAGUUAGUAGCCUAUGUUGAGGGUUUAGAACGCCAACUCAGAGACAUUGAGAGAAGUGUUUACGACAUCCAGUUGGAGCUUGAGGUAAAUUCAAUAAGAGGACGAUUUUAAUUUUCUUUGUGUGUUUUAAUUUGUUUUUCUGUUUGUGUGCUUUAGUUUGUUACCCCGGUGAAAUGGCGGAUAACGGUACUCCGUGACAAUCAAGUCGAUUACUUCAGUUUCCCACAAUAACUGACAUUCUGAGGCGAAAGUAUGGACAGAAACGAGAUUCUAGCGAAGCUUCACAAGCGAUUCCCUUCACUUCCUCAGAAUGCCCUCCUUACGAUCUAUAAAGCUCGGUCCGAACGCAUGCGAUUACUCAUGAAGAAUAACAUACCUGCUGACAUCCGUUGGUUAAUCGAGGCUAAAGUACGAUCGGCAGGUGAGUUACCUCCAAAAUUUAUUGCAUUCAUGCCUGGUUGUGGUAAAGGAAAUUAUGCAAGAAAACGACGAGCUCGAAGAAUUUCUGUUGCUUGUCAUAAGUGUGCCAGAAUGAGUUGCGAUAGAAACCCAUGUUCUUUAGGAAUGGUGUCUGAUAACAGGGAAGAUAAGAUUCAAUUCAUUAGGGAUGGCUUGAAUAAGGAGUCAUUGGAUGAUAUCCUUUUGUCUCUUGAAACGCAUCCCAGUGGAUAUGUGCAAGGAGCGAUUCUCCGGUUAUGGCCAUUAUUCCAGAAAGAGCAUGCACGAUAUAGUCUCGGGAAUCUGACUAUAAACGACCCUGUUUGUCAGUUUAUAAGAAAAAUGGAUGGGAAGCCGAUCCUCGACCCAUAGAGGGCGUUCAAGCCGUUUCUGGACGUAAAACCAGAGGAAGAUGUGAGCCAUAGUCGCAACUACGUGUAAAUAUCUUUUACUUUACUGUUAUUUUAUUUCAUUUCACUGUUGUUUUAUUGUUUGCAUUAUUGUCUUUAAUAAUUUUAUUACUGUUUGCUUUGUCCUUUUUACUGUUUCCUUUUUGACUCGCGAGCCACGUGCUUUACGCGUUAUUUGACACUGAUAUGUUACCUCAUUCACAGCUGUGAUCCAUUGUCACCAAGAUUCUUAAAUGUGAUUUAUCUUUUGUCAAGCACUCACAAAUUAUUUUUGAGAAGUAUCACAAUGGCAGCUACUCCCAAUAGACAAUUCAAGAACAUUUGUGUGCUUUCUGGAUUUACCUAUGGCAAACAUAAAGAGUUCGUGGAGGCAGCCAUAGAUCUUGGUCGAAGCAUAGCAGCGAGAAAAUUACACUUGGUGUAUGGAGGAGGUAACCGAGGGCUAUCAAAAAUGGUCUCAGAAGCAGCUUUUAUCAGAGGAAGUCAAGUGUUAGGCAUCAUCCCAAGAGUCCUAAAACCAUUGGGCAGUUCGUCUGACUCAUCAACUGGAGAAGAGUUAGUUGUCUCAGGUAUGCAAGAAAGAAUAACUGAAAUGCUUAAUCAUGCUGAUGCUUUUAUUUUCCUUCCAGGAGAUCUUGCAACACUAGAGGCACUUAUCACACUAGCAUCUUGGGCCCAUCUGCACAUCCACCAGAAACCCAUCGAUUUGUUAAAUGUCAAUAACUUUUAUGAUGGCUUUAUCGCAUUUCUUAACCAUGCAAUAAAAAACUAUUUCAUUCCUUCUAAUGUGAAAAAACUCUUUAUUUGUGCUCACACUGCUAAUGAGCUACUUGAUAUGUUACAAGCUUAUAAACCGGAGCCAGACCCCUGGACCUUUGUGUUGGAGCGACCAAAUAAUGAUGGUAAUAGUAGCCGCAGUAAGAAGUACAAAUUAGAUUUAACUGUCCGCCUGUAAAUAUUUUCUUCUGUGUUGCACCACCCAGGUGAUGUCUUCUAAACUCUACUUAUUUCCUUUAAAACAUUGAGGACAAUGUUUCGUUCUGGUUGGGGGGAGGAACUAGUCGACAAUUGUGGAAUCUUGGUUAAGUUUUUACUGAUUUUUUGUUGUAGAAACUAACUGUUGCUAACAUUUUGUGUUGAAGAUGGUUGAAUAUGGAGUGUAGUUACUCUAGAAACGCAUCUUCAUCGUUUUAAAAAAAAAAAAAAAAACCUUUUUCUUCCUCUUUCUCCUUUAUAAAUAUAUAUUUUCAAAUUUUUGAGUCGAAGAUGGCUGAAUAUGGAGUGUAGUGCCUCUAGAAACGCAUCUUCUUAGUUUAAAAAAAAAAUUCUUUUUUCUAAUAAAUUUUUCUACAUCAUUUUCACAUUUCUGCAUGCAUAUUUUUCUUUCAUAUUUAGAAUAGGUUGGGGGGUAGAAUGUUGUUUAAAAAAAAAAAUUGUGUUAUUUGUUUUAACAUUGGAUGACAUGAUUAAUUUCAAAUUUUAGUAUUUGUAUUAUCUUUGGUCUUAAGUGAUGUUACGCUAUGUUUGCUACUUUACAUGUUGAUGUCGGAGACAAAUAUGAGUUGCUUGAAGGAAUGAACAUGUCAUAAAUAAGUGCCAAGUGAGUUGUUGAGCCUAUCAUUUUCUUGGAGAGUAACCAUUUUGCCCAUUCUCUAUACAGCUUAGCAGUUUAUUAUUUUAUACACGAUCUCUAGAUUUCUUUUAAGUUAACCCUUUAAAAAAAAAUGGUAAAAUUAAAAAAAAAAGAAAAAAGAAAAAAAAUGUGUGUUGCUACAUUGGGAGGCCCAUCUAACUAGUAGAUAUGGAUAAUUAUUUAGAGCCCUAAAAGACGAUGGAAAUGCCAUCUUUGAUCCGUUUGAGCCUUUCUAGCCAUCCGUUUUAUUAAAUAUCCAUAGUUACCCCUUUUGAGCCUUUAAAAAAAAAAAAAAAAAAAACCUUUUCUUUGUCAACUUAUCAUCUUGACCCACUCCGAUUUGGAGUAUUACCCAAUGUCUUUUAAGUUCCAUCACCUAUUUAUGUUUGAGAAAAUGUAAAUAAUUAUGUUGUUCAGUGAAGUUAUGCCAAAUAAAAGCAAAAAGAAAAAAAAAAACAAAAACAAAAGUUGUUGUUUCAAACGAAUAAAAAUAACAAUAAUAGGUGAAAUCCACCUUGCAAGUUCCAAAAAAAAAAAAAAAAAUUCUGCAUGUUUCUCAAACAUACACUUUGUUUUCCUUAUUUCCUUUCUUUGUUAGCCAUAUCCCUAGCCUACGUUACGUCCUAAUAAAAGUCCUUCUUGAUUUUAGGGAACUAUAGUUUGAAGUAGAAGCUAGUUAUAUGGGCUAAAAAGAUGUAGUGAUGCAUAAUAAUAAAAAAAAAAAGAUAAAUAAAGUGGGUUGACUAACAUUUUAUUUGACUUGAGAUCGUAUUAUUUCUAAGCUGAGGGCAUAUUUAUUUCAUCUUGGUGAGAGCAUGUGAUAUCAUUUCUUUAUUAUUUUCUCUCUCAAUUACCAUUCAUUGGAGUGACUAUGUUUUUUGGGGUUUGACAUGUCAUUCUUGAAAGUAGCUAUAACAAAGUCUACUGGCUAAUUCAUGUGGAUGGUUGAUGUGGGUGUGAUGUUGCUUUAGACUGGAGAUAAUGCUUAUACUUUUAUUUGAUUACUAUCAUUAAUCUGAUUGAAUAAACACGAGUGUUUCUAAAAAAAAAAAAAAAAAAAUCAUUUUGAAUUUGAAUUUUGUUUUCGCUUUAUUUGCUAGGGACUAGCAAUAAGCUGGUUGGGGGGUGUGUUGAGUGUUAGAAAAUGCAUAUUUAUAAAGGAGAAAACCGUCAUUUUACAUUUCAAGUCUUAUUAACAACCCUUACUUUUAUGUAUUUAACCUUCUUGUGAUUUAAUUACAUGUGUUUUAUUUUAAUUAAGUAUUUUAUGUAUUUUAGGGGCAUCAUAGCCAUUUCACAAUAAAGGAGAGAUCAGAUGGCAAAACGGACAUCACUUUUGAACUCAGGAUGGUCGAAAACCUUAGGAGGGGCAUAAAAGAAAAAAUGGCACUAUUCACAUGUACGGUACUAUUCACGUAUACGGUACUGUAUAUGUUACUGUUCACGGCACUGUUCACAUAGACGGAUCGAUGACGUGGCAUUGACCGAUGAUGUGGCAUUGACUGAUGAGGUGUCACGAUCCUGUUGGACUAAAAUUCUUAUGUACUGUUGAUGGUGACGUGGCAGCAUAUCAGUGGACGAAAAAUCUCGCGUACGGUGCAUGCAUCACACAGGAUUAUUUUCAACCAAACCGCGUUACUGUUCAUCCAGGUCAAACCGUGUUACUGUUCAUCCGCGUGGUCAAACCGUGGACUGUUGACUGAUGACGUGGUGCAAUCCUGAGCGUCCAAACUGUUUUUAAUCCGAUGGCCAUGAUUUACUCCAUGUAUCUAUAAAAAGGGGGCCUCUCCCCCCUAAUUUGAUAGCUCUGAAUCCAUUUUCUGUAAUUCCUUCUCCAUCUUGUAUUUUCUUUGUAUUUUAAUAAAUUUCCAUUUUGCCCCUAGUUCAAUUAUGAGUAGCUAAUUUCCUUUCAAGCUUGGGUUGAAGGUGAAGUCUCAACAUGUGUCAUGGGCUUUAUUUGGUAAAUUUAUUUUCUUUUUCCCUCUAGUUUUUGUGGAUGAUUUGACUUAUCGUCGACAAAUAAUACUGAUCUUGUCUAGAUACCACCUUGGUUACACCGGCUCUCUAGUAUAAGGUUAUUAUUAUUUGGCACGAUAAGCCCUUAGCACCAUAUUGAUUAGAGCGUGGUUCAUGAGGUGUGGAUUCCCCCCUCAUGAUUUAAUUGGCAUUAAUACGGAUUAUUUAGCCCAUGAUGCAUGUUGAUACGGAUCCAGAUACCCAACUACGUCAUUUCAAUACAUUUCUCUUCAAUUUAUUCUCGCCAUUGCAAUUCCAAUUUUAGAAUUUAUUCUCGCCAUUUUAAUUUAAGUUUUAGCAUAUUCCAAAUCAUUUCCACCACAUAUCCAAUCAACCAUUUGCAAAAUUAAUUUUAUACACAAUUAAAAUCUACCUCCUCGUGGGAUCGACACUCAUCACCAUUGAUCUAUACUACAAUAGAUUCGUGCGCUUGUGAGUACAUUAAAAUUUGCACAACAUUCAGCACCUGUUAUAGGAGGUCACAAGAUCGAUGUUGAAAAGUUUGAUGGGAAAAUCAACUUCGGCAUGUGGAGGCGCGAAGUUAUGGAUGCUCUUAUUCAAAUCGAUCUUGAUGUUGUUCUGAAAAAUAAAAGACACUUGUAUGAUGAAGAAAUUUGGGAUCGUAUGAACGAGAAAGCUUGUGGUCAGAUCAGAUCUUGUUUGACCAAGGAGGUGAAAUACUUGGUGAAAGAUGAGGAGUGUGCGGUGACUUUGUGGCGUACAUUGGAGGAGAAGUACCUAGUGAAAAGUCCUGAAAAUCGCCUUCAUGCAAUGAGCCAAGUAUAUGGUUUUCGAAUGAAGCCUGGGGUGUCAAUGCACGAUCAUGUUUCAAGAUUUGAAAAGUUAUUUGCUGAUUUGAAGAAUCUUGAUGAAGAUAUUAAGGAUGAAGUUAAGGCUAUGAUUCUGUUACACUCAUUACCAGAGGAAUAUAGCCAUUUUGUGACUAUUUUGAUAUAUGGGAAAAGUGUGAUAGUCUUUAAAGAUGUUUGCACAGCAUUGACUAGCUUAGAGAUUCAGAAUAAUAAUAAAAAUUCUGAACGAGCAUCGUCUGAAGCUUUGGUGAGCAGAGAUUGGGCGAUGGAGAAACAAAAGAAGCGUGGUGGAAAGAAUUCUCGAUCCAAAUCGAGAAGCAGAAAUAUAGCUCGAGAUGAGUGUGCCUUUUGUCAUGAAAAGGGCCAUUGGAGGAAAGAUUGUCCAAAGGCUCAAAAGAGAGAUGGGAAGAAACCAGCAGCAGCAAACAUGGCACGGAAAGAUGAGGGCUCUGAUUAUUCACUAAGUAUUACUUCUGCAGCAUACGUGGCUAGUUCGAGCGAGUGGAUACUUGAUACUGGAGCAACCUAUCAUUUGUGUCCUAUUAAGAAAUGGUUUACAGAUUUUCGUAAUCUGGAAUCUGGUGCAGUUGUGAUGGAGAAUAAUCAACCUUGUCGCACAAUGGGGAUAGGAACAAUUCGGCUCAAAAUGUUUGAUGGAAUGGUAAGAGAACUCAAAGAGGUUAGAUUUGUUCCAGCUUUAAAGAAAAAUCUAAUUUCUGUGGGUACUUUGGAAGCUAAAGGCUACAAGGUUACCAUUGAAGAUGGUAUAAUGAAGUUUACACAUGGGACUAUGGUGAUUCUGCAAGGGGUCCGGCGUCAUAAUCUGUACUAUUUGAAGGGAGGUACAACUGAUGAAGCAAAUGUUGUUGAGGCGCACAGUGACACCACCAAGCUAUGGCAUGUACGACUGGGACAUGCUGGAGAGAAGUCUUUGCAAACUCUGAUGAGGCAUGGACUCUUAAAAGGUACCAAAACCUGUAAAUUAAAUUUCUGUGAGCAUUGUGUAGUAGGCAAGAAAACAAGGGUCAAGUUUAGUACAGCUAAUCACGAUACUCGUGAGAUCCUUGAAUAUGUUCAUAGUGAUGUAUGGGGACCAACCAAGACUGCAUCAAUUGGUGGAAGCCAUUAUUUUGUUACAUUUGUUGAUGAUUUCUCUAGACGUAUGUGCGUGGACACCAUGCGAGCAAAAGAUGAGGUUCUAGAGAUUUUCGUGAAAUGGAAGAAAUUGAUGGAGACUCAAACUGGCAGAUAUAUCAAAGUAUUACGAUCUGAUAAUGGGGGUGAAUAUACUUCUGAUUCAUUCUUGCAAGUAUGCUAGAAUGAGGGUAUUAAAAGACAUUUCACGGUGAGACAUACUCCGCAACAGAACGGUGUGGCUGAGCGUAUGAAUCGUACUUUACUGGAGAAGGUACGAUGUAUGUUAUCUAAUGUUGGUUUAGAUAAAAAGUUUUGGGCUGAAGCUGUGAGCUACGCAAGUCACUUGGUAAACCGGUUGCCUUCUGCUGCAAUUGGAGGUAAAACUCCUAUGGAAAUGUGGUUUGGAAAGCAUGCACAAGACUAUGAUUCCCUUCGUGUAUUCGGGUGUCCAACUUAUUAUCAUGUCAAAGAUGGUAAAUUGGAUCCUCGUGCUAGAAAAGCUAUCUUUGUGGGAUUCAAAGGUGGAGUAAAGGGCUUCAAGCUUUGGGAUCUCGAAGACAAAAAGUUUGUGUGUAGUAGAGAUGUCACAUUUGGUGAAGCUUCAAUGAUGAAAGCUUUAAGUUCUCAGCAGGUGGAGAACAAGACCAAAGAAGUAUUGCAGCGGGUGGAGUUUAAUGCAACUCCAUAUGUACCAGUUAGUUCUACAUCAAAGAAGAGUUCAACUAUGGAGGUGACACCUAGAGUUGAAGAAGUUGUUUCUUCUGAUGUCCCACAAAAUGAAGAGACAACUGAUGAUGUAGAUAAUGAUGAUUUUAUAGCAACAAUGAGGCCAAGAAGAGAGAUAAAGAAACCCGGAUGGCUUACUAAAGAUAUGGUGGUAGCCUAUGCACUUCCAGUUAUUGAUGAUGACAUCCCCAACACUUUCGGUGAAGCAUUACGCAGCAGUAAAAGUGAUCAAUGGAAGCUAGUUGUUGUGCAAAUUUUAAUGUACUCGCAAGCACACGAAUCUAUUGUAGAAUAGACUAAUGGUGACGAGUGUCGAUCCCACGAGGAGGUGGAUUUUAAUUAUAUGUAGAAUUAAUUUUGUAAAUGGGUGGUUGGAAUUGUGGUGGAAGUGAUUUAAAUUAUCCUAAAAUUGGAAUUGAAAUGGCGAUAAUAAAUUCUAAAAUUGGAUUUGCAAUGGCGAGAAUAAAUUGAAGAGAAAUCUAUUGAAAUGACGUACUUGGGUAUCUGGAUCCGUAUCAACAUGCAUCAUGGGCUAAAUAAUCCUUAUUAAUGCCAAUUAAAUCAUGAGGGGGGAAUCCACACCUCACGAACUACGCUCUAAUCAAUAUGGUGCUAAGGGCUUAUCGUGCCAAAUAAUAAUAACCUUGUACUAGAGAGCAGGUGUAAAAAAUGCGGUAUCUAGACAAGAUUAUUAUUAUUUGUCGACGAAAAGUCAAAUCAUCCACAAAAAUUAGAGGGGAAAAGAAAAUAAAUUUACCAAAUAAAGCCCAUGACACAUGUUGAAACUUCACUUUCAACCCAAGCUUGAAAGAAAAUUAGCCACUCAUAAUUGAACUAGGGGCAAAAUGAGAAUUUAUUAAAAUACGUAGAAAAUACAAGAUGGAGAAGGAAUUACAGAGAAUGGAUCCCAAAAAUGGAUUCAGAGCUAUCAAAUUAGGGGGGAGAGGCCCCCUUUUUAUAGAUACAUGGAGUAAAUCAUGGCCAUCGGAUUAAAAACAGUUUGGACGCUCAGGAUUGCGCCACGUCAUCAGUCAACAGUACGCGGUUUGACCACGCAGAUGAACAGUAACACGGUUUGACCCGGGUUGAACAGUAACGCGGUUUGGUUGAAAAUAAUCCUGUGUGAUGCAUGUAUCGUACGCGAGAUUUUUCGUCUACUGAUAUGCUGCCACGUCACCAUCAACAGUACAUAAGAAUUUUAGCCCAACAGGAUCGUGACACCUCAUCAGUAAAUGCCACGUCAUCGGUCAAUGCCACAUCAUCGUCCAUCUAUGUGAACAGUGCCGUGAACAGUAAUGUAUACAGUACCGUACACGUGAAUAGUACCGUACAUGUGAAUAGUAUCAUUUUUCCUUUUAUGCUCCUCCUAAGGUUUUUGACCGUCCUGAGUUCAAAAGUGAUGUCCGUUUUGCCAUCUGAUCUCUCGUUUAUUGUGAAAUGACUAUGAUGCCCCUAAAAUACAUAAAAUACUUAAUUAAAAUAAAACACACGGAAUUAAAUCAAAAGAAUGUUAAAUUCAUAAAAGUAAAGGUCUUAGUAAAACUUGUAGUGUAAAAUGACGAUUUUCUCCUUUAUAAAUAUACAUUUUCUAACACUCAACACUAGCCAUGGAGGAAGAGAUGAAAUCUCUCCAUCAAAACCAGACUUGGGAACUUGUAAAGUUACCAAAGGGGAAAAGGGCUAUUCGCAAUAAAUGAGUCUACACCAAAAAACAAGGAUCUCCGAAUCAAACAACUCUUCGAUACAAGGCAAGACUCGUGGCAAAAGGUUUUGCUCAAAAGGAAGGUAUUGACUACAAUGAAAUUUUCUCUCCAGUUGUAAAACAUACUUCCAUUCGUAUCCUACUUGCCUUAGUUGCAGAAUAUGAGUUAGAGUUGGCGCAAUUGGAUGUUAAGACGGCGUUCUUACAUGGAGAUUUGGAGGAGGAAAUCUAUAUGAUUCAGCCUUGUGGUUUCAAAGUUGCUGGAAAGGAGAAUCAUGUGUGUAGGUUGAUUAAAUCUUUGUACGGACUGAAGCAAUCGCCAAGGCAGUGGUACAAAAGAUUUGAUCAAUUUAUACAAGGGCAGAAAUUCACCAUAAGUGAACACGAUCAUUGUGUUUACUUUAGAAGACUACUAGAUGGAGCCUUCAUCUAUGUAUUACUCUAUGUCGACGAUAUACUUAUAGCUUCGAAGAAUAGAGAUGAGAUCGAAAGAUUAAAGAAGCAGCUGGCUUCUUCUGAGUUCGAGAUGAAAGACUUGGGUGAUGCACAGAGAAUACUUGGGAUGGAGAUUCGUAGAGACAAGAAGAAUGGGAGCAUAUGGUUGACUCAAAAAUCUUAUUUGAAGAAAGUGCUAGAAAGAUUUGGUAUGGAUGACAAAACUAAAUCGGUAUGUACACCUCUAGCUCCUCAUUUCAAAUUAAGCUCUUCUUCAUGUCUUAGAUCUCAAGAGGAGCGCGAUUACAUGGCUCGUGUUCCAUAUGCUAGUGCUGUGGGUAGUCUUAUGUAUGCUAUGGUAUGCACAAGGUCCGAUAUAUCUCAAGCAGUGAGCAUGGUUAGUAGAUACAUGCACAAUCCGGGUAAAAAUCAAUGGCUUGCGGUAAAGUGGAUUCUCCGAUAUCUGUAUGGGACAGUUGACGUUGGGUUAUUGUUCAAGAAGGAUUGUGGCCAACAAUGUGUUGGGUAUUGUGAUUCUGAUUUCGCUGGAGACCUUAACAAGCGAAGAUCAACAACGGGCUACGUAUUCACAUUGGGUGGAGGUCCGGUUAGCUGGAGGUCGAUUCUACAAUCGAAAAUUGCUCUGUCCACUACGGAAGCAGAGUAUAUGGCAGCAACUGAAGCUGUAAAAGAAGCUAUCUGGUUGAAAGGCUUGUUAGGUGAUUUGGGAGUAAUCCAGGAGAACAUUGCGGUCUUCUGUGAUAAUCAAAGUGCGAUAUUCCUUGCGAAGAAUCAAACAUAUCACCUUCAGACGAAGCACAUAGAUGUGAAAUAUCAUUAUGUGAGAGAGGUUAUCGAGAGCGGUGUUGUGUUGUUGAGAAAGAUCAAUACCAAAGAUAAUCCAUCAGAUAUGUUGACGAAGGUAGUUUCUGGAGUUAAGUUUCAACAUUGCUUGAAACUAAUUCAAAUCCUUCGAUUGUGUUAAGUUAUGUCCUUCGGGAAUUUUUGAAUUACGGUUGGCUUGAUCCCAAAUUUUGGGUACGUAGGCAAUCAUAGAGAUGCAGCCACUUUGGGGAUGAUGGCUCGUUAGUAGUCGGCUCAGAUUUGAAAAAUUUUCGCCGAGGUGGAGAUUUGUUGAAGUCAACAAAUUGUUGGUGCAACCAACAAUUGUAGAGAAGCAAAAUCAAAUUGAUUUUGUAAGCCGAAAAGAAAGAAUGGACAAAGGGGAUAGAUUUGAAAAAUAAUAAUAAUUAAAAAUUAUAUUUUUAAUUAUUUUAUUAUUUGCAUAGUAAUUCAUUUCUUCUAUAAAUAGUUAAGGAUUUCAUUCAUUUGAAAGCAUCCCAAAAUUGUUAAGCUUAUAAGUUUCUAAGCUUUUGAGAAAAGUGAGAGAAGGGUGUCUGGGGAAUUUAUCUUUCCUGCAGAGUGUGAGAGUACUUGAUAUAUUUGGGUUUCUGGGAAGUGAGAUUCGUUACUCAAAUAUUUGUACUCUAUUAAUUGUUAAAUAAACAAUUAUUCUUUUUUGCCUCCGUGGAUGUAGGUUUAAUUACCGAACCACGUUAAAUUCUUGUGUCCUUUAUUUUUCAGUAAUUAUUUGGUGCGCUUGAUUCCGCAUUCCGCGCACAACAGUACAAGUCUUGCAACUCUUCCAGGCAAGAUUUUUAUGAAAUCUGUUAAAAAACUUGUUCUUUCUGGUUGCUCGAAAUUGAAGAAAUUUCCCAAAAUUGUGGGAAAUAUGGAGUGUUUGUCGAAGCUUUUGUUGGAUGGAACAGCUAUUGGAGAACUGCCACUAUCUAUUGAACUUCUAUCUAAACUUGUCUCAUUGGAUCUAAAUAAUUGCAAGAAUUUCAAGAAUCUUCCGGUUACCAUAAGCAGUUUAAAAUGUCUAAGAAGUCUGGUGCUCUCUGGUUGCUCGAAACUGAAGAAGUUUCCAGAGAUUGUGGAAAGUAUGGAAGAUCUGUCGGAGCUCUUUUUAGAUGGAACUUCUAUUACAGAAGUGCCAUCAUCUAUAGAACUUUUGACUGGACUUAACGUGUUGAAUUUGAAUGACUGCAAAAACCUGGUGAGAAUUCCCAACAGUAUAAAUGGUUUGAAAUCACUCCAAACUCUAAAUCUAUCAGGCUGCUUCAAACUUGAAAAUGUGCCUGAGACGCUUGGGCAAGUAGAAAGUUUGGAAGAACUUCAUAUAAGUGGUACAGCUAUAAGGCAGCCUCCAUCCAGGAUUUUUCAUAUGAAGAAUCUUAAAGCACUAUAUUUUCGUGGGUGCAAAGGAUCACCAUCAUCUACAUCAUGGUCACGACACAUUCCCUUCAAUUUGAUAAAGAGGAGUUUGGAUCCGGUGGCUUUCAAUUUUCCGCCUUCUCUGUCGGGUUUGUAUUCCUUAACGAAAUUGGAUCUCAGUGACUGUGAUCUUGGGGAAGGAUUUAUCCCAAAUGAUAUUGGCAACUUACGCUCGUUAAAAGUUCUAUGUUUGAGUAACAACAGUUUUGUUUCGCUGCCAGCAAGCAUUAGCCAUCUUUCUAAGCUUGAAUGCCUAAAUUUGAAUGGUUGCAAGAAGCUUCAAUCUCUGCCUCCACUUCCAGCCAGAAUGAGAAUCGCAGUGUAAAUGGUUGUACUUCAUUGGAGACAUUGUCAGAUCCAUUAGAAUUAAACAAGCUAAAGGACUUAGAAAUUCAAUGUAUAGACUGCGUGAAACUGCUGGGCAACAAUGAUUUGGCGCUUUCACUGCUGAAGAGCACAUGGAACAGUAUGAGGUCAGUCUCUCACUAUCUCUCACCUGUUGCUAACAUUAUGCCUAAAUUAAAAAUUAUGCAAUGGUAUGGCUUUUUAUAUUAUUUAUUUAUUUUUUGUGGGGUUGCAGGAUAUGUCAGAUUAUCACAAAUAUUGUAGCAUUGUUGUUCCUGGAAGUAAAAUCCCAGAGUGGUUCGAGCAUCGUAAUAAUGAGGGUUCUUCAAUAAGAAUAAGCAGGUCUUCAAAGACGUAUAAGAACAAUAAGCUUGUGGGAUAUGCUAUGUGCUGUGUUUUUCAAGUCCAUAAGCAUUCACCUCCUUAUCUAGAGUGGUUUAGUCAUCUUCAUAAGCUGGACUGCAAAAUCAAAUGUGAUGGUGGUGAUACUUGGAUUUCUACUCCUAUGUUCAGAAAGCAAUUCGGUCAGGCUGUGUCAGAACAUUUUUGGCUACACUAUGAGCCUAAUGUACACUUGUUUGGAAUGAAUAAUGGGGUGUUGUCAUUUGAAUCUUCGUCGGGAUUGGAGGUGAAGAGGUGUGGUUUCCAUCCAGUAUAUGAGAUUCAAGUGGAGAAGUUCAACAAAACAACUCCUGUUUGGAAUUUGAACGACUUUAAUCACGAUUCUUCAGGAUCAAAAACACUGUUUGAGAGAAGCCUCAUUGAUAAAUAUGACAGGGCAGAGACCAGUGAAAGCGGCAGCCGGGAUGAUGAAAAAUUCAGUCAAAUAAUUAGCUUCAGCCUUAAUGAUGAAGAACACAUCCAAAGCUUCAUCAUUGAGUGUAGGGAUGGCAACUUAACCAAAACCCGGAUAAACCCGGAUGAUCCGGACUGGGUUUAAUGCUAAAAUAAUGCAGAUCCGAAAGUUGUAUUUUGAACCCGUGCAUAUCUGAUUCCGGUUUCACGUUUACCUGAACCCGGGAAUCCAGAACUUGCAUCUGGAUAGUUUUUAUUUUAAAAUUCACUAAAUAAUUAGUUUUUGGUUAUUAAUUAAUUUAAUUUUAAGUAUAAAAGAAAAAAAAUUGGAAAAAGAAACCCCAAAGGCCUAAACAUAUUGCAGCCGCCAUUUAUCCUCUCCCCUUUUCUUCUUAAUGAUAUUUUUGGGUUGGAUCAAUUUAAAAAUGCGUCCAUUAUUGGGAUUUGAAAGUUAGUGAAGUUUAACAAACUAUUAGUUUUGGUCUAUUUAACACAUAUUAGCCAGUACUUCACUUUACCAAUUUAAUAUGCCUCCAUUAUAACGGUAAAAAAAAAUUUAUUAUUAUUAUGCUCUUGACAACAGUAACACAAAUUUAAUAUUAUAUUUUUAAAAUAAAAUAUAAAUAUAGUAUUAAUAUAAAUAAACUAAAUAUGCUUUUGGAAUAGAAGCUAGUGGAAUGGCUGUUGUGAUUAGGGGUGGGCAUUUGGUUCGGUUCAGUAUAAACCGAACCGAACUGAACCAUAUUAUGACAAUUUGGUUCGGAGUAAAAAACCAAAUUCUGAACCAUUUGGUUUUUUAUUUGGUUCAGUUCAAAACCGAACCAAAUUACCAAACCAAAUGGUUUAAGAAAAAAUUAAAAUUAAAAUUAAAAAAUAGUUCAUAAUUUAUCUUUUUUAUUUUUGUUUGUUAAUUAAUACAUAAUAUUAUAUAUAUCAUAGCAUACACUUAUAUUUUAUUGUUGAACUUUGUUAUUUUAAUUUAUUAUUAUUAGAUUUAAUUAUAUUAGUUAUUAUUUAUGAAUUUCUAGAUUAUUUUUAGAAUUUAUUAUGUUAAUUUACUAUUGUUAAAUUUUAUUAUGUUGUUUAUUGUUUGCUAAUAUAUAGACUCAAGAUUAUUGUUGUAUUAAUAGUGUAUUAUUAUAUUAUAUUUUUUUAUUAAAUAAUAAAUAUAUAGGAUAAAAUCAAAUGGAACCGAACCGAACCGAACUAAAUUAAUUUAGUUCGGUUCGGUUCGAUUCUAUAAUUUAGUUCGCAUUUAAUUCAUAAAUUCAUAAACCAUUUAAUUUCAAUUUGGUUCGGUUCAGCCGAACCAAGCUGAAUAGUGCCCACCCCUAGUUGUGAUGACGAGAAACCACAACCUCAAAGAGUCAAAGACGAACUCAAAUAAUGGGGAAAGGCAAUUUAUUAUUCUCUGAAUUUAUCAGUAAGCAGGCAUCUCAAAUAAUGGGGUAGUGACGUGGCAUUCUGUCUAGAUGGGUGUCCAAGUUUGUUCACCGUGGUUAGCAGCGUCUAAAUAUAAACGCGGGCUGAUUUAUUGGCAGUCUUUAAUGUGUCCGUUUGAAGAGUUAAAAAGUGUUACUGAGCUUACUCUCUUCCUUGUCAUUUCCUCUGUGAUUUUAACAUAAAAUCCUCCAUUAAUAAUAUCUCUUCAAGCCAUUAUCGGCCAUGGAUGUAGGUGUAGGAUUUGAAUAAUAUACCUAUAAUUAAAUGUACUUCUGUGAUUUUCAGAGAAUUUUUAGGGGUUUAAAUAGUUGAAACUAGGGAUUGAGGCUAUAAAGCUUGGGGGGCAAAUGUUGAGGAUUUUAAGAAGAAUAAAAAAUGUGAAUAUGAUCGAUCUCAGCUUGAUUUAGCUUCAGAACAAACAAAAAUAGAGAAAGGAAUGAUUAUAUGGAAUUUUGCAGGCCAGGUUCAAGAGAGAAAUUGAGGAGGAAUUAUGGUAUAAUUCUCAUGCCUAGGACAUGUUCGAUAAUAUGACCAAGAAGGAAAAUGCAUCCCACCUGGUGUGUUGCAUCAACUCUAUGGUUUCCCAAGCAAAAGCAAUCAAUCAAUAUGGUCAAUUUGUGAAGGUCUGGGUGCAGACAACGGAGGCCAAAAAGCAGAAUGAUUUCAACUCUGUGGAAAAGAGUGCAGUUGAGACAGUAAAUAGGUUAGCAAAAGCAAAAAUUGCAGCGAGGGAUGCCGCACAAUCGCGAAACUAUGAUAUUGAUAUACCCCCUUGCUCAUGUGCUUUACAAACUUCAUAAUUUCCUUUAUAACAUGCAAUACUGUUUUACUUGUAUGUGCAUUCCUUUCAGUGUUGUUCGAGAGAAUGAUUCAGAUUCAUGCAACAAGAAUGUGGAUGAGGGCGGCUAGCAAUGAAUAGCAGAACUGAUCUAGGUACGAAACUCUGACUCAGAUUUUCUACCCCUUCUUCACCAGUACUACAACAAUGGAAGAGACUGAAAAAGAGCAGCAGCUAUCUUCAACAGCAACAUCAGCUUGUGUCUGUCAAGGAGGAACAGGCAACCGUGGCUUAUACAGUCCAAACAAACCAAUGCUUGGAGUUUGGGAGCUCAAAGAUAGCAAAUGGCAAAUUGGUCUGUGUCACCUUGAGGUUCGUUUUGAAUUAAUUUAUUUUACCUUUUUUUGGUAGAAAAAUAUGAUCAUUGGAAACACCACCGUAGACCACAGAUCCUUUAGUAUUAUCUUUUGCGAACACUUUUGCUAGACUUGCUGUAGCUACCAAAAGAGGAUAAAUUAAUAACUAGAACGCAUAAAAUCCUCUUAUCGAUUUAUUUGAAACAAACUUAAUUGAAUUCAAGUAAAACUUCAUCUUGCAGUGGAACAAUGCACUCAAAGCUGUAAGUUAUUUUCUUACAUUUUAGUAUUUACUUACUCUUGUAUUUCAGUGAUGUUUGACUUUUCAUAUUUUACUUCACAUAAUUCGAUUUACGAGGAAAUUUUAAUCUCUUGUUGCCAAGGCUCGAACUUGUUGCAAAUUUUCUGGUAGUGUGGGUUUUCCAUUUUCGGCUCCACAUUGAAUUUUGUUUGCCUUCAUAACUCUUUUUUUUUUUUUUUUUGUCGAUUACCAUUAUAUAAGCGACAAUUAUCUAUUGCAAAAUCAAUUUUCUGGUACUUGUUGCAACUUUGUUGUGGAAUCAAUUGCUUGAAUCAUGAGCAUCCAGUUAUUGCUUGAAUCAUGAGCAUCCAGGGAGUUUCUUCUUAUGUUCCAUCUCCUCUCUGUAAUUGGAAAUACAAUGUGUUCUUGAGCUUCAGAGGCAAGGACACCUGCAAAAAUUUCGCAGACCAUUUAUAUGCUGCUUUUGGAUAAAAAAGGAAUCAUUGUAUUCAGCAAUGACAGAAUGUGACAGAGGAAAAUCCAUUUCACCAGAACUAUUUGAAGCAAUUGAAAAAUCAAGAAUUUCAGUUAUAUUUUCUCAAGAAACUAUGCUUUUUUGACUUGGUGCUUGGAUGAACUUGUUAAGAUUGUUGAAUGGAAGAACACAAGUGAUCAUCAACAAAUGAUGUUUCCAAUUUUCUACCAAGUACUGUGAUAAGGAAACAAACAGGAAGCUUUCAAGAAGCUUUUUCUAAAAAUGAAGAAGCUUUCAAGAGUGGAGAGACGCUUUCAAGAGGUGGCUAAUAUCUCUGGCUGGGAGUUGAAGGACAGGUAACCAUUCUUAUCCUCAAAAAUUGAUUUUCUAACACUAAGGUUUUUCACCUAGUGAACAGUGAGCAGGUAUUUUAAGAUUCCUUCACUAUCAAUUUGUAUUGUUUUGAUCCAAUAUAUCUAAAAGAGUCACUGAGGCAGUUAAUUUCAUAUUUUCAGCGACUCAGUAAUUUAUGUAUACAUGUCUUUAACAGAAUUUUACGCAAACACAGUGCAAACCCAGUGUUUUAUCAAUUAGUUAUUCCAACAACUAACUUUAUUGAUUUCCUCAAUAAAAUCAGCUUUUUUGCGAUAUAGUUUUCAGUAAAUGCUUAUUGAUAAUUUUAAGUAAUGUGACAAAUUGAGAAAAGCACGUAUUUGUUGUGCCAUUUUGUUUCUUAUAGCCUUUGAGCAAGUUGAAAAUCAUGAGUCUCAAGCAUUCUGAGAACCUCAUAAGGACACCAGACUUCACAGGGGUACCAAAUUUGGAGGAUCUGAUUCUCGAAGAAUGUACAAGGUUGCGUGAGAUACACUCAUCUUUGCUGCUUCAAAGAAGCUGAUUUUGUUAAAUUUGAAAGGUUGUGCAAAUCUUACAACUCUUCUAGGCAAGAUUUUUAUGAAAUCUCUUAAGACACUUGUUCUUCCUGGUUGCUUGAAAUUGAAGAAAUUUCCAGACAUUGUGGGAAGUUCUUUUGGAUGGAACUAGUAUUAAAGAACUGCCAUUAUCAAUUGAACUUCUAUUUGGACUUGUUCAUUGACUUUGAAUGGCUGCAAAACUUCCAAGUACCAUAAGUGCUCUAAAGCAUCUAUAAUCUUCUGGCCUUUGGAAAUUCAGAUAGAGAUAACUUCAAGCAGGGAGCAGCUGUUGAAGCUUCAUUUGGAAGGAACUGUAAGUUGCCAGCAUCUAUUGAACGUCUUUCUGGCCUUGUCUUGUUGAAUUUGAAAGAUUGGAAAAAUCUAGAGAGUCUUCCAAGUACCAUAAAUGGUUUGAGAUCUCUUAGAACGUUGCAUCUUUUUGACUGCUCCACACUUGAAAAUGUGCCAGAGAGCUUGGGGAAAGUUGAAAGCUUGGAAGUUAGGUUGUCUUGUUAGAGUCGGGCCAAAAGGCAGAAAGAUUUCGACUGUGGAACAGAAUGCAGUUAAAACAGUAACAAAGUCAGCAAAAGCAAAAUUUGCUAAGGUACUUUACAAAAUUCAUAAUUUCCUUUAUAACAAGAAAUACCGUAUUACUUCUAUGUGCAUUCCUUUCAAUGUUGUUCUACUGUAAUAUGGAAGAUGAAUGUAAAUAAGGGCAGCAAGCUAUCUACGACAGCAGCAUCAGCUUGCUCACUUGGCCGCCAUAGGCUGAUUCAAACGGCAAAAGCCAUGCCGAAAAGUCAAAUCAAAUAACAGCAAAUUCACAUCCUAGGUGGCCUUUUCUUCCUGCUCAGUCACUCAUCAGUUUUGAGAGCAGGUUCGUUCUAUAAUAAUCUAAUAUGCACAUAUCAUGAUCUUUAAUUCUUUAUUCUAUCAUGCUUUUAUGAUUUAUUUACUUCUGCCACAGUGCCAUACACACUCACAGAUUCAGGAAUCAGUAUAACAAGGUUUCUCUAUUUUGCAUGACUACAAUACAUUUAAGUAGAAAUUAAUUUCUGAAUAUGCUCUUAUCCUUUAUUAAUCAUGUAAAAAGUUCAGACGUCAGGCUAUAUGAUUAUUUACAGUUGCCUUGCGGAUGGAUUCGUAAUCUUAGUAAGUAAUAUUAUCAAAAAAAAUUUAGAUUUGCUGAUCUAUAUUCAUCAAUUGCAUACAACUGUAGCAUUUACUUGAUUUUAGAGCCUGGCGUAGAUGAAUAAUGCAUUGACAAAUACAGAAAUGAUCAAAAUACAAGCCUCACAAGUUGCUAUGUCGUUGAAUGAUGAUUCAAAUUCGUUAUGUUUAUUAGUUUUUGUUUGGGCGGGACAUUCAGAUGCUCAAGCGGCUGACGUGGACUACAUUAACAAGUUUUAUCUGAGUUUGACUCUCCUUGACCAAUUCUUUGUAUAAAAAAUCUGAAAAAUAACUUACAACUGGUGAGGCUUGUAACCAAAAGAUGCCUAAAACCAAUUAUUUAAGGGAAAUGGACGGCCUUCUUCCCAAGAUUUAAGCAACUUCAAAGAAAAAUUUCAAGCCUUCAACCUUUACUUUCCAAUCUUUAUUUAUUUUAAUGAGAAAAUACUAUAAUUUUUUUAAAAAAAUGAAAGAUUGUAGUGGAAUUAUUCCAAAAAAUAUUUUACUCAUUUUUCCCUAAAAAAUGCAAUUACAUUUGAAGAUGCCCUUAAUAAAAUACAUAAAGAAAUCAUUGCUUUUGGUGUGUAGAUUAUUAAAGCUAGCUGUUGUCAACAUCAGACAGACCAUGUCUUUCUCCACUAAACACCAAAAUCAUUCUUCAUCAUUACUGUCGGCACACAUUUUAGACUAAACUUGUUUGUUGUUUGACAAAUUAAUUGUAAUGCAUAAAAAUCCUUGCAUUGAUUUCUUUGAAACAAACUUAAUUGGAAAUUCAGGUAAAAUUUUGUCAUCUUUCAGUGCUUCCAAUAAUUUCAAUUAAGUGGCUUCCUGCAAUGCAAUCAGAAACUAAAAUUCUUUAUCUUAUACGAAUUGCUCUUUUAUUUUCAGAAUUAAUUCGCGUAUCUUGAUAUUUAAUUAAAUAUUGAUAUCAACCGUUGGAUUCCAUUCCAUUUUAGUUGAAUACAAUGGUUUCAACAUGGCUAAUGGGUAGAGUGGAGAAGACGCGUAAUCAAUUGAAACACCAGAUAAUUUUCGUUCAGAUUCCUUGAAGCUCCCACGAAGUUUGAUGCGACCUUCAUCGUGUGAGUAAUCAGUCACUUUUGGACCAAGACUUGCGAAAGGAGGAUCCAUUUUCCCAGAACUUUUUAUAGCAAUUGAAGAAGAAUUUCGAUUAUUUUUCUCUAAAAGAACUGCUCUUUUUCUACUUGGUGUUUGGAUGAACUUGUUAGGAUUGUUAAAUGCAGAAACAGAAAGGAUCAAAUUUUUUCAAUUUUCUAUGAUGUGAAACCAACUGUUGUAAGAAAACAGACAACAAUUUUUCCAAUUUUCUAAAUGAUAUAUGGGUGUAUCUGGCAUACUAUUUUAAACUCAAGCAAAAUCAAUUCACUAGGUCAGCGUCCCUUGCAUCAAACAUAAACAAACUGCAGUUAUGUUUUGGGAACUGCAUCACAGGAAACUUUGACCUCACAUGCCUGCCAUUAUUUUCUUCAAACCCAUUCUGUGAAAUUUGCUUGGAAUUCCUAGCCAGUUACUGCCAACAGCAGCGAUGGAGUCAACAUAACACUAGCAGCACAGGGCAAGGAUUACUAGCAGUAAGUGGAAGCCGACGUACAGAGGCUCAAAGGUUUAACUUCCUUUAACUAUUAUCAGCUCACAACAAGCUGCCAUUUGCCAAUAAUAUGCAAUCAGAAAGCUUAAGCUGAUGGGCAAAGACUUAAUACUAAUAUUAAAGAUAAAUCUACACAAUCCGACGCAAGUGAUUGCGACUGAAUUCCUCAGGGUUGCAUCUUCAUAGUCAAUGAGUUAAUGAUUACAAAUUAUUAGAACAUUAGCGGAUGAAGACAUGAUUACACUCGAACAAGGCCGAGUGGCGAAGACGUGUAAUACAAUUAAAGAGAGUUAUCAUUAAGAGGAAGUCAAUGAGUUAUGUGGGGUAAAGACUAAACGGUGACACUUUUGACCAUGACUUGCUUUCGGAAUGUACAACACAACUGAGGAGCUGGAAACUGUGUACUCGCUUCUGCUUUCCCUUGAAAGAUAGAUCCACAAAGAAAAUUCUAUGAUACCGAAAUUAAUUACGGUACUAAAAUAUAAUGAACAUAAAUUUUAUAAAUUAUAUAUAAGAUUAAUAAAUAAAAAAUAAAAUAAGUAAAUUAAUGUAAAAGCAGUAAAUUAGUAUUUUAAAAUAGAAAAUAAAAUAAAUACUUGUAAAGUAGCCUAAAACUUACACAUCAACAUUAAACUUUAAUUUAAUUAAGCAAAAACAUCACUAAUUAAGCAAAGAAAAAAUAACUCAUUAAUUGAAAACAAAAAAAAAUUGUAUUGAAAAUAAUAAGAAUAAGUUUUAUUGAAUUGGUUUAACCAUAAAUUCUAUAUUCAUCAUAGGAAAUCCAUAACUUUUUAUUUUUCAUUUUCUAUCAUAGUAUUUAUUUACUAUAUAGGUUAAUUAAGCAAAAUUAUUUUUCUUGAUGUGGGUCAAGCCAAAAAGAAAACAAAAAGAUAUUUUUAUAUUUUUAGAAAUAUAUGAUAUAUCAAUAAAAUUGGAUCUAAUUUCCAUUUUUAUACAUUUUCAAACUUUAUUUCUUGUACUUAAAGAUCAUUGGAGAUUAUUACCGAAGAUGUUUAGAAAGAUGUAAAAUCAUCUUAUCUUGAAAAACAUGAAAAAAGAUUUUUAUUCUUAAUAAAAUUUCACAUAUAAUCACAUGUAUUACAUAAAUUCAAAAUUAUCGUUUAGAAACAAAAUCAGUAAAUAUAUAAGGUAGUCACUAUUAUAAUGAGCUUUUUAUUUAUAUUUGUAGUUUUUGUUCAAUAAUUCUUUUAUUAAUUUACUUUUGACUUGGUAUAUCCAUAUUUCUAAGAGAAAUGGACAGCCCUAAACCUUUCUUAACAAGCUUUAAGCACCUUCAAAUAAAAUGUCAAGCCUUUAACCUUUAGUUUCCAAUCUUUACUUAUUUUAAUGAGAAAUUGUACAAUUAAAAAAAAAUGAAAGAUUGUAGUGGAAUUAUUCCAAAAGAAUAUUUUAUUCUUUUUCCCCCCAAAAAAACUGCAAUUACAUAGAAGAUGCCCUUAAUAAAAUAAAUAAAGAAAUCCCUUCUUUCGGUGCGUAGAUUAUUGAAGCCAGCUUUUGUCAACAUCAAAUAGUAUCAACAUCGAAUUGACCAUGUCUUUUCUCCGCUAAAAACCAAAAUCAUUCUUCAUUAUUACUUUCGGCACACACUUUAGACUAAACUUCUUGUUUGAGAAAUUAAUUAGAACACAUGAAAAUCUUCUCAUUAAUUUCUCUGAGACAAACUUAGUUGGAAAUUCAGGUAAAAAUUUAUCAUCUUUCAGUGCUUCCUAUAAGUUCAAUUAAGUGGCUUCCUGCAUUACAAUCAAAAGCUGUAAGUUUUUUUUCUUAUACAUAUUUCUCUUUUAUUUUCAAAACUAAUUUGUAUAUCUUGAUGUUUAAUUAAUUGUUAAUAUCAACUGUUGGAUUCCAUUCCAUUUUAAUGGAGUGCAAUGGUUUCAACAUGGGUAACGGGCAAAGUGGCGAAGCCGCUUAAUCAAUCAUUUACAGUUUUACAACUGUUGAAAAAUAAAAUUUACCAAACACAUACGACUAUUUUUAAAAUUUACAGAACUUUUAAAAGUAAAUUUGUCAAACAUUUAAUUAAUCACCUUUACAAAUGAUUAUUUAUACAACACAAUUUAUGACAAUUAUCGUAAAACUACAACAUUAUUAAAUUGAUCCAACAUCUCCUAAAGUCUCGGAUGAAAUUUUACUAAUAAAAGGUUUCUAAUAAAAGAUUUACCAUUCCUAUAGAUUGCGGCAAUUUAACUAUUUUUAUCAAUUAUUGAUCUCAACCGUUGGAUUCCAUUCAAUUUUAAUGAAAGCCAACGUGGCUAAUGGGCAGAGUGGCUUGGACGCGUCAUCAAUUGAAAAGUCAGAUAAUCUUCGCUCAGUUUCCUCGAAGCCUCCAGGAAGUUUGAUGGUAACUCCAUCAUGUGAGUAAACAGUGACAAAUGUCUAUUAAUUAUUAAGAAAGUCACUUUUUGACGAAGACUUGCUUUUGGAAAUACAUACAGAUUUGCUGAUUGCUUUAUUUUUUUUUCCAAAAGAAUAUAUUUGCAUGAUUAAAUUCUUUGAAUCAAAUACUGCAUUGGAGUUCAUUUAAGUGGCUUCCUGCAAUACACCCAAAAGCUGUAAGUUCUAUCUCAUACAUUUCUCUCUUUUACUUUCAUAAUUAAUUUGCAUAUCUUGAUGUUUAAAAACAAAUAAAUAAUGAUAAAAUUGAAAGAAUUUUUUUAAUGUUAAUUUUGUACAAGCUGUAAAUUGAAAGAAAUCUUUUAAUGUUAAUUUGGCACAAUCUCUUUGCCUUCUCUAAGAGGCUUUAAUCAAGAUUUUCUCAAGUAGAGAUCGGUGUACGCACUCUCCAAUCGGCACUUGAAAAAAUUUUGGGAUUUAAUAUUAUAAUUCUAUUUAUUACAAAUGUUUCUAAUAGAUAUUGUUACAUUUAUUUAAUAUCAUAUUUAUAUUAAUUAUAAAACAUUGAAAUUAAUUUUUUUGAGUUAUUAGAGCUAAAUGGUAUCAUAGUCAAAAGAGGAUUUUAGUGUUUCUUAUUGAAAAUAUGCCAUCUAAGUGUCAUUUUACCUAAAUUUAAAUAAGAUUUUUAAAUCAAAUAAUAAAAUUAAAUAUAAAUAAAUCCAUAUAAUAUGAAUUUAAUAUAAAUAAUUGCGUACUUUUUUACUUUUAUGAUAUAAAAUCAUUUUUAUUAUUUUACUUUUAUUAUGUAAAAAUAAUUUUAAUCAAUUAUUUUAUUACCUAACACAUUUAUAAUUUACUUUUUUAGAGAGAUUUAUAAUUUACUUAAAUAGAAAUAGUACUACUUCAUUAAUGAAUUUUUUAUUUUAAUAAUGAAUUUAACCAAUAAAUUUAAUAAAAUAAUAUUAUAAAAAAAUUUAGAUAAACAAGAUCAUGCAUAUACCGCACUAAAUAUGGCACUGUUUUAAAGGUUAAUGUAAUAUUGCUACGCAAUAAAGCUCAAGCAAUAUAAUUAAGUAUUAUUUAUUAAUAAAUUUUUAAAUUUUAUUUGUCAAAUAAUAAAUUUUGAUAAUAAUAUUAGUAUAAAAUAUUUCAAUAAACACUAUUGUACAUACUACACUAAAACAUAGUACUGCGAUAUAAUGUAGUACACCACACACUCCCUACGCUAGUGUAUACGACUUUGACACUUUGAGAUAAUCCAUAACUCUAGAUGAAUUUUGUUGUUUACAUAGUAUUGUUCCUAGGCAAUCAUUUCUUGCUUUUUUUUCAAAAUUUUCAGAACAAAUUAAUAUUGUGAUGGCUUCAUCGAGCAUACAAAAUGUGUCUCAUUGGCCAUAUGAUGCCUUCUUAAGCUUUAGAGGAGCAGACACCCGUAAAAGCUUCAUAAGUCAUCUCUAUGCUGCUUUGAAUGGAAAAGGAAUUUAUGUAUUCAAGGAUGACAAAGAACUUGAGAGAGGAGCAUCCAUUUCACCUGGACUUCUUAAGGCAAUUGAAGAUUCUAGAAUUUCAAUUAUUGUUUUCUCUCAAAACUAUGCUUCCUCCACUUGGUGCUUGGAUGAACUUGUUAAGAUUGUUCAAUGCAAGAACAAAAACGAUCAUCAACAAAUGGUUUUUCCAGUUUUCUAUGAUGUUGAACCCACUGUGGUAAGGAAACAAACGGGAAGUUUUCGAGAAGCUUUUUCUAAACAUGAAGAAGCUUUUAGGGAGAAUCUAGAAAAAGUGAAAAAUUGGAGAGACGCUUUGAAAGAGGUGGCUAAUAUUUCUGGCUGGGAAUUGAAAGAGUACAGGUACCCAUUCUUAUUAUUAUGUAUAUCAUUUUAAAUAGCUUUAAUCAGCAUCCUGUUGUCAGUUAAACAACUUUCAUUCAAUAUGUGUAUGAUAUGAUGUGCACUAAUUGAAACAAUAUCUCCACAUACGAAUAUUUGCAAACAAAAGUGGUACAAAUGGAUGCAGAUAUUUACAUGAACGCACCUAAAGAUUACCCAUAUGUAACAACAUCUUACAUUACUUCAAUUUUUUCCAACGAAUAUUGCAUAUUUUGGGUUUUUUCUAUUACUAAAUUUAUUAAAUACCGCAUUCAGGCUAACUGUAAUUUAACCAUACUGAUCUUUGUUUGUUCUUUAACUGCAGGAGUGAGUCGGAAUUUAUUUGGGAUAUUGUCAAGGCGAUAUCAAGUAAAAUUCCUGUAAAAUCAGAGACUCUUAAGAAUCUAGUGGGAAUAGAUUCACGCUUGGAAGAACUGAGGUCUCUUAUGAACAAAGGGCCUAAUGAUGAUGUUCGUAUGAUAGGGAUUUGUGGUAUGGGAGGUUUAGGUAAGACGACUCUUGCAAGAGUUGUUUAUGACUUGAUCUCUCAUGAAUUUGAAGGGAGUAGUUUUCUUGCCGAUGUUAGAGAAAAAUUUGAAAACAAAGGCAGUGUAAUCUCUUUUCAAAGGCAACUCCUUUUCGAAAUAUUGAAGCUCGAAAAAGAUAGCAUAUGGAAUGUCGGUGAUGGCAUCAACAUUUUAGGAAGCAGGCUGCAACACAAAAAGGUUCUUCUUGUUAUUGAUGAUGUGGUUGACAUAAAGCAAUUAGAGUAUUUAGCUGGAAAGCGUGAGUGGUUUGGUUCAGGCAGUAGGAUCAUUGUAACAUCGCGAGAUGAACAUCUAUUAAAGACACAUGGAAUGGAUGAAAUAUAUAAGCCUAAUGAAAUAAAUUACCAUGAUGCUCUUCAACUUUUCAACAUGAAAGCUUUUAAAAUCCAAAAGCCUCUUGAAGAAUGUGUGCAGCUGUCAGAAGGUGUUCUACGGUAUGUCGGUGGUCUUCCAUUAGCUCUCGAAGUUUUGGGUUCCUUUUUGAAUGGUAGAUCCGUGGAUCAAUGGAGAAGCACCUUGGAAAGGCUACAAAUAGAGCCUCCCAAUAAGAUUAUGAGUAUACUUCAAAUAAGUUUUGACGGACUACAAGAAUUAGAGAAGAAAAUAUUUCUCGAUAUUGCAUGUUUCUUUAAAUGGAAGACUAGAGAUUAUGUAUUGAAAAUUCUAGAGGGAUGUGGUUUUUCCCCAGUCGUUGGAAUAGAAGUUCUUAUAGAAAAAUCUUUAUUAACAGUACAUGAGAAUAACAGAUUGUGGAUGCAUGAUUUGAUACAAGAAAUGGGUCACCAAAUUGUUAGGAGACAAUCCCCGACGAGCCUGGAAAACGCAGUAGAUUGUGGAAGGAAGCAGAUGUACACCAUUUAUUGUCACAAAAUACAGUAAGUGAAUAAUAAAGGGGAUCUAAAAGUAUUUAUUUCUAGCUCAGCUCACUUCUUUUAGCUAGUUAAAUUUCUAAUGAACGACUUUCUUUAUAAUUUUCAGGGAAGUGAAGUAGUUGAAGGAAUAAUGGUUGAUGAUGAUUUCUUUCGUGGAAAUGAUGUGCAUUUAAGUGCUAAAGCAUUUUCACUGAUGACCAACCUAAGAUUGCUCAAAAUCAAUAAUGUGCAACUUCCUAAAGGCCUAGAAUACCUCUCGAACAGGUUGCGAUUACUUGAUUGGCAUCGGUAUCCUUUGAAAUCUUUGCCAUCAAAUUUGCAAUUGGAUAAAACUGUUAAAUUUAAAAUGUGCUACAGCCGCAUUGAAGAAUUAUGGAAGGGAAUCAAAGUAAGAUCAAUUUUUUUUUUGGUCACUAAUUUAUAUUUUUCAGUGAAUAAUUGUUGAUAACAAUUUAUUAUUAUAGUAGUAUAUGAAUUAAGAAAUAUCAUUUUAGCUCCUUUUUUUGUUUUCAACAGCCUUUAAACAUGUUGAGAGUCUUGAAACUCAGCCAUUCGGAGAAUCUGAUUAAGACACCAGACUUCACAAAGGUCCCAAACUUAGAGGUGUUGGAUCUUGAAGGAUGUACAAGGUUGCGUGAAAUUCACCAGUCUUUGCUACGUCACAAUAAGCUGAUCUUGUUGAAUUUGAAAGGUUGUACAAGUCUUACAACUCUUCCGGGUGAGAUAUUUAUGAAAUCGCUUAAAACACUUGUUCUUUCUGGUUGCUUGAAAUUGAGGAAACUUCCACGCGUUGUGGGGAGUAUGGAGUGUCUACGGGAACUUCUUUUGGAUGAAACUGAUAUCAAAGAACUGCCAGUUUCAAUUGAGCUUAUGUCUGGCCUUGUUUCGUUGAAUUUGAAAGAUUGCAGAAAUCUUGCGACUCUUCCAAUUACAAUAGGCAAUUUAGAAUGUCUACAAACGCUCGUGCUAUCUGGUUGCUCGAAAAUAGUGAAAUUUCCAGAGACUGUGAUGAGUGUGGAAGAUCUGUCAAAGCUCUUUUUAGAUGGAACUUCUAUCACAGAAGUGCCAUCAUCUAUAGAGCUUUUGACCAAACUUCAAUGGUUGAAUUUGAAUGACUGCAGAAGUCUCGUGAGACUUCCUAGCAGUAUAAAUGGUUUGAAAUCCCUCAAAACUUUGAAUCUCUCAGGCUGCUUCAAACUUGAAAAUGUGCCUGAGACGCUUGGGCAAGUAGAAAGUUUGGAAAAACUUGAUAUAAGUGGUACAGCUAUAAGGCAACCUCCAUCGUCGAUUUUUCUUAUGAAGAAUCUUAAAGAACUAUCUUGUCGUGGGUGCAAAGGAUCACCAUCAUCUACAUCAUGGUUUCUGCGCUUUCCUAUCAAUUUGAUGCCAUGGAGUUCAGAUCCGGUGGCUUUGAGUUUGCCGUCUUCUCUGUCAGGUUUGUGUAGUUUAACAAAAUUGGAUAUCAGUUACUGUGAUCUAGGGGAAGGAGCAAUCCCAAGUAGUAUUGGCGACUUAUGCUCAUUAGAAGAGUUACAUCUGAGUGGAAACAAUUUUGUUACGCUGCCGGCAAGCAUCUACCGUCUUUCUAGUCUUCGGGGGAUUAAAUUAGAGGAAUGCAAAAUGCUUCAAAAUCUGCCUCGACUUCCAGCCAGUAUACAAGGCAUUUCGUUAGACGGUUGUGUUUCGUUGGAGACAUUAUCAGAUGUGUUAAAUUUAAACGAGCAUCAAAUCCCGAACAUACACGUUCAUUGUGUGGAUUGCUUGAAAUUGGCUGGCAACUAUGAUUUGGCGCUUUCACUGCUGAAAGAGUACAUUAAAAAUUCUGAGGUCAGUCUCUCACUCUCACCUGUGCUACAUUAUGCCUAAAACUGAUGCAAUACAUGUUACUGUCGGACAAGUACAUUGAACAGACUAAUGUCAGUUUCUUACACUGUCUCUCACCUGUUGCUAAAAUUAUGCCUAAAAAUUAUGCAUUGGUAUGGCUUUCUAAUAUAUAUAUAUAUAUAUAUAUAUAUAUAUAUAUAUAUAUAUAUAUAUAUAUAUAUGUAUGUAUAUAUUUUUUGGUGGGUUUCAGUGCAGUUGGAGAGAUUUUUGCAUUGUUGUUCCUGGAAGUGAAAUCCCAGAGUGGUUCGAGUAUCAGAAUAAUGAGGGUUCUUCAAUAACAAUAAGCACGCCUCCAAAGACGUAUAAGAAUAGUAAGCUUGUGGGAUAUGCUGCGUGCUGUGUUUUUCGUAUCCCUAAAUAUUCACUUCCAUAUCCCGAACAUGAUCUGUGUGUCUGGUCUACCGACGGGUAUGGACCGUAUGGUUAUCGAAUUUCGUUUGGAAAGCAAUUCGGUCAGGCUGUGUCAGACCAUCUUUUCCUAUGCUACAAGAAUAGGGAAGAUAUUAGUGAAGUGGAAUUUUCUUCGCGGUCGGGAUUGGAGUUGAAGAGGUGCGGUUUGCAUCCAAUAUAUGUGCAUCAAGGGGAUAAGUUCAACCAAACAAGUGAUCCGGUUUGGAAUUUGAACGAAUUCGGUCACGAUUGUUUAGGUUCAACAUCCUUUAUGCGUAGCCUUAAUGAUGACUUAGACAGGGCAGAAGGCAGUGGAAGUUGCUGCGGGGAUGAUGCAGGAGGAACGACGUCGUCUGAGCGAAGCUUUCUAAAGCGAAGUCUUGAAGGAUAUGUUGGGGCGGCUGAAGCUAGUGGAAGUGGCUGCUGUAAUGAUGAGGAGGAACCACAACCUAAAAGAUUUAGACAACUCGAAUGAAGGGCACAUAAUUUAUUUUUCUCUGCAGAUCGCAUUUCAUUUACUUUCUUUGUAUUUAUUUAUUGUAUCUGUUCUUGUUACUUAUUUCCCUGUUAAAUUACCAGAAAAUGCCUGGCUUGGGUCAAACAGUUGGACAGAUGUUUUAUUACUCUGUUUUUUCUGCUUUGCUUUAUUACUCUGUUUUUCCUGCAAAAGAUGUCGUACAUAGAUGCGGUGAGCGCGAGUUGUUUGGUAUACUUGAAGGGGCUCGCUCGGGACCACAAUGACUAAUUAUUUAAUGUUGUGUGUUAAAUAUUAAAAUAUGCGGAUAGCUUAUUGCUUUUGAGACCUAAGAGUCAUUGAUACUCUGUUUUUUCAACCUAAAAGUAUUUAUUUAAUCUUAGGGUGAUUGAAAACAAAUUGACGAAUUACCAUUAAACAAGCAACAAAAUAACAAAUUCUUUGAAAAGAAAGUAUAUAAUAGAAAGAAGAAAUUAUCACAUAAAAAAAAAAUGUUCCAGUUUUUGCCUUUAGCCUCUCCUCCCCAAGUUGUCGGGCAUGGACUUGCUUUCGCUUCCGAAAGGAAAAAAUAAAAUAAACAUAUGUAUAUUAACAUAAUUUUAAUCUUCAAAAAAUAUUUUAAUACUUUACAGUAUUAUAUUAUAUUAAACUAAAUUUUAUAAUGGAUAUAAACAUAAUAUUAAAAUAAAUAUAUAAAGAUUCAAUUAUUUUAAAUUUAUAUAAAAUAAUUUUAAUAUUAUCAAUACAUGAGAUAUUUUUUAUUAGUUGUAAAAUCUAUUUAACCCAAAUAUUUAUUUAAAAAUUUAAUAUUAACCAUUAGAUUGUGAAAGAUUAAUGGCUCAUUUUUUGUGUCAAAAUUUAAGUUAAAAUAUCCAAAACCAUGCUUUCAUAACGAGAAUAUAAAAUAAAUAGAUAAUAUUUCAUGAAUAUUAUUGGAGGUAAUAUUUACUUAUUAUAUUAAUUACCAUCAUAAAUGCAAUCAGCCUCUUGGUGACAUAAAAUUUUGUAACCACAAUCAAUUAAUAUCAACAAAACAAUCUUUCAUGAUUCAUAAACUAUAUAGCUAAUUAAGAAUUUAUGUUAAUUUCAACUUUACGAAAUCAACAAAGUGAUAUUGGAAAAUUAAAUGAAAAUAGGCUUGUAAAACUUAAACUUAUAUUCCUACCAUAUAAAAGUAUUCACUGUAACAUAAUCCAUAAUUUCAUGGUAUAGGUUGUGCUAAAUUGAUGUGAAAAAUAAUAUACACUUCAUGAUUAAUCAUCCAAUGAUCCUUAAUAAUAUACAAAAUAGUGAGCAUUAUGUUAAAUUUUAUUAAAGCAUGACAAAUGUGAAGAAUGACAGGGGCAGCAGCUGCAGACGGUGGACGUGAGGUGGCUUCGGGUUUUGCUAUUUUUCUAACUUUUUCUUCUUUUUUUUUUUUAUGAAAGUAAUGGAUGGUGGAGGGAGGAUUUGUGUAUGGGGAAUGGUUGAUGGUCAGGAAAGCUCUGCCUAAUACAAAGAAAGACUCUGAUACCACUUGACGCAUCGCAGAAGCGAUACUAAAUUUCAUUAUAACAUACGUUCUUGAAAAUUCAAGAAAAAAGGCUCUUACGAAGAAGAAAGUAUCUCAAUUAAGAAAUAUUAAAUAUUAUUGAUGAGAAGCUUAUGUAUGUUAUAAAGAACUAUCAGUAAGAAGCCUAUAUAUACUAAGUAGCCAACUUAAUCUUAAUCCUUCUUAAAUAAAAUAAAUAAUUUAAAAUCCUAAUUAGAUUAGAAUUCCAAACAUGAUCGAAUAAGUUUAAAAAAUAAGAUAAAUUCUAAUAAAAUACUAAAUACCCAAAUAUUAUAAUUCCUAAUAAAUUCUAAUUUAUUUUAUCUAAUAUGCUUCCUACAUUACUUUAUCGCUAUAUUGUCUGAAUCGAUGUCUCUUUUUACACUAGUAAAAAAAUGACCUUCUUUGAUACUAUUUUAGUAUCAAGAACUUGUUUUACUGACACCGAAUUCAGUGACACACCGAAUUUAGUGUCACUGAAUACGGUGCAAGAAACUUACUGACACAAGUUUUUUGUAUCAGCGAAUCUAUGUCACCGUAGUAUCAAAAAAAUAUUGAUGCUUGAACAUCACAUAUAUAACGAGACUAUGUUAUCAAACAAAUAAUGAUACAAAAGCAUAAUAAAUAUAACGAUACUUUGGUAUCAAUGUUUAUUUGAGAAAAAUUAAAAAAAAAAUUAGAAAUCCAUAUAAUAGAAAUUGAACAUUUGCAAUUGGCAUUUGAAUUGAAAUUUACAUUCAUCAAUAUGAAAGCUAUUACAUUGCAAUGAACAAUUUAAAAAUUAUUACAUUGUUUGAAACUUAUUACAUUGUUUACCAACUACAAAUAAUUUAUAAUCUGAUAUAUAGUAACAGCACAAUCUUCCAACACAUGUUUAUUGCUUCGCGGAUUCUUUCUUUCGGUAAUCGAAAUGAAGUCUUCUAUUAUUGUUUCCAUGUUCCAAUUUGACAUUUGCUCUGAUUAUUUAGUUUUGACCCACAUACAUGCUUUGGUUUAUUGUAAGUCAUCCGGCACCAUUCAAGACAUGCACAAUAAAAAAACUGAUAAAAUUUACAUGCUGCAAUCUACAUAGUUUCCUAAUGGCAUAUAAAUGCAUGCAAGACAAGCAUAUUAUAUUAACAAUAAAAAUUAUUUAACCGUUGUCCAAGAAAAAGAGGAGAAAUUAUUAACAACAUCAUGAGAGGAAGUCUAACAAUACAGUCAAACAAACAAAAGAAAACCCAUGCUUGGUUGUAUAACGAGCAUGGAAAGUUCAACACAAACACAAACACAAACACAGAGACCAAUGGAGUUAACCAAAGUAAUGAAGGAAUUUCUGUGCAACUGUCAGUGGACACACAGAGCAAUGGAGUUAACCAAAGUAGAGCAAUGGAGUUAACCAAAGUAAUGAAGGAAUUUCUGUGCAACUGUCAGUGGACACACAGAGCAAUGUGUGCAUAUGAGCAGGCACAAACAUGACAUCCAAGUGAAUAAAUUUAAAAUAUUAUAUCUGGCAAUUAAAUCAACACAAACAUGAGAAAGAAUAGAUCCAAUAAGGUAAAUCUAGACAACAAUGAUCAAAAAGCAACAAGACAAAAUUUGAGAAACAAAAGGUGAAAAUAAAAAUACCAGGCAUUUACUCCAGUAGCACCAUGGAUCAUAAAAAUUGACAGCUAAAAUAGGAUACCUGGAAAGGAAAUAUAAUACAAAUCAAAGAAGGCAUCAUUGCAAUUGCCACAUAGCAGAGAAAUAUUGUGAUCACAGAAUUGAAAAUAAAAAUUAUAAGUUGUGGUUCAGAGAAGGCUCACUUACUCGUGUGAAUAACUAUCAAAAUUAUUGGCAGUUAGCGUAUGAGAACCUUCAACAGAAUCAUCAUCAGCUUCCUCUCCAUGCUUAAGCGAAUGUAUAACAAGCAUUGAGUGGAAUUCAGAACCAGUGGGUCUUAAAUCAGGUCCUAUAGAAAAAUUGCGAAUAGUUUUUGUUAAAUUUAAUCUGUUCUAGAAACAAUGAAAAGCCAAAUAGAACUCCAUGAAAGCAUCAUGUUACACAAACAAUCCAGGUGGACGAUAAUAUACACUGAAUAUGCAAAAUGCACCCAUGAUAUCCAACAAAAGAGGCACAACUAUGUAAGCGGCAACCUACCAUUCCAAAUAAAAACAACAUAGAAAGGGCUGCUAUUAUGGAUAAUCCUGCACCAGAUAGUGAUGCCUCUGUCAAAUCCCUUGGAAUUUUCCUGCAAACAGAAAAGAAAUAAGUAACAAUAUAAACCCUGUGAUUUUAUCUAUGUGAUUUACUAAUACAAAGAUACGGGUUGGAUUUAUAAAUUACAUAGAAUCACCAACUUUCAAGUAUAAUGAGAUGGACGAAUUAUAAACAUUAUCAAACAAGUAAAAGCGAGUCGCUAACAAAGAGCAAUCAAAAUCCACUGUCACAAAUAGCAACAUGAAAGUGCAUAGUUUCAAAGCUUCGGAGUUUGUUCAAAAUUAUAAUAUUUUUAAUUCACAUACUAUUAUACUAAUAAAAGCUCGAACAUAUUUGUUGUCCCUACAGUCAAAUAUUUAAUUUCAUAUUCUUCUUAAAAUGCAUCAAAAUCCAUACAUUGUAAGUAUAAUGAAGAACAUAACUAUUAGUAUUAGAAUUUCUUAAGCAUUCAGCUGAUUCACUAAUAAUAAUAAUAAUAAAGCCUAUACAUAUAGAAGAAUACAAUCAUCAUACAGCCAAAAUCAGUGCAUUACAAGUAAUAAGUUAUAAAAGGCACAAUUACCUCUUUAGUUGCAGAUGAGUAGUUUCUCAAAGUGGAUACCACAGGGCGAAGUCUCUGGAUUAGAAACGCGUUCACAAGGAACAAUAGUCAGCAGUAAAAAAAAAAAAGGGCCAAAAUGAAUACUAUUUAGGCAUACUGAAAUAGAACCUCCUCCUGCAGCCACUUUCUACCUAAUAAACAUUAGCAAACAGAUAAAAGCGAGUCGCUAACAAAGAGCAAUCAAAAUCCACUGUCACGAAUAGCAACAUGAAAGUGCAUAGUUUCAAAGCUUCGGAGUUUGUUCAAAUUAUAAUAUUUUUAAUUCACAUACUAUUAUACUAAUAAAAGCUCGAACAUAUUUGUUGUCCCUACAGUCAAAUAUUUAAUUUCAUAUUCUUCUUAAACUGCAUCAAAAUCCAUACAUUGUAAGUAUAAUGAAGAACAUAACUAUUAGUAUUAGAAUUUCUUAAGCAUUCAGCUGAUUCACUAAUAAUAAUAAUAAAAGCCUAUACAUAUAGAAGAAUACAAUCAUCAUACAGCCAAAAUCAGUGCAUUACAAGUAAUAAGUUAUAAAAGGCACAAUUACCUUCUUAGUUGCAGAUUAGUUUCUCAAAGUGGAUACAACAGGGCGAAGUCUCUGGAUUAGAAACGCAUUCACAAGGAACAAUAGUCAGCAGUAAAAAAAAAAGGGGCAAAAUGAACACUAUUUAGGCAUACUGAAAUAGAAGAACCUCCUCCUGCAGCCACUUUCUACCUAAUAAUUCCCCAUAUCUUUAAUUGUUUCAAUUAAAAUACUGCCCUACUCACCAUAUAAACCGCCAAUAACAACACUAUAAAUAACACAAUCAGCAAACAGCCAAAAAAAAAAGGAUACAUAAUCAUAUCCUAUUUAAGUGAAUGUAAAUCGAAGUCUAUAAUUAGUUAGUAGACAAUAACAUCGUGUUUACGAUAUGCGAAUCAAAACAAAUAUUACAUAUAAUUAUUUUAAAAAAAAUUACUAACCGGCUUAUCUCAAGCAGACAUGUAAUAAAUCAUGCUUUCCAUCAAAUCAAGCAAAAUUUAUCAAAAUUAAUCAAACUACAGCUAUAGAAACAAUAAAAUCACAUUCGAAAUUAAGAGAAAAUUAGAAAAUUUUCAAAAAGAGAAAGAAAAUCGAUGAAAGAAAUAGAGCAAACACUAACAUUUGUUUCUCUGGUGUCCGCGUGUUUCAACACCUCGAACAGGGAGUUCUCAUAUAGAUUUGUGAAGCUAGUUUCUUUGACUUGCUCUUCCUCUUUCUUAUUCCUCCUCAUCUUGUUUGACUUUUUUCAUCCUUUGGUUGUCUUCGGUGGUGACCGAAGAAUCAAGACCCAUACGCUUCAUAAAGUAAAACUAGGAUGAUUUUAUUUUGUUGGGAGACUGAGAGUAAUUGUUUUGUUAAGACUGAAAAGGCUGGGUGAUUAGUUUUGUUUCAAUUUAGGGUUUCUUCAAAUGAGUGGGAAGGAUUUGGGAGAGAGGGAAGAUGAAGAGGGAAUAGUACUUUCGUCAAGGCCAAAAAAUUUCACGAGUGCUGAAUUUUAGACACCCUAAUUUUAAAAGUAAAACUACGUCGUUUGGAAUAAAAAAAAUUAAAAUUAAAAUUAAAAAUAUAUAUCUUAGUAUGAAUAAGAGUUUAUGAUACUAUAUUAUUAAUAACCACUGGCACUAAUACGUAAAACACACUAAAAGUUGCUUAGGUCAUCAAAUACUGAUAUUUUUUUAUUUAAAAUCAGCAACUUAAUAUCAGUGAAAGUCAUUUUUUUAGUAGUGUUAUUAAAAAAAAAACAUUUUCUCAUCAUCCAUUACUAAGGCCCCACUCAAUUGCUUGUCAAUUACUUCUUGAUCAACAAGUAAAUUUUUAAAAUUCUCAAUGGUUGGUUGAGUUGGACAACCUUAGAUAGUUGUAAAAAAGCUCUUAAGCUCAAGCCUCAAACCAUUGACAAUAAUUCUCUUUAUUCUAAAUUUAGAAAUUACAGUAGUAGAAUCUAACCCAGAAAUUUCAUGGCAUAGGGAUUUUAACUUGUUUAAGUACUCGUCAAUCGUCAUGUUUCAUUAUGAAAUUGAUAGUAGCUCAUUUUUCAAAAGUUGUAGCCAUAUGUUAUUCUUCUUUGAAAACUCAUUGUAGAAGUAUCCCAAUUUUUCUUAGGUAUUUUAACCUUUUUUAUGUGUUGUAGCAUUUCUUUUUCAAUUGUAGUCUUGAUGGCGAACAUGGCCUUCCAGCUAUAAUGCUUCACUUCUUUAAAGCGGCAUCCUCAGUUAGUGGUCUCAUAUUGUUACCACAAACAAUCUCCUAGAGAUCUUGACCCUGUAAGCAAGACUCCAUCAAUGUUGUCCACAUAUUGUAAUUUUCCUUGUCGAGCUUUUUAACUCUUCCAACUACUUGAAGGUCACCCGUCAUAUUUUCAAGACUUUAACAAUGCCAAGCAAGCUUGAUGUUCACUAACGAACUUGCAAAGUUCCAAACAAAGUACUCUAAUAAAGUACUCCACUUCAAAUUUGAACCCAACAGCCUUUUACUCAAUAGAUUUUGACAAGUUCAUUCAUUUAGAUUAAGAGAAAAGAAUUGAUGGUAUUGUGCCACAGGGAGGAAUCGGUUCCAAAGUCUUUUUUCCACGAUCCAAUCCCUAAGAUCAGGCAACAUAUCCUUCACCGAAAAAACAUAAUGAUCAUAUAUAAUGCCUAUUGGAAUAUGCCUCCACAUUAGCUUCGUUUUCGUUUUCAAUCUAUCAUGCAUUAGUAGCCAAAGAAAAGUACAAAUGCAUUGUGGACUGUGUCAUUGCCAAAUAUGGUAGUUUUCAGGUCUAAAAUUUUAAAGUGCGGGAAAGUCUGGGAACACUUUAAAACCAUGCGGUGGACUGUAAUAAAUAGAUAAUAUUUUUUCCAUUCAUUCCCAUGAAAAGUACAAAUGCUUUGUGGACUGUAAUCAUAAAUUAUGUAACUUCUCAGGGGUGUCUUCUGGCCAAGAUCAGAGGUGAGAGGUGUGAUAUCCACCCAGUUUAUAUGGAGGAGUUUGACAAAACUACAAUCCAAUGGAAUCACUUUACCACUUAUAAUAUGAAUGGAUCCCCUCAAAUUUUUUUUGCAUCAAAGAUGGUUGUAGCAACAAUGUCAAGGCGAAACCUUACUGCAUAUGUUGAGGUGAUGAGGAACCACAACCUCAAGGAUCCAUUUAGUGAACUCAAAUAAAGGGAGAAGCCUGCUUAGUAUUCUUUGAAUAUUUCAGUAAGCAUGCAUCUUCAAUUUCAGUUGGCAAUUUUUAUUUUAUAUAUGUUAAAUUACCACAAAACCAAAAUAUCAUCUCUAAAGUUGUUACCUUCCAUGAAUCGAAAAUGCUUUCAUGCUUGAUCAGAUUGUUUAAGUAUGCGUUCCUAAAAUAUACAAAAGUGCUCAGGAAAAUGGCACGGAAUAAUUAGUGUAUAAUAAAUUUUAUUUUUGGUAAUUUUUUAGAUGCAUAUGGUUUUAAAGUUCUCUUCAAAUAGCUGGACUUGCCAUAUACUAUAAUAUUGUUUAGUAAGGCAUUACUAUCAUAUCAUAUAUUUUGUUUAUCUAUCAUUAAUAUUUACAUUUUUAUUAUUUCAUUAAUCUUAUUUUAAUUUACUUUGUAUUCAUAGACAUAAUUUAAGAAUAUAAUAUUAUUGUUCUUAUGUUUCCGUUUUCGUAUAUAAAUUCCUGGAAGAUGCUCCAACAUCAAUUUUGUCGUUAUUGAAUAAACAAAAAAAAAAAAAAAGAUACAACAACUGAUGCUCUCAUUCACAAAGAACUAGAUAAUGUUCAGGCAUUAGAUGACUCCAGACAGCUGCAAGCUAUGAAAGAAGAAUAUGAUGUUUUGAUUAAGAAUAAUACAUGGACAUUAGUUCCAAGACAAGCUGUCAUCACGUUGCUGACAAUAAAUGGGUGUGAAGGAUCAAGUAUAACAAAGAUGGAAGUGUAGCUAAGUAUAAAUCCAAGCUUAUUGCAAAAGGAUUUUAGCAAGUGGCAGGGGUGAAUUACUUUAAAACAUUCAGUCAAGUGGUUAAAUUAGCUAUUAUUAGAGUGGUGUUGAGCCUAGGAGUGAUGAACUAAUGGAAAAUAAGACAAGUUAAUGUUAACAAUGCCUUUUUUAAUGGAGAGUUAAAUGAGGAGGUAUUCAUGUGUCAGCCGGAAAGGCUUUAUUAAUGUUGAGAAACUUGAAUUUGUGUGCAAAUUGUACAAAUGUCUAUAUAGACUCAAACAAGUUCCUAGAGCUUAAUUUGAUAAGCUAAAAAGUUGUUAAUUGCAUUAGGGUUUUAUUAAUACUAAUUUGGAUACCUCUCUUUUCAUAAGAAGAAACACUCAUUACAAGUCCAAGUACUAUAAAGUUAAAAAGUUUUAUAACUCAGUUUAGGAAAGCAUUUGCCUUAAAAGACUUAGGAAUAUUAUCUUAUUUCCUUGGAAUUAAAGUGUUGCAAGACGCACAUUGUGUAUAUUUAUCACAAAGAAAAUACAUAAGAGAUCUGUUGUCUAUAGUUGAAAUGGUUGAAUGCAAAGGCAUUGACACACUUAUGGUGUCAAUGCCUAUGUUGGCAUUGACACCCCAACAUAGGCAUUAAACCAACAUCAUAUAAAUUAGCAUUAAGUUCGAUCAAAUUCAUAUUGUCUUCAAUAAGAUUUGAAAGUAAGUGAAGUUUAACACACCAAUAGUUUUGGUGAUCUGUCUGAAACGUAAUAGACAACACCACUUAUUGGAUUUUAUUUCCUAAAAUACUUAUUGUUUAAUUUAUAAAAUAUAAACUCAUUUAUUAAAAUUAAAUAUCUUCUCAUAAAUAUAGAUAUAAAUUAUGAAAUGAUGUGGGUGUAAAUUAUUUAUUAAAACCUUAAUUUAUUUAAGUGUUUAAUUGAAAUCCCAUUUAAAAUUUUUUAAAAAUUAUUUAUUUAUAGUUAUUCAAGUAGUUUUAAUAGAAAAUGAAUUUUAUAAGAAAUUUUAAGGGAUGUCGAAAGGCUACUCUUGAAAUAAAUGACCCAAGUCCAUUUGGGCCCAUGUAUAAGGAACGAGGUCUCAGUUUAAAGGCCGGAUCGGGGUCGAGCCUCAACUCACGCUUACAUAAAAAGGAAUGAGAAAAAAUUAAAAAUAUAAAUGGAUUUCUCUAUGAUGCUGUAAUUUUUUUAUAGCAUCAAUAAUGUUUUAAUUGUGUACCAUUGGAUUAAAUCUAAUGGUAUACAAUAUUUGUACUAAAGAAAAAAAAUUAAAAAUAAUAGUAAACAGAUUGUUAACCGUUCAAGGGGUGGAUAAAUUUUGUAAAAUAAUUGUGAUCACCCUUAGAGUUUGAAGCAAUUUAACUUAAAUAGCAUAUUUUAUUUAAAAUUACUUUUCUACUCUCCUUUAAAUUUGUAUUGUGAUAAUCUUUUUUAAAAUAAAUCUUCCAAAAUCUAUUAUCAUUAAGUAUAAAAUAUAAUAUGAAGUAGGUUAUUUAACACAAAUCAAAUAAAUAAGUUGCAAUUGUAAAAUUAAUUAUAUAUAAUAUAACACUAGUAAAUAAUACAACUAAAUAAAUAUAUUUAAGUAAAUGUCAUAGGUACAUCAAUAAACUCACUGGUGAGAUUGCUUGUAAUCUAAAAAAGACUUAAUCACACAUAUUUUAAUAAAAUUUAAUAUCUUAUAUCAAAAUAUUCAUUAUUUUAUAUAAUUUUAAGGACCGUUGUAUAAUUGAUUAUGAAGUAUAUAUUAUUUUUAACACUUGUUUAACAUACCUAUUCUCUCAUCUUUUUGUUUAGGAUUUCUCUAUAAUAUUGUAUGAGUUUUUACAGCAUUGAUAAUAGGAUUGUUGUGGACUCUUAGAUGUUAGGGUUUUCAUGUUUAGUAUUCAUUUGAUAUAGUGAAUAAAAAAUUAGCUAUUUAAAUCAUAACAAGUAAUCUUCAUGCUGCAAGUAAAUAUAGAUUUUUUUAUUUUUAAUUAAUUGAUAAAAGAAAAUUUAUAUUAUGAUGGAUAAAAAUCCCAGAAUCAAUAAUGGGAUCAUUGGAUUUAAUAUUAGAAUCUUCACCCUUAAUUUAAUUUUAAUGGAUAAGUAAUUAUGUAACAAGUAAUAUGCAAGUUGUGAUAUUUCUUCAUAUUUUAAAUUAUUUUUUAUCUAAUCAAUCAAUAAAUAUUUUAAAUCAUUAAAAAAAGGAAAGAAAUACAAAUAAUUUUGGAAUUAAAAUUAUUAUAUAUUAAUCCUCUUACUUUACAAUUUUACAUUUUUAUUUUACUUUUACAUUUAGUAUUAGAAAUAUAUUUAAUAGCAUUAAAAUAAAUGUAAUUAACAAGUAAUGGUAUUUCAAUAAUACUUUAUAUAAAGUUAUUACAUAAAGUCUUAUAAUAAUUUGUAUUGUGUGAAUUUAAUUACAAACCAUUAAUACCUAAACAAUAAUGAUAAUAGAAGGCAUUGUAAUAAAAUAUUUUAUAUAUGUUUUAUUAGUAAUACUAUGAGUCACAACAAAUGAGAAAUAUUUUAUUCACCAAUGAAAAAAAAAUAUAUGGCUAUAUAAAUAUAUAGUGAGAAAUAUUUUGAUUUAAUUUUUUAACAAAAAAUUAAACUAUUAAUUUCAUGCAAUUCAAUGGUGGAGGAUAUGCCAAUAUGAAAUGCUGCUUUGAUAUGACAAUAUGAAAUGUUGCUUUGGCUUUUAAUAUUAACCAUUACACUAUAAGAAUAAGAUAUUAAUGGCUAAAAUAUUAUGUAAAAAUUUUAAGUUCAAGUAUCCCAAACCAUGUCUUUAUAAUGGAAAUAUAAAAACAUGCAAUGAAUUUUUUUCUCAUUUUGUCAUUAAAUAUUAUUGGAUGCAAUAUUUUAUUUAUUGUACUAUUACUUAUCAUAAUAAAAGUAAUGACUCUUAGUAACAUAAAAAUUUUAUAAUUACAAUCAAAGGAUGUCAAUAAAAUAAUCUUUCAUGAUUCAUAAACUAAAACUCAUUAGGAAUAUGUGUUAGAUUAAACUUUUAUGAAAUUAACAAAGUGACAUUUGAAAAUAAAAUGAAAAUAAGCUUGUGAAAGUUAAAUUUUAUAAAGCUUGAAUAAUUUUCUACCAUGUAAAUAAAAAUAUAAAAAUAAUCUUUCAUGAUUUUUUCCCUUUUUUCCACAUAAAUAUUAUUGGAGACAAUAUUUUAUUCAUUGUCACUAGUAAUUACCAUAAUAAAAGUAAUGGCUCUCAGUAACAUAAAAUUUUAUAAUUACAAUCAAAGGAUGUCAAUAAAAUAAUCUUUCAUGAUUCAUAAAAUAAAGUUAAUUAGGAAUAUAUAUUAGAUUUAACUUUUAUGAAAUUAACAAAGUGAUAUUUGAAAAUAAAAUGAAAAUAUAUAGGCUUGUAAAACUUAAAAUUUCUAUCAUGUAAGAAUAUUAAUUAUAAGAUAAACAAAAAUAAUAUAUAUUUUAUAAUCAAUUAUACAAUAGUCUUAGUAUUAUAUAAAAUAAUGAACAUUUUAAUUUGCGAUUUUAAAUUUUAUUAAAACAUGAGUGAUUAAGUAGUUUUUAAGUUACAAUCAAUCUCACCAAUUAGUUUAUUAAUGUAACUAUGACGUUUACUUAAGUAUAUGUACUUAGUUGUGUUAUUUAUUAGUAUUAUAUCAUAUAUAAAUUUUGUAAUUGCAAUUUAUUUAUUUGAUUUGUGUUAAAUAACAUACUUCAUAUUUAUUUUAUACUUAAUGGUAAUAGAUUUUGGAAGAUUUAUUUAGAAAAGAUUAUCACAAUACAAAUUUAAAGGAGAGUUGAAAAGUAAUUUUAAAUAAAAUAUGUUAUUUAAGUGAAAUUGCUUCAAACUCUAAGGGUGGUCAAUGUGAUUUUACAAAAAUUUCUCCACUCUUAAACCGUUAACAAACUGUUUACCAUUGUUUUUAUUAUUUUUUUUCUUUAGCAAAAAUAUUAUAUACCAUUAGAUUUAAUCCAAUGGUACACAAUUAAAACAUUAUUGAUGUUGUAAAAAAAAUUACAGCAUCAUAGAGGGACCUAAUAUAAAUACAUACAUAAAAUUAGUUAAAUCAUUAAUGCAUAUAUUAAAAUUAAAAAUCUGCUUACGUUUAUAGUCAAAAAUCGCUGAAGGUUCUUUGCAUGUUUUCGCUUGUGGGGCUGUGGUCAGAAACUGUGAGGGAGAAUUUCUGGGGGAUUUCUCAUGUCCAUUACAUGUUGAAACUGCUUUUGUUGCUGAACUGUUGGCUGUUAUCUUGGCGAUUGAGCAUACUUCUUUUGGAUGUUGGACUAUGCCGUGGAUCAAAUGUGAAUAUGCUUUAACUGUGCUUCAUCUUCGUAAAAAGCGGCUUCCGCCCAUGGUUUCUCAUUCAUCGAUGGAAUAAUUGUAUUGCUCUUAUGGAUUCCAUGACGUUGCACUUUUCUCGUGUCUUCAGGGAGGCUGAUGGGGUAGCUGGUUGUUUGAGCAAUUUAGGUGCCAUGGUGGAUUCCUUUACUUGGUGGGACUCUGCACCCCUCAUGUUGCUUCUCUUUUGCAUGAGGAUGCUUUUAGGCUGCCUAGCUAUCUGUUCAGCUAGCUUUUGUAAUUUUAGUUUGGCUGGUUUUCUUGCUAUAUUUUUAUUUUAUUUUAAUAAAACCUCCUCACUUUGGUGAGGAUUCAUCAAAAAACAAAAGGAAAAAAAGUUAGAACAACCUAGAUCAAGUAAAUUAUAUCGCAGGGAUUUUCGAAGAAAUUCAAGCAUUGGAAGGAUGAAAAACAAAUAUGUAGAUGAUCGAUCUCACCUUAUAUGGAAUUGCAGGCCAAGUUCAAGGAAGGAAUUUUUGAGAAAUUAUGUUCGAUAAAAUGCCCAAGAAGGAAUGCAUCCCACCUGAUGCGUUGAACAAUGAGACGAUACAUCUGUUGCUACAAUUUAUUCACAUAAGAAAUUCAAUUAAAGCAUUUGAAUGGGAAAAUUUUUUUUUCUCUUGUUGCCAGGAACCAAAACUGUUGCCACUUUACUGGUAUACUCCGGGUGUUUUCCGCUGUUUCAAUUUACUUGCUGGUAUUUUAUUUUCGUUUGCUGAAGUAUGAUUAUUUAACAGCCAGUUACUUAUUACAAUAAGAGGCUGUGGAGUCAAUUGCUUGCAUCAUGAGCAUCCCGGGAACUACGAUGUCUGCUUGAGCUUUAGAGGUGAAGACAAGACACCCGCACUGCAAGAACUUUUCAGAUCACCUCUAGUCCACUUUGAAUAAAAUUGGAAUUAAUGUAUUUAGUGAUGAAAAAGAACGUGAAAGGGGAAUAUCCAUUUCACCAGCACCGUCUAAAGUAAUUGAAGAAUCAAGAAUUUCAGUUAUUGUCUUCUUAAGAAACUGCGCUUCUUCAACUUGGUGCUUGGAUGAACUUGUUAAGACUAUUGAAUGGAAGAACACGUCAUGUUCGCCAACAAUUGGUUUUUCCAAUUUUCUAUGAUGUUGAACCAACAGUGGUAAGGAAACAUAUAGGAAGUUUUCAAGAAGCGAUUGCUAAUCAUGAAGAAGUUCUUAAAGGAGAAUAUAGAAAGGGUGCAAAAAUGGAGAGGCGCUCUGCAAGAGGUGGCUAAUAUCUUUGGCUAGGAAUUGAAAGAUAGGUAAUCAUUCUUAUUCUCAAUGAUUAAUUUUCUAAGAUGUGGAACAACUAAUUUUUGUUUGUUCUGCAUGAAUCAUAAUAAGUGAGAAGAUGUCUGGAUUUCUCCACUAUUAAAAAACUGCCAAUAUUUAUUCAGUAUAUUUAUUUACUAGUUUCAUGUUCAGUGUGUGCAUGCGCAUGUGUAUAUUUGUAUCAACAAUAAGAUUGCAACGACCAACUUGCCUACAAUUUUCCAAUAAACUUUACAUGACAAGAUUUUAUACUAUGUUGUUGGGUGAAUGAUGUGGUAGAGCAGAGGGAUUCUAGAACUUAUCAAGUUUUUAGGCAUUCGAACAGGGAGAGACAGUAGAAUAAAUGUAUAAGAAUUUGUUAAAAUCAUAGGAUUUAAUUGAAAUAAUAACUUGAUCAAUGAAUAUCUACAUACGAAGAGUUAUAGACGAAAUUAGAGAAGAGUUACAUGAAGAAUAACCUAGAGAUUAAUCAAACACAAGUUAUGACUUUAUCACUUCCGUUUUGUAUAUAUAUAUUAUGUAAUUUUUUGACACUACGUUACGCUCACACUAGCUUUAGCUCACCAACACAAAUAUUUUCUUGUUCUAUUCAACCCGCAUGAAUGAAUCAGACUUUAUUAUGGAGAUUUUCAAUGAGAUACCAAGCAAAAUUCCUUUAAAAUCAUAGACUCUUAAGGAGCUAGUAGGAAUGGAUUCACACUUGGAGAAGCUAACGAUUCUAAUGGAUAAAGGGCCUAAUGAUGUUCGUAUGAUAGGGAUCUGUGAUAUGGGAGGUAUAGGUAAGGCAGCUCUUGCAAAGGUUGUUUAUAACUUGAUCUAUCAUGAAUUUGAAGUAAGUAGUUUUCUUGCCAACGUUAGAUAAACCUCAGAAAAAGGAGGUCAGAUUUCCUAACAAAAUGGAAUUUAUAUAAUGUUAUCAACAUAAUUGGAAGUGGGUGCGACACAAAAAUGUUAGCUAGAAAGUUCAGGCAGCAGGAUCAUCAUAACAUCCAGAGAUAAACAUCGUUGACAACACAUAGAGUGGACGAAUUGUUGGUCCUUAAGCAACUAUACUAUGAUGAAGCUCUUGGACUCCUUUGUAUAAAAGCCAAUAAGCUAGGGAAAGGAUAUAAGUAACUGUCGAAAAGUGUUGUAAACCAAUAAGCUAAGUUGUAAGAACAUUAGCUGAACAACAGCAGCAAAUUGUGGAACGUAACAAAUGUACAUCACGUGUUGACAAAAAACACGGUAAGUGACAAAGUGCAAUGCAUGUGUUUUGAGUUCAUGAUUCUAAAACUCAAGAAAUGAAGUAUAAAAUUGCUAUCAUUAUAUAAUGCAAAGUAAAACAUAUUCUGUAAUGCAGCCUACAUUUUAUUCAUUUUUUUAUGAUACACGUACAAAAUGUUUUCCUUUGCCCAAGCUAUCAAUUGCACAAUGUAGGCUUUCAAGGAGAUCCUUUGGUCCACAUUUGGUUAAUUCAAUCUUUGAUCCGAAGGAAACGACUUUGUGCCCUGAGAAAGGUAAGUGACAAAAUGUUUUGCUCGACAUUCUAUGCUUUAAAUCUAUGCAUAAAUAAUUUUAUGGACAUCUUCACAUCUUAGUCUGCACUUAUCAUCUGCUUUUAUGAUUUUUAAGGAACUGAGUAGUCGAAUGCAUGGUAUGUGACUUUUCAGAACUUAAGGUUCAUUCUAUGGACAUCUUCACAUCCUUUUCAGAACUUAAGGUUAUUUUUUAUUAAAUCUCCAAAAACACUGGUACUUUCUGGUUGCUCAAAGUUGAAGAAAUUUCCAGAGAUUGUGGGAAAUAUGAAGUUUUUGCGGGAGCUUCUUUUGGAUGGAACUGAUAUUAAGGGACUACUAUUAUCAAUUGUACGUUUAUUUGGAAUUGUUCAGUUGAAUUUGAAAGGUUGUAAAAAUAUUUAGUGUCUUCCAAAUUUUAUAAGUGCUCUAAAAUUUCCUUCCACUUUGAAUUUCUCUGGCCUUUUGAAAUUCAGAUUGUUUCUAGAGAUCAUGGGACGUAUGGAACAUAUGUUGGCACUUCGAUUGUUGGGAACUGCUAUAAGAGGAUUGCCAAUGUCAAUUGAAUAUCUCUCUGGCAUUUUUUGCAAAAUUUAAAAGGUUGUAAAUAUCUCUUGAGUCUUCCAAUUACUAUAAGUAGAUUAAAAUGUUUAAGAACUCUAAUGCUCUCUGGUUGCUCGAAGCUGGAAAAUUUUUGGGGAAGUAUGAAAUCUCUAACUAUGCUAAUUUUAGAUGGAACUGCUAUUCGAGAAUUUCCAUUGUCAGUUGAAUAUCUAACUGGCCUUGUUGUGUUGAAUUUUAAAGAUUGGCAAAAUCUCGAAUGUCUUUCAAGUCCCAUCAGUGGUUUGAAAUAUCUUAAAAUUCUGAAUCUCUCUGGCUGCUCCAAACUUGAAAAUGUGCCAGAGAACUUGGGGAAAGUAGAUAGCUUGAAAGAGCUUGAUAAUAGUGGAACAACAAUUAGGCAACUUCCGACGUCUGUUUCUAUCUUGAAGAAUCUUAAAGCAGUGGACCACAAUCAUCUACAUCAUGGGAUUUGUGCUUCCCAACCAAUAUGAUGUGAAGGAGAUCAGAUCCUAUGACUAAUUUGAUGUUACCUUCUCUAUCAGGCUUAUGUUCUUUAACAAAAUGGGAUCUCAGAGACUGUAAUCUACCAGUGGAAGGAGGAGAAAUCCCAAGUGAUAUUUGCCACAUAUGCCUAUUGCUCAAAAUGAACCAAAAUCUAAUUCCCAUACCAGAUGCAAUGUUGGCUGAAUAAUAAAUGAUAGUAUGAACUGUUGUUUCUUUGCAUACGAUCUCUCGGUUACUCCUAGAGGACUCGUGUACGACGUCCGGCUCAAGUCGUCUAAACUUAGUAAGUGAGUGCACGCGUUGGUCACGUGCACUCACUUAUACACAAUGAUCAAACGACCCGAAAAUACUGUCGUUUUUAAGAGCAUUAGUGUCAGUAUGUAGCUGUUAAAUCGGUUAGAAAGGGCGGGAAAUUAUUACAAACCCAUAACAAGCUGAUGACCGAUGACGUAUAUUGUAUGAUGUCCAUUCCGUAGCUUGCAAUUUUCUCUCUAAGUUUGUAAGUUGUUCUGAGAAAACAAAUAAAGCUUGCCAAAGAAGGCAUAGGCCACUGUAGCUAAACAUCUCUAGAUAUUGUGUUUAUGUUUUGAUUUUUUUUUUUCUGUUUGAGCGAAGCCGUACUGAUGAUGAAGAACCUCAAGCUACAAGGAUUUAGGAAAUCUAAUAAAGAGUAAAGCCUUUUUAUACUCAUGCUUUGUAUUAUGUUCAUGUUUCACUAUUACCUAAUUGAAAUUGCAUUCCAACUUGGAUUUUCAAUUUCUUGACAAACUAUAUAUUCAUUUGAAUUAUGUAAUAUAAAGAUUUUCGUAUCACUAGUUUGUGCUUAUUGGUUAAAAUUCUUUCAUUCUAAUAUAUCAAUUAUAAUAGGCAAAAUGACGUCUACACCCCCUAAAUUUUAGGAAAUGAUCACCAAUACCCUCAAAUUUUUUGAAAAAGACACCAAAACCCUUUAAAAAAUUAAAUUUGAAAUUUUUAAUAAAUAAAAAUAUUAUAUAAAUAAUGUAAUCUAUGCAAUAGACUAAGAAUAUUAAAAUUAUUUAAUAUUUUAAUAAAUUUAAAUAUGUAAAUUGUUAUAUUUAUUUAAUAAUAUAUUUUUAUUUAUUUUAGAUAUUUUAAAUAAAUAUUUGCAUUAAAUAUAUUUUACAAUAAAAAAAAAUAUCACAUGCUAAUGUUAUUAUUAUUUUACAUAAUAUUGAAAAUAAUUUAAAUUUUAAUACACUUUUUUUAACAUUAUGAUUCUAUUUAUUAUAAAAUUUAAAUAUAUAUACUAAAAUAUAUCUAAUAGAUUGUAAAAUAUUAAAAUAUUUUUGAAGUAUUGAAAUUAUUUUACAAUGUAUACAUUAUUACACUUAUUUUAAUGUUAUAUUUCUAUUUAUUAUAAAACGUUAGUGUUGAUUCUUUUUGGGAUAAUAGAGGUUAAAGGGUACUAUCGCUAAAAGAAGGUCUUGGUGUUCCAUUUUGAAAAUUUGAGGGUGUUGGUGAUUAUUUUCUUAAACUUUGGGGGUGUAGAUGUCAUUUUCCCAUUAUAAUAUCUUUUUUUGGCUAUUAUACCUUUUAAUUUUAGUAAUAUUAAAAUUGAUUUUAAAUUUUAAAAUAAAUACAAAUAUAAUAUAAGAAUAAAUAAACAAAAAAAAGUAAUUUUUAUUUUGGAAUUCCAAAUAUCUUGUUUUCAACAUAAGAAGUAUAGUAUCUCAACUAGAUCCUAAAAUAAAAAUUACAGAGAGGAAAUCAGAUUGCUAUUAUUAGACUAUAUAGGGUGCGUUUGAGAUUGAGGUUGAGCAGCUGUAGCUUUUAAGCUAUGUUGAUAUGAUUUUUCACUUGUAUAAUAUAAAAUUUAUUAUAUCUUUAAUAAUUUUAUCAAAAUUAUUAUUUAAAAUUUAUAUUUACUAUAUAUUAUUAACUUUUGUUUCAUAAUUACAUCUUUUUUUUCACAGCAGCUAUAGCUUAAAAGCUACAGCACCUCAAUCCCAAACGCACCCAUAAUAAUAAAAAUUAAUUUUUAUUUUGGAUUUAUUUAAAAGUAAUUGAUCACAAAAUAAAAAAAAAUUAAAACAAUUGACCCAGGGCCAGCUUCGUUCGUCCUUUUAUAGAGAAUUGCAGGUAAAAAUCAUGCCCAGAACACGUUUGAUAAAAUACCCAAUUGGAGGAAUGCAUCCACCGGGUAUGUUGAAGAGCAACGACAUGAUGUAUCUGUUGCUGUAACUUUGUGAUUUCCUAAGCAAUCAGAAUCAAACAGUCAACAACUUUAUGAUUUCCCAGUUAAUCAACAAAGUCAAUUAUGCUGCCACUUUAUGAUUUCCCAGUUAAUCAACAAAGUCAAUUAUGCUGCAACUUUAUGAUACAUCUAUUGCCACAAUUUUUUUUCACGUAGAAAAUUCAAUAAAAUUAAUUUAAUAAUGUACAGGCUCAAACUUGUUGCCGCUUUGCUUGUAGUGCGGGUUUUGGGCUCCUUCAAAUUGCUGGUUGAUUAUGAUUAUUUGGGAGCCAAGCUUUUAAGUCCAAAUAAAUUUUUUAGGAACUUAAACAAGAGGCUUUGGAAUCAAUUUCUUGCAACAUGAGCAUCCUGCAGGGAGUUCCUCCAUAAAACAUUUGUAUGUUGGUUUGGAUCAAAAGGGAGUCGCUGUAUUUAGGGACGACGAAGAACUCGAGAGAGGAAAAGUAAUUUCACCAGGACUACUUACAGUAAUUGAAGAAUCAAGAAUUUUAAUAACUGUUUUCUCAAGAAACUAUGCGUCUUCCACUUUGUGCUUGAAGAACCAAGAAUUUCAAUAAUAUCUUUUAUAAAUAUCAAAGUGAGGAAACAACUAAAUCAUCUUAAAAAGAAAGAAAUCAUAAUUUAUACUUAUUAAAAACAAUUAGAUCAAAUCUCUUCAUUGGCAGCUAACAACAUCAAUUCCAUAUUCAAGUCAGCAAGUUUGGAAAGGUCCAUCCGUUGCUUGGAUUGCUGAAUCGCUCUUUUGGAUAAAUUUUCCGUGCUUUUAAUGAAAGAAAAUUAGAAAAGAAAAUUAUAGAGAUUGAACAAUUAGCAACAUACAAAAAGUUAAAAUUACUAACAAAUGAGCAAUUAUACUUUUCCAGCAAGUGAUUUGUGGUUAGCACUUUAAGCAGCAGCUACAAUCACAAAUAAAAACACAGUUUUUCUAAUCACUCAAUCCGUCAAUAUUAGAGGAGAUUCUGUUCUCUUCUUUGCUGAUUUUGAUUAUAUAUGUACAGUUUUUUUGGUACUUGUUGAGUUGUAACUCAAUGUAAGUACGUCGGUCAUUUUAAUCGGUUUUGUUGGCUUUCUCUCUUCCACAGUACUUUUUCUCUGAAAAAGUAUAGGAAUGAAAGAUGACUUAAGCCCCCGUGGCUUUCUCAAUCACCCACUAGUUGGGUGUUCUCUACAAUAUUAUUUAUGCAACAAAUUUAAUUUCGGUGGUUAGAAAUUUGGUGAGAAGUCUUAUUCAUAGAAUCACAGCAUCUAAUGGAUGCUGAGGAAUUAUUACGCAAGUGUCAGGUGAGUGUUUCAAAAGAAGAGGAGGCAGACAUGGUAACAUUCAUGGGGCGGAUGAAGAUAAAGGGAGAGGAGGUAGCUGCAAAUUGUGUAGUAGGCAAAGUGCUAACAUCAAGAAGUAUAAACAAGGAGGGCUUGAAAGCUGCAAUGCAAAUGGCUUGGAGAACUGUCAAAGAGGUUAAAAUAGAAAGUAUGGGGGAUAAUAUUUUCCUGUUCAAGUUCGCCUCUGAAGAAGAAAAGAAAAGGGUGCUCAUGGGAGGGUCGUGGCAUUUCGACAGAGCAUUGAUAGUUUUGACCGAACCAACAGGGAUUGGAGAUAUCAAAAAUCAAUCUUUUACACAUGCCACAUUUUGGGUUCAGCUUCAUAACAUACCAAUAAUGUGUAGAAACAAGGAGGCCAUCCAACAGCUGGGAGAAAAAAUUGGUACAGUCAAGGAAGUGGAGACAGACGAAGUUGGGGAAUGUAUUGGGCAGUUUGCUAGAGCCAGGAUAUCCAUUGAUAUUUCACAGCCUCUAAAAAAGAUUGUAUUCCUACAACAAGCGGAUGGCAAAACUCCAAUGCCAAUUUUGUAUGAAAACUUCCGGAUUUUUGCUUUUGUUGUGCGCAUAUCGGUCACCAGUACAGGGAAUGCUUGAGAUACAAAGGACAACAAAAGGAGGACUUGCCUUAUGGUGGUUGGAUGCGAGCUGUUACACAAGCUGACAGGAUAAAGCAAAAACGUAGUAGGUAGAAAGGCAAUCGAGAGCAAUCCAAUCCCAAAGAAAAUGUGCAAGCAACAACCAAUCCAAGCUCAAACAACCCGAUUGAUCAAGACAGGUCAAAAUUGAACAAUUCGGAUCGGGAAAUCAGAGAUGGAGCAGAACCAGAGGAUACAAGAAACCUGCUGAUAUCUGACAAAGCACAUUUAAUGUUGACCUCUUCAGAGACGAAAAAUCAGCAAGUGGGGAGUCAGAGUAUGGGCUGUGACAUCGACGAGGUGCAGAAUAGGGUGGCAAGUAAUGAUAGCCACUAUAGCUAUGAAAGUACAAAGGCAGGAGAAAAGAUUUUGAAGGAGAACGAAAAUCCUGUGGAUAAAACAGGAUUGGAAAUAAUAAAAGAUAAAAGGAAGCAGAUUGAAGAGAGUGCCAGAUCUGAUGUGGAAGAAAUGGAUAGUGGGCCAAGCAAGACCAACGCGAAGCCCAAAGCGAGAAAAUGGAAACUUAAGGCAAGAAUUCCAAUAGCAAAAGGAGCGAAGAAUUAUGGGUUAAUAGGAGCAAAAAGACCUAGCAGUGAUGACCAUCAGCUCAGCCCACAACACAAAAAAAUAAGAGUGCUCAGUCCACCAAAACAAUCACACGUGGGAAACCACACAAGCUUAGCAAUAAACUCAGACUACAGCAACCACAUUAGCUCAAACAGAACAGCCCGGCAGCUACAAAUAACAGAAGAGAUAUCAGAUGAAGGGGAAUAUGUGGCAGCUAUGGAAGAAGAAGUAUCGGCGGGUGUUGAAUUUCAAGCCCGCCGACAACCAUGAAACUCUUAAGUUGGAACGUUCGAGGUCUGGGGAAGCCUCGAACGCGCUUAGCUUUCAAAAAAAUUCUCCACCUGCACCGGCCUCAAAUUUUCUUCUGUUGUGAAACCAAGAUGUUGGCUAGGCAGGUUGAAUCGAUUUGUAGAGAUUUUAACUUCGAGAAUUGUUUUGCAGUAGAUAGAACGGGCAUGGGGGGAGGUCUAGCUUUGUUUUGGAGUGCAAAUGUUAAUGUUCGCAUUACCUCAUACAGCCCACAUCAUAUAGAUGCAAUAGUGAGUAGUGAAAGUGGUUUGAGGUGGAGAUGCACCGGGAUCUACGGCCAUCCUGAGUUCAGCCAGAAGCAUAAUACUUGGACUCUCAUGAAAAGGUUAGCCAGCCUAUUUUCCUAUCCUUGGUGCUGUUUUGGUGAUUUCAAUGAGAUAAUGCAUAUGCAUGAGAAAACCAGGGGCAAUGAGAGAAACCUGAAUAGGGUUGCCGAGUUUAGGGAAGCUGUGCAAAGCUGCAAUUUGCAGGAUAUGGGGUGUAAGGGAUAUCCCUAUACGUGGUCAAACAAAAGAUACGGAGAUCAUUUCAUUGAGGAGAGAUUGGACCGAUUUCUGUGUAGUAAAGAUUGGGGGAUUAAUUUCCAAGAAUCUGUAGGCACAGAUCUAGUGAACUGGUCUUCGGACCACUGCCCAAUUAUUCUAGAAUUCUAUGAGCGAAGCAUAAAAUUGAGAAAUGCGGGCAAAUCAUUCCCCCGAGAUUAUUAUGAGGAUAUGUGGAGCUCCCACGAAGGCUGUAAGAGUAUAGUCCAGGAAGAGUGGAGUCGGUAUGGGGCUAGAGCUUGGGAAUCCCCUGUUCAGCAAUUUCAGCGAAUAGCCAAAUCUUCCUUGGCCCAGCUAAAACUUUGGAGCAAAACCGAAUUUAAUGGUAGGCAAAGAAAGCAAGAAAAGCUGAUACAGAGCCUCCAGGAUGCUAUGAGAGGGAAUUCAAAGCUGGAUGAUGGCCAGGAAAUUAGGAGAUUGGAAAGUCAGAUUAACUCUAUGCUAGUUGAUGAGGAGAUUUACUGGAAACAGAGUUCGAGGGCUGACUGGCUUAGAGAAGGGGAUAAGAACACGAAGUAUUUUCACGCCAAAGCAUCUGCCCGCAAAAGGAAGAACAAGGUGUGGGGGAUUGAAAACGACCAAGGCAUUUGGUUGAAGGAAAGGGAUGAAAUAGAGGAGGAGAUUUGCAGCCAUUUCCAAGAGCUAUUCACUACUUCCGGCCCGACUCCAAGCCAAAUCCAAGCAACCCUUUAAGGCAUGCCUGCUAAAGUAACUCCGGAGAUGAAUGUUCAGCUGGAGACGCUGUUCACCGCUGAAGACGUUGAGGAAGCCCUUGCCAACAUGUGUUCCACAAAGGCCCCAGGGCCUGAUGGUCUUCCAGCUGCCUUCUUCCAGAAGCAUUGGAAAUCUGUCCGUAUCGGAGUGAUCUCAACGUGCCUUAAUGUCCUUAAUGAGCAAGGUAACCCAUCUACCCUCAAUCACACUUUCAUUGCUUUGAUUCCAAAAAUUGCAAAUCCUAGGAAAGUGAGUGAUUAUAGACCUAUCAGCCUCUGUAAUGUUAUUUAUAGAGUUGUAGCUAAGGCCAUUGCAAAUAGAAUGAAGCCGAUCCUUUCCCAAAUCAUCUCCCCUAUGCAAAGUGCAUUCAUCCCCAAUAGGCUCAUUACCGACAAUGUUAUUAUUGGUUAUGAAUGCCUUCAUAAAAUAAGGCAUAGCAAAGGGAAGAAGAACGGACUUGUGGCUUUAAAAUUGGACAUAAGUAAGGCUUAUGAUAGAGUUGAGUAGCCUUUUUUGGAACAAACUAUGCUAAAGAUGGGGUUUCCUAGUAAUUGGGUAGCUUUGAUAAUGAGAUGUGUUACUUCCACUUCAUUCUCGGUGCUUAUUAAUGGUGUGCCAAAAGGAAUGAUCCAGCCGGAAAGAGGCUUGCGACAGGGCUGCCCGCUAUCCCCGUACCUUUUUAUCCUUUGUGCAGAGGCUCUCUCCAAUUUGUUGGUUUUGACAGAACAGAACCAGCUAAUCCGAGGUCUCAAAUUUGCGCGGGAAGUUUCAAUUACUCACUUGCUGUUUGCGGACAACAGCUUGGUUUUCUCUCGUGCAUCAGUGGCUGAAUGCAGGCAUUUAAAAGAAAUUUUUGAUAAAUAUGCUGCAGCAUCAGGGCAGAUUUUUAAUUUCUAGAAAUCCUCAUUAUUUUUCAGUGGGAAAAUUCCAGAGCAUCAAAGGGCUGCUAUAAGGGGUAUAUUUAAUCUAAAUGUGGUCUCAAAGGACGAGAAAUAUCUCGGUCUUCCAUCAAUGCUUGGGAGAAAGAAGAUGGGGUUCUUUAAUGACAUCAAACUAAAAGUGUUGAACAAGAUUGCAGGAUGGCAGCAUAAAAUAUUGUCUAGUGGGGGGAAGGAAGUUCUGAUCAAAGCGGCUGCCCAAGCAAUUCCAGCAUAUGCAAUGAGUGUUUUCAAGCUCCCAAGAGGCUUUUGUGAUGAUAUUCAGCGAGCUAUAGCGAAGUUCUGGUGGGGCUCGAAAGGGGAUAAGCGUGGAAUCCAUUGGCGGAAAUGGGAGAAGCUCAGCCAGGCAAAGAUUAGAGGGGGGUUGGGAUUUCGAGAGUUUACUUGCUUCAAUCAAGCAUUGGUAGCUAAGCAAGCAUGGAGGUUACUGCAGUACCCAAAUUCGCUAGUCUCAAGAGUCCUUCAAGCAAGAUAUUUAAGGAAUUCCAGCUUUUUAUGUGCGAAGGCAGGAGCCAAUGCCUCGUAUAUUUGGAGAAGCAUCAUGUGGGGUAGGCAGGUGAUUAAGAAGGGUAUGAGAUGGCAGAUAGGUAAUAGCAAGAAGAUAGCAAUCUUCUUGGAUAACUGGCUGCCAAGACCAGAGACCUUUAGACCUAUCUUCCCUCCAUCAUUGCCUGUAAGCUCAGUUGUUGCAGACUUAAUUAAGGCUGAUAAUCAAUGGGAUGAAAUAAAGCUUCGACAACACUUCAUGGAUGCAGACACAGCAAAGAUCCUCAAGAUUUCCCUCCCAGCUGAGAAAGCAGAAGAUGAAGUGCUUUGGCAUUACGACAAAAGAGGGAACUACUCUGUCAAGAGUGGGUACCAGCUAGCCUUGAGAUCAAAAUUUCCAGAUUCCACCAGCUGCACAUAGGCUUCCAUCAAGUAUUGGAGUGCCCUUUGGACAUUGGAGCUGCCUGAGAAGCUUAAAAUUUUCAUGUGGAGGGCUUCAAAUAAUCUGCUUCCAUCAGCGGAAAAUCUGUGGAAAAGGAAGGUAGUGGAGGAGCCAACUUGUAAGCGAUGCAAAAUAAGUGUUGAGACUAUCAGCCAUGCUCUCUUGGAGUGCAAGGCAGCGAGAAAGAUUUGGCUCCAAUCCCCCUUUUCAGCCCCUAGCUUAGAAGCUAAUUCUCAGGAGAUUUUCAGCACUCUGCAAAAUAUGGCUAAGGAGCUGAGGAAAUCAGAUCUGGAAUUAAUGGUAGCUCUAUGUUGGUCUGCCUGGUAUGCUAGGAACAAAUGUAUCUUCGAUGGCAGGGAGAUUAAUCCUCUUAUCUCAGCUGCUAAAGCGGAGUCAGUAUUGACAGCAUUUCAGAGAGCUAGGAAGCCCCAGCAAGCUCACAUCUCUAUCUUCAGAAAAGCGAAGCAGCAGGAGUGGCUCCCCCCCCCCUCCCCCGGAGAAUUUUUUAAAGUUAACGUGGAUGCUGCUAUUACUUCAAAGAAUCUGAGUGCAGGAGUGGGAGCUGUGAUUAGAGACUCUAAUGGAAAAAUAGUUGCGGCUGGGGUAAAUCAGAACCUCCUAAAGGGGUUAGUUAGCUUGGCUGAAGCAGAGGCGGUGCUUUGGGGCCUUCAGCUGGCAAGAAGUGCGGAUGUAUCCUCUUUGAUUAUUGAGUCUGAUUGUUUAGAGGUGGUCCAGCUAGUGAACAACACCAAGGGCAGCAGAUCAGAUAUUUUUUGGACAAUUCUGGCAAUCUAAAACCAGAUGAAGAACUUCCAGAAUGUUGUUGUCAAUCACAUUCCAAGACAUUGUAAUGCUUGUGCCCAUUACCUAGCUAAGAUAGCUUUGGGGAAAAUCUCUCCCUGUAUGUGGCUGGGAAAUAUUCAGCUGAAUUGUAUGGUAUUCUCAAGGUGUUGUGAUUAAUGAAAGGCUUACUUUCUUUUCAAAAAAAAAAAACUCAAUGUAAGUACACAUUUUUUUCCCCAACAACACAAAAAAACAAUUGCUUCUUCAACUUCUUCUGUUAUCCAUAUGCUAAAAAAAAAAAAAUAAGAACAUUGAAGAAAGAAGGCAUUUAUAUUGUCAUUAAAAGGAGGUUUUCCACUUGUGAUUUCCUUCCAGCCAUUAACGUAAUCCGACAUUCGAUCAUUCCAUUGCAUGACUCGUGAAGAACGGUAGGCUCUUGAAUGCUUUUAUUUUCUUUCAAUUUAAGAGGCAUUUACUUAUAAAAAUCCUAUGCUUUUCCUUAAAACAAAUAUAUUUUCCUAAUUAACUAAAGUUCUCUUAAAGCAAAGUACUUCAUUGGAAUUCAUCUACUUACAAAAAUCCUCUCUAUUUAAGAUUUGCUCAGGUACACUCUCCCAUCAGAUUUAGAAAGUCAAAUUUUCUGAUAUAUUUUAAAAUUUGCAGUAUGAUAUUUUAUUUUCUUUAAAGAAAGGAUAACAUAAAAUUGUGUAAGAUCAAUUAAAGUAGAAAUUUGAUUCAUGCGUAACUAUAACUUAAGUGAUCACAUAAUAGUUGACUUCUUUUUACAAUUUCGACAUGCUUAUUUCAUUUUUUGUGUAGUUUUUAUUUUGUUUUAUUUUAUUUUUACUAUUAUACUCUUGACUAUAGUAAGCCGAAAGUUGAUAUUAUAUUUUAAAAUAAAUAUAAAUAUAUUAUAUUAUUAAAUAAAUAAACUAAAUAUAUUAUAUUUUAAAAAUAAAAAUAAAUUUAUUAUUAAUAUAAAUAAUAUAAAAUUAUUAUUCUUGAUUAUUUUAUUUUUACUAUUCCCUGACUUUAUCACCGAGCGCGCAUCUCAAAUUCAAAUGUUAUUUUGCACAUGAUAAUUCAUUUACAUUCCAUUUAUUCAAAAAUCUGUUAUAAAUCAGUUAAGGGUUAGUGACGUGGCAUUGGUGUCCAUGUUUGUUAACCGUGGUUAGCACUUCAGCAGCAGCUACAAAAUAAACACAGGGUCUGAUUUAUUGUCAAUCUUUAAUGUGUCCGUUUGUCGGGUAGAGCGACGAGUUAAGAGAGUGUUUAUUGAGCUCACGCUCUUCCUUGUCAUUUCCUCUGUGAAUUUUUAUGGGUUUAAAUACUUGAACCUCGGAAUUGAGGCUACAAUGUUUAGUGCACAUAUGUUGAAUAUGAAUAUGAUCGAUCUCAGCUUGAUUUGGGCCCAGAACAAACGAUAAAUAGACAAAGGAAUGAUUAUAUGGAAUUCGCAGGCCAGGUUCAAGAGAGGAGUUGUUGAGGAAUUAUGGUAUAAUUCUCGUGCCUAGGACGUGUUCGAUAAUAUGCCUACGAAGGAAUGUGCAUCCCACCUGAUGUGUUGCAUCAACUCUAUGGUUUCCCACGCAAAAGCAAUCAAUCAACAAGGUCAAUUCGUGAAGGUUUGUCCUGCGUGAGUCAUAGCUAGUGAGCAGAUUCUGAGAGUCUUUAGUCUUUAACAGAAUUUUACCACAAACACAGUGCAAACCCAGUGUUUAUCUAAUCAAUUAUUUUCUUUUUCUAGCGGCUAACCUUUUUGCAAAUUUCUAAAUAGAAAUAUACAUGACAGAAUUUUCAUUAUUUGUUGUUUCAUGAAUGAUGUGGUAGAAUGAAGGAAUUGUAGAAUUUCUUGAGUUUUAGACAUAAAACAGAGUCAGGCCAUGGAAUGAAUGAAAAAAAUAUCAUCACAUUUGUUGGAAUGAUGCUGUGCUUUAUUCAAAAUUAUUUCUUCCACUAGAGAAGCAAUCAAUAAUAGUGUUAAUUCUUGAACCUGUGAAAAGCAAUUAAUUUUCUCCAUUUGUUUACUAGCAAUCUUCCAUAACCAUUGUGCUUGGCUGUGAAAUAGCCUAUUUGUGGCUGAACAUAGAAUCUGUUUUUUGUUUCUUUGUUGCUUUUUGUGAUCUUUGGCUUAAUUUACAAUUCAUGGCAUGUCUGAAAAUGGGUCGAUGAAUAUGUUAAAUAUGGACUCAGAUCUAGAUCAGAUUUAUCCAUGAAACAAUCAAGAGGAUUCAACAUUUGAUUUUUGUUUUUCUUUUCUCCACCCCCAUGUUUAAUUUUGGUCGGAGGACUUGGUUGAUAGGAAUUGACAACAAUUGAUUUUCCUUUUUUUCGUUAAACAAGAGACCACAAUGUCAAUUUGAAGACUUUGUUGAUAAGAAUUGACAACUGUUGGUUCUUAUUAUUUGUUUUUGUUUAAUAGAAGAUGCCUUGGAAUUCCGCAUCGUUGACAUGUAGUUGAUAUUUAAAACAUUUUGAUGUUAGAGCUUAGAAUGUUUGCUGUUGGAAUUCUUAUUAAGAAAAUUACUAUGCUGCUUGCAACAUAAUCAAAGUUGUAAGUUUUAUGCCCUGCAGUUCUCUUUAUUUUCAAUUAUGUUUUUGAAUUUUCAGAAUAAAUAUGAAGAAAAAGAUCAUUAAUUUCCAAAGCAGAGAAGAAAAUAUUUUCAGAAUUAUACUACAAUGACUAUAGGGAGAUCCUGAAAAUGAGAUUCUUGAUGUUCAUCAAAUAAGUUUUGAUGGGUCAAAAGAAACAGAGAAGAAAAUAUUUCUCGAUCUUGCAUGUUUCUAUGAAGGGAAGCACAGAGAUUAUGUGAAAACAAUUCUCAAAUAUUGUGAUUUUGACCCAAUUAUCGAAAUUGUUGGUCCUAUUGACAAAUCUCUAUUAACUGUAGAUGAUUUCGGCGGACUGUGGAUGCAUGAGUAGUUACAAGAAAUAGGGUAGACAAAUUGUUAGGAGGCAAUCCCAUCAGGAGCCUGGAAACUGCAAUAGAUUGUGGGAAAAAGCCGAUAUAUGCCAUGUAUUAUCACAAAGCACAAGUAGAGAUGGCAAAACCCCGGGCCGGGUCCGGGUAUUGCCAUGACCGGACCCUGCCCGGAUGCAACCGGUCCGGGUCCGGGUCUGGGCCGGGUUUUAUCCGGGUACCCGAAUUUUAUGUUUUUUAAUAUUUUAUGUGUAUAUAUUUUUAAUUUUUUGGUAAUUUUAUAAGUUUUAAAUUUAUUUUAAUAAAAUUUGACAUGAAAAUAUAAACUUUAAGUGUUUAAAACUUUAUAUAUGUAUAAUAAAUGAUUCAAAUAAAUAUAAAAUAUUUAAAAUAAUAUAUAUUUUAUAAUUUUUUUUAAUAAAAUCCGGGUUCCGGGUUUAUCAAGUGAUGCCCAAGACCGACCCGGCUUCAUACCCGGGCCGGGUAUUACCCGGCCCGCAACGCCCGGGUACGGUCCGGGUCCGGACCGGGCGGGUAUUUUUGCCAUCUCUAAGCACAAGUAAAUGUUCAGUUAGGUUGAAAACUUGCAAUUUUGGGAUCAUGAUCACUUAUUUAACUAGUUAAACCUUUGCAUAGUUUUAUCAAUAUUUUCUUUCUUUCAUUUUUUUUUUUUUGGUUCCCACUUAUUUUUUGUUAUAAUGUUUAGGAAACUGAUGUAGUUGAAGCAUCAUAUUUGAUUAACAACAAUGAGAUGCAUGUCAGUGCUAAAGCCUUUUCUAAUAUGACCAAUCAGACUUCACAAGAGUACCAAAUUUAGGGGAGCUGAUUUCUGAAAGAUUUACAAGGUUGCAGGAGAUUCACUCAUUUUUUCUGCUUCAAAGAAGCUGAUUCUGUUGAAUUUGAAAGGUUGUACAAGUCUUUCAACUCUUCCAGGCAAGAUCUUUAUGAAAUCUGAUUAAGACACUUGUUCUUUCUGGUUGCUUGAAGUUGAAGAAAUUUCCAGACAUUGUGCAAGUUCUUCCGGAUGGAACUGAUAUUAGAGAACUGUCAUUAGCAAUUGAACUUCUAUUUGGACUUGUUUAGUUGACUCUGAAUGGCUGCAAAAAUCUUGAGCAUCUUCCAAGGACCGUAAGAGCUCUGAAAUAUCUAUCAACUUUGAAUCUUUCCGGCCUUUUGAAAUUCAGAUAGUUUCCACAGAUAACUUCAAGCAGGGAUCAGCUCUUGGAGAUUCAUUUGGAAGGAACUGCUAUAAGAGGAUUGCCAGCAUCUAUUGAACUUCUUUCUGGCAAUGUUUUGUCGAAUUUGAAAGAUUGCAAGAAUCUCAAGAGUCUUCCAUGUAUGAUAAAUGGUUUGAGAUCUCUUAAAUUGUUGUAUCCCUCUGGUUGCUCCAAACUUAAAAAUGUGACAGAGACCUUGGGGAAAGUUGAAAUCUUGGAAGUAAGAUUGUCUUGUUAGAAUCAGGCGAAAAUGCAGAAUGACUUCAACUGUGUGGAACAGAGUGCAGUGGAGACAGUAACAAAGUUAGCAAAAGCAGAAUCGCUAAGGUACUUUACAAAAUUAAUAAUUUCCUUUAUAACAUGCAGUACCGUAUUACUUCUAUGUGCAUUGCUAUCAAUAUCUUCGACCGAAAGAUUCAGAUUCAUGGAAGAAGAAUGUUGAUAAGGGCAUCAAGCUAUCUACAACAGCAAUAUCAGCUUGCUCACUUGCCUGCCAUAGGCUGAUUCAAACCUCAAGAGCCAUGCCGAAGAGUUGAAUCAAAUAACAGCAAAUUCACAUCUUAGGUGGCCUUUUCUUCCAGCUUAGUCACUGCAUCAUUUUUUUUAUAGCAGGUUCGUUCUAUAAUAAUCUCAUAGGCACAUAUCAUGAACUUUGUUUUAUCAUGCUUGCAUACUUUGUUUACUUCUGCACAGUGAUAUACACAUUCACUAUCUCUAUUUUGCAUGACUACUAUAAAUUUAAGUAGAAAUUGAUUUUGGAAUAUGCUCUUAUCCUUUAUUAAUCAUAUAAAAAGUUCAUACGUGAGGGUAUACUAUUUACAGCUGUCUUGCGGAUGGAUUUAUAACCUUACUAAGUAAUAUUAUCAACAAUUUUUGGAUUUGCUGAUUUUAGAGCCUGGUCUUAGAAUCCAUAAUGCAUUGACAAAUACAGAAAUGAUCAAAUUGCUAGCCUCAGUAGUUGCUAUUUAUGUUAUUAUUGAAAGAUGAUUCAAAUUCUUUAUGUAUGUUAGUUUUUGUUUGGGCGGGAAAUUUAAGUUUUAUCUUAGUUGACUCUAUUGACCACCGCUUGUAUCAAAAAAAUCUGAAUACUGGUCGUACGAGUACUAUAUAGCAGACCCGAGGGCAUGCGAGGAGAGACCAAAAUCGAGUCAGAUCGAAGGCUUGAUCAAAGGCCAACACGUAGUUUGUCUCCAAGAAACUCGGGCACAAAGCCCAUUCAGCGGCAGUUACAUUGUCCAUUGACCCAUGAUUUCAAAGACGCAGCACGCACCUUUUCACUUCCAAGCCAACAGUAAUCGUGGGGAAGAUGGAGUCGAUGGUUCAGGUUGGGUAUAAAAGCUACGGAGAAUGGAGGUAAAAAGGGCUGGACAAAUUUUUUUUUUUAAUUUCCAUAUUUUCUCUCUCUUUGACUUUUUCUCUCUCGAUAAUUCUCUCUAUUUAUUUUUCUUCGUUUUGAGAAUUAAGAUUUCUAACUUUCAAUUGAUAUAAUUAAGUAAUGAGUUUGUGAUACAAGUUUUUCUAAAAGAGACCCAAUUACUGACAUGAGCGUUGGAGGAUUUUCGCCAAAAAAUUUUUGGUGCCGCUCUAAUUGGAUAUUGUGAGUAUAGGUGAUUCAACUUAGCGAGUUUUGGUUGAAGCUAUCUACUCGAGUGCGAUAGCCGUCGCACUGAAUCAGCUCCCUAGCAAAUAAAAUUUAAACGUUGGCGCAGAUGGCCUGGUCGCAGUUCCAUCGAUCAGAUUCCUGCAUCAACACCGUCAGGACUCUACCAAGUUUACCUCAAGUUUCCAUCAAGACACAACAUGAUGAUCCAUGUCACAAAUUAUUUCUAAUGUUACGAUUAUAUUUAAUGGAAAUGACUCAGAAAUCUACUUCUAAUAGACGUUUUUAGAUUUAGUCCCGUGUAUUUUAUACAAUUGAAGCUUCCAGGAAAUUUUGCGGUAAUGUCAUAUGAUGUAUUGUCGGUAGACACGAUGAAAAUAAUUAAAAUGUCACUUUUUGACCAAGACUUGCUUUUCGUUUUGUCAUACAAACAAACAACAACAGAGAUGGGAAGAUAGAAUUUGUGUGACGCACAACUAUGCUUUCUCAAUAAAACAGAACUUUAAUUCUCCAAAUAGAAGUCCUCUGCUUUCCCCUGAAUUCCAUUAAGUAGCUGCCUGCUACAGUAAUGAGUUGACUCUAUUGACCACUGCUCGUAUAAAAAAAAUCUGAAUAAUAAACUUACAACUUGUGAGGCUUGUAACCAAAAGAUGCCUAAAACCAAUUAUUUCUAAGAGAAGUGGACAGCUUGAAUAAUAAAUGUACAAUAAAAAAUUUACUUUUGUUGUGAUUUUCACAAAUGGAUUAAAAAAAAAAUGAUUGGCGGAUUGAAUAAUGAAUGUACAAUAAACAAAAAAAUUUACUUUUGUUGUGAUUUUCACGGACGAACAAAAAAGACAAAAGGGAUUAUAAGUGUAUUUAAACGGUCCAUUAGCCUUUAACAUUUACUUUCAAAUCUUUACUUAUCUCAACAAGAAAUUUCUAUAACUUUAAAAAAAAAAAUUAAAGAUUAUAGUGGAAUUCUUCGGAAAGAAUAAAUUCUUGAAAGAUUUUGGUGGAAAUUUUCCAAAAUAAUAAAAUUUUUAAAAAGAUUAUCGUGGAAUUUUUCUAAAAGAAUAUUUUAUUCACUUUGCCCUAUAAAAUGCAAUUACAUUGAGGCCGCCCUUGAUAAAAUACUAAAAGAAAUCAUUGCUUUCCUCAACAUCAUGUCGACCAUAACUUUGAUUCUAUGCACCACUAAAGACCAUGAUCAUGGUUCGUAAUUGCUUUCAGCAGACACUUUUGAUUACACUUUUUGUUUUUGAGAAAUUAAUUAGAGCACAAAACAUUCCUUUCAUUGAUUUCUUUGAAAGAAACUUAGGUCCUCUUAUACUGUAAUUUUUUAGUUUUAAAUUAUUAAAAAAAUUAUAAUUAUAAGAUAAAAAUUAAUAGUAUAUAAUGAAUAUAAUUUUUAAAUAAUAAUUUUUAUAAAAUUAAUAAAAAUAUAAUAAAUUUUUCAUCAUACAACAUAAUUUUUAAGAUAUAAUAGUUAAUACUCAUUAAACACUUUAGUAUUAUAGUUUAAAAAUUACAAUUUCCCAAGCUCAAUUCCAAAUAAAGCCUUAAGUAGAAGAUUAAGUAAAAAUUUACGAUCUUUAUUGCUUCCGAUAAGCUCAAAAAUGCCAGUUAAUUUUCUUACAUUUUUUCAUUUCAAAUAAAAGUAAAAUGCCGAAUGUAUUAAAAUUUGUCAAAAUUUUAUGCUAAAAAUCAUUAGGAGAAAAAUGAUUAUUUUAGCCAUUUUGAGUCCCCCGACAGAUUUUGAGGGAGAUUGGAAUCUUGUGUAAUUUUGCUGUUUGGAGUUAUGAUGCAUCUUUAUCGUCUUUUCUGUUGACUGAACUUGAUUGACCUCUGCAUGCGACCUCAUGUAGGUCCGUCCGCUGAAAUACGGGUUACGUGUUCUUUAAUGGAUCAACUCGACCCGUAUUUGACCCGAUAUUGACCCGCGUUUGGUUGGACCGUAGGAUGUAUGUGACGUGUCUUGUUGGCCGUUGAUCCGCCUUGUGUGAGGGUACUGGAUGGUUGACGUUGUAUCUGGACCACUAUUUUGAUCAUAUUGAACGCGGUCCAAGGGUUCUGAAGCUGUCACGUACUCUGCUACUUCAAACCCUUGUUUAAUUCAAUUUGGUGGAUCCAACGGCCAUUUUCCGCAUCUCUUUAAAAUGUUAAAGCAUCAUUUUAAGCUCUACAGGCCGUCGAGUUCGAGCGAGCUUAUGAUGGGUGUCGAAGCCAACAAAAAUAAAUUCCUACUCUAAAUAAAUUGUGUAUAGUGAUUGAGCAGGGUCGUGUCCACAGAGAUCGGUAAUUAUUUAAAUCCUUUUGAAACGUAAAACGUAAAAUGGGGGAAUUGUUGACAAUAAUAAAAAUAAAAUUAAAAAUAACAAGAAUGCAAAUUAAAGUUGUAAUUCAAAUUGGAGAAAGCUCUGGUUGAAGGAAUUACCUCAGCUUGAUUCGACUACUGAUCAUUGAUUCAAAUAUAGAUUAUUAUUACUCAUGAAUAGACCGGUUAUAGCUACUAAGACCCUCUAAUAGACAAUCUCUCCUUAACUAGUCGAUAACCAAGGUACGACCGUUGGUUAUUUCCCUAAUCAAUAGACAACCCUAGAUACGAUCAUAGAAUUUAAUCAAUUGACAGCCUGAAAAACCAGAGAGACCCAAAUCCUAAUCAACACAUAUGAUGAUUCAUUUAAAUUAGAUUGUUUAUUCUCACAACACAACUCUCUGCUAUGUUAUUUGUCACAAACAUUAAAUUCUUCAUACAAUGAAUCCUUUAAUUGACAAUAGAUUAAGUUGAUAAUUAAAUAGUGGUCAAUUACCUAAUUAACAAACAUAAUCAUGAAAAUAAUUUAGAGAAUAAACAAAUACCCAAAAAGUAAUAAAACAAUUAAAGCACAAGAAAGAUCUCACAGUAGUGAUGAAUCAAAGCUUCAUUAACCUUCAACCAGAAAAAUGAGUUUAGUUCCUCAUAGAGAGAAGAGAAAAAUUAGAUCUAGGGUUUCUUUUUCUCCAAUCCAAAAAUCUCCCCUUUUUCACAAUAGAUUACUCCCUUAAAUACUCUCUCUCUCUUCUCUUUUAGAAUUCUAUUUAAAAUAAAAUACUAAUAUCUGAAAUAUUAAGUUCGUAAUUACAAAAAUAACCAAAAAUACAAAACACGUUAAACUAAAAACUGCAGGUCCGCAGUUGACAGCACGCGCCCACGCCUUAUCAACAAAGUUCUUCUGACGCUCAUAAUUUCUUCAAGAGAACAAUCCUCCUUAAACAUCAUCUUUUAGCUCAAUUUUAUCACCAAUCAAUAGAAUUGCACCUACAAAAGUAAAACACAAGUAAAACAUUAUUAUUAAGUGCAAAACAUCGAUAUUAAGGGAAGUAAACAAUGCAAAACUAGUGCAUAAAUUGCACUCUAACAAAUUCCCCCACACCAAGAUGAUGCUUGUCCUCAAGCAUAUAACUCAAGAUUAAUCCCAAAUCUCCACUCAAUUCUCAUCUCAACUCAUCCAAAAUAAUUUUAAGCAAGCAUACCUCAAGAAAUUAAGUCGAUCAACAUUCGAGAGACAAGGAUUUUAAAGCAUAGAAUCUCAUAAGAUAGAAUAAGAACAUUCAACCACCAAGAAGAUCCAUUCAAAAUUCAAGUGCAACAAGAUGUAAUAGCCCUCUCAAUAACUUCACUCCAUGCACUCAAAGUGUUUAGGGUGUCAUUUAUCCACUCAAAUCAAAUCAAAGAAUGCUAUUACCAUAAGCUUGCUCAUAUAUCACAUCUCAAUCCACAAAACAUGAAUAAAAUGCAAAAAUCUAAGGGUCUUAAAAGGGUUGUAAUGGGGUUAAAUGGGUUAAAUGAAAAAGAAAGGUUUACAAAAGAAAAAGAGAUCAAAAUGAGAAGAAUGAACUCAUUGAAUGAACUUAUGAUAUCAAAAUGCUUAUUUCUACUCAAGUCACCAAGAAUGUAAACAUUUUUUUUUUUUGAUUUUUUUUUUCGAUUUUUCUUUUUCAUUUUUUUUCAUUUUUUUUUUCAUUUUUUCAUUUUUUUUUUGUUUUUUUUGUUUUUUUCGAAUCAAACAAAAGAAACGAACCUUGCACAAUUUAAUUCAAGCAUAAUGCUUGUUGAUCUAAUUGAGAAACUUCAAUACAAGGUAGAAAAAGCAACAAAAUGUACCCACACAAUGAGUCCAAAAAUCUCCUUAAAUUGAGGCUAAAAAAGAAGAAAAAUGGUUAAGUAGACGGAGAGAAUUAGAUGGGUAAUGGUUAAGGCUCAAACAAAGGUAGCAAAUAAAGGUCUUCGGGUAGAGAAAAAGGAAAAUGCGAGAAUAGAAAAAUGGUAAAUGGUUUGCCCUUAUCAUUUUAAUGCCUAAAAUCCCGUAAUGCGGCUUCAACAUGCAUAACAAAGCAAGUUCUAGAAUAAACAAACUAAGAUUGAUAUUCACAUAACAAAAAUAUUAGAGCAAAGUGGUUGCUCAUAGGCUCAAAUCCUCACAAAGUUGGUAAAUUUGCCAUCAAAUCAUGUACACUCUUCAAAUGAAUCAACCAUCAAUAGUGGUGUAGAAUGGGAAGAAGGUAUGAGUGAAGGAAAGGUAAAAAUGAUAAGAAGUGAGAAAGAUGUAUGUAGUAAUAUGAAAAGUGAAAGAUAAAAUGUGAGUGAUGAAAGAGUAUGAUAGAAUAAAAAUAGAUGUAAAUAAUUUGAGAUAGAUGGGAAAAAAGUAGUGAGAAAGAAAAGAAAAGAAAAAUAAUAAUAUAUGAAGCAUACUAACUCCAAAAUCAUUUAAGGAUGAGUAGAGUGAAAAUAGAUGAGUAGAGUGAAAACAAUAAUUCCAGACAUCAAUAAUGCAAAAAUCCCUCCCCCACACCAAGAACUGACAUUGUCCCCAAUGUAAGAUAAUCAAAGCUCACAUAAAAAUUAAAGCGUAAGGAUAAAAGAUUAAGGGCAAAAACUUCCCUGAAUUGUGAUCUUUGAUCCUCAUAACGUCUAUAGGCUUGGCGGGAAUGGUGGGAUAAAUCCCACACUCUUGAAGUAUGCGGCCAAAUUCUGCUCCAUCUUGUCACGGAUUUCGAUUCACGCGCCUGGAAUGCAGGUCGUAGGCUGGUUGCGUUGCGAUUGCUGCUCGGCUGGAGCUUGCUUGAUGGACGCGGGAUGGCACUGAUUGUGUUGCGCGCGCGCGCUGGGGCUGCUGGAUCUGCACGCUGCGUGGGCUGUGUUGCGAGGCGUUGCUGCUGCUGCUUCACGAGGGUGAUUGCUGGAUUGAUUUGUGCUGUGCGCGCGGGCUGGAGCUGAGGAUCUGUGUUGCGGGGCGUUACUGCUACUGCUUCGCGGGAUGUGUUGCGCGCACGGUUGCUGCUGAUUUCGCACGAUGGUGAUGGCUGGGGCUUGCUGCGUUGCGCGCGGCAGCUUUCGCUGGUGGGACUUCGUUGCGCGCUGCUGGGCUGCGAGACACGGGAUGCUGGUGCUGCGCUCACGGGAUGGUGCGUUUUCCGGCGGGCUGGUUUGUUGCAGGUGUGUUGCAAGCGGCUGGAGAAGAAAACAAGUUCUGGAAAAUUAGGGAUUUUGUGAACAGUGAAUAGUGAACAGUGAUUUUCGAUUUUUGGUUUUUUUUUAAAUAAAUAAAUAAAUAAAAAGAAAGAAAGGAAUGAAAAAAAAAAGAAAAAAAAUAAAAAUAAAAAUAAAAUAAAUAAUUUUUUUUUUUUUUUUUUUUAGUGAUGAAUCACUUUGAGACACUAAAAAUUUCAGAAGUACUUUUCUAAUAAGUACGUGGGCACGCCUUAUAAAAAAUUUUCUUCUGACCAAAAUAAGCAAACACAUUAAAUUUCAGAAGUACUUUUCUAUUAAGUACGUGGGCACGCCUUAAAACUAUGUUACUUUAAAAAUUACAGAAGUACUUAUUAGCUAAGACGUGGGCACGCCUUAUCAAAAAUUUUCUUCUGACCAAAAUAAGCACAAUUUUUUUUUUUUGAAUCAAAAUUAAAAGAAGAUAUAACAAAAACCAAAAUAAAUAAAUCAUUUGGGUUGCGUCCCAAAAAGCGCCUUUGUUUUAUGUCUUUGGCUAGACACAUUUAUGCAUCAAUCUCCAUAAUUGGGACUCUCGAGAGCCACAUCCUCCACAAUAUUCACCGAAAAACCUUCAUAAAAAGGUUUUAAGCGAUGACCAUUAACCUUAAAAAUUUUGUCAGAGGUCGGACUCUGAAUCUCAACUGCACCAUGAGGAAAAAUAUUAGUAACAAUAAAAGGUCCAACCCAACAAGAACGUAAUUUACCCGGAAAAAGUUUAAGCUUAGAAUGAAAAAGAAGAACUUUUUGACCAACAGAGAACUCCUUUCUCAAAAUCAUUGUAUCAUGAAAUGUCUUCGUCUUUUCCUUGUAAAAAACUUCCUGCACUAUAAGGUUAAUAACAUCCACAGAAAAUACCGAAUGUUCCUCACUAGGAUAUUUCAUGGCAUCAUUCAUAUUGAAUUCUAUAACCUCUCCAUCAAACUCCAUAGUGAGAGUCCCUUUAUGUACAUCCAUUUUAGUCCUAGCAGUCUUAAGAAAAGGUCUUCCUAGCAAAAUUGGGACAGAAUUAGAGGAGUUAUCAUCUUCCAUAUCAAGUACAUAAAAAUCAGCAGGAAAAACCAACUCAUUAACUUGUACUAAGACAUCUUCUAAUACCCCAUCAGGAUAUGCAUUAGACCUAUCAGCUAGUUGAAUUAUCACGCCAGUUUCUUUUAAUGCACCAAUAUUCAAAGACGAAUAAAUGGAACGAGGCAUGACAUUAAUAGAAGCUCCUAGAUCUAACAUAGCCUUUUCAACUUUGACAUUACCAAUUUUGCAAGGGAUAGUAAACAUACCUGGAUCCUUGCACUUAGGAGGUAGUUUCUUUUGGAGAACUGCUGAAACAUUCUCCCCCAUAUGAACUUUUUCAUCUCCUCUUAAUUUUCUCUUAGAGGUGCAUAGUUCCUUAAGGACUUUAGCAUAUCGAGGUAUUUGUUUUAUAGCAUCUAAUAAAGGAAUAUUUACCUCAACCUUGCGAAAUGUCUCAAGGAUGUCUUUCUCUUGUUCCUCCUUCUUGGAUUUUGCAAACCGGCUUGGAAAAGGAGGAGGUAUCACAAUAGGUAGGGGUUUCGCUCUGGUGGGUUGUGCAUCUUGAGAUUGAGGCAUCAAUUCAUUCUUCUCAAGCUCAUCUUCUACAUGCUCUGUCACUUUCUUACUAGGCUCUUGCAACUCCUUCCCACUUCUAAGGAUGACAGCACUAACGUUUUGCUUUGGAUUCACCUCAGAUUGUGAAGGCAAUCUCUCUAAUACUUGAGACUCCAGGCGGCUCAUUGUAGUCGCCAAUUGACUCAUUUGGUUCUCCAAGUUCUGAAUGCUUGUUGUAGUUGCCUGCUGAAAUUGUUGAGUGUUAGUCGCAAGCGAUUUAACAAUUUCUUCAAGAGAUAUACCUGACUUGGAGGUUGACUGUGGAGGUGCUGGUUGUCUUGGUGGAUACUGUUGUGGGAAUCCUGACGGCCUAACUCCAUAGCUGAAGUUGGGAUGAUCCUUCCAUCCCGGAUUGUAUGUUUGUGCAUAAGGAUCAUACCUCCUCUGAGGCAUGCCUGGAAAUCCUCCAACUGCAUUGGCUUGUUCAACGGGUUCUUCUUGAAGUGUAGGACACAUAUCAGUUGAAUGACCCAUAUUGUAACAAAUACCACAAGUCUUCACCUGUUGCACAUUACCUACAACAAACUUUUCCACAAGAGAAGUGAGUUUAUCUAAACGUUGUUCAACAGAAGAAAUAUUUACCUCAUUCACCUUCCUUGAAGUGGGAUCUUGCCUGCUGCCAAAUUGUUGUGUGUUGGUAGCCAUAUUUGAUAUCAACUCCCUUGCUUGAGUAGGAGUCUUGUUCACCAACACGCCUCCACUAGCAGCAUCUAUCAUACUUCUAUCCAUCAAUGAUAGUCCUUCGUAAAAAUAUUGAAUAAGAAGUUGAUCAGAAAUCUGAUGCUGAGGACAGCUGGCACACAAUUGUUUGAAUCGCUCCCAAUACUCAUACAAAGUCUCCCCAGGAAGUUGUCUAAUCCCACAAAUGUCUUUUCUGAUGUUGGCAGCUCUUGAAGCAGGAAAGUACUUCUCGAGGAACUGCUUCUUCAAAUCAUUCCACGUUGUAAUCGAUCCAGGAGGCAAGUAAUACAACCAGUCUUUAGCUAGCCCAUCUACAGAGAACGGAAAAGCACGCAGCUUAAUCUGCUCUUCAGUCACGCCUUGUGGUCUCAUACUUGAACACACAACAUGAAACUCCUUGAGAUGUUUAUGAGGAUCUUCACCUGAAAAACCAUGAAACUUGGGUAAUAAAUGAAUAAGACCAGACUUUAAUUCAAAAUUUACCUCCAAGUCUACAUAUUGAAUGCAGAGUGGUUGCUGAUUCAAGUCUGGUUCAGCUAACUCUCUAAGAGUUCUUUCUAUAGGUGCAGGUCUAUCCAUCACUUGUUCUUCCGAAUCGCUAGAUGAUUCAACUAAAUCAGGCACCGUAUCUGUUUCAGAAAGCAAAGGCGACGAGGAUCGUUGCUUAGCUCGCUUCGUCUGUUGUCUCAGCUGGCGAGCUGUCUUCUCAAUUUCAGGAUCAAACGAAAGUGUACCUGUACGAGAAGAACGAACCAUACACCAAGUAAAACGUAAAAAAGAUUAAAUAAAUGACACCAAUCCCCGGCAACGGCGCCAAAAUUUGAUGGGUGUCGAAGCCAACAAAAAUAAAUUCCUACUCUAAAUAAAUUGUGUAUAGUGAUUGAGCAGGGUCGUGUCCACAGAGAUCGGUAAUUAUUUAAAUCCUUUUGAAACGUAAAACGUAAAAUGGGGGAAUUGUUGACAAUAAUAAAAAUAAAAUUAAAAAUAACAAGAAUGCAAAUUAAAGUUGUAAUUCAAAUUGGAGAAAGCUCUGGUUGAAGGAAUUAGCUUAGCUUGAUUCGACUACUGAUCAUUGAUUCAAAUAUAGAUUAUUAUUACUCAUGAAUAGACCGGUUAUAGCUACUAAGACCCUCUAAUAGCCAAUCUCUCCUUAACUAGUCGAUAACCAAGGUACGACCGUUGGUUAUUUCCCUAAUCAAUAGACAACCCUAGAUACGAUCAUAGAAUUUAAUCAAUUGACAGCCUGAAAAACCAGAGAGACCCAAAUCCUAAUCAACACAUAUGAUGAUUCAUUUAAAUUAGAUUGUUUAUUCUCACAACACAACUCUCUGCUAUGUUAUUUGUCACAAACAUUAAAUUCUUCAUACGAUGAAUCCUUUAAUUGACAAUAGAUUAAGUUGAUAAUUAAAUAGUGGCCAAUUACCUAAUUAACAAACAUAAUCAUGAAAAUAAUUCAGAGAAUAAACAAAUACCCAAAAAGUAAUAAAACAAUUAAAGCACAAGAAAGAUCUCACAGUAGUGAUGAAUCAAAGCUUCAUUAACCUUCAACCAGAAAAAUGAGUUUAGUUCCUCAUAGAGAGAAGAGAAAAAUUAGAUCUAGGGUUUCUUUUCCUCCAAUCCAAAAAUCCCCCCUUUUUCACAAUAGAUUCCUCCCUUAAAUACUCUCUCUCUCUUCUUUUUUAGAAUUCUAUUUAAAAUAAAAUACUAAUAUCUGAAAUAUUAAGUUCGUAAUUACAAAAAUAACCAAAAAUACAAAACACGUUAAACUAAAAACUGCAGGUCCACAGUUGACAGCACGCGCCCACGCCUUAUCAACAAAGUUCUUCUGACGCUCAUAAUUUCUCCAAGAGAACAAUCCUCCUUAAACAUCAUCUUUUAGCUCAAUUUUAUCACCAAUCAAUAGAAUUGCACCUACAAAAGUAAAACACAAGUAAAACAUUAUUAUUAAGUGCAAAACAUCGAUAUUAAGGGAAGUAAACAAUGCAAAACUAGUGCAUAAAUUGCACUCUAACAGCUUACAAGUGCUAAGGCCAAAAAAUUAAUCUUGGGGAAGAAUUUAAUGAGUGACUUCUUAUUUUUAUAUCCUUAAAAUUUAUUUUUAAACCCUAGAUUUUGGAGAAAUACUUUUCUUAAGGGCUGGAAGCAAAUGUUUUAGAUUGGAAUUUGAAUGAGUGCAAACUAUGUUAUUGUCAGACAUCAAAAAUCAAAUUAGCAUUUAUUUUCUUGUCUUGUCUUUAGCUCCAUCAAGUUCGUUGAUGCAUGGUCUUUGAAUUUGAAGGUAUUAAAUCCAAAAUGGAUUCUCUCACAUCCAAUAUCAUUUUACUCUUAAAUUUAUCUAGUGAGCAGAUUUUGAUGCUUGAUUCAAGUAGAAAAACAAUUGUGAGGACUGUGAGGAUUUUUUUUUAAAUUAAAAACCGCCUUAAGAUGGGGUGUGGGUUUAGGCGGGACCCCUUCAUUAGUAAAUUAAUAAAAGAAAAGAAAAUUCAUAUGGAGAGAGAUAUAUGCCAAAACCUCGAAGCAUGGAAACAAAUACAUCCAAUAACUAGAAAAAUAACAAAAGCAAUAGAAGAUAGGACUAAUUAAUGCAACCAUCUAGAGAAUCGCUUCCAAUUCCUGCGGCUAGUAACCAAUGUGAAACCUUUCUUAGAAUUGGAGGCACGCGGUCCGGUCCGGCAAUACGAAAGUCAUCAAGAUCAUGCCCUCUAGUACCCUUAGGCUCAAAUGCAAAAUAUUCAUUAGUCACAGGAUUCCCAUCAGAGCUAAACUUCUCAUCAAAUUGAAAAAGGAUAUCUGUAGAAUGGGGAUUGAAGCCCACGAUCAUGGAGCGAAUAUCCUCUUCAGUAGCUCAAAAAAAAGUAGCAUCGAUGGAAGCCCUCUAAACACCUGGAUCAUCUAAAAAAGGAGGGUUAGAGACCUCAGUGCAUCCAGUAGCAUCUCUUAAAGCAGUAGGAUUCUUCAAACCAUCAUCAGUUUGAACUCUUUUCAUAGAAACCAGAUCAAACCCAUCUUCUGUAGUAUCCUGAUAAAUAGGUGACUGAGCAUCUAGAAGAGCACCCUCACUACCAUUCGACCUCAAUGGCUCAACCUCUUUGCCAUCCCCUUUGGAUGCACAAUAGCAUUAGACAUCAGCAUCUUGCCUUUAUCAUGAAGAACAAUAUCCCGCACCUGAUUAACUGGCUGCCAGGGCUCUCAGAGCCCAGGAUUGGCAACAAAAAAAGUAUCAGUAGAGUACCCAAGAUGCUUACACGAAGCAUAGUAUAAAGGAACACGCUCAAAAAUGACAUUCUGCCAGAAAAUGCCAUCACCUUCACUAGUCCAAAGUUUGGGCAACAACGGCCGCAAAACAUCCAACUCAAUCGGAACUCUAGUGAUCGAGGGUUGAUUAACAACAACAGUAGCAUGGUCCAUCCGUAGAGGCUUACCAAUAGCAUUAGCAAUAGAAAAUAAGACAUCUUUGCAAUGAAUAAAAUGCACUUGCAAAUACGGCAAAGAAACUCAAGUAAGAAGAAUAGGAGAUUCCUCAAAGCACCAAAAUGAAGUCUAUGAGACUACGCUACAUGAGACUCAAACACAAAGGCCUAAUUCUUGGUAAGGCUGCCCACCUAAAUCCACUUGGAAAAUGUUCAAACAUACUUUUGAUAAUGUAUUUUAGUCUGUGAGGGUUGACACAAUAGAAUUUGGAUUCGAGAUGUUUACGGUUGCGAAGCUUCUGUAAGUGUUCUUGGUCCAUUGUAAACUCACAUUAUUUUCAUAGUGAAUUGUUUCGUCUACAAGUGGACAUAAUAACAUGUCGAGAUUUUUAUCCUAAAUCGCGAGGAUCAAAGGUUUUCUUGUAAAAACAUCUAUGUGUUGUGGAUGUCCAUUUAUUUUGCAUAUUUAUUUUCAUUACCAUAAAUUGAUUUUUAAAUUUAUUGAUAGUGUUUAUUAAAUUAUCUUUAUUAACUAGGAAAUAAAAUCAUUAAUUUUAAAGAGAUUAUUAUUAUUAUUACCAAGUAUAUAAAGAUAAUGAAAUAAAAAAAUAAAACUAAUAAUAUAAAUAUUUACUUUAGUUAUCAAUUAUUAUAUAUACACACAAUUAAAAAUAUUUUAUAUACAUACAUUAUAAGUAUGAAAAUAAAUUUUAUUCAAAACUAUGUCCAAUUUAAUCAUUUAUAUUCUUGUCAUUUACAAUCUUAUUAUAAUUUAAUAGUAAGAUUUACCAAAUACAUAGAUUGUUUUUUAAACUCACAGAACUUUUGAAAAAUUGUAUCAAACGUUUAAUUGGUUAUCUUUAUAGUUGACUAUUUUUACAGUACAGUUAGCAGUAAUUAUUUUAAAAACUAUAAUAUUAACAAAAUGAUCCAACAUCUUUUAAGGACCCAGCUGAAAUUUAACUAAUACAGGUUUACCAUUACUAUAGAUUGCCGGUAGUUUUAACUAUUUUUAAUUAAUUAUUAAUAUCAACCGUUGGAUUCCAUUCCAUUCUAAUGGAAUCCAAUGGCUUCAGCAUGGGUGAUGGGCAGAGUGGCAUGGACGCGUAAUCAAUUGAAAAGCCAGAUAUUCUUCGCUUAGAUUCCUUGAAGCUUCCAGCAAGCUCGAUGCUAACUCCAUCGUGUGAGUAAUCGAUUGAAAAGCCAGAUAAUUUUCAUUUAGAUUCCUUGAAGCUUCCAGGAAGGUUGAUGGUAACUUCAUCAUUAGAGUAAACAAAGACGAUAUUUUUGAAGCAACAAAUAUGUUUCACUGAUUAACUUAGCUUUCUUUGAAGCAACACUUCAAUGAAAUUCAACAGGUAGCUGCCUGUGCAAUUAAUACACUCAAAGCUUUAAGAUUUAUUUUAAGUUUUAUCUUAUACAUGUUUCUCUCAAAUACAAGCUUUUAGCGCGGCAUGCAAAAUACACCCCGUUUAAAUCUAAUCACACCUCUCUAAUUUUUUUUUUUUUCGCCCCAAAGACGUAAUGGAGUAGUCAAAGGGUAUAACCAUUAGAUUCCUUUCGCUUUUUUGCUUUUUUCACCCCCACUUUCUGAGAAGACCAAGACUUGCUUUUGGAAUACAUAUAAAUAAAUCCGGGGGAGCUGGAAGUUGCAUUUUUGUUUUCCCUUUGAAUCAAAACACUUCAUCGGAGUUGAUCAGAUCAAUUAGGUGGCUUCUUUCAACACACUCAAAGCUGUAAGUUUUAUUUUAUCCUCAGAAUUAAUUUGCACAUUCUGGAUGUUUAGAACAGGAAAUAUAUAAAAUUGAAAGAAAGCUUUGAAUGUUUAAAUUAAUUUGUAUAGUAUCAACUCUUUAAUUUGCUUCUCUUUGAGGCUCUAAUUAAGAUUUGCUUGAGCAAAGGUCGGCAAACACACUCUCCAAUCAGAAUCUGAAAAACUUUUUAAUUAUAUUUUGGAAGUAAAUGAGAGGCUGUUAAUUAGUUUGUUUAGUUAAGAAGAAGAUCAUUAAUUUGUUGUUCAAUAAUUUUAUGCUAAAAGAAAUUAUCAUAGUAAUUAUAUUAUUUUCAUUUUUGUGCUGCCCAUAAUCUUGAAUGAAUCUUAUUGUUUGCAUGGUAUUUUACGCUCACUGGAUUUCACUUGAUUUAUUCUAAAUUUUUAGGAACAAAUUAAUAUAAUGGCUUCCACGAGCUUCCAAAAUGUCUCUCAUGGGGAAUACGAUGCCUUCUUAAGCUUUAGAGGAGAAGACACCCGUAAAAUGUUCAUAGGUCAUCUCUAUACUGCCUUGAACAAUAAAGGAAUUUAUGUAUUCAGGGAUGACAAACAACUUGAGAAAGGAGGAUCCAUUUCACCAAAUCUCCUUAAAGCAAUUGAAGAAUCAAGAAUUUCAAUUAUUGUUCUCUCAAAAAAUUACGCUUCUUCCACUUGGUGCUUGGAUGAACUUCUUAAGAUUGUUGAAUGCAAAAAUAGAGAGGAUCAAAUUUUUCCAAUUUUUUAUGAAGUGGAACCAACUGUUGUAAGAAAACAAACAGCAAGUUUCGGAGAAGCUUUUGCUAAACAUGAAGAAUUUUUCAGGGAUAAUAUAGAAAAAGUGCAAAAGUGGAGACACGCUUUAAAGGUGGUGGCCAAUAUAUCAGGCUGGGAAUUGAAGGAUAGGUAAUCAUUCUUUUUCUCAACUAUUAAUUUUGUUCGUUUUGCAAGAUUAGUAACUACAAAACAGAUUUUAAUAUUCAUUCAACACUGUUUUCAAUUAAACAACUUCUAUUUAAUACAUAUGUAUAUCGUAUGAUGUGUAGUAAAAGGGUUCCUCCCGUGAAUUGAAUAUCUUUAAAAUAUACCUUCACUUUUGAAAACUUCAAUUUACCUCCCAUUUUUGUUAAGAAUACAAAAACAUUUCAUCAACUCACCCCAUUUUUCCUUCUCUUUUGAACAAAAAUAGGGUAAUUGAGGUGUUCAAAAGGGAGUGAUUUGAAGAUAUAUAAAAUUUUGAAAUUACCAAUCACAAUGCAACCCAGUCCAAUCCAAUUUUUAUUGGGUUGGGUUUGAAUUUCUCAUUCCAAUUGUUGUUGACUGAUGUAAUAAUAACAUAUUGUUUAAUUAUAUGACUUCAAUUUGAUGAAAUGAAUAUUGCAUAGUUUGGAUUUUAUUCAUAAUAUGGAAUUGAUUUGUUACUACGUUCAUACUAACUUUGAUUUAACAAUACCAAUCUUUUCUUGUUGUUUUCAAUCUGCAGGAAUGAGUCAGAAUUUAUUGAGGAAAUUGUCAAUGUCAUAUCUAGUAAAAUUCGUUCAGAACCAGAGAUUCUUAAGGAGCUAGUAGGAAUGGAAUCACGCUUGGAGAAACUGAGGUUUCUUAUGGGUACGGGGUCUAAUGAUGUUCGUAUGAUCGGGAUAUGGGGUAUGGGAGGUCUAGGAAAGACAACUCUUGCAAGGGUUGUUUAUGACUUGAUGUCUCAUGAGUUUGAUGGGAGUAGUUUUCUUGCCGAUGUUAGAGAAAAAUUUGAAAAAGAAGGCAGUGAAAUCUCUUUACAAAAACAGCUCCUUUCUGAUUUACUGAAGCUUUCAGAUUAUAGCAUACAGAAUGUCUACGAUGGUAUUAACAUAAUUGGAAGUAGGCUGCAACGGAAAAAAGUUCUUCUCAUAAUUGAUGAUGUGGCUGAUGUUGAACAAUUACAAAGGUUAGUUGGAAGGCGUGAUUGGUUCGGUCCAGGCAGCAGGAUUCUAAUAACAACGAGAGAUAGACAAUUGUUGGUGGCACAUGAAGUGGAUGAAGAGCAUAUUCUUGACCUUGAUGUACUAAAUAACGAUGAAGCUCUUCAACUCUUUAGUAUGAAAGCUUUUAAAAGCCAUCAGCCUAUGGGAGAAUAUGUGGAGCUGUCUAAACGUGUUCUGGAGUAUGCUGGUGGUCUUCCAUUAGCUCUAAAAGUUUUGGGAUCCUUUCUAAUUGGUAGAUCUGCAGAUCUAUGGAGAAGUGCCCUAGAAAGACUAAAAAAAGAUCCUUCAAAUAAGAUUAUGAGUAUACUUCAAAUAAGUUUUGAAGGACUACAAGAUUCAGAGAAGAAAAUAUUUCUCGAUGUUGCAUGUUUCUUUAAAUGGAAGAAUAGAGAUUAUGUAACAAAAAUUCUAGAGGGGUGUUGUUUUUCCCCAGCCAUUGGAAUAGAAGUUCUUAUCGAAAAGUCUCUAUUAACUGUUGAUGACGACAACAUACUGCAUAUGCAUGAUUUGUUACAGAAAUUGGGACAACUGAUUGUUACGAGACAAUCCCCCGAAGAACCUGGGAAACGUAGCAGAUUAUGGAAGAAAGAAGAAGUACGCCAGGUGUUGAUAGAAAACACAGUAAGUGAAUUAUUAAAUGAAAAACUUGUUGAUGCUUGCUACUUUAUUUUCCCCAAUUAUAUCUCUGACCAAAUUUUCAACAUCUUUACAUUAUUGUUUUAUUCACUCAUCCUUUGCUUAUAAUCUUUAGGGAGGUGAAGUAGUGGAAGGAAUAAUAGUUAAUGCCUACUUUCCUGAAGAUGAGGUUUACUUAAGUGCAAGUGCUAAAGCAUUUUCGCAGAUGACCAACCUAAGACUGCUCAAAAUCAGUAAUGUGCAACUUCCUGAAGGUCUAGAAUACCUCUCUAACAGGUUGCGAUUACUUGAUUGGCAUCGGUAUCCUUUGAAAUCUUUGCCAUCAAAUCUGCAAUUGGAUAAAAUUGUUGAAUUUAAAAUGUGUUACAGCCGCAUUGAAGAAUUAUGGAAAGGAUUCAAAGUAAGAUCAAUUUUUUUUUUGUCACAAAUUUAUAUUUUUCAGAGAAUAAUUGUGGAUAACAAUUUUAUUAUUAUAGUAGUAUAUGAAUUAAGAAAUAUCAUUUUAGCUCCUUUUUUGUUUUCAACAACCUUUAAACAUGUUGAGAGUCAUGGAACUCAGCCAUUCAGAGAAUCUGAUUAAGACUCCAGACUUCACAGAGGUCCCAAAUUUGGAGGAGUUGGAUGUUGAAGGAUGUACAAGGUUGCGUGAAAUUCACCAGUCUUUGCUACGUCACAAUAAGCUGAUCUUGUUGAAUUUGAAAGGUUGUACAAGUCUUACAACUCUUCCGGGUGAGAUAUUUAUGAAAUCGCUUAAAACACUUGUUCUUUCUGGUUGCUUGAAAUUGAGGAAACUUCCACGCAUUGUCGGAAGUAUGGAGUGUCUACGGGAACUUCUUUUGGAUGAAACUGAUAUCAAAAAACUGCCUUUAUCUAUUGAGCUUCUAUCCAAACUUGUCUUGUUGAAUUUGAAGGAUUGCAGAAAUCUAGAGACUCUUCCAAUUACUGUAAGCAGCUUAAAAUGUCUAAGAACUCUAAAGCUCUCUGGUUGCUCGAAAAUAGUGAAAUUUCCAGAGACUGUGAUAAGUGUGGAAGAUCUGUCAGAGCUCUUUUUAGAUGGAACUUCUAUCACAGAAGUGCCAUCAUCUAUAGAGCUUUUGACCAAACUUCAAUGGUUGAAUUUGAAUGACUGCAGAAGUCUCGUGAGACUUCCUAGCAGUAUAAAUGGUUUGAAAUCCCUCAAAACUUUGAAUCUCUCAGGCUGCUUCAAACUCGAAAAUGUGCCUGAGACGCUUGGGCAAGUAGAAAGUCUGGAAGAACUUGAUAUAAGUGGUACAGCUAUAAGGCAACCUCCAUCGUCGAUUUUUCUUAUGAAGAAUCUUAAAGAACUAUCUUGUCGUGGGUGCAAAGGAUCACCAUCAUCUGCAUCAUGGUUUCUGCGCUUCCCUGUCAAUUUGAUACGAAGGAGUUCAGAUCCGGUGGCUUUGAGUUUGCCGUCUUCUCUGUCAGGUUUGUGUAGUUUAACGAAAUUGGAUAUCAGUUACUGUGAUCUAGGGGAAGGAGCAAUCCCAAGUAGUAUUGGCGACUUAUGCUCAUUAGAAAAGUUACAUCUGAGUGGAAACAGUUUUGUUUCGCUACCGGCAAGCAUCUACCGUCUUUCUAAUCUUCAGGGGAUUAAAUUAGAGGAAUGCAAAAUGCUUCAAAAUCUGCCUCGACUUCCAGCCAGUAUACGUUGGAUUUCGUUAGACGGUUGUGUUUCGUUGGAAACAUUAUCAGAUGUAUUAAAUUUAAACGAGCAUCGACUCCCGCACUUAGGCCUUCAUUGUGUGGAUUGCUCGAAAUUGGCUGGCAACUAUGAUUUGGCGCUUUCGCUGCUAAAAGAGUACAUUAAAAAUUCUGAGGUCAGUCUCUCACUCUCACCUGUGCUAACAUUAUGCCUAAAACUGAUGCAAUACAUGUUAUGUCUUUUUAUUUUAUUUAUUUACUCACUUUUUUUUUUGUGGGGUUGCAGAAUAUGUCAUUGUCGGACAAGUACAUUAAACUGAGAGAGGUCAGUUUCUUACACUGUCUCUCACCUGUUGCUAAAAUCAUGCCUAAAAAUUAUGCAUUGGUUUGGCUUUCUAAUAUAUAUAUAUAUAUAUAUAUUUGUGGGGUUUAGCAUUGUUGGAGAGGUUUUAGCAUUGUUGUUCCUGGAAGUGAAAUCCCAGAGUGGUUCGAGUAUCAGAAUAAUGAGUGAUAUGCUAUAAGGCAACCUCCAAAGACGUAUAAGAAUAGUAAGCUUGUGGGAUAUGCUAUGUGCUGUGUUUUUCAUGUCCCUAAAUAUUCACUUCCUUAUUAUCAUCCGAACUUUCCAUAUCCCGUACAUUAUCUGUGUGGCUGGCAUACCGACUGGUAUGGUUAUGGAAUUUCGUUUGGAAAGCAAUUCGGUCAGGCUGUGUCGGACCAUCUUUGGCUAUACUACCUGAAUAGGGAAGAGGUGUGGCGAUACUACCAUAAUAUUUAUAAAGUGAAAUUUUCUUCGCCGUCGGUAUUGGUGCUGAAGAGGUGUGGUGUCCAUCCAAUUUAUGUGCAUCAAGGGGAUAAGUUCAACCAAACAACUGAUCCGGUUUGGAAUUUGAACGAAUUUGGUCACGAUUGUUCAGGAUCAACAUCCUUUACGCGUAGCCUUAAUGAUGACUUAGACAGGGCAGAAGGCAGUGGAAGUUGCUGCGGGGAUGAUGCAGGAUCAACAACGUCGUCUGAGCGAAGCUUUCUAAAGCGAAGUCUUGAAGAAUAUGUUGGGGCGGCUGAAGCUAGUGGAAGUGGCUGCUGUAAUGAUGAUGAGGAACCACAACCUAAAAGAUUUAGACAACUUGAAUGAAGGGCACAUAUUUUAUUUUUCUCUGCAGAUCGCAUUUCAUUUACUUUCUUUGUAUUUAUUUAUUGUAUCUGUUCUUGUUACUUAUUUCCCUGUUAAAUUACCAGAAAAUGCCUGGCUUGGGUCAAACAGUUGGACAGAUGUUUUAUUACUCUGUUUUUCCUGCAAAAGAUGCCGUACAUAGAUGCGGUGAGCGCGAGUUGUUUGGUAUACUUGAAGGGGCUCGGGACCACAAUGACCAAAUUAUUUAAUGUUGUGUGUUAAAUAUUAAAAUAUGCGGAUAGCUUAUCACUUUUGAGACCUAAAAGUAUUUAUUUAAUGUUAGGGUGAUUGAAAAAAAAUUGACGAAUUACCAUUAAACAAGCAACAAAAUAACAAAUUCUUUGAAAAGAAAUUAUAUAAUAGAAAGAAGAAAUUCUCACCCGAAAACAGUUUGCAGGCAACCUACCAUUGAUAUGAACAAUCAGUUAUAAAAUUAAGCAAAUAUAAAACGGAUACUCAAAAAUUCUUAUAAAAUUUGUUUUCUUCUUUUAGUAGUUUGAGGAAUGAAGAUGGUAUCUUUUUUUUUUUUUUUUUGUGUUUUAAGGGAAGACGGUACCUAGAUAUUGAUAAAAGAAAAAUCCUUUAGAGUCGGGAUAAAAGUCUUACCAUCAAUAAUAGGAGUUAAAUAUGAGAAUCAUCACCCUUAAUUUAAGUUUAAAAGGUAAGUAAUUAUGCAACAAGUCAUUUAGAAGUUGUGGUACUUUUUCAUACUUUAAAUUAUUUUUGUCUAGUCAAUUAAAUAGAUAUUUUUUAAGUCGCCAAAAAAAUAAAAAAAUAUUUUGAAAUUAAAAAUGAUAGGUGCUAUCUAUAGUUUUACAAUUUUGCAGUUAGUGGUAGAAAUAUAAUAGCAUUGUAACAAAUAUAAUUAGCUAGUAAUAUUAUUUCAACAAUACUUUAUAUAAAGAUAUUCCAUAAGGUCUUAUAGCAAUUUAUAUCAUAAUUAAAUGUUGUAUGAAUUUAAUUGUAAAACCAUUAGUACUUGAACAAUAAUGAUUAUAGAAGGCAUUGUAAUAAGUUAUUUAAUACACAUUAUUAACAAUACUAGAUGAAUCUGAAACAAAUGAGAAAUAUUUUCAUCCAUAACUAGAAUUGAAAAAUGUAUGUGUCUAUAUAAUUAGACAAUAGCUUGGAUAUAUAUUUUUAGAGUUAAAUUAGAAAAAAGGACACCCAGAAUCCCAGAUAUCUCUAACUCUGUAACUCCUUUCUUUGAAAACCAAGAAAAAAAAAAAUGUUCCAGUUUGCCUUUAGCCUCUCCUCCCAAGUUGUCGGGCAUGGACUUGCUUUCGCUUCCGAAAGGAAAAAAUAAAAUAAAUAUAUGUAUAUUAAAAUAUUUUUAAUCUUCAAAAAAUAUUUUAAUACUGUACAGUAUUAAAUUAUAUUGAAUUAAAUUUUAUAAUGGAUAUAAACAGAAUAUUAAAAUAAAUAUAUAAAGAUUCGAAUUAUUUUAAAUUUAUAUAAAAUAAUUUAAAUAUUAUCGAUACAUGAGAUUUUUUUAUUAGUUGUAAAAUCUAUUUAACCCAAAUAUUUAUUUUAAAAAAUUUAUAUAAAAUAAUUUUAAUAUUAUCAAUAAAAAGAUAUUAUUAAAAUAAUAUUAUAAUUUACAUUUUAAAAAUUAUUUUAUACAUAUUACAAAUAUUCCAUUAUUUUUAGUCUAUUAGACAAAAUAAACUACUUAAAGUAUAUUUGUAUUUAUUAAAAAUAUUUUAACGUUAAUUUUUUUUAGUUACUACCUAUGAAGGGUAUUAUAGCCAAAAGGGAGUUUAGGUAUCAUUUUCCUUUUAAGUUAUUUUAUCUUAAAUUUUUAAUACAAAAUUGAAAUUAUUGAUUUCAUGCAAAUCAAUUACUAUGGUGGAUGAUUUAACAUCGUAAAAUUUUACAUUGAUUUUCAAUAUCAACCAUUAGAUUGAGAGAGAUUAAUGGCUCAUUUUUUGCGUCAAAAUUUAAGUUAAAAUAUCCCAAACCAUGCUUUUAUAACGAGAAUAUAAAAUAAAUAGAUAAUAUUUUUCCUGUUCAUUCCCAUGAAUAUUAUUGGAGGUAAUAUUUACUUAUUAUAUUAAUUACCAUCAUAAAAGCAAUCAGCCUUUUAGUGACAUAAAAUUUUGUAACCACAAUCAAUGAAUAUUAACAAAACAAUAUUUCAUGAUUCAUAAAUUAUAACUAAUUAAGAAUAUAUGUUAAUUUCAAAUUUAUGAAAUCAACAAAGUGACAUUGGAAAAUUAAAUGAAAAUAGGCUUGUAAAACUUAAAUUUAUAUUCCUACCAUGUAAAAGUAUUCACUGUAACAUAAUCCCUAAUUUCAUGGUAUAUGUUGUGCUAAAUUGGUGUUAAAAAUAAUAUACACUUCAUGAUUAAUCACACAAUGGUCCUUAAUAAUAUACAAAAUAGUGAGCAUUAUGUUAAAUUUUAUUAAAGCGUGAAAAAGGUGAAGAAUGACAGAGGCAGCGGCCGUAGACGGUGGACGUGAGAUAGCUUCGGGUUUUGAUAUUUUGCUGACUUUUUCUUCUUUUUUUUUAAUGAAAGUAAUUGAUGAUGGAGGGAGGAUUUGUGUAUGGGGAAUGGUUGAUGGUCAGGAAAGCUCUGCCUAAUACAAAGAAAGACUCUGAUGCCACUUGACGCAUUGCAAAAGUGAUACUAAAUUUCAUUUUAAUGUACGUUCUUGAAAAUUCAAGAAAGAAGGUUAUCACGAAGAAGAAAAUAUAUCAAUUAAGAAAUAUUAAAUAUUAUUGAUGAGAAACUUAUAUGUUAUAAUGAACUAUCAGUAACAAGCCUAUAUAUACUAAGUAGCCAACUUAAUCUUAAUCCUUCUUAAAUAAGAGAAAUAAUCUAAAAUUCUAAUUAGAUUAGAAUUCCAAACAUGAUCGAAUAAGUUUAAAAAAUAAGAUAAAUUCUAAUAAAAUACUAAAUACCCAAAUAUUAUAAUUCCUAAUAAAUUCUAAUUUAUUUUAUCUAAUAUGCUUCCUAUAUUACUCCAUCGCUAUGUUGUCUGAAUCGAUGUCUCUUUUUAUCAAUAAAAAACGCUUACUCAUCAUCCUUUACUAAGGCCCCACUCAAUUGCUUGUCAAUUACUCCUUGAUCAGCAAGCAAGUUUUCAAAUUUCUCAAUGGUUGGUUGAGUUGGACAACCUUAGAUAGUUGUAACAAAGCUCUUAAGCUCAAGCCUCAAACCAUUGACAAUAAUUCUCUUUAUUCUAGAUUUAGAAAUUGUAGCAACAGAAUCCAACCCAUAAAUUUCACAACAUAGGGAUUUUAACUUGUUUAAGUACUCGUCAAUCGUCAUGUUUCAUUGUGAAAUUGAUAGUAGCUCAUUUUUCAGAAGUUGUAGCCAUAUGUUAUUCUUCUUUGAAAAACUCAUUGUAGAAGUAUCCCUAGUUUUCUUAGGUAUUUUAACAUUUUUUAUGUGUUGCAGCAUUUCUUCUUCAAUUGUAGUCUUGAUGGCGAACAUGGCCUUCUAGCUAUAAUGUUCCACUUCUUUAAAGUGGCAUCCUCAGUUGGUGGUUGCAUAUCGUUACCACAAACAAUCUCCCAGAGAUCUUGACCUUGUAAGCAGGACCCCAUCAAUGUUGCCCACGUAUUGUAAUUUUCCUUGUCGAGCUUUUUAAUUCUUCCAACUACUUGAAGGUCACCCAUCAUGUUUCCAAGACUUUAACAAUGCCAAGCUAGCUUGAUAUUCACUAACGAACUUGCAAAGUUCCAAACAAAGUACUCUAAAUAAAGAACUCCACUUCAAAUCUGAACCCAACUGCCUUUUACUCAAUAGAUUUUGACAAGCCCAUUCCGUUAGAUUAAGAGAAAAGAAUUGAUGGCAUUGCGCCACCGGGAGGAAUUGGUUCCAAAGUCUUUCUAAAAAUUGUACGAUCAGCAAUCCUUAGAAAAAAGUGAUAAACUUAUUGUAAAUUGUAAAUGGUACUUGAAGAGGAUAUGUAUUUUCGCUUGUUGAGGUUCUUAUUGAAUUUGCAUAGAUUUUACUUGAAUAGCACGGGCGCCUUCUAAGUUCGAGUUAUUCACGUUGCAAACCCUAUUUGGGAUUACAGUUGAGAUGUUAUAAAUAAAUUAUUUUAUAAGUUUUGACAAUAAUAGUGCUUGGUAAAUAUUUUAAAAGUGGCUUGUUUUAUAAUUUUCACUACUUUGAUAACAAUUUUAAAAAGUAGGUGCUAGAUAGGAGUUGCAUUUUACAAGUAGUUUAUUAGAAAAGCCGUUAACCUUUUAAAGUUUUUAUUAUAAACUAAAUAUUUUGACAAAACGAUAAUUAUAUCAUAUUUUUCAAUAAACCCUGAUAUAUAUAUAUAUAUAUAUAAGACUAUUUAAACUUAUAUCUACUUUGAUUAUUAUAUACAUUGAAACAACACUAUCAUAACAAAAUUUAUCGAAUUGAUAUACUUUAUUUUUCAAAUUCACAACGACAUAAUUUACGAAAUAUUGAAUUAUUUUUUAAUUAACAAUUUAUUUUAACCGCAUAGGGAAUAGGGAUGGCAAUGGAUUGGAUUUGAUCCAAGAUCCAUGUGAUCCAAAUCCAAUCAGAUCGGAUUUGGAUCGGUUUAAAAUGGAUUUGGAUCGGAUUUGGAUAUCGAUGUGCGGAUCUAAGACGGAUCUGGAGCGGAUAUGGAUCUAUCUUAAUAUCUAAAUCCAUAUCCAUAUCCACUCAUCUUUUAAUUUAAUUUUAUUUUAAAAGUUUCUUAAUAAUUGUGGAAUGAUAAUGAUAAUAAAUUUUAUUCAUAGCAUAUUAGUAGUAUUUACCAUGAAUUUAAACUCUUAAAACUUAAAGGUUAGUUUUGUAAAUUUAAAGGUCAGCCAGCCUCAAAGCAUGUACAUGCAAUAUUCAAAUUGCAAUCCAAGUAAUAUAACCUGGUAAUUUAUUUUAUCAUAUUGGCCUAAUAAUUUUUAAGGAAUAUAGUUAUUCAUAUAUUUAGUCAAAUAUGGUCAUAAUAAAAAUAAUAAAUGACUGAAUAUAAAUCAUAUUUAAUUUAUAUGUCAUUAUCUAAUGUUGUAGGAAUGAUGGUAGGUGUAUCGUGGAUACUAGAAUGACGAAGGAGACAAUAGAAUAUUAGAUUGAUCUUACUCCUGCAAUUACUUCUGAAUGAUAUUUUAUUAUCUUUCUUAUUUGUUGUUUUGGUGUAGAAGUAUAAGCUACAAUAUUUAUUAUAUUUUUGAGAAAAAUUAUAUAAUUUAUUUGUUAUCAAUACAUUUUAGCCUCCAAUUUUCAAUCUAAAAAAUUAUUACUUUUUUAUUACGGAAUUUUAGAAUUCAUGACGGAUCUAGAGCAGAUUUGGAUUUUAAUAUUUUUUUGGAUUUGGAGCAGAUAUAGAUAUUUAUUUCUUUUUUGGAUCUGGAUAUGGAGCGAAAAAUAUGGAUUCAUAACGGAUCUAGAGCAGAUACGGAUCUUAAUUUUUAUUAUGGAUUUGGAUCUGGAGCAGAGUAGAUCCAACCCAUAUCUGCCCCAUUGCCAUCCCUAAUAGGGAAAAUAACUUACCAUUUUAGUUACCGCAAUUUGGUCAUAGCACCUAUUUUCAUGUGCCAUGAUCAAUGAUCAUAUCACGUAUUUGACCAAAAAUAUUUUCGAUAAACAAUUAUAUUGUUUAUGUUGUCUUCACUGUGAGCUAAAGCUUCAUCAAGUACCCUUCCCAACCCUUUUAAUCUUUCAUCUUGAUGUUGGAAUCUUGUUGGCCUUUGCGGCCUUGUUGAAUUUAACCUCGCUUGUUUAAUUUGGGUUUUCUGACUUUGGUUGAGCCUUGUUGAUUCUUUUCUGCGGAGUUGGAAUAUUGCCCACCCCCAAUCUUUUCAUUAAACUUUUUUUUUUCAAACCCAACUUCUACAUUCGAAUUUUAAAAAGUAUGUGUUAAUAAAAAAACAUUAUGUUAUUUUAUUAUUGUUAAAAUUCAAAGUAAUAGUCUUUUUUUUCAACUACACAUAAAUUAAAAAAUUGUCUGCGUUCACUUGAAUGACAGAUAUUUUAAAUUAUAAUUUGAGUUAAAUUGUACAGAUUUGAUAAAAUGUUCUUGAGGAAUAAUUGUAUGAUUCCCAUGCUCUCAACAUGUUUGAUAAAAUGCCCAAGUAGGAACCAUGCCAUCCCAAUUCCGAGCUGAAGUGUUGAACAACGAGAUGAUGAUGAUACAUCUGCGGCGUCACCUCUACGAUUUCCCGCCCAAAAGCAAUCAAUCAACAAGGUCAAUUUCCUAAGCUGUUGAGUAUGAUUCAAUAAUAUAAAUUUAGAGUUGUGUGUAAUCAUAAAUUCUAUAACUUCUCAGGGGUGUGUUUUGGUCAGGAUCGGAGGUGAGAGGUGUGACAUCCAUCCAGUUUAUAUGGAGGAGUUUGACAAAACUACAAUCAAAUGGAAUCGCUUUACCACUUGUAAUCUGAAUGGAUCCCUCAAUUUUUUUUUUUUUUUUUUUUUGGCAUCAAAGAUGGUUGUAGCAACAAUUUCAAGGCGAAGCCUUAUUGCAUAUGUUGAGGUGAUGAGGAACCACAACCUCAAGGAUCCAUUUAGUGAACUCAAAUAAAGGGAGAAGCCUGCUUACUAUUCUCUGUAUAUUUCAGUAAGCAUGCAUCUUCAAUUUCAGUUGGCAAUUUUUAUUUUAUACAUGUUAAAUUACCACAAAACCAAAAUAUCAUCUCCAAAGUUGUUACCUUCCAUGAAUUGAAAAUGCUUUCAUGCUUGAUCAGAUUGUUUAAGUAUGCGUUCCUAAAAUAUACAAAAGUGCUCAGGAAAAUGGCACAGAAUAAUUAGUGUAUAAUAAAGUUUAUUUUUGGUAAUUUUUGAGAUGCAUAUGGUUUUAAAGUUCUCUUCAAAUAGCUGGACUUGCCGUAUACUAUAAUAUUGUUUACUAAGGCAUAACUAUCUUAUCCUUUUUUUUUUAUCUAUCAUUAAUAUUUACAUUUUUAUUAUUUCAUUAAUCUUAUUUAAAUUUACUUUGUAUUUGUAGAUAUAAUUUAAGAAUAUAAUAUUACUGUACUUACAUUUCCGUUUCGUAUAUAAUUUCCUGGAAGAUGCUCCAACAUCAGUUUUGUCGUUAUUAAAUAAACAAAAUAGGAAAAAAAAAAAGAUACAACAACUGAUGCUCCCAUUCACAAAGAACCAGAUAAUGUACAAGAGGCACUAGAUGACUCCAGACGGCUGCAAGCUAUGAAAGAAGAAUAUGAUGCUUUGAUUAAGAAUAAUACAUGGACAUUAGUUCCAAGACAGACAAGCUGGUCAUCACAUUGCUAACAAUAAAUGGGUGUGAAGGAUCAAGUAUAACAAAGUUGGAAGUGUAGCUAAGUAUAAAUUCAAGCUUAUUGCUAAAGAAUUUUAGCAAGUGGUAGGGGUGAAUUACUUUAAAACAUUUAGUCCAAGGGUUAAAUUAGCUAAUAUUAGAGUGGUGCUGAGCCUAGGAGUGAUGAACUAAUGGAAAAUAAGGCAAGUUAAUGUUAACAAUUCCUUUUUUAAUGGAGAGUUAACUGAGGAGGUACUCAUGUGUCAGCCGGAAGGCUUUAUUAAUGCUGAGAAACCUGAAUUUGUGUGCAAAUUGCACAAAUGUCUAUAUAGACUCAAACAAGUUCCUAGAGCUUAGUUUGAUAAGCUGAAAAGUUGUUUAUUGCAUUGGGGUUUUAUUACUACUAAUUUGGAUACCUCUCUUUUCAUCAGAAGAAACACUCAUUACAAGUCCAAGUACUAUAAAGUUAAAAAAGUUUUAUAACUCAGUUCAGUAAAGCAUUUGCCUUAAAAGACCUAGGAAUAUUAUCUUAUUUCCUUGGAAUUAAAGUGUUGUAAGAAGCACAUUGUGUGUAUUUGUCACAAAGAAAAUACAUCAGAGAUCUGUUGUUGAUGGGUGUCGAAGCCAACAAAAAUAAAUUCCUACUCUAAAUAAAUUGUGUAUAGUGAUUGAGCAGGGUCGUAUCCACAGAGAUCGGUAAUUAUUUAAAUCCUUUUGAAACGUAAAACGUAAAAUGGGGGAAUUGUUGACAAUAAUAAAAAUCAAAUUAAAAAUAACAAGAAUGCAAAUUAAAGUCGUAAUUCAAAUUGGAGAAAGCUCUGGUUGAAGGAAUUAACUCAGCUUGAUUCGAGUACUGAUCAUUGAUUCAAAUAUAGAUUAUUAUUACUCAUGAAUAGACCGGUUAUAGCUACUGAGACCCUCUAAUAGCCAAUCUCUCCUUAACUAGUCGAUAACCAAGGUACGACCGUUGGUUAUUUCCCUAAUCAAUAGACAACCCUAGAUACGAUCAUAGGAUUUAAUCAAUUGACAGCCUGAAAAACCAGAGAGACCCAAAUCCUAAUCAACACAUAUGAUGAUUCAUUUAAAUUAGAUUGUUUAUUCUCACAACACAACUCUCUGCUAUGUUAUUUGUCACAAACAUUAAAUUCUUCAUACGAUGAAUCCUUUAAUUGACAAUAGAUUAAGUUGAUAAUUAAAUAGUGGCCAAUUACCUAAUUAACAAACACAAUCAUGAAAAUAAUUCAGAGAAUAAACAAAUACCCAAAAAGUAAUAAAACAAUUAAAGCACAAGAAAGAUCUCACAGUAGUGAUGAAUCAAAGCUUUAUUAACCUUCAACCAGAAAAAUGGGUUUAGUUCCUCAUAGAGAGAAGAGAAAAAUUAGAUCUAGGGUUUCUUUUUCUCCAAUCUAAAUCCCCCCUUUUUCACAAUAGAUUCCUCCCUUAAAUACUCUCUCUCUCUUCUCUUUUAGAGUUCUAUUUAAAAUAAAAUACUAAUAUCUAAAAUAUUAAAUUCGUAAUUACAAAAAUAACCAAAAAUACAAAACACGUUAAACUAAAAACUGCAGGUCCGCAGUUGACAGCACGCGCCCACGCCUUAUCAAUAAAGUUCUUCUGCCGCUCAUAAUUUCUCCAAGAGAACAAUCAUCCUUAAAAAUCAUCUUGUAGCUCAAUUUUAUCACCAAUCAAUAGAAUUGCACCUACAAAAGUAAAACACAAGUAAAUCAUUAUUAUUAAGUGCAAAACAUUGAUAUUAAGGGAAGUAAAUAAUGCAAAACUAGUGCAUAAAUUGCACUCUAACAAAUUCCCCCACACCAAGAUGAUGCUUGUCCUCAAGCAUAUAACUCAAGAUUAAUCUCAAAUCUCCACUCAAUUCUCAUCUCAACUCAUCCAAAAACAAUUUUAAGCAAGCAUACCUCAAGAAAUUAAGUCGUUCAUCAUUCGAGAGACAAGGAUUUUAAAGCAUAGAAUUUCAUAAGAUAGAUUAAGAGCAUUCAACCACCAAGAAGAUCCAUUCAAAAUUCAAGUGCAACAAGAUUUAAUAACCCUCUCAUUGACUUCACUCCAUGCACUCAAAGUGUUUAGGGUGUCAUUUAUGCACUCAAAUCAAAUCAAAGAAUGCUAUUACCAUAAGCUUGCUUAUAUAUCACAUCUCAAUCCACAAAACAUGAAUAAAAUACAAAAAUCUAAGGGUCUUAAAAGGGUUGUAAUGGGGUUAAAUGAAAAAGAAAGGUUUACGAAAGAAAAAGAGAUCAAAACGAGAAGAAUGAACUCAUUGAAUGAACUUAUGAUAUCAAAAUGCUUAUUUCUACUCAAGUCACCAAGAAUGUAAACAUUUUUUUUUUUCGAUUUUUUUUUCUUUUUCUUUUUCUUUUUUUUUUCUUUUUUUUUCUUUUUUUUUUGUUUGUUUUUUUUUUCGAAUCAAACAAAAGAAACGAACCUUGCACAAUUGAAUUCAAGCAUAAUGCUUGUUGAUCUAAUUGAGAAACUUCAAUACAAGGUAGAAAAAGCAACAAAAUAUAUCCACACAAUGAGUCCAAAAAUCUCCUUAAAUUGAGGCUAAAAAAGAAGAAAAGUUGUUAAGUAGACGGAGAGAAUUAGAUGGGUAAUGGUUAAGGCUCAAACAAAGGUAGCAAAUAAAGGUCUUCGGGUAGAGAAAAAGGAAAAUGCGAGAAUAGAAAAAUGGUAAAUGGUUUGCCCUUAUCAUUUUAAUGCCUAAAAUCCCGUAAUGUGGCUUCAACAUGCAUAACAAAGCAAGUUCUAGAAUAAACAAACUAGGAUUGAUAUUCACAUAACAAAAAUAAUUAGAGCAAAAUGGUUGCUCAUAGGCUCAAAUCCUCACAAAGUUGGUAAAUUUGUCAUCAAAUCAUGUACACUCUUCAAAUGAAUCAACCAUCAAUAGUGGUGUAGAAUGAGAAGAAGGUAUGAGUGAGAUAUAAAAGGAAAGGUAAAAAAGGAUAAUAAGCGAGAAAGAUGUAUGUAGUAAAAAAAUGAAAGAUAAAAUGUGAGUGAUGAAAGAGUAUGAUAGGAAAAAAAAAUAGAUGUAAAUAAUUUGAGAUAGAUGGGAAAAAGGUAGUGAGAAAGAAAAGAAAAGAUAAAAUAAUAAUAUAUAAAGCAUACUAACUCCAAAAUCAUUUAAGGAUGAGUAGAGUGAAAAUAAAUGAGUAGAGUGAAAAUACUACUUCCAGACAUCAAUAAUGCAAAAAUCCCUCCCCCACACCAAGAACUUACAUUGUCCCCAAUGUAAGAUAAUCAAAGCUCACAUAAAAAUUAAAGCGUAAGGAUAAAAGUUUAAGGGCAAAAAGAAACUUCCCUGAAUUGUGAGUUUUGGUCCACAUAACGUCUAUGGGCUUGGCGGAAAUGGUGGGGUAAAUCCCACACUCUCGAAGUAUGCGGCCAAAUUCUGCUCCAUUUUGUUCAACUUGUGCUCCAUUUUCUCUAACUGAAUGCUCAAAGGUGGUGCGGAUGUAGAAGGAAUAGUUGGCGGGGCAACAGUGUCGUCGUCAAACUCGUCAUCAGAGGUAGCACCACUCCUAGCAUAAAGCUUCUUCGGAAGUUGAGUGGGUCCUGGUUCAGUAAACUGAAAUCUCCCCUCCUUGAAUUCGACCACACCUGUUCUUUCAAACACAGACAUAUCCAAAAAUUCCUUUUUGCAAGCAGGAUGCAAAUCAUUAUUGUCAGGAUCAAGCACACAUAGGUUUAUAGCUAACAGAGUAAUGUAUGGACCAAGAAAUAAAGUCCUAUACCGUUUAAGCACACUUUGAAAUUGAUCCGCUAACCAAAAACCUAAAUUAGGCCUCACAUCAUUUAACAUGCACCAGAUAAAAUAAAAUUCAGUUUUAGAGAAAAUUCCUGAGUGAUCUUUCUUGCCUAAAAAAUUAUAUGCUAAGAAUCGAUGCACACAUUUCAAAACAGGAUCACGUAAGAAAGAACUCUUUGAUUUACUCGGGUCAUAGGCAUUGUGAUCAACAGAUAAAUUACGCCAAAGACCAUAAGGCUCAAAAUUUUCACCAAAGUCACAAGUUGUUCCUAAAUAUUCAUCACUAGUAGAAUGAUCAUCAUCAAUGAAUCCUAAAGCUAGGUUAAAAUCCGUGAUAGAGUGUGAAAAAUUUCGUCCCAUUAACCUAAACUUAAUGACAUCCGGGGUAUGCAAAGUAAAAUCAUUCGGCAUAGUGAAUUGAAAAGUAGCAUAAAACUCCCUAAUCAACUCAACAUAACCCAAGCAAUCAACAUCAACAAACUUACGCAACCCAAUCUUAUCUAUCAAAGAAUCAAAAUUAUCUUUAACAUUUAAUUUUUCAAGAGUCGGGUAAUGAAUAUACUUAGCUGGAAGUAUUUUGCGCGUGGAAAUAUCUUUGUACCUCUCUUUCUCUUGUUGAGUCGCGAAUGCGAGGCACCCUCCGAGAUUGGAUUCCGCAAGUGGCAAAACACUCAUGCCUUUUCCAUGCUUCGAUCUUUGUCUCACGGCUUGGCGUGAAUCUGAAAUUAUGUUCCAUGGAACCGUAGUGGGAGCGGCAAUCUUAGAUUUCUUUGCGACGGGUGUCUUUUUCGACGACUUGGAAGUAGAUGCUUUCCUCUUCGGCAUUGUUACAAUAAUUGCACUCACGGAUUUCGAUUUACCCGGCUGGAAUACAGGGCGUAGGCUGGUUGUGUUGCGCUUGCUGCUCGGCUGGAGCUUGUUGCGCGAGUUGGGGCUGGUUGUGCGCGCUGCUGAGGCUUGCUUUGCGGGUGAUGGCUCAUUGCUGUGCGGGGCUGUUGCGCGAGUUUGGGCUGGUUGUGCGCGCUGCUGAGGCUUGCUUUGCGGGUGCUGGCUCGUUGCUGUGCGGGGCUGUUGCGCGCGAGAGCCAGUUCGCGUUGCGGGUCUGCGUUGCGGAUCUGUUGCGCUGCGCGCGCGGGACUGAUGUGCUGCGCUGAGGCUGAUUCGCGCUGCUGCUGGUUGCGGUGCGCGAUGCUGUGCGCGGCGGCUGGGGCUGAUUCGCGCUGCUCGCGCGGGCUGGGGAUGCUGGAGCUUGCUGCUGGUUCUGGGCGUACUCGUCUGCUGCUGCUGGUUGCGCGGUGAAGGCUGGAGCUGAUGCUGCUGUAAAACGAUAAUCAACAGUAAUUUUUGAAUUAGGGAUUUGUGAACAGUGAUUUUCGAUUUUUGGUUUUUUUUUUUUUUUUUUUUUUUUUUUUUUUUUUUUUUUUUUUAGUGAUGAAUCACUUUGAGACACUAAAAAUUUCAGAAGUACUUUUCUAAUAAGUACGUGGGCACGCCUUAUCAAAAAUUUUCUUCUGACCAAAAUAAGCAAACACAUUAAAUUUCAGAAGUACUUUUCUAAUAAGUAUGUGGGCACGCCUUAAAACUUUGAGACAUUAAAAAUUACAGAAGUACUUAUUAGCUAAGACGUGGGCACGCCUUAUCAACAAAGUUCUUCUGACCAAAAUAAGCAAACUCAUUUUUUUCAUUUUUUUUUUUAAAGAAGAUAAAACAAAAACCAAAAUAAACAAAUCAUUUGGGUUGCCUCCCAAAAAGCGCCUUUGUUUUAUGUCUUUGGCUAGACACAUUUAUGCAUCAAUCUCCAUAAUUGGGACUCUCGAGAGCCACAUCCUCCACAAUAUUCACCGAAAAACCUUCAUAAAAAGGUUUUAAGCGAUGACCAUUAACUUUAAAAACUUUGUCAGAGGUCGGACUCCGAAUCUCAACUGCACCAUGAGGAAAAACAUUAGUAACAAUAAAAGGUCCAACCCAGCAAGAACGUAAUUUACCCGGAAAAAGUUUAAGCUUAGAAUGAAAAAGAAGAACUUUUUGACCAACAGAGAACUCAUUUCUCAAAAUCAUUCUAUCAUGAAAUGUCUUCGUCUUUUCCUUGUAAAAAACUUCCUACGCUAUAGGGUUAAUAACAUCUACAGAAAAUACCGAAUGUUCCUCACUAGGAUAUUUCAUGGCAUCAUUCAUAUUGAAUUCUAUAACCUCUCCAUCAAACUCCAUAGUGAGAGUCCCUUUAUGUACAUCCAUUUUAGUCCUAGCAGUCUUAAGAAAAGGUCUUCUUAGCAAAAUUGGGACAGAAUUAGAGGAGUUAUCAUCUUCCAUAUCAAGUACAUAAAAAUCAGCAGGAAAAACCAACUCAUUAACUUGUACUAAGACAUCUUCUAAUACCCCAUCAGGAUAUGCAUUAGACCUAUCAGCUAGUUGAAUUAUCACGCCAGUUUCUUUUAAUGGACCAACAUUCAAAGAUGAAUAAAUGGAACGAGGCAUGACAUUAAUAGAAGCUCCUAGAUCUAACAAAGCCUUUUCAAUUCUAACACUACCAAUUUUACAAGGGAUAGUAAACAUACCUGGAUCCUUGCACUUAGGAGGUAGUUUCUUUUGGAGAACUGCUGAAACAUUCUCCCCCAUGUGAACUUUUUCAUCUCCUCUUAAUUUUCUCUUGGAGGUGCACAGUUCCUUAAGGACUUUAGCAUAUCGAGGUAUUUGUUUUAUAGCAUCUAAUAAAGGAAUAUUUACCUCAACCUUGCGAAAUGUCUCAAGGAUGUCUUUCUCUUGUUCCUCCUUCUUGGAUUUUGCAAACCGGCUUGGAAAAGGAGGAGGUAUCACAAUAGGUAGGGGUUUCGCUCUGGUGGGUUUUGCAUCUUGAGAUUGAGGCAUCAAUUCAUUCUUCUCAAGCUCAUCUUCUACAUGCUCUGUCACUUUCUUACUAGGCUCUUGCAACUCCUUCCCACUUCUAAGGAUGACAGCACUAACGUUUUGCUUUGGAUUCACCUCAGAUUGUGAAGGCAAUCUCCCUAGUACUUGAGACUCCAGACGGCUCACUGUAGUCGCCAAUUGACUCAUUUGGUUCUCCAAGUUCUGAAUGCUUGCUGUAGUUGCCUGUUGAAAUUGUUGAGUGUUAGUCGCAAGUGAUUUAACAAUUUCUUCAAGAGAUAUACCUGACUUGGAAUUAGGUAUUAUAUGUAUAAUACAAGUAGAAAUCUGCUGAUAUUUAUAGUUAGAAAUCGCUGAAAGGUUCUUUGCCUGUUUCCGCUUGUAGGGGCUGUGUUCAGAAACUGUGAGGGAGAAUAUUUGGGGAUUUCUCUUGUCCAUUACAUGUUGAGACGACUUUUGUUGCUGAACUGUUGGUUGUUAUCUUGGCUAUAGAGCAUGCUUCUGUUGGAGGUUGGACUAUGUUGUGGAUCAACUUAUUUUUGUUUGUUCUGCAAGAAUCAUAACGAGUGAGAAGAUGUCUGGAUUUCUUCACUAUUAAAAAACUACCAGUAUUUAUUUAAUAUGUUUAGACAAGUCACCAAGGUUACUAGUUUCCUGUCUUCAGUGUGUGCAUGUGUAUGUGUAUAUUUGUAUCAACAAUAAGAUUUUUACCAAAAUAGCGUUCAUAUUCAUCUCGUUAUUGCAACAACCAACUUGCCUACGAUUUUCCAAUAAAAUUUACAUGAAAAGAUUUUAUAGUAUAUUGUUUUGUGAAUGAUGUAGUAGAGCAGUGGAGAUCUAGAACUUGACAGGGAGAGGCGGUAGAAUCUGAUCAAUGAAUAUCUACAUACGAAGAGUUACAGACGAAUAUAGAGAAGAGUUACAAACAAUGUAGAUAUAUACAUGAAGAAUAUUAGCCUAGAGAUUAAUCAAACACAUGUUAUGACUUGAUCACUUCCAUUUUGUAGAUAUAUAUAAUGUAAUUUUUUGACACUACGUUACGUUCACGCCAACUUUAACUCACCAACACAAAUCUUUUCUUGUUCUGUUCAACCUGCAGGAUUGAAUCAGACUUUAUUAUGGAGAUUGUCAAUGGGAUAUCAAGUAAAAUUCCUAUAAAAUCAUAGACUCUUAAGGAGGUAGUAGGAAUAGAUUCACACUUGGAGAAGCUUAUCUAUCUUAUGGAUAAAGGGCCUAAUGAUGUUUGUAUGAUAGGGAUCUGUGGUGUGGGAGGUAUAGGUAAGGGGACUCUUGCAAGGGUUGUUUAUGACUUGAUCUUUCAUGAAUUUGUAGUAAGUAGUUUUCUGGCCAUUGUUAGAUAAACCUCAUACAAAGGCGGUCUGAUUUCCUAACAAAAUGGAAUGUAUAUAAUGUUAUCAACAUAACAGGAAGUAGGCUACGACACAAAAAGGUUCUUCGUGUUAUGGCUUACGGCAUUUACAAAGUUUAGCUAGAAAGUUCAGGCAGCAGGAUCAUCAUAACAUCAAGAGAUAAGCAUUGUUGACAACACAUGGAGUGGAUGAAUUGUAGGUCCUGAAGCAAAUACAUUGUGAUGAAGCUCUUAGACUCCCUUGUAUGACAACACAUCUGUGGCAUGAGAGGUAUAGGUAAGUGCAAUGCAUGUAUUUUGAGUUCAUUAUUCUAAAAGUCAAGAAAUGAAAUAUAAAAUUGCUAUCACUAUAUAAUGCAAAGUAAAACAUUUUAUGUAAUGCAGCCUACAUUUUAUUCAUUUUUUUAUGGUACACACAAAAUGUUUUCCUUUGCCCAAGCUAUCAAUUGUACAAUGUAAGCUUUCAAGGAGAUCCUUUGGUCAUAGUUACAGUGAUCCGAAGGGCAUGACUUUGAGCCCUGAGAAAGGUCUGCCCACAUUUGCUCAAUUCAACCUUUGAUCUUAUCUUCAAGACUAUUCCAGAUUAUUCUCAUCUCUUGCUGAAUCACUCUUAUGAGUCAUCUGACAUGCUUGACUCACAGAGGUGUUUCAUUGAGCAUUUUGCUCAUUUUAUCGAACGUUAGUUUUGCUCAACAUUCUAUGCUUUAAAUCUAUGCAUAAAUAAUUUUAUGGACAUCUUCACAUCCUAUUCUUCACUUCUCAUCUGCUUUUAUGAUUUUUAGGGAACUGAAAUAGUCGAAUGCAUGGUACAUGGCUUUUCAGAACUUAAGGUUCAUUCUAGCGCAGAUGCUAAUGCCUUCCGGAUGAUGAACAAGUUAAGAUUGAGCAGAAUUCAGAAUUCGCAACUUCCUCAAGGCCUAGAUUACCUCUCUAAUGAGUUAAGAUUACUUAAAUGGUAUAGGCAUCCACUUAAAAUCCUUUCCACCAAAUUUCCAACUGGAUAAAACUUUCAAGCUUAAGUUGUGUGAAUGCCGCAUUGAAGAAUUGUGGAAGGGAAUCAAAGUAAGAUCACUUACUUUUGUGUUUAUUAGUGAAUAAUUGUUUUAUUUUUUCCCUUUAAAUUUUGAAAUUACUUUCUAAGUUUAUACGAGAAGUAUCGUUGUAAAUUAAGAAAAAUUUCUUCUUGGUCCUUUAUGUUUCCAACAGCCUUUGAACAUGUUGAAAGUCAUGAAACUCGUGCAUUUGGGGCAGCUGUGAAGCCGCUCUCCACCCUAUAUUUUAGGGGAAUAUCCCCUAUAAUAAAACGUGAGCUGCCCCAAACGGAAGCUCAACCAUUCACAGAACCUGAUUAAAACACCAGACUUCACAGGGGUCCCAAAUUUAUAGAAGUUCAUUCUCGAAGGAUGCACAAGGUUGCACGAAAUUCACCCAUCUUUGCUGCUUCACAAUAAGCUCAUUGUAUUGAAUCUUAAGGAUUGUACAAGUCUCAAACUCUUCCAGGCAAAUUUUUUAUGAAAUCUUUAAAAACACUUAGUACUUUCUGGUUGCUCAAAGUCGAAGAAAUUUCCAGAGAUUGUGGGAAAUAUGAAGUUUCUGCGGGAGCUUCUUUUGGAUGGAACUGAUAUUAAGGGACUACCAUUAUCAAUUGUACUUUUAUCUGGAAUUGUUCAGUUGGAUUUGAAAGGCUGCAAAAAUAUUAGUUGUCUUUCAAAUUUCAUAAGUGCUUUAAAAUUUCUUUCCACUUUCAAUCUCUCUGGCCUUUUGAAAUUCAGAUUGCCUCUAGAGAUCAUGGGACGUAUGGAACAUUUGUUGGGCGCUUCGGUUGUUGGGAACCACUAUAAGAGGAUUGCUAGUGUCAACUGAAUAUCUCUCUGUCAUUGUUUUGCUAAAUUAAAAAGGUUGCAAACAUCUCUCAAGUCUUCCAGUUACUAUAAGUAGUUUAAAAUGUAUAAGAACUCUUAACGCUCUCUGGUUGCUCGAAGCUGGAAAAGUUUCCGGGAAGUAUGAAAUCUCUGACUAUGCUUAUUUUAGAUGGAACUGCUAUUCGAGAAUUGUCGUUGUCAGUUGAACUUCUAACUGGCCUUGUUGUGUUGAAUUUGAAAGAUUGGCAAUAUCUCUCGAGUCUUCCAAGUACAAUCAAUGGUUUGAAAUCUCUUAAAAUUCUGAAUGUCUCUAGUUGCUCGAAACUUGAAAUUGUGCCAGAGAACUUGGGUAAAGUAGAAAGCUUGGAAGAGCUUGACAUUAGUGGAACAGCAAUUAGGCAACUUCCGACCUUUAUUUUUCUCUUAAAGAAUCUUAAAGCAGUGGACCACUAUCAUCUACAUCAUGGGAUUUGUGCUUCCUUCCCAAUAUGAUGUGAAGGAGUUUAGAUCCCAUGACUAAUUUGAUAUUACCUUCUCUAUCAGGCUUAUGUUCUUUAACAAAAUGGGAUCUCAGCAACUGUAAUCUACCAAUGGAAGGAGGAGAAAUCCCAAGUGUUAUUUACCACUAAUGCCUAUUGUUCAAGAAUGAACUAGAAUCUAAUUCCAAGACUAGACGCAAUGUCGGCUGAAUAAUAAAUGAUAGUAUGAACUGCUCUCGGUUACCCCUAGAGGACUCAUGUACGACGUCUAGCUCAGGUCGUCUAAAUUUAGUAAGUGAGUGCACGCUUUGGUCACGUGCACUAACUUAUACAUAAUGAUCAAACGACCCGAAAAGACUGCCGUUUUGAUGAGCAUUACUAUCAUUAUAUGGCUGUUAAAUCGGUUAGAAAGGGUGGGAGAUUAUUACAAACCCAUAACAGGCUGAUGACCGAUGAGGUAUAUUGUAUGAUGUCCAUUCAGUAGCUUGUAAUUUUCUCUCUAAGUUUGUAAGUUGUUCUGAGAAAACAAAUAAAGCUUGCCAAAGAAAGCAUAGGCCAUUGUAGCUAAACAUCUUGGAUUUUUAAUUUCUUGAUAAACUAUAUAUUCAUUUGAAUUAUGUAAUAUGAAGAUUUUUGUAUCAUUAGUUUGUGCUUGUUGGUUUUUUAUUUCUUUCAUUCUAAUAUACAAUUAUAAUAGGAAAAAUGACAUUUACACCCCUUGAAUUUGAGGAAAUGGUCACCAACACCUCCAAUUUAAAAAAAAACAUUAAAACCCCUUUUUGACAAUUAACCCUUUAAAAAAUUAAAUUUAAAAUUUUUAGAAAAUAGAAAUAUUAUAUAAAUAAUGUAAUCUAUGCAAUAGACUAAUAAUAUUAAAAUAAUUUAAUAUUUUAAUAAAUUUAAAUAUAUAAAUUGUUAUAUUUAUUUAAUAAUAUAUUUUAUUUAUUUUAGAUAUUUUAAAUAAAUAUUUGCAUUAAAUAUAUUUUACAAUUAAAAAAAUCUCACAUACUAAUGUUAUUAUUAUUUUACAUAAUAUUCAAAAUAAUUUAAAUUUUAAUACACUUGUUUUAACAUUAUGAUUCUAUUUAUUAUCAAAUUUAAUUUUAUAUACUAAAAUAUAUCUAAUAGAUUGUAAAAUAUUAAAAUAUUUUUGAAGUAUUUCUAUUUAUUAUAAAACAUUAGAGUUGAUUCUUUUUUGGAUAAUAGAGGUUAAAGGGUAUUAUCAUUAAAAGAGGGUCUUGAUGUUCCAUUUUGAAAUUUUGGGAGUGUUGGUGAUUAUUUCCCUAAACCUUGGGGGUGUAGAUGUCCUUUUUCCCAUUAGAAUAUCUUUUUUUGGCUAUUAUACCUUUCAAUUAUAGUAAUAUUAAAAUUGAUUUUAAAUUUUAAAAUAAAUACAAAUAUAAUAUUAGAAUAAAUAAACAAAAAUUAAUAAUUUUUAUUUUGGAAUUCCAAAUAUAUUGUUUUCAACAUCAGAAAUUAUAGUAUUUCAACUGGAUGACAUCCUAAAAUAAAAAUUAUGGAAAAGAAAUCAGAUUGCUAUUAUUAGACUAAAUGAUAAAAAAUUAAUUUUAUUUUAGAAUUAUUUAAAAGAAAUUAAUCGCAAAUAAAAAAAAAUUUAAAACAAUUGACCCUGGGCCGGCCUCGUUCGUCUUUUUAUAUAGAAUUGCAGGUCAAGAGCAUGCCCAGAACAUGUUUGACGAAAUACCCAAGAAGGAAUGCAUCCAUCUGAUAUGUUGAAGAGCACCGACAUGAUGCAUCUGUUACGGUAACUUUGUGAUUUCCUAAGCAAUCAGAAUCAAACAGUCAACAAAGUCAACUUUAUGAUUUCCCAGUUAAUCAACAAAGUCAAUUAUGCUACAACUUUAUGAUACAUCUAUUGCCACAAUUUUUUUUCACGUAGAAAAUUCAAUUAAAUUAAUUUAAUAUUGUCCUGGCUCAAACAUGCUGCCGCUUUGCUUGUAGUGCGGGUUUUCGGGUCCUUCAAUUUGCUGGUAGUGUACUUUUUCGUUUGCUGAUUAUGAUUAUUUCGGAGCCAAACUUAUAAAUUUAAUUCGAAAAGAAAAAUUUUAGGAACUUAAGUAAGAGGCUGUUGAAUCAAUUGCUUGCAACAGGAGCAUUCUGCAGGGAGUUUCUCCAUAUGUUCUGUCCCCCGCAAACAUUUCACAAACCAUUUGCGUGUUGCUUUGGAACAAAAGGGAGCCGUUUUAUUUAGGGACGACCAGGAACUCGAGAGAGGAAAAGUAAUUUCACCAGGACUACUUACAGUAAUUGAAGAAUCAAGAAUUUUAAUAAUUGUUUUCUCAAGAAACUAUGAGUCUUCCACUUGGUGUUUGAAGAACCAAGAAUUUCAAUAAUAUCUUUCAUAAAUUUGAAGUCAGAAAACAACUAAAUCAUCUUAAAAAGAAAAAAAAUUAUAAUUUACACUUUUAAAAACAAUUAGAUCAAAUCUCUUCAUUGGCAGCUAACAACAUCAAUUCCAUAUCCAAGUCAGCAAGUUUGGAAAGGUUCAUCCGCCGCUUGGAUUGCUGAAUCGCUCUUUUGGAUAAAUUUUCCGGCUUUUAAUAAAAGAAAAUUGGAAAAGGAAAUUAUAGAGAUUGAACAAUUAGCAACAUAAAAAAGUUAAAAUUACUAACAAAUGAGCAAUUAUACUUUUCCAGCAAGUGAUUUCUGCUUUCUUAGAUUGCUGAGACGAUUAACAUGAAACUAGUUUUUUCUUCUUUUUUUUUUUUGGCAACAGAUAAAAGAAACUGAGUGAUUGAACAAUUAGAGAGACACAAUGUCCAGCCUGGACUAGAUUUGAGUAUUUGACGAAUAAAAAGAACAAUAGGAAUUGAUUUUUUUAUUUUUUUUUUGGGGUAGUUUCAAGUGAUGGAUUAUAGAAAGGAUAGAAUGAAAAAUAAGGAUAAAUUGGGGAGUAAAUGGGGUACAGUAAUAAGAAAUAAGAAUAAUUUAUUUUUAAGAGAUGGGCCAGAUGAAAUAAAAUGAAGCGUUCAAAUAUCACUUUUUCUAUAGUGUUGGCCAAUUAGCACUUUUUUUUUUUUUUUUAGAAGAAAGGGAUUCAUUCAUUAACUGAGUUAAAAAGGUACAUAAUUUUUUAAGGGUAUGACCCUUUCCAAAUAGCAGUUUCACCACUUUCUAAAGCUCUCUUAGCUAAAGAAUGAGCAAUGGCAUUACAGGAUCUUAAAAUGUGCUGGACUUUGACAGCAUUAAACUCCUUCAUUUUGCUUUGCACCUCUAUUAUUUCCCAUUGGAUCUCUGUUCUGCUGCUCUUUUUGCUGUUAACCAAAUCAAUAGUCUCCUGAGAAUCUGAUUCCAUGAUGAUAUUUGGCAAUUUUGCAUGCUUUGCUAUGCUUAGACCCCAGCUCACAGCUUCUACUUCUGCAUGAGUUACAUCACCAUGAAACUUUGUGACCUUUAUUGCAGUUGCCACAAAAUUUUCCCCCGCAUCCCUUAUGACAACUCCCAGGCCAGCACAUUGGUUUUUCACGUUUAUGGCUGCAUCAACAUUGAUUUUACACUAAUCUAGUGGAGGGCGGCUCCAGCCUCUUGGAAUCUUUUCUUUCUGCUCAGCAAAAUCCUUUCGGGUUUGUGCUUUGACCUUUUAAACUCUUCCACUACUGAUUCAGCUUUCGCAGCUAGGAUUCUAGGGUCUUCUCUCUUCCCUUUGAAUGACACUUGAUUUCGGGCACUCCAUGCUACCCAAAACAUAGCCGCCACCAUCUCAGUAUCAGCCUUGCCAAUCCUUCUUUCCAGAUCUUGAAUUACACUGAGAAUGUCCUGAGUUGCAAUGCUUCUGAGCUCUACUGCAGCCUCAGUUACCUUCCAGAUUCUGCGGGCUGACCUGCACUCCACCAACGCAUGGAAAGUAUUCUCCAAAGCAUUUCAACAGAGCUGACAGAGCGGUUGGGCUAGAAUUUUCCUUUUCCACAGAUUUGCAGCUAUUGGGAGGAGAUUUUUGGCUGCUCUCCAAAUGAAAAUUUCGAUUUUCUUAGGCAAUGACAUAGUCUAUAUAAUAGGCCAUGGACUUGCUUUCUAAUUUGAGCAUCCUCGAGAGUCUUCUAGCGUAAUCCUCAAUGCAACUUGAUAUCUGCUUUUCACAUUAUAAUUUCCUUUUUUAUCAAAAUGCCACAGGACUUGAUCUGCUGUUGGUUGUCUAGGGAGUGGGAUUCUUGUAAUUGUAUCAGCAUCUUCUUUCACAAAGUGUUGGUAUAUCAGCCCAACCUUCCAUUGAUUAUCAUCAUCAAUAAGCUCCGAAACAGUCACAUCAAUUGGCAAAGAUGGAAGGGAAACUGGUUUGAAUGUCAAUGGCCUCGACAUCCAGUUUCCUCUAUAAAUUUCCACUUGAUCACCUCUUCCAAUCCUCCAUCUUAUCCCUCUAUUGAUAACUUCUCUCCCCCAUAAUAUACUUCUCCAAAUAAAUGAGGGUCUGAAGCCUAACUUUGCAUUAAGAAAAUGACAGUUCUUAAAGUAUCUUGCUUGUAAGAUCUUUGACACCAUAGAAUCUGGGAACUGCAAUAUUCUCCAGCCUUGUUUCGCUACCAGAGCCUGGUUAAAGCUUGCGAAAUCUCUAAAGCCUAAUCCUCCUUUUUGCUUUGCUUGGCUUAAGCUCUCCCACCUUGCCCAAUGGAUGCCUCUUUUUUCCGCAUUACUACUCCACCAAAAUCUAGAUAUCACCUUUUGGAUGUCAUCACAAAUGCCCAAAGGAAGCUUAAAGACACUCAUAGCAUAUGCUGGAACAGCCUGUGCUAAGAAUUUGUAUUGCCAGCUCGAAAUUUUACUCAUCACCCUCAGCUUUAUUUCAUUGAAGAAACCUUUCCUUUUUCUCCCCACUAUGGACGGCAGCCCCAGGUAUUUCUCAUGCCUUGAGACUACAUUUAACUGAAAAAUGUUUUUAAUUGCUGCAACGCUUCCACUAUCUGUGUUCUUGCUGAAAAACAUUGAAGAUUUGUUAUAGUUGAAGAGCUACCCUGAGGCUGUUGCGUAGCAAUAAAAAAUCCGCUUAAGGUGUUGGCAAUCUUCAGCCGAGGCUCUUGAGAAAAUCAGGCUAUCAUCCGCGAACAUGAGAUGUGAAACAUUGAUGCUGUUGCCAAACCUGAGGCCAUGAAUCAGCACUCUUCCUUUUGCCUUUUGCAGCAUAACAGAGAACACCUAUGCACACAUGAUAAACAAAUAAGGAGAGAGAGGGCAGCCUUGUCUUAGGCCCCUCUGAGGGUAGAUUAAGCCUUUUGCUGUGCCAUUUAUAAGGACUGAAAAGAAUGAAGUUGUGAUGCACCUCAUGAUUAGGUUUACCCAUGAUCGAGGAAAUCCUAAUUUAAUCAUUGUUUGUUCCAAAAACAACCACUCCACCCUAUCGUAGGCCUUACUUAUAUCAAGCUUUAGAGCCACAAGCCCAUUUCUCUUCCCUUCACUAUGCCUAACCUUAUGUAAGCAUUCAUAACCUAUGAUAAUGUUGUCAGUUAUGAGUCUAUUUGGAAUGAAAGCACUUUGGGUAGGGGAGAUGACUUGGUGGAGAAUGUGUUUAAGCCUAUUUGCAAUAGCUUUAGCCACAAUUCUAUAAAUGACAUUACAUAAGCUUAUAGGUCUAAAAUUGGUCACUUUCCUAGGCUUUUUAGUCUUAGGAACUAGAGCAAUAUAUGUGUGGUUAAGAGGGGUUAUUGUACCUUGCUCGUUCAGAAUAUGCAAACAUGUAGUCACCACUCCACUUUUUACCAUUUUCCAAUGCUUUUGGUAGAAGAACGCUGGAAAUCCAUCGGGUCCUGGUGCUUUGGUGGGGCACAUUUGGGAUAGGGCUUCAAGAAUCUCUUCUUCCGUAAUGGGUUGUUGCAGCUGAUCAUUCAUCUCCUCAGUGACUCUUGGAGUUAUUUCUUCUAGGGCAGCAUCUAACUGAUUCUGGUCUGGUCUAGUUGUUGAGAACAAGUUAGCGAAGUAUGCACAUAAUUCUCUUUCUACUUCCUCCCCCAUCACUAUCCAGUUCCUUUGGCUGUCUUGAAUGCCCCAAAUCCUAUUCUUCCUCUUUCUCGAUGAGGCUUUUGCAUGAAAAUAUUUAGUGUUCUUGUCCACUUCUUUAAGCCAAUCAACCCAGGAUCUUUGUUUCCAAUAAAUUUCUUCAUCUAUCAAAAUAUUUUGGAUAUGCCUUUUCACCCUUUUGAUCUCCUCUCCAUUGCUAUACUGCCUCCCACUGAACCUCAGCUCUUUUAGCCUAGCCACCGGCUUAUCCAACUUCUUUUUCCUCCCUUUGAAUUCUUCCCUGCUCCAACACUUCAGCUGGGCCAUGGAAUCUUUAGUUGUUUUUUUGAACAGUUAGACAGGAUCAGCAUGCUUCCAGUCACCAUGCUGGCUCCAUUCUCUUUGAAUUAUGUCUUUACAGCCCUUAUAACUACUCCACAUAUCUUCAUAAUGCACCCGCGAAGUACUUCGCUUUGUGUAGCUCAGUCUGCUUCCUCUUUCAUUCACCUCCAUCAAAACAGGACAAUGAUAUGAGGUCCAUGUUUCUAGGUUGAUGGCAGCACAAUCGUCAUAAAUCUCCCGCCAAUUCUUACUACACAAAAAUCUAUCCAAUCUUUCUUCUACAAAGCCAGGACCCUACCUACCAUUACCCCAUGUAAAACGGGUAACCUUUACAGCCCAUAUAAACUAGAUUACACUCUUGCAAUGCCUCUCUAAACUCACUUAUCAUGUUUGGAUUUCUCUCAUUACCACCUAUUUUCUCCCUAGGGUGUAAAAUUUCAUUGAAAUCACCAAAGCACAACCAGGGGUAUCAAACAAACCUGCAAGUCUCCUCAGUAUUGUCCAAGUAUGUUUCUUCUGCCCCGCUUCAGGGUGCCCAUAGAUUCCCGUGCAUCUCAUCCAACUUCCUUUGUCAUCUUGAACCUUGGCAUCAAUGUGGUGGCUGCUGAAUGAAGUAACAUCCACAUUGACAUUAUUGUCCUAAAGCAUUGCCAAUCCCCCUCCCUUCCCGUUUCUAUUGACUGCAAAACAAUUUUCCAAUCUCAACUUCCUGUUCACUAUAGACAUUUGCACAGGCAUUAAUUUCGUUUCACAUAAAAACAACAAAUGUGGCCUGUGUUGAUGGAGAAUUUUUUACAAAGCUAGGAAUGUCCGGGAAUUCCCCAAACCACAGACAUUCCAACUGAGGAUCUUCAUUGUUACCGGUAGGGCUGCCCACCAGCCUCCGCCGAUAUCUCUGUGAUGAUUGGCCUUGCCACCUCCAUGUCAUCUACUGACAUUAACUCCCAUUUUAGCUCAAGGUUUGCUGAAGAAGGGGAUUGCUGAGCUUGUCUCUGUAUUUGUUUAAUGGGACUAACCAACUUGACUCUUUUUUUUGUUUAGGUUGUUUUCUUUCAACAUGCAAUGUGGCCUCUUAGCUGGAUAUGUCUCCCGCUUGAUUCCUCCCAUCUCGCUUUGUUUUCGGGCCUAGCGUUUCUAGCUUUUUCUAUUGGGCUUAAUUUGAUUUAAUUCCGGUCCAUCAUCUACACCUUCCUCGUCUUCUUUACAAACUUGAGCCUUGGCUCUUUGAUCCAUUUCUUCGGUAGCCAAUUUUCCUUCUUUGCUAAAUUUUCCGCUUUCCCUCUCAUUUUCAUCAACUUUUCCCGCGUUGCUGCUCAUCUUGCUAGGGGCCUUUUCAUUGUCAGUGGCUGCAGGUUGCUUGUAGCAGUCCACUCUCUGAUCUCCUAAUUUUUUCCAGCUGAGCAUUAAAUGCGUUUCUUCUGCUUCCUCUUCAUUAUUUUCUUUAUUGGCUGCCACGUGUGUGUCUUCCUGGUCUGAGCUUGAUUCUGGUUCUGUUGCAUUGGUCCUAUGUGAUUGAAGGGGUUGCUGCGCCUGGGACAUUGGAUUUUCCUUGAAGUCUUUGUGCCUGUUAUUAGUUGGCUGGUUAACCAUUUUGCCACUAACUUUUGUUCCCCUUUCAUGGGGUCUGCUUAUUUUUUAUUUGCCAAAUACAGGGACCACUUGCAUCCAUACUCCAUAAGCCAGUUUCUCUUUUGGUUGCCCCUCGUAUUUGUUGCACUCCUUGUAUUGGUGCCUGACGAGACCACAACAAAAGCAAAAUUCGGGCAAUCUCUCGUAAACUACUGGAAUUGGGACAUCAUCUUCUCCUUCGAGUUCUAGAUAAAUUGUUCUGCUUUAUGCAUUUGUUACUUCAACUCUAUGAUUUCCCAAGAAAACAAUCAAUAUGUGAAUGUUUAGGUGCAGAAAACAUGGGCCAGCAGCUUGUAAGAACCAGGGAAAAAAGCAGAACAAUUUCAAUUCUUUGAAACCGAGUGCAGUUAAGUAAAUUCAUAAUUUCAUAACUUCUUUUAUAAUAUGCAAAUUGUAUUACUUCUAUAUGAAUUGCUUUUAGUGUGGUUAAACAGAGUGUUUCAGACUCAUGGAACAAGAAUGUUGAUAAGGUUAGCAAGCAAUGAACAGCAGAACUGAUUGAGGAAACUCAGGCUCAGAUUCUCACUAGUCCUGCAAUUAACAACUGGAAAGGUUAAAUCAAAUAAUAGCAAAUUCAAAUCUUAGGUGGCCACUUCUUUUGGCUCAGUCAAAAGUUCAGGUUUGAUAGCAGGUUCUAUAAUAUCUCCCCCGCCAUGCACACAUCAUUAUCUUAAUUUUAUCAUGCUUGUAUGCCUGGAUGGAUGCUUGUAUGCUUGACUUCUGCCACAUUUCCAUUUCCGUACACAUUCAAUAUACAGUAGUGGCUCGACCUCUAGGCAACUUAGGUGGUUGCCUAGGCCCCCUCUUUACAUGAGGGCCCCAUGAGAUGAUUAUUUUGUAAAUAAAAGAAAAACAUGAAUUUAAAAGUCAUUAUUAUUCAUUUAAUUUAUUAUUAUUUUAUAAUUAUCUUUUCCUAAAUAAACUAUCAAAUUCCUAUAAAGUUUAUUUAAUAUAAUACUUAGUAGUUUUAAUUCCUACAAAACCGAUAAAUUCCAGAUUCUAUCUUUUUACUAUUCUCUUAAUUAGCUGUGUUAUUUAUUUAUUUAUUCUUUUUUCUUUUUAAUAUAUUCUUGUAUUAAUCUACUAUUUUUUGUGUGUGCUUGUUUUAUCUAUUUUGAAAUAAAACUAUAUCGAAAAAAUUUAGAAAAUAGAAGAAUAGAAAAAUUAGUUUAAUCUAGAAAAGGAGCAGUAAAAAAGAUGUAAUUUGAAUUAAAAAAAAAAGUGAAAAUGUUAUAAUUGAAUUAAAAUUUCAUGGAUUAGCAAUAGUAGAAUAGAAUUUUAUUUAAUAAUUUUACAUUUUAGAGUAUUUAAAGAAUUAAUUUUCAAAAAAUAAUAUAUAACUAAUAUAUAUAUAUAUAUAUAUAUAUAUAUAUAUAUAUAUAUAUAUAUAUUUUGUCUUAAAUUUUAAGAAGAACUAAUUGAAAUCAUUUACCCAAGGCCUCAAAUAUGGUUGAGCCGGCCCUGUCAUUAUAAAAGUAUAAUAGCAAGUAUUAGUUAGCUGAGCUGACUUUGUUGACCAAAGCUUGUAUAGAAACUGAAUAACAGAACAACUUAUGAGGCUUGUAACCAAAAGGAUGCCUAAAGCUAAAGCCAACUAUUUUUAGUAGAAAUUGAGGGCACUAAACCUUUCUUCUCUUCCCAAACUUUAUGCAAUUUCAAAGAAAAAUGUGAAACCUUUAAUCUUUGUUUUCCAUUUUUUACUUAUUUUAAUGAGAAAAUUCUACAAUUUAAUUAAAAUUUUUUUAAAGAUUAUAGUGGAAUUACUCCAAAAGAAUAUUGUAUUCUUUUUCCCUAUAAAAUGCAAUUACAAUGAAGACGCCCUUAAUAAAAUACCUAAAGAAAUUUUUUCUUUUGGUGCGUAGAUUAUUGAAGCUGGCUUUGUCAACAUCGUGUCGAUCAAAAUCAUUCUUCAUUAAUAUAUAUAUAUAUAUUUAUUUAUUAAAACGGGCUCUUUAAGACGAGUUAGAUAUGAACAAGGCGGGGUUGACAAACCCCAAACAUAUCUUGCGAAAUAAUAGAAUAAAUACCCACAGGCGGGUUAGAGAAUAAAUGUAAACCAUGCGGAACUAAGUGAGCCAUAUUUGCCAUGAAAUCUGCAGUUGAGUUUGCUUCACGGUAGAUUUACGAGAUAGAAAUCUGCCAAUUCCUGCUUAAGAAAUCACGAAUUGCCACCACUAAAGCAUAGAAAACAUUAGGCACGACCACCUGCUGAGAUAUCAUUUGAGUUACACAGAGGCUGUCUACUUCCACCAAAAGAUGUCUGAUGCCAACAUUCUAGGCAAGGGAUAAUCCUUGAUACAGUCCCCAGAGUUCGGCCAUAAUCACUGAGCUUUCCCCAAUAUUCAUACUAAAACUUGAGAUCCAGUUACCAAAAGAAUCGCGAAUUACCCCACCCGCUCCAGCUUCUCCUGUAUUUCUAUAGGAACCAUCUGUGUUCAACUUACACCAUGGUCAUGGAGGAGGCAACCAACUAAUAAAAAUCUCCUUACACCUUGGUUGUUGGCUAAGAUGAGAGUUAUUAAUUCUAUGGAUCUCACUAGCUCUGCCAUUAUAUCCAAGUAUAUUGUCUUGCUAUCUACCAAAUUUCUAGCCAUAAUAAAAUGAUUCCGCCAAAACCAUAACCUCCAAAUAGCCACUCCAAAAAUAUAAUCCCAAGGAAGCUCAGAAUCAAUUUUCCAGUUGUUUUGCACGUUGGCAGCAAUCCAUGCACGUAAGUUAGAUUGGAAAAAAGAGAGAUGGUGACGGGCUGGAACAAGAUGAAGCCAUAGAUUCUUAAUGCAUCGACAAUCUCUCACAGCAUGAAGAAUGUCCUCAGCUGAAAUCCCGCACCUAGCACAAACAUCCGAAACGGGAAUAUUACGCCGACUGAGCUCACGGUAGGUCUUCAAUUUGCCAUGCAAAAUCUGCCAAAUAAAGAGCUUUAUAGAUUGGGGUCCUUUCCAAGACCAUGGCAAGUUCCAUACUUUAUCUUGAGCAUCCAUGUUGUGAUGGCAAAGAGAUUCAUAAGCGGAUCGAACAGUGAACAAUCCUCUUGGAUUAAAACACCAAUACAGUCUGUCAGGUCCAAGAUGCGGAGCAGGAGGCAUGAUCGAAGCAAUCUGCAGAAGAAUAAAAGGGGGCAGCAAGAGCUGAAAGUUCGACCAUCUCCAGCCACCAUGUUCAUUAGUAAAAUCGCUAACAGUUGCAUUGAGAGAGACUUGAGGGAUCGGUUGGAGAGCAAGGCCAAUCAAAGGUUCAUAUUUCGUCACCCAACAGUCCAGCCAGAACCGAAUGCGAGCACCAUUGCACAAUGCCCAGCGAGCUCCAUGCAUGGCUGCAUCCCACGUUUUCCUUAUAGCAGACCAGACGCGCGAUCCUUGCUUGUCAGGGAGGGAAGACGGCAAAUUGCAUGGGUCCAGUCCAUACUUAGAACAGAGAACCGUCACCCACAACGUAUCCAAGUUGGAAAUAAUGCCCUAACUAAUCUUCAUUAACAGGGCAUGAUUCAUCACCUCUAAAUUUUUAAAACCCAAGCCACCACGUGAUUUUGGCAAGCAGAUUUUGUCCCAGCCUACCAUGCAUAUCUUAGGACUCUUCGACUUCCCAUCCCAAAUAAAUCUACGGCAGCACUUAUCGAUUCUAUGGCACACCGAUGAAGGAAGCAUGGUCGUUUGCAUUGCAUAAAUCGGCAUGGCUUGAAUCACCGAUUGCGCCAAAGUAACACGACCAGCAAAGGAUAAGUGAGCCGCGUUCCAGCCACUGAGCCUCAUGUCUACCUUGUCCAAAAUAGAUUGGUACGUGGCUUUAUUCACCCUCGAAUGAAGUAAUGGCAUUCCAAGAUAGUUUCCCAGGUCAUGAGUAAUCGAAACCCCCAAGGCAGCACCAAUGAGCUUUGCCUCUCUUGAAGCAACAUUCUUCGAAAAGAAAAUUGUAGUUUUCACUUUAUUAACCUUUGCUUCAGAACUUCGACAGUAAUUUUCUAAGACCGCAUCAAUAAUAUGAGCUUGAUCUAUCGAAGCUUCUGUAAAUAAGAGCAAAUCAUCAGUAAAAAAAAGGUGGGUAAGAGGAGUGCCAUGUUUAACCAACCGAAUUGGCUUCCAGCUUCCAUCCACCAUAGCUUGGGUUAUUCCAUGGCUCAAACGCUCGAUACAGAGCACAAAGAUAUACGGAGAUAGAGGGUCACCCUACCGAAUUCCUCUUCCCGGAUAAAACUCUUCAGUUACCUCACCAUUCCACAGGAUGUUCAUGCUGGCUAAGGUAACACAUUCCAUGAUGAGCCGAGAUAAGUGAAUCGGGAGCCCCGUCUGUUGAAGAGUUUCAAAAAUAAAAGACCAGUUCAGCCGAUCAUAUGCCUUCUCGAGAUCCACCUUAAUAGCCAUGAGCCCUCUUUUACCCGUUUUCUUGCGCAUGGAAUGAACCACUUCCUGAGCAAUAACAAUGUUAUCCACAAUGUGCCGUCCGAGAACAAAACUUGUCUGUUGAGGCCCGAUCAGCUCAGGUAAUAAAGCUUGUAGACAAUUGGCAAUAAUUUUAGUCACUGUCUUAUAGGCAACAGUGCAUAAGCUUAUAGGCCGAAACAUCUUUAAACUAGUAGGAUGAUCCACUUUCGGAAUCAAAACCAACAGAGUUUUGUUUAUGUUUUGAGGGAUUUUACCAGUAUUAAAAAUGUCAAUGAUAAAAGUACAGAAAGAGGGUCCAAUAGUGUGCCACUGGGAUUGAUAAAAGAUAGCCUGCAGUCCAUCAAUACCCGGCGCUUUAAGGGGUUUCAUGCUAAAAAUAGCUCUUUUAAUUUCUUCCUCCACAACCGGAUCAUUAACACAAUCAAGAUAAUUAGCAUUCACGGCUGGAAAAAAAUUCGGAACAGAGUAUGUUUGAUAAGAAUGAGCUUCACUUUUGAAUAAAGAGGAGAAAUACUCAACUGCAUGGCUACGAAUAUCUUUCUCAUUGUAGAUCCAGUUCCCCAUACUAUUCUUAAUGGCCUCAAUUCGAUUUCUUCUGCGACGAGCAAUAGUUUUUUGGUGAAAGAAGGUAGUAUUUCUAUCCUCGUGUAGGAUCCAGUCUUUCCUAGAUUUCUGCCACCAAAAAAUCUCCUCCUGAGCCAUCACCAUCUCUAAUUCACUUCGUAAGUGAGCCUCUAACCGAAUCAGCCCUCUAGAAUUAUAUUGUUCUAAGGCUGCUUGAAUACCAUUAAUCCGAGCCAGUAAUCUGUGUUUACACUGAAAGAUGUUACCAAAAACAUCGUGAUUCCAACCUUGCACCACUUGAAUAAAACUAGUAGUUGCAGUACUGUAGUGAGAGGUGGAAUCCCACACCUGUUUGACAAAAGAAUUAAAAUGCUCAUGAGUUAACCAAGUAGCCAAAAAUCUGAAAGGCCUAAUAACCUGUUGUCGGUAAUCAGCUCCCUCAAAGCGGGCCAGGAUCGGUAUGUGAUCUGAGGCAACUUUCGGAAGGUGAAGAACAGUGUUAUCAGCAAACUUCAUCAGCCAAUCAUUAUUACACACAUCUCUGUCAAGCCGUUUAAACAGGGUGCCAUGAGACCAAGUAAAACGAGGGCCUUUAAACUUUAAAUCAAAAAUUUGGUGGCCAUCAAACCACUGCCAAAAUAAACCACACACUCCAAAGUGUCUGGUAACACCCCCCUGCUUCUCAGAAGCAAACAAAAUAGAAUUGAAAUCCCCUCCAAUCAACCAAGGACCUUGAAUUGAGCCGGCAAGAUUCUCCAUACGACUCCAGAAAUGUCUCCGCAACAUUGGAUUUGAGCUAGCAUAGAUAGCCGUUACCCAAGAGACAAAAAUAUUAUUUCUACAAACUUUGAAAUGAAUAAAUUGCCUAUGAUUAAUUACCACCUCCACCUUAACACAAUUCCGCCACAGGAUCCAGAUUCCUCUAGAAACGCCAACUGCUUCCACUCGAUGAGAGAACUCAAAACCAUUUUUCUUUAUAAACCCAUCUGCUUUCAUUCCACUUACACGAGGUUCCAUGACAACCACCAUAGACGGGUUAUAAUUUUUUACAACAGUCUUAAAAGAGCGCCGAAAAUUUCCGGAGGCCGCUCCUUGGACAUUCCAAAACAAUAUGCUAAUCGUCAUAAAAAUAAAUAAAAAAGAAAACCAAGGGCCCAACAUAUCAAAGCUACUGGUCAUGGAUAUCAUCUAUCAUCACCAAAGGUGAUUCCUGAACCAUCGAGACUUCUUCAUCUGACAUCUCCUUCCCAUCAUCUCCACUCAUUGGAACAACGGGGUGUGUAUAAGCAUGCUCAAAAGCAUUAACAGUAAAGACGUGAUGGUCAUCUGGGGGGUCAGCCAAAGGUUGUGGGUCCAGAUCCUCACAAUCUCUAUGAUCCGUGCCCACACCCUUCAUAUCUCCAUAAGGAAGAAUUUGUGAAGAACAAAAGACCACCGUGUGCUUUGUAGGAUCCAAAGUGGUAGCUACAUGAGGAGUUUGUUGCUUAUUAGGGGCAGCAUGUGUAAUGGGGCAAUGGAUUUGGCUAGGGUUGUCAUGGGGUGUGGAAAUAAUAGUUUUUUCUCUUAUGUGGAGGGCAGUAGUCUGGAAAGGAUUGCGGGUAGGGUUCAUUGGAGUGAAAGGUUUCCUAUUUGGUGGCUUCGAAGCAGCAGAUUUUGGAGUCUGCUGACGUCUAACAGGAGGCUUAAAUACUUUAUCAUUGUUAAAGGUAAAUAUCGGAUUUGAGCUUGAUGGACUAGGUGUUUUGAGGUUGAGGGGACGUCUGUGGAAGCGCCAUGCAGAGAGUUUUCAUGCAGAUCCGUCAUCUGAGCUAGAAUGUGAAACCUUGACUCACUCGCCCCAUUAGGUUCACAGUUUUGACCAUUGUUUGGCUUCCUUCCUUUCCUAGUUACAAUCAUCCAAGGGUCGAAGGGCUCAACCAUAGCAGCAUCUUCACGGUUAGCUUCUGGAGAGGUAGGAUCCUCCCGACUUUGCACACCAGCUGGAGGCUGUGCAACGUUGUCAGAAUUUCUCUCAGCAGCCGAGAUCUUGCAGUUACUGCUAUUAUGACUGUACCUCCCACAAGCAAAACAAAUUACAGGCAAUCCUUCGUACUCUACCUUUUGGAUCAUUCCAUCCAAUUCAAACUGAGAAACUAAAGGCUUGUCUAGGGAAACACUUACUGCAAGGCAAGCAAACCUUCCGCGAGCAGAAGAAGCAAUGUUCGAGUCUACUUUGAUCACCGUACCCACCAUCUGACCAAGUUUUUGCAGAACUUUAUGGUUGUAGAGAUGGACCGCAAGGCCAGGUAAGCGAAUCCAUACAAUGACUUGGUUAAGAACCGUUUUGGUGAAAUCAAAAGAAGGUGACCAUGGCUGGACUGUUAAGUAAUGCCCCAUUAUAAUCCAAGGGCCUUUAGUUAGGGCAUCAACCGCGUCCCCAUCAGAUCAAAAACGAAUCAGAAAAUAAUUAUUUUCUAAGUCAAUCACCGAGUAUGUCAUGGUUGUUCUCCACAACGCAUGUAGCCUAGUGCAUAAAGUUUUGUAGCCAAUAUUUCGGCCUAGCAACUUGACAACAACAGAGUGCUUCCACGGUUCACUUAGCUUCGCAUGAAUCCUAUCCAAAAAACUUAUUGACGGCAAGGUUCCAUCGUUACGCUCAAUCACAUCUCCUUCCUCAAAAUCCCAGUCCACUGCACCUCCUCCAAAUCCAUUCUCCAUUGUUUGUGAUGAAUUCACAAGCGUUUCUUUGUAGGAGACAUGUUUAGUAGUUUCACUAUCGUUUUCCUCAUCACGAAAGCGUGCCUUUUUGGUCGUUCUAGCUUCCCUAAACGGCAGCGGAAAAGCCUCGCCGAAGUUAGGGUUUCCGCCACCUCCGAGAUUUUCGGAGUUUUCAUUCAUCCCUUUUUUCCCUACUUACUUCAUUAAUAUAUAUUAUUACUGUACUUAUAUAUUCAUGCUUAGUAUUAUGUUCAUGUUUCGCUAUUACCUAAUUGAAAUUGCAUUCCAACUUGGAUUUUUAAUUUCUUGAUAAACUAUAUAUUCAUUUGAAUUAUGUAAUCUGAAGAUUUUCGUAUCAUUAGUAUGUGCUUGUUGGUUUUUUAUUUAUCUCAUUUUAAUAUAUCAAUUAUAAAAGGAAAAACGACAUCAACACCCCUAAAUUUGAGGAAAUGAUCACCAAGACCCCUUUUUGACCAUUAAUCCUUUAAAAAAUUAAAUUUAAAAUUUUUAAUAGAUAGAAAUAUUAUAUAAAUAAUGUAAUCUAUGCAACAGACUAAGAACAUUAAAAUAAUUUAAUAUUUUAAUAAAUUUAAAUAUAUAAAUUGUUAUAUUUAUUUAAUAAUAUAUUUUUAUUUUAGAUAUUUUAAAUAAAUAUUUGCAUUAAACAUAUUUUACAAUAAAAAAAUCUCACAUACUAAUGUUAUUACUAUUUUACAUAGUAUUCAAAAUAAUUUUAAUUUUAAUACACUUGUUUUAACAUUAUGAUUCUAUUUAUUAUAAAAUUUAAUUUUAUAUACUAAAAUAUAUCUAAUAGAUUGCAAAAUAUUAAAAUAUUUUUGCAGUAUUGAAAUUAUUUUACAAUGUAUAAAUUAUUACAUUUAUUUUAAUGUUAUAUUUCUAUUUAUUAUAAAACAUUAGAGUUGAUUAUUUUUUGGAUAAUAGAGGUUAAAGGGUAUUAUCGUUAAAAGAGGGUCUUGGUGUUCCAUUUUGAAAAUUUGUGGGUGUCGGUGAUUAUUUCCCUAAACUUUGGGGGUGUAUAUGUAAUUUUUCCAUUAUAAUAUCUUUUUUUGGCUAUUAUACCUUUUAAUUAUAGUAAUAUUAAAAUUGAUUUUAAAUUUUAAAAUAAGUACAAACAUAAUAAUAGAAUAAAUAAACAAAAAUAGUAAUUUUUAUUUUAGAAUUCCGAAUAUCUUGUUUUCAACAUAAGUAUAGUAUCUCAACUAGAUGGCCUCCUAAAAUAAAAAUUACAGAGAGGAAAUCAAAUUGCUAUUAUUAGACUAAAUAAUAAAAAAAUUAAUUUUUAUUUUGGAUUUAUUUAAAAGUAAUUGAUCACAAAAUAAAAAACUUUAAAACAAUUGACCAAGGGCCAGCCUCGUUCGUCCUUUUAUAUAGAAUUGCAGGUAAAAAUCAUGCCCAGAACAUGUUUGAUAAAAUACCCAAGGAGGAAUGCAUCCACAGGAUAUGUUGAAGAGCAACGACAUGAUGCAGCUGUUGCUGUAACUUUGUGAUUUCCUAAGCAAUUAGAAUCAAACAGUCAACAAAAUCAACUUUAUGAUUUCCCAGUUAAUCAACAAAGUCAAUUAUGAUGCAACUUUAUGAUACAUCUAUUGCCACAAUUUUUUUUUUCGCAUAGAAAAUUCAAUAAAAUUAAUUUAAUAUUGUCCAGGCUCAAACAUUUUCUCGCUUUGCUUGUAGUGGGGGUUUUCGGCUCCUUCAAUUUGCUGGUAGUGUACUUUUUCGUUUGCUGAUUAUGAUUAUUUAGGAGCCAAACUUAUAACAUUUAAUUCCAAAAAAAAAAUUAGGAACUUAAGUAAGAGGCUGUGGAAUCAAUUGCUUGCAACAUGAGCAUCCUACAGGGAGUUUCUCCAUAUGUUCUGUCCCCCGCAAACAUUUCACAAACCAUUUGUGUGUUGCUUUGGAUCAAAAGGGAGUCGUUGUAUUUAGGGACGACCAGGAACUCGAGAGAGGAAAAGUAAUUUCACCAGGACUGACUUACAGUAAUUGAAGAAUCAAGAAUUUUAAUAAUUGUUUUCUCAAGAAACUAUGCGCCUUCCACUUUGUGCUUGAAGAACCAAGAAUUUCAAUAAUAUUUUUUAUAAAUAUCAAAGUGAGGAAACAACUAAAUCAUCUUAAACAGAAAGAAAUCAUAAUUUAUACUUAUUAAAAACAAUUAGAUCAAAUCUCUUCGUUGGUAGCUAACAACAUCAAUUCCAUAUUCAAGUCAGCAGGUUUGGAAAGUGUUUGGGGGAUAUACUUCGACAAGACCAGCCGUGAUGAGCAGAGAUCUGGUAGCAGGGGUACGCGAAUAGGUAUAUCUUGCAAAAGUCUGGUAGCAUGGUAACAGGAGCAGGAAUAUUCUGCUCGUCCACGAAUACGCCAUCCGCGAGGCCGGUCUCCUGUCUGAAGCAUAAAACCAUUCCUGCUAGGGGUUGAGGCGAGGAGACCCGGUCAACGACAGUUGGCGAGAUGGGCUCUCAAACCCGAGAAUCAAGGCACGAAGGCCAUGCAACCACCCACGAUUACGGAAACGGAGCAUCCACCUUCGAGAGGUGGGAAGAUAACGGGCGUGAAUGGAGGGAAGGUCUGAACUCAGGAGAAGCCUAUAAAAGGGUGGCCAACGAAGGUAAAAGGGUUAGGAUUUUCGACAUCAAAACUGAGAUAAAGAGAGCAUUAAGCAAUCGAUACCAAAAAUAAGCCAUAAGAUUAGUGGCUAACGUUCCCAGGAACACGAAACCUUCAUUUCUGACUUGAGCGUCGGAGGGUUUACGCCGGGAAAACAACCGGCGUGCUCUGACUUGUUUCUAUGUACGUAGGCAUUUUUGGAGGAGUCAUACGAGGAGAGAUCCUGAUCGUGGUUGAGUUGAUCGAGCAGAGAUCCUGGUCGUAGUCAAGAGGGUAAUCAAAAUCUCGUAUCAACAUUUUGGGGCUGUCUGUGGGGAGCUGAUAAAAAAGCUUAUGUUGACAGCAAGAAGAGGAGUAAAGCAAGUGAAGAAAUAAUGGAGGUAGGAGGAAGUAGUGCGCAAGGAGGUGAUAUGAGGCUUAACGAUUCCGUGACGUUGAGGGAGAUAGCCAAUGAAGCACAGGAAAAGGCUAUGUAUGACCGGAUGGAACGGAUGGAAAAGCAGAUGGAGACCCUGACAACCAUCCUGCAUGAGUUGCGGAGUGAACGAAGAGGAAUCCAUGAGGAAGGGAUAAGAAGUGGCGGAAUGGCACCCGGGCACGAUGAUAUGAUGAGAAGUCGGACCACCAGAGGAUUUGGUGGUGGGGGAGUUAAUUUGUCUCUAUGGGGAGAAGUGCAUAGAGGAGAAAAUCAAUCCCCAGGAAGGCAGAUCCUUGAUAAUGAUGACGGGGUGGUGAAUGCAGAGGAGAGAGAACUCAGACAACACCUGCAUGAUGUAGAGCAAGAGCGGGAUCAAGUUGCAGCACGUGACUCUGGUCGUGCAGUACAGCUGGAGGAAGAAGUGCGCAAAUUAGCGCAGAUAAUUUUUGACAUGCAAGGAAGGAGCAGAGCACCCGGUUGGAGGAUAAUGCUGGAUAGAGAAUCUCCGCUCUCAGCAGAGAUCAUAAGGGCAGUUAUCCCGAGGGAUUUUCGCCUCCUAGACCUCAGAUAUGCGGGACGAACUGAUCCGUUGGUACACAUAAAGCGCUUUAACGACAUAACUGGAGUGCAAGGAUUAUCCCAAGCUCAAAGAUGCAGGGUAUUUCCACUGUUAGUAGAGGGGUGAGCACGCGAGUGGUACCGCAAACUUCCUCAAGGGAGCGUCAAAUCCUUUGAGCAGAUGUGCCAAGAAUUUGCAGAGCAGUUUCGUAGGGCAAUGGCACCAGAAGAUGACAUGAUGGAGUUGAAAAACAUGAAGCAGGGGGAACAAGAAACCCUUCGGAAAUUCAUCAAGAGAUUUCAUCGUGCUAUCCUCGACUUGGGAGCCUUCAACCAUCCUCAGGCAUUAAGGAGAUUGAAAGAAUGGGUGAAGAUAGGAAGGUUGUGGUACAACUUGAGGAGCCCAGUUAUUCAUAUGUAUGCAGCCGCUUACGAGCAGGCUAAGAGGGACAUAGAAAUUGAGGAGGAAAAGGCAGCAUGGAUAAAAACAAACCAGCUAAAAGGGUUGGGAAGGAAAGAGAAGAGAGCAUUACCAGGAAAUGAGCCAAUCAAGAGGAGGGACUACCAUACCUCAGGUAGUGGUACAGGAGGUCGGGUCACCGCUUACCAGCCUCAUCAGAGGCCAUCACAAUAUCAGUGCAGCAGGGCGCAACCUCCUCGUUCACCAGCUAGGGAACCUUGGAGAAGGCAUGACUCAGCAUAUGGUCAUCCUUAUCCACACCCCCAUGGUAGUAGAAGGAGCAGACUAGAAGCACUGCUGCCUCCUCCAGUUCAGAAUGGCACAAGCAAGGAAAGGGCAGUGCACAUGAUCGACCAGAACUAGGACUAUAGGCGGUAUACUUCCUUGAAGAUCGCCCUGGACGAGGUGUACGAGACCAUAAAGGACCGGAGAUUAUUGUACCUCCCUGCCCCAAUAACAAAACUACCCAACAGGAGGGAUAGGGGACGCUAUUGUAAGUUCCAUGGCACUCAUGGCCAUACCACAACAGAAUGCAAGGAGCCCAGUUAUUCAGACGUAUGCAGCCGCUUACGAGCAGGCUAAGAGGGACAUAGAAAUUGAGGAGGAAAAGGCAGCAUGGAUCAAAACAAACCAGCUAGAAGGGUUGGGAAGGAAAGAGAAGAGAGCAUUACCAGGAAAUGAGCCAAUCAAGAGGAGGGACUACCAUACCUCAGGUAGUGGUACAGGAGGUCGGGUCACCGCUUACCAGCCUCAUCAGAGGCCAUCACAGUAUCAGUGCAGCAGGGCGCAACCUCCUCGUUCACCAGCUAGGGAACCUUAGAGAAGGCAUGACUCAGCAUAUGGUCAUCCUUAUCCACACCCCCAUGGUAGUAGAAGGAGCAGACUAGAAGCACUGCUGCCUCCUCCAGUUCAGAAUGGCACAAGCAAGGAAAGGGCAGUGCACAUGAUCGACCAGAACUAGGACUAUAGGCGGUAUACUUCCUUGAAGAUCGCCCUGGACGAGGUGUACGAGACCAUAAAGGACCGGGGAUUAUUGUACCUCCCUGCCCCAAUAACAAAACUACCAAGCAGGAGGGAUAGGGGACGCUAUUGUAAGUUCCAUGGCACUCAUGGCCAUACCACAACAGAAUGCAGAGAUCUUAAGACCCAGGUAGAAUAUUUGGUGAGAAAUUGAUACCUGGACGAGUUUAUAGAUAGGACUUUUCCGAUGGUGGCCUCGACAUGUGAAGGGGAGCAGAGUAACAGGAACUUGAGCCACGAGUAGCCUAUAGUAAGAGUGAUUACUGGGGGCCAACGUUGGCCGGAGAUUUCAACAGAUCGGGGAAGAACUAUGCUAGAUAUGCCAUGACUAGUAAAGAGGUAUUCUUCAACACCCCAACAACCAAACGAGCAAGAGUCAGGCAAAUGCCAAUCAUGUGGACAGAAGAGGAUGAAGAAGGGAUUUUAUAUCCACAUGAGGAUGCCCUAGUCAUCAAGGCCACUGCUGCUAGCAAGAAGUUUGACCGGAUACUGGUUGACACAGGGAGCUCAGUUGAUAUGUUGUUUAAGUCAACUCUGAAAGAGAUUGGAAUAGCAGACUUGAGAUUGGAGCACACCAAUACCUCCUUGAAGGGAUUUGGAGGAGGAAAGCUGGUCCCUCUGGGCGUGGUCGAGCUACCUAUCACGAUCAGUAACCCCUCGACAGAAAGGACUAUGAUACUGGAUUUUGUGGUGGUCGAUGAAGAGGGUCCUUAUUAGAUGAUCCUAGGUCGCCCAUUUCUGAGGAUGAGCAAAGCGGUACUGUCCAACCAUUAUCUAGCUCUCAAGUACCGGGUGAAUGGGGUAGUUGGAGUGGUACGAGGAGACUAGAGAAUCGCCCGAAGUUGUUAUUCCUCGGCAGCAAGGGAAGCAAUGCAGAUAACAUCCCUUGAUACCCGAGUGGGAGCCAAGAAUGGCAGACAGGAACCUGUAGAGGAGCUGGAGAUAGUAAGCCUGGGACAAGGGGAUCCUGGAAAAACAAUCCGAAUUGGGAGGGGCCAUAUAGGGUCAAGCAGCUAGUUGGACAUGGAGAUUACAAGUUGGUUCGCACGGAUGGCCACGAGGUGAAACGCCAAUGGAACGUAGCACACCUCAGGAAAUAUUUCCAGUAAGACUUGUUCAUGUUUUAAAGUUAUUUCUGUUCGCGCUCGUUGUUAUUUAUUUUAUGUCAAAGCAAUCUCAUGUAAGCCGAAUUUAGCGAUAAAUGAAUCUAUGAGGAAUUUUAGUCAACUGUACUGUUACAAAAGUUUCGAAGGCAUGCAAAGGCUCACCAGGUCUCAAAGCCUGUUUUAUGGCGAGACCAGAAGCCAAGCGUGCCAGGAUCUGCUCGACCAAGCAAAGGCGAGCAGACUCCCAAGCGUUGUAAAAUUUCUAAGACAUUUAAAGCCUCACCAAGUCUCAAAGCCUGUUUUAUGGCGAGACCAGAAGCCAAGCGUACCAGGAUCUGCUCGACCAAGCGAAGGCGAGCAGACUUCCAAACAUCGAAAAAACUUCUAAGGCAUGUAAAGGCUCAUUAAGUCUCAAAGCGUGUUUACGACAAGACUAGAAGCCAAGCGUAUCAGGAUCUGCUCGACCACGAGAAGGCGACCAGAAUCCCAAACGUAAAACAAUUUACGACUACAAGACAAGAAAGCAAAUAAGAACAUUCUUAUUAAUUUUUCAACAAUCAUAAAAAGCUGCUAGCCAUAACAUACAGUGUUCCAAAAAGCAACUACAACACAAGAUACAUUCAGGAGGACGGCGGGUCAGUAAGUCGAGCAGCCUCGGUUGCCUGGUCCACCUCAGGUGCAGGGGGGUAUCACCAGUUGCAUCCGGGGGGGUACUCGCCUCAGCAACAUCAGCAGGGAUUGCACGAGGAGGAGAGUUUCCCUCCUCAACCGCAAUUGGCUCCACCUCUUCGACAUCCUCUUUUGCUGCCUCCUCGUCCAUUUGUUGAGCAACACCAGCAGCAAGGUCAUCCAUCUUCAGAUCAGGAUACUGCUUCCCUAAAACGGCCAUGAUGCAGUGAUAAGAAUGCCGCAGACCUUGGUCAUAUUGGUUGUCAGCUUCCUUCUCUAGAUUCUCGACCUGAACCUGGUAAGAGUCCUUGAGGGAUUCGAGCUGAGCCUCAUAGGUGGCCUUCUGCCUCUGCAGAUCCUCCUUGACCCUGAUCAACUCUUCCUCAAGAGUAAUGGCCUUUGCUUGAGCGAGAGAUUCUUGCUCUAUCAGCUUCAAGUUCUCAAGAUUCAGGUCUCCUGCUCUCUUCUCGGCAGCAUCAGCCUUGGUCAUCGCCGAUUGAAUGUCCUCCUUCAUCUUCCAGUCAUAGCGGCCAACCUUGGCCUUAUAGUAAGUGGCCAUGCAGCCGAGAUGGAAAGCACUAAACUGCAUGGCUCCCACCAGCUCGCCCAGAGUGCUAUCAUCAAAGUCCUCCAGGUCCCUCUUGCUCACGAGUUUAGAAAACUCGUUGAUAUAGGGGACCAAAUGUUCUGCUCGACUGUCAGAUAAACGAGAUCUCGGCCCGACUGGAGGAGAAGAGGAAGCGGGAUCACUAGCUGCUCCGCUAGUUUCUCCGACUUUGGCAGGAGGAGGUGGUAGAGUCUUCAAUGGAGGAACCUGCUGCACAAUGUUCACCCGCUUCACAGUGGGAGCGUCCUUAUUCUAGUCCUGCUUAGUAGUAUGAGGUCGAGAACAUUUCCGAUUCAGAGCCCCGAUCACAGCGUCCUCCAUCCCAAAGUCAGUGGACACCAAACGAGAUUCAAGCAAGUUUUAAGUGGUUAGCAACUCUCGGUGCAAACAGGAAUUGGCCAAUACAGCCUCGACCCGCUUGAGUGGCCCAGAUUUAAGCGAGUAGUGCACACUCCAAGAACUUGAAAUUUGAGCAGAUAUUGGAUUAGAGACAAAUCAGUAAAAUGAGAACGACUAUGAAGACAAGAAAUCUGAAGUGAGCAUGCAACCUGGGACCACGAAACAGGGUGGGACGCGGUAAUCCUUCCCGUCAAUCUGUGCAACUUGACCCCAGGGACCCCCAGUAAAAAAGAAUUUUUUCUUCCAAGUGCCACCACCACCAGUUGGAAGAUCAGUUAUGGGUUUUUUGGUCUUGGUACUAGAUUGGAAGUAAUACCAGCCGGCAUCUUUAGGGCUGCUCUUUAGCUAGUUCAGGUGCUUCACCUCGUCAACUGUUGGCUCGCUUUGACAACAUCUGUCCCACAAUAUGAACAGACUAGAAAGUACCCGCCUCCCAUUGGGGUUCAGUUGACCAGGAGCUAAAUUCAACCCAUUGAGUAUUCGAGCAAAGUAGGGCUGUAUGGGGCACCUCAGCCCAAAUUUAAAACUAUCUAGAAAUAGAGUAACAUAUCCCCUAGGAGGCCGGUUGGGGGUAUCCUUCUUUCCUGGGACCCUAAGAGGUAUCUCAUCGGGAAUUCCAUACCUAAUCCGGAGAUUAGUGAGCUCGUCUACCGUGGUCGUGCAUGUGAUGAAAUCAAUAGCGUAGUGCUGUGAUAGAGCUUUACCCCCUACUGUGCUCUUGUUAUCUGGUCGCGAUGUUCCUGGUGGAGAUGUUUCACCAGAAUCAUCCUCCUGGUCUUCACUUAAGGUGUCUUCCGAACCAGAAGAACCCUCGUCGUCGCUAUUACCGGUUGAGGAGGUUAUUGGGGGGGGGACAUCCUCCUAGCACUAGUUCCAACACUAGAUCUAAUGGGUUCUAAGGGGAUCUCGGGGUCAAAGGCAGGACCGACGAGCAGACUAGGCAAGAAGCCUAACUCAUCGUCAUCAAUCUCAAUAACUUUCUCUUUGCCUUUUGACAUUCCCUAAACUAUAACCAGAGCAGUAUCACCAAACACUACCCAAACAAGACAGAGAGAAAAGAAAUUGUCUACAACUAUUCAAGACCAAGGAGAUAGAAAUAAUACCUGAAGUUGUAGCUCAGUCAAAGAGAGACAGGGAUAUAAGCUUUCUAUGCCGAAAAUCCUUCACCGGAGAGACAUAUAUGGAGCAAAUGACGAGUUUCUCUUUUGGGGGUUUUUCGAUUUUCCUAAUGAGGAACAAACGCUUGGGCUACCAGCAUUUAACGGCACUAAUCCAAAGAGUUUCGUAACCAUCGGUUUGAAAUUCAAAUGGAGGGAUAGAUUUCUGCACAUCACCUCAUCCGUAAGUAAAUGCGACACGACUCUUGGCAGCCUUUGCCUACCCCGCACGAGCCAGAACCGUUGAGUUUCUACUGUCGGCUCACUAUGUUACCCAACACCAGAAACUGGGGGACCAGUGUUUGGGGGAUAUACUUUGACGAGACCAGCCGUGAUGAGCAGAGAUCUGGUAGCAGGGGUACGCGAACAGGUAUAUCUUACAGAAGUCUGGUAGCAUGGUAAUAGGAGCAGGAAUAUUCUGCUCGUCCACGAAUACGCCGUCCACGAAUAGGUCUCCUGUCUGAAGCAUAAAACCAUUCCUGCUAGGGGUUGAGGCGAGGAGACCCGGUCAACGACAGUUGGCGAGAUGGGCUCUCAAACUCGAGAAUCAAGGCACGAAGGCCAUGCAGCCACCCACGAUUACGGAAACGGAGCAUCCAUCUUCGAGAGGUGGGAAGAUAACGGGCGUGAAUAGAGGGAAGGUCUGAACUCAGGAGAAGCCUAUAAAAGGGUAGCCCAGGAACACCAAACCUUCAUUUCUGACUUGAGCGUCGGAGGGUUUACGCCGGGAAAACAACCGACGUGCUCUGACUUGUUUCUGUGUACGCAGGGAUUUUUGGAGAAGGAGUCAUACGAGGAGAGAUCCUGAUCGUGGUCGAGUUGAUCGAGCAGAGAUCCUGGUCGUAGUCAAGAGGGUAAUCAGAAUCUCGCAUCAACAGAAAGGUCCAUCCGUCGCUUGGAUUGCUGAAUCGCUCUUUUGGAUAAAUUUUCCGUGCUUUUAACAAAAGAAAAUUAUAGAGAUUGAACAAUUAGCAACAUACAGAAAGUUAAAAUUACUAACAAAUGAGCAAUUAUACUUUUCCAGCAAGUGAUUUCUGCUUUCUUAGACUGUUGAAACGAUUAAUAUGAAACGAGCGAUUGAACAAUUAGAAAGACACAAUGCCCAGCCUGGACUUUUUUUUUUUUUUUUUGGUAGUUUCAAAUGAUGGAUUAUAGAAAGGAUAGAAUGAAAAAUAAGGAUAAAUUGGGAACUAAAUGGGUACACUAAUAAGAAAUAAGAAUAAUUUAUUUUUAAUUGGUCUGUUAAAAGAUGGAGUCUAAUGAAAUAAAAUGAGGAGUUUAAAUAUCACUUUUUCCAUAGAGUUGGCCAACUAGCACUCUUCUAAUUUUUAAUUUUUUUUCUAUCAUUAAAAUUUAAAAUAGUAUUCUCUUCUUUGUUUUAUUUUGCAAUCUUGUUAUGUAUACGCAUAUUUUAAAUCCUAAUUUGACUUAAGUUAUACAGAUUAGAUAAAAUGUUUUUCAGGAAUAAUUGAUUCCCAUGCCCUGAACGUGUUUGAUAAAAUGCCCAUAUAGGAACUCACAAAAUGAACAAGUAAAUGCUGAUGGAAAUCACAACUUUUUCCCCCUCUGGUCAAUAAGAUAAAACAGUACUUGGCUGAGCCUAAGCAGCUAAAAUAACAGCUUGAUUAAUGCUUUUCGCAGCAAGGAACCUACGAAAAAAGCCUUAAAUUAAUUGCUUCCGUCCAGACUCUUGCUUAGUUUACUGAUCACCAUCAUUGUGGUAAUUUUGGCAAAGUGAUUGUAGUCAAUAGCUUUCCUCUGGUUUCUCCCUGAUUUUGUACUAACUUUGGUGUCCGAGACCGCAACUGGUUUCCUGACAACUUGAAACGGGAUUGAUUGAGGUUUUGGAGGCGGCUUUUUAUCGGCUUUAAUUUGAACUUCUUUAAGGAUUCAAGCGAUUUCUUCUUCAAAUUGUCUCAAUCUUUCACUAUCAAACUCAAACAGCAAAUCUUUGUUGUCAUUAAGAUCUUCAUCAAUGAUCCUUUGAAUAAUUUCUUUCGGUUUCUGGAAUAUUGAUCUAAUUAGUGCUUCACCUUCUUCUUUUUUCAAGCUCUUAUCCUGGGCAGUUGUGCUCUGCCUACUCCCGUGGCCUCAAGCAUAGGAUCUACACUAACAGUUGCAUGUUUUCAUUUCUUCAAGUGCUGCAAGAAUAUCCCAUCUCCUUUUUUGAAGUCAAGGUUCUAUUCUCCAAAGCUUCUCUUCAGCAUCUCUCUUCUUUUUCGGCUUGUCUGCUUCCUUAUCCUCCACACGCCGAGGUUCCAAUACAACUUAACCGACUCUUCUCAGGAUUUGGGAGGCACUAGGGCUUUUCUUCUCUUGUCGAACAGGAUCAAAUAUAAACGGUUAAUGUUGAAGCGUCUUUGGUAGGCACCGAUACAGCGAUCAAUAAUUUAGACAUAGAGAGUAAUUGUUUAGGAAUUGUGUAUUAUUCCCAUGUCCAUAACAUGUUUGAUAAAAUGCCCAAGAAGGAACCAUAUGUCCAACACUCCAACCUGUUGCGUUGAACAGAGAUGAUGCAUCUGUUACUCCAACUCUAUGAUUUCCCAAGAAAACAAUCAAUAUGUGAAUGUUUAGGUGCAGAUAGCACAGGCUAGUAGCUUGUAAGAACCAGGCAAAAAGCAGAACAAUUUCAAUUCUUUGAAACAGAGAGCAGUUAAGUAAAUUCAUAAUUUCAUAACAUCUUUUAUAAUUUGCAAACUGUAAUACUUUUAUGUGAAUUGUUGUCAGUGUAGUUCAACAAAGUGUCUCAGACUCAUGGAACAAGAAUGUUGACAAGCUUAGCAAGCAAUGAAUAGUAGAACUGAUCGACAGGGUUGGCAUUAGGUAUAGGGGAACAAGACAGUCGCCUAAGGCCUCAUAUUUUAAGAAGACCUCAUUUUUUGAGUAUUUUCUUAAUAAUUCUCUAAUUAAUAAAAAAAUUUAAUGCGUAUUUUAAGAAAUUAAAAAGUUUAUUAGAUAUCUCUCUAUUCUUCAUUAUCCUACAAUUAAAAAUUAUUUUUUAUUAAAAAAUCUAUAUUUGGGAACCUUAAUUUUAAAGAAAUAUAAUUAAUAAAAAUUAUGCAUUGACAUGGACCUUUAUUUUUUAUGUCUUUGUUCUUUUUUAAGUUGCAGGAAGUGUCGAAACCAAUACCGCAUUUAAGCAUUGUUGUUCCAAGAAGUGAAAUUCCAAUGUGUUUCAGGUAUCAGAAUGAAGGUUCUUCAAUAGCUGUCACAACGCCUUUAUUUUGGCGUAAAAGGAAUGAGGUGGUGGGAUAUGCUAUUUGCUGUGUUUUUAAUGUCCGUAAACAUUCACCUGGUAUCAAAAGUUUGCGCUCAUACCCCACACAUCAGUUGAGCUGCCAUAAGAAAGAUUCUUAUAUCAGUAGUUAUAUUGAUUUUAGGGAAAAGUUCGGUCAAGCGGGGUCAGACCAUAUUUGGCUUUUAUAUUUGUCUCGUGAAGAAGACUAUUUGCGCAAAUGGAAUUUUGAAUCUCAGGAUUUUGUGUUGUCAUUUCAGUCUGAUUCAAGCCCAGGAUUGGAGGUGAAGAGGUGUGGUUUCCAUCGAGUUUAUAAGCACGAAGUGGCGAAGUUCGACCAUGCAACAAACCUAUAGACUCGGUCUAUUGAUUAUAAUCUGAAUGGAAACGUUUGGUCUCGGUUUAUUGAUCAUCUGCAUGAAUUGUGUCAAAAUCGAGCUCAGCUCAACAAUGUAUGUACGGGGUCGGUUAAUUGAUUAUCUGGAUGAAAACCAAGGGGAGGAUUUCGACCAAACAACAAACCAAUGGACUUGGUUGGUUUCUUGAUCAUCUGAUUGAAUUUUUUCCAGAUGCAGGAAAGUUCAACCAAGCAUGUUAUUUGUUUUUUUAUUAUAUCCAAAUGCAAAGAGGAGUCCGAGACCUCUGGAGUCUGCGAAGAGCUCUCAAAAUGAAGGGAGUAAGGCCCAGCAGUCGAUACGAUUUCGUAGACAUAAUCUUUAUGAAGAUUUUUUUUUCCUUUGUUUAAUUGCUUGUUAUUUAAUUUUUUUUUGAAACUUUGGCUGAAAAUUUUAAAUUUUAUGAAGUUAAAAUUGUAAUUAUUAUUUUUGGAAAAAAGUUGUGUGCCAUUUGUUGUGACUUCUAUUUGCUAUCACAAUUUGUUUUUUUAAAAAAAUGAUUAUUAUUUUAUUUAUUAAUUUAAAAAUAAAAAAAUUAUACAAUUUUGGCUUCCUCAAUUUAAAAUUUAAUUUAUAAAAUUUAUAUGAAAGAAAAUAAAUUAAUAAAUGUAAUUAAAUUCAAAACCAAUAAACUAAAUUAUUGAACUUUAUUAUCCAUAAAAACAUCCAGUACUUCUAAAUUUCGAAAACAUACAAUUCAAACUUUACAAUACAUUAGUUAAAUCAAUAUUUCAAAGUCAAGCCAAUGUAGGGAUGGCAAUGGGGCAGAUAUGGGUUGGAUCUACUCUGCUCCGGAUCCAAAUCCAUAAUAAAAAUAAAGAUCCGUAUCUGCUCCAGAUCCGUCAUGAAUUUAUAUUUUUCGCUCCAUAUCCAGAUCCAAAAAAGAAAUAAAUAUCUAUAUCUGCUCCAAAUCCAAAAAAAAAAAAUUAAAAUCCAAAUCUGCUCUAGAUCCGUUAUGAAUUCUAAAAUUCAGUAAUAAAAAAGUAAUAAUUUUUUAGAUUGAAAAUUGAAGGGUAAAAUGUAUUGAUAACAAAUAAAUCAUAUAAUUUUUCUCAAAAAUAUAAUAAAUAUUGUAGCUUAUACUUUUACACCAAAACAACAAAUAAGAAAGAUAAUAAAAUAUCAUUCCGAAGUAAUUGCAGGAGUAAGAUCAAUCUAAUAUUCUAUUGUCUCCUUCAUCAUUCUAAUAUCCACGAUACACCUACCCUCAUUCCUACAACAUUAGAUAAUGACAUAUAAAUUAAAUAUGGUUUAUAUUCAGUCCUUUAUUAUUUUUAUUAUGACCAUAUUUGACUAAAUAUAUGAAUAACUAUAUUCCUUAAAAAUUAUUUGGCCAAUAUAAUAAAAUAAAUUGCCAGGUUAUAUUACUUGGCUUGCAAUUUGAAUAUUGCAUAUACAUGCUUUGGGGCUGGCUGACCUUUAAAUUUACAAAACUAACCUUUAAGUUUUAAGAGUUUAAAUACAUGGUAAAUACUACUAAUAUGUUAUGAAUAAAAUUUAUUAUCAUUAUAAUUUCACAAUUGUUAAGAAACUUUUAAAAUAACAUAAAAUUAAAAUAUGAGUGGAUAUGGAUAUGGAUUUAGAUAUUAAGAUAGAUCCAAAUCUGCUCCAGAUCCAUCUUAGAUCCGCACAUCAAUAUCCAAAUCCGAUCCAAAUCCAUUUUAAACCGAUCUAAAUCCAAUCCGAUUGGAUUUGGAUCACGUGGAUCUUGGAUCCGAUCCAAUCCAUUGCCAUCCUUAAGCCAAUGGCCAACAAAGGCCAAUCAAAAAUCUAAGUAAUGUACUCAGCAUUCAGCAAUAUCCAGCACCAAAGCCAUGCAAAAUGUAGUCCUUUUCCAGCAGCAGCAAAGCCAAGUAAAACGUAUCCCAUUCCAUCAAUUGAAAAUAUUAAGUGAAAAAUAGGCAUUUAUUCAUGGAAAUAAUAAGAACAAUGUCUUCAUAAAGGAAAAAGAUACAAGUAAAUAAUAGAAUAUGAAAAUAUUUAGUGAAAAAUAAGCCAAGACCCCUUUUUUCCAUUCUCUGAAGUAAGGCAUUAAAAAAGAUUAAAGAAAUUAUGAUUGUUUCCGCACUUGGAGCAGGUAGAGACAAACUCUGGUCAUUUACUGUUGCCUUGGCACCAUUUGAAUAUGCCCUGCUUUUUUUUUUUUUGAACAGUCUUUAAGCAAGUUGAGAUUCAUGAGACUUAGCAAUUCCAUAAGCCUGAUCAGAACACCAGAUUUCUCAGGGGUUCCAAAUUUAAAGGACCUGGAUCUUGGAGGAUGUACAAGAUUGCGUAACAUUCACCCUUCAUUGCUACUUCAUAAGAAAGCUUAUUUUAUUGAACCUUAAAGACUUCAGUAAUCUUACUACUCUUCCGAGCAAGAUGAAGAUGAAAUCCCUAAGAAAACUUGUACUUUCUGGUUGCUCUAAGCUGAAGAACUUUCUGGAGAUUGUGGGAACUGCGGAAUGUCUGUUGGACCUUUUUCUUGAUGGAACAGAUAUUAUGGAACUACCACCAUCAAUCCGGUUUCUUUUUGGACUUACUUUGUUGGAUUUGGAAAACUGCACCAAUCUUGUGGUACUUCCAAGUACUAUAAAGGGUUUAACAUCUCUUGAAAUGCUGAAUCUCUCUGGCUGCUCCAAAUCUAAAAAUGUUUUAGAGAGUUCUGAAAAAGUAGAAAGCUUUGAGGAGCUUGAUUUGACUGGAGCGGCUUCAAGGAACCGAGUGUGGUCCAUAUUUUCUAUGAAGAAUUUUGAAGCACUGUCUUUUCUUGGUUCCAAAUUAUCACAAUCAUCAACGUCACGUUAUUUGCGCUUCCCCAUCAAUUGGUUUCAAUCAAGGAGUUCACGUCCUUUAUCUUUGAAGUUGCCUUCUCUGUCAAAUUUGUGUUCAUUAAGGAAAUUGGAUCUCAGUGACAGUAAUUUGGGGGAAGGAGCAAUCCCCAGUGAUAUUGGCAACUUAUGCUCAUUAAAAGAGUUAUGUUUGAGUAGAAACAGUUUUGUUUCGCUACUGGCAAGCAUUCUUAAGCUUCAAGAACUGGAGUUGGAAGAUUGCAGAAGGCUUCAAUUUUUGCCACAACUUCCACCCAACAUAGAGCACGUUUGAGUAAAUGGCUGUAUUUCGUUGGGAUCAUUAGCAGCUGAAUUGAAAUUAUGCAAGUCAGAGUACACGUUAAUUAGAUGUAUGGACUGCUUGAGAAUGCUCGGUACCAAUAAUCUGGCAUUUUCAUUACUAAAAGAGUACCUCGAGGUCAGCCUCUCACUUUAUAUCUAUCAGCUGUUUAGGCAAUGGCAUAUUUUUAUUUUUAUAGUUAUUAUAAUUAUUUAUUUUUUUUAUUUUUGGGUUUCAGGCAAUGUCAAAUUCACGAUUUAGCAUUGUUGUUCCGGGAAGAGAAAUUCCAGAGUGGUUCAUGUGUCAGAAUAAUGGUUCCUCAAUAACACACGGAUGGCCUUCAUAUAAGUAUAAAAAGAAUAAGGUGGUGGAAUAUUGCAUUUGCUGUGUUUUUCGUGUCCAUAAUCAUCUACCUCCUGCCAGAGGGAGAAUACACCUCAACGCAUAUCAGUUGAAGUUCCGUAUGAAAGAUGGAGGAUAUUUUAUUGAUUUUGGAAAGAAAUUCGGUCAGUGUGGGUCAGACCAUCUCUGGCUACUCUAUUUUUCUAUUCAAUACUGCAAUGACCAGAAUUGGCAUCUUGAGUCAGAUCUUGUUGAGUUGUCAUUUUGGCCUGACACGGGCCCAAGAUUGGAGGUGAUAAGGUGUGGUUUCCAUCCAGUUUAUAUGCAUCCAGUGAAGGAGUACAACCGAACAACGUACCAAUGGAAUCGUGUUACUGCUUACAAUCUGAAUGGAUGCCAUCAGAAUUUUGAUGGAUCAAAGCCAAGUCUUAUUGAAUACGUUGGGUCGGAAGCCAGAGGAAGCGACUGUUGUGAUGAUGAGGAACAGCAACAACGGCCUAAAGAGUUAGAGAACUCAAAUAAAAGGUGAAGCUUACGUAUUAUUCUCUGGAUUUGUCAGCCAGUGUGCAUUUGAACACAAUUUCAGUUUAUGAAUUUUGUCAAGAGUUGAAUUUUGCGAUUUCUCAUUAGUUGAAAAGUAAUGAAAGAGGGGAAAAAAAAACUUACAAGACUGAAAUGAAUCCUCUGUUUUUUUGAUUUUUUAUAAAUAUAGUACACAUUUAACUGAAAACCAUUAAUUUUACAACAACAGUACCUUUAUUUUAUUUGCAUCAAAGGCAUGAAAAUGACUCGCUGAGGGGUUUUGAUCUUGAAUGAGAUGAGGAGUUAACUAUGAGGUAAUGACUCACAAUCUUACAUUCCCUACUUAUUGCACGAAAGAUGCCGGAUGCAGAGCUAGUUUUCGGUAUACUUGAAGGGGCUGCGUAAUGAUUGAUUUAUAAAGGAAAAUGGAAUGUAAUAAUAAAUGUAAGAUUAAAAUUUUUCUAGUGGUGUUUAGAAGAUUUUCAAUGUUUAAACAGCUAAGCUAGCCUUACCAUAAGGAUCAUAUCAUAUAUUUGAUAUAAUAUCGUUUAUUUUUUUUUCUGUUUCAUUAAUCUUAUUUUAAGUUACAGUGUAUACAAAAUUUCCUGGAGGAUGUUCAGACGGCAGUUUUGUCAGCUAUUUAAUAAACUAAAGAAGCACAUCUUUUUCUUGAGAUAACGAGUGCCGUGCGAGGAUGAAAUUUUAUAAUAUUUAUUAAAUUCUUUGAAAUUUGUCAGUUUUUCUUUUACCCCCCAAGGAAUCUUCUAUUGAAACUUUUGAUUGGGCAAAAGAUGUGAAGCCUAUCACCUACUAAAUAACAAGAAGAGCAGACAAAGGAAAUAUGUCAAAGAAAAUAUGGAGGGGUUGGUUUGUUCCAUGUAUCUUCUUUGUCAUAAUAUUUUUUUAUUCAAUUAAAGUCUAAAUAUUUUUAUUUUUUGGCAAGACACUUUUGAUCUAACCUGCCGUUGGCAUGUAAAAGAAAAGAAAUAAUUAAUGUGAUUUCUGCGAAUUUUCAGGGACUUAAUCAUGAAUAUUAAAAGAGGCUCUUCAACUGUCACAGCUUCUUUCUCUUAUUGGCCGCAUGAUGUGUUCUUAAGCUUUAGAGGCGAAUAUGUCUGCAAGAACUUCAUGGAUCAUCUCCAUGCUGCUUUGAAUCAAAAUGGAAUUAAUGUUUUCGGGGAUGACAAAAAACUUGAGAGAGGAAAAGAUUGGUAUGGUUAAAUUGGAGUUAGUGUGAACGUAGUAGCAAAUCAAUUUCAUAGUAUAUAUAAAUUACUCCAAACUAUGCAAUAUUCAUUUCAUCAAAUUGAAGUCAUAUAAUUAAGUAACAUGCUAUAGUUACGUCAGAAACAAUUGGAACGAGAAAAUUCAAACCCAACACUACUACAAAAUUAUUUAAUUUCUUCUGCUAUUUUUUUCUCAAUUAUUAAUAACCAAUUAAACACAUCAUCUCCACUGACCAGCUUAGCCAUUAGAUCUAUUGGCUGAAUUAGAAAAGGACAUUGUUUGCAGUACCUUGAAACUGUAGCUGGACCCUAAUUUAUAUAUAUAUAUAUAAUAUUAAUACAGUACUUAAUUACAUUUCUGUUUCGUGUAUAAUUUCCUGGAAGAUGGUCCAACAGCAGCAAUAUUUUUAUAUUUUUAUUAUUUGAUCAUAUCAUCAUAUCAACAACAGCAAUAUUACUUAAAGUAUCAUCAUAUCAUAUGUUUGAUCUUAUCUCAAUUAUAUUUAUUUUUUUAUUAUUUCAUUUGUCGUAUUUUAGUUUCUUAGUAUUUAUUUUACAUAUAAAUAAUUCAUAAAUAUUUGCAUUUCUGUUUCACACAUACUUUCCUAGAAGAUAUUCCAACAGCAGAUUAAACAAACAAAAUGAACUGUUGUGUCACCUACUCAAGAACAAGAAGAAGAGACAGAAAAUAAAUAAAUAAAUAAAUACAAUAAAGAAAAUGAUCAGUGGGGAGGUUGGUUUAUUCCACGUAUCUUCUCUGUCAAGACUACUUUAAUUGUUUCAUUAAAUAGUCUAAAUUAUUAUUAUUAUUUAACUAUAUUUGAAAAAAAAAAGUUUCGGUGUUUAGAUUAUUGAAGCUUUUGGUAUCUUUGACUAUGUCUUUGAUUCCAUUCUCCAUCGUAGAUCAUAGUCACUCUUUAUAAUUAUCUUUUGCAAAAACUUUUGAGGAGACUUGCAACCGAAAAUGAAGGAAUUAAUUAGAAGGCAUGAAACCCUCUUGUUGAUUUCUUUGAAACAAACUUAAUUGGAAUCCAAAGUAAAGAAAGUUAGCGAAAUUACAAAAUUGCUAAGGUGCUUUACAAAAUUCGUGAUUUCCAAGCAUUGACAGAUAAUGCAUUAACUAAUGCAGAAAUGAUCAAAUUACAAGCCUCACAGGUUGCUAUGUUUCUCUUGAAGGAUGAUUCAAAUUCCCUAUGUUUGUUAGUUAAGUGGCUGACGUGGACUCCACUUACAAGUUUUAUCUGAGUUGAAUCUCUUGACCACUGCUUGUAUAAAAAUCUGAAAAAUAACUUACAACUUCUGAAGUUUGUAACCAAAGAUGCCUCCAAUUAUUUCUGAGAGAAAUGGACAGCUUUUGAAAGGAAUUUAGAUCUAUGAAAAAUAAAUGUAGGCAAUUAAAAAUCAAAAAUUAAUUUUCUGGAAGUACUGUUUACUGUUACUGUUUACUGCAACUGUUCACAAUUACUGUUUACGAUUACUGUUCAUCCGCAUAAAAAAUAUUAAUUUUCCAAAAACACAAUAAAAAGUAAAAUAAAUGACACGAAGAUUUUUACGUGGUUUGGAUUAAUCAAUCCUACAUCCACGAGGCCACGCCCAGAUGAAAAGCAAUUCACUAAGUUAAAAUGUUACAACCUAUGGAUUUACCAAACUUAAGACUCUGACUUACAGUUUAUCAUCAUACAGUUUACUUAACCUUAGACUGAAUUUGGUUCUCCUGAAUAAUUGCUACCCCUCUUGAUCCACGAUCCUCAAGGCACUUCGCAAAGUGAUCAAUAGCAAUUCUUCAAUUCUUCUACGUCUAGUGAUCCAAGAUCCACAUAGAUUCUUCACAGAGAUGAAAAGAAGAUAAGAAAACAAAUCAGAGAUAAGAAAACAAAUCAACACAACAUUAUGCGCCAAAUCCGGAUUCUCUAGGGAGGAGGCCGAAUUUUGCUUCUCUGCAUUAUGCUCUGUGUCGUGCAUAUAUAUCUUCAAUUAUGAAAUACUUCUCUUUAUAUAGGCACUAGGGUUUCACCAAAAUAGAAAGUCUUAAAAGACUUGGAUUCUUUCCAAAUAAGAGUUUCUUUCCUCUUAUAAUUCUCAUGAAUCUGAAUAGGAAUAAAUCUGAUCUUCUUGUCUUGCUUUCUCUCAAGAAAUAUCUAGAGCAUUUAAUGAACUUCCUGUUUGAACCAACUUCUUGCUCUAAAUAGAUCUCAUGCGUCAAGUAUAGAAUCCCACCAUUCAUUGACUUGCUAAAUUAGACAUCUAAUUAAAUUAGGAAACAAAUAUUCCUAAUAAAUUGGAAUCUCACUAAAUUAGGGAAUUAAUAAAUUAAUCCCUAUUACAAUAUAUGCAAUAAACAAACUUCUAAUUUAACUAGACUUGUCAUAAAAUACCAACUCUAUAAAUAAUGACCUUAACAACUUUAAACCUUUCUUCUCAAGCUUUAAGCAACUUCAAAGAAAAAUGUCAAGCCUUCAACCCUUACUUUCCAAUCUUUACUUAUUUUAAUGAGAAAUACGUCAAUGCUAAUUCGCAUAUUUUGAUGUUUGAUUAAUUAUUGAUAUCAACCGUUGGAUUCCAUUCCAUUUAAUGGAAUCCAAUGGUUUCAACAUGGGUAUUGAAGAGUGGGCGCUUCGCUUAAUCGGUUAUUUGAAAUCUUAUAAAAAUUUAAUAGAAAGAUUUACUAAAUGCAUACGACUAUUUUUAAAACUCACAAAACUUUUGAAAAUAAAUUUAUCAAACAUCUAAUUAAUUAUCUUUACAGAUGAUUAUUUAUACCACACAGUUAAUGACAAUUAAAACUACAACAUUAUUAAUUUGAUCCAACAUCUCCUAAGGACUCAAACGAAGUUUUACUAAUGAAAGGUUUCUAAUAAAAGGUUUACCAUUCCUAUAGAUUGCCGGCAAUUUAAAUAUUUUUAUCAAUUACUGAUAUCAACCGUUGGAUUCCAUUCCAUUUUAAUGAAAUCCAAUGGUUUCAACGUGGCUAAUGGGUAAUCAUAUUGAGUUGUCGUUUAAAUCCCCCUCAAUUCGUGAAUUGAAGGUGAAGAGGUGUGGCUUCCAUCCAGUUUAUGUUCAUGAAGUGGAGGAGUUUGACCAAACGACAAAGCAAUGGACUCACUUUACCUCUUAUGAUCUGAAUGAAUCCCAUCAUAAUUUUGUUGGAUCAAAUAUGGAAGUAGCCACAACAUCAAAGCGAAGCCUUGCAGAAAAUGGAGUGGCAGCUGAAGCCAGUGGCAGUGGUUGCUGUGAUGAUGAUGACGAACCACCACGUAAAAGAUUUAAACAACUCAAAUGAAGGGUAAAGCCUGGUGUAACAGUGAGAGUACGCAUCCCAAUUUCAAUUUAUGUUCUUUAAAUUUGCAUAUGGUAUUUCAUUUACUUUUUAUUUGUCCAUUUAUUGUAUCUACUUUGGCAAUUUAUUUUCGUGUUAAAUUGAAGCAUUGAAUUUUGUGAUUUCUCAUGAGUUGAAAAUUAAAGAAAGAGGGAAAAUUAAUCCUUUGUUUUUUAUACAAAGAUCAUAUCAUAUAUUUGGCCAAAAAGAUUUUUGGCAAAAAAAUAUUGUUCAUGGCUGUCUUCAGUGUGAACAUUUGUGAUUUUUAUCUCUUUUAUUUUGAUGUUGGAAUUUUUUUGGUCUGAAUUUAACUAUGCUUAUUUAAUUUAGGUUUUUUUACUUUUGUUGAACCGUGUUGAUUCUUUUUAUGUUGGAUUAUUGACACCCCUCUAAUCUUUUCAUAAAACCUUAUUAUUAUUAUUUUUUCCAAUUAUUCUUAUUUUUUAUUCCAAAAAUGUCCCUUUUUAAUCACUCAUCUAAUUUUUAAUCUUAUUUUCUUAUCGAAGUUGAGGUCUAGCUUCACAGCUAAGCUUUUCUAACACCUAGGUUCUCGUCUUGAUCUUUAAUGGAUGCGUGAGUUAAUUUAAAAAUGUCUUUUAUUAUUUUCUUGUUGAUUCUUUUCAAGGAGUUGGAUUAUUGCCACACCUCUAAUAUUCUCAUAAGACUCUUGUUUUUUUUUUUAAUUAUUCUUUCUUUUAAGGGAAAACGACAUGUACACCCCUAGGUUUGAAGAAAUGGUCACCAACACCCCUUUUUGACUAUUAUGCCAUUUUAAAAAGUUUUAAAUUUUUAAUAAAUUGAAAUAGUACAUAAAUAAUGUAAUCUAUGCAAUAGACUAAGAAUAUUAAAAUAACUUAAUAUUUUAAUAAAUUUUAAUAUGUAUAUUGUUAUAUUUAUUUACUAAUAUAUAUUUAUUUAUUUUAGAUAUUUUAAAUAAAUAUUUGCAUUAAAUAUACUUUACAAUAAAACAAUCUCACAUACUAAUGUUAUUAUUAUUUUACAUAAUAUUCAAAAUAAUUUAAAUUUUAAUACACUUGUUUUAAUAUUAUGAUUCUAUUUAUUAUAAAAUUUAAUGUUAUAUAAUAAAAUAUAUCUAAUAGAUUGUAAAAUAUUAAAAUAUUUUCUAAGUAUUGAAAUUAUUUUACAAUGUAUAUAUUAUUACAUUUAUUGGAGGAAUUAAUUAGAAAGCAUGAAAUCCUCUCAUUGAUUUCUUUGAAACAAACAAAAUUGAAAUUAUCUUUAUUGAGAGGAAUUAUCUUUGGCAAAGUAAAUUUUCAUCAUCUUUCAGUGCGUCCAACACGCUCAAAGCAUUACGUUUUCUCGCAGUUUUGUAUUCCAACAUUGCUUCCCAUGAAUGUUUUGUUGCGGAAGUGUGAGAUCCAGCAAUUACCAAUAUUACGAUGACUAUAACUUUUGGAGAAAUAUAAAUGUGACAAACAAAUACAAAAAAAAUAUGACACAAUAAUUUACGUGGUUCGGCGUAAUGCCUUUGUCCAUGAGCAAAGACUGUGAGAUAAUUUUACUAAUAAUAAGAAUUUACAAAAGUAGGAAAAAUUCACAAAAUCCACAACCCCAAUACACCCAAAUAGAACCUCAUUAAAACACUCAAGUGGAAACUCUCUCAAAGAACUCACUUGCAAUUGCUCUCUACUUCUCUCAAAUUGUAAUGCUUUACAAAUGCAUUCUACUACUCUAUUUAUAGGCAAAGCUUACAAUAUGAAUGCAUGAAAAAAAAAAAAAAUUUGCCAUUUUCAAUUUUAAUGGCUUUGGUGUGACUUUUAGUGAAGAGAUCAUGCUAGCACAUGCAAUUGGAUCACGCUAGCGCAACAUUGGUGUGCUUGAAAUUUGCAUGCUAGCUGGCUCAUGCAAGCAUGCUUGACUUUUCAACAUGUUUGUCUUACAUUAUUAUGUAUUAAGUGUUUUUUUUCUUUUUUUCUUUUUUUUGGAUGUGAUAGAUUAAGUGUUUCUAAUCACUCAAAUAGUCAAUAUUAGAGGAGAUUAUGUUCUCUUCUUUGCUGAUUUUGAUUAUUUAUGUACAGUUUUUUUGGUACUUGUUGAGUUGGAACUCAAUGUGAGUACACAUUUUUUUCCCCAACAACACAAAAAAACACAAUUGCUUCUUCAACUUCUUCUCUUAUUCAUAUGCUGAAAAAAAGAAGAACAUUGAACAAUCCAUUGAAGAAAGAAGGCAUUUAUAUUGUGAUCAAAAGGAGGUUUUCCACUUGUGAUUUCCUUUAAGCCAUUAACGUGAUCCAACAUUCGAUCAUUCCGCUACAAGACUCGUGAAGAAAGGUAGGGUCUUGAAUCCUUUUAUUUUCUUUUAAUUUAAGAGGCAUUUACUCAUAAAAAUCCUUUGCUUUUCAUCAAAACAAAUAUAUUUGCCUUAUUAGCUUAAGUUCUCUUUAAGCAAAGCACUUCAUUGGAAUUCAUUAACUUACAAAAAACCUCUCUAUUUAAGAUUUGCUCAGGCACACUCUUCCGUCAGGAUCUGAAAAGUCAAAUUUUCUAAUAUAGUUUGGGAUUUGUGGUAUGAUAUUUUCUUUUCUUUAAAGAAAGGAUAACAUAAAAUUGUGUAAGAUCAAUUAAAGUAGAAAUUUGAUUCAUACGUAACUAUAACUUAAGUGAUCACAUAAUAGUUGAUUUCUUUUUACAAAUUCGACAUGCUUAUUUCUUUUUUGUAUAAUUUUUAUUUUAUUUUAUUUUUACUAUAGUAAGCCGAAAAUUGAUAUUAUAUUUUAAAAAUAAAAAUAAAAAUAUUAUUAAUAAAAAUAAACUAAAUAUAUUAUAUUUUAAAAAUAAAAAUAAAUAAAAAUAUAUUACUAAUAUAAAUAAUAUAAAUUUAUUAUUCUUGACUAAUAUAAAUUUAAAAAUAAAUAUAAAUCAGUUAAGGGUUAGUGACGUGUCCAAGUUUGUUAACCGUGGUAGAGCGAAGAGUUAGAGAGGGUUUAUUGAGCUCACGCUCUUCCUUGUCAUUUCCUCGGUGAAUUUUUAUGGGUUUAAAUACUUGAACCUCGGAAUUGAGGCUACAAUGCUUAGUGCACAAUGUUGAAUUGAGGAUUUUAGGAAGACAGACAAAUAUCUAUAUGAAUAUGAUCGAUCUCAGCUUGAUUUGGGCUCAGAACAAACGAUAAAUAGACAAAGGAAUGAUUAUCUGGAAUUUGCAGGCCAGGUUCAAGAGAGGAGUUGUUGAGGAAUUAUGGUAUAAUUCUCGUGCCUAGGACGUGUUCGAUAAUAUGCCUACCAACGAAUGUGCAUCCCACCUGAUGUGUUGCACCAACUCUAUGGUUUCCCAAGCAAAAGCAAUCAAUCAACAAGGUCAAUUCGUGAAGGUUUGUCCUGCGUGAGUCAUAGCUAGUGAGCAGAUUCUGAGAGUCUUUAGUCUUUAACAGAAUUUUACCACAAACACAGUGCAAACCCAGUGUUUAUUUAAUCAAUUAUUUCUUUUCUAGCGGCUAACAUUUUUUCAAAUUUCUAAAUAAAAAUAUACAUGACAGAAUUUGAUUAUUUGUUGUUUCGUGACUGAUGUGGUAGAACGAAGGAAUUGUAUAAUUUCUUGAGUUUUAGACAUAAAACAGAGUCGGGCCAUAGAAUGAACGAAAAAAAUAUCAUCACAUUUGUUGGAAUGAUGCUGUGCUUUAUUCAAAAUUAUUUCUUCCACUUGCGAAGCAAUCAAUAAUAGUGUUAAUUCUUGAACCUGUGAAAAGCAAUUAAUUUUCUUCAUUUGUUUACAAGCAAUCUUCCAUAACCAUUGUGCUUGGCUGUGAAAUACCCCAUUUGUGGCUGAACAUAGAAUCUGUUUUUUGUUGCUUUUUGCGAUCUUUGGCUUAAUUUACAAUUCAUGGCAUGUCUGAAAAUGGGUCGAUGAAUAUGCUAAAUAUGGACUCAGAUCUAGAUCAGAUUUAUCCACGAAACAAUCAAGAGGAUUCAACAUUUGAUAUUUAUUUUUCCUUUCUCCACCCCCAUGUUUAAUUUUGGUCGGAGGACUUGGUUGAUAGGAAUUGACAACUAUUGAUUUUCCUUUUUUUUGUUAAACAACAGACCACAAUGUCAAUUUGAAGACUUUGUUGAUAAGAAUUGACAACUGUUGGUUCUUAUUAUUUGUUUUUGUUUAAUAGAAGAUGCCUUGGAAUUCCGCAUCAUUGACAUGUAGUUGAUAUUUAAAACUACAACUAUCGGAAUUCUUAUUAAGAAAAUUACUAUGCUGCUUGCAACAUAAUCAAAGUUGUAAGUUUUAUGCCAUGCAGUUCUCUUUAUUUUCAUUUAUGUUUUUGAAUUUUCAGAAUAAAUAUGGAGAAGAAGAUCAUUAAUUUCCAAAGCUGAGAAGAAAAUAUUUUCAGAAUUAUACUACAAUGACUAUAGGGAGAUCCUGAAAAUGAGAUUCUUGAUGUUCUUCAAAUAAGUUUUGAUGGGUCAAAAGAAACAGAGAAGAAAAUAUUUCUCGAUAUUGCAUGUUUCUGUGAAGGGAAGUAUAGAGAUUAUGUGAAAAAAAUUCUCAAAUAUUGUGAUUUUGACCCAAUUAUCGAAAUAGUUGGUCCUAUUGAAAAAUCUCUAUUAACUGUAGAUGAUUUCAGCGGACUGUGGAUGCAUGAGUAGCUACAAGAAAUGGGGUAGACAAAUUGUUAGGAGGCAAUCCCCUCAGGAGCCUGGAAACUGCAAUAGAUUGUGGAAGGAAGCAGAUAUAUGCCAUGUAUUAUCACAAAGCACAAGUAAAUGUUCAGUUAGGUUGAAAACUUGCAAUUUUGGGAUCAUGAUCACUUAUUUAACUAGUUAAACCUUUGCAUAGUUUUAUCAAUAUUUUCUUUCUUUCAUUUUUUUUUUUUUGGUUCCCACUUAUUUUUUGUUAUAAUGUUUAGGAAACUGAUGUAGUUGAAGCAUCAUAUUUGAUCGCUUUAACAACAAAGAGAUGCAUGUCAGUGCUAAUGCCUUUUCUAAUAGGACCAAUCAGACUUCACAAGAGUACCAAAUUUAGGGGAGCUGAUUUCUGAAAGAUUUACAAGGUUGCAGGAGAUUCACUCAUUUUUUCUGCGUCAAAGAAGCUGAUUUUGUUGAAUUUGAAAGGUUGUACAAGUCUUUCAACUCUUCCAGGCAAGAUCUUUAUGAAAUCUCUGAAGACACUUGUUCUUUCUGGUUGCUGGAAAUUGAAGAAAUUUCUAGACGUUGUGGGAAGUUCUUUCGGAUGGAACUGAUAUUAAAGAACUGCCAUUAUCAAUUGAACUUCUAUUUGGACUUGCUCAGUUAACUCUGAAUGGCUGCAAAAAUCUCGAGUGUCUUCCAAGGACCAUAAGUGCUCUAAAAUAUCUAUCAACUUUGAAUCUCUCCAGCCCUUUGAAAUUCAGAGAGUUCCCAGAGAAAACUUCAAGCAGGGAUCAGCUCUUGGAGCUUCAUUUGGAAGGAACUGCUAUAAGAGGAUUGCCAGCAUCUAUUGAACUUCUUUCUGGCAAUGUCUUGUUGAAUUUGAAAGAUUGUAAAAAUCUCAAGAGUCUUCCAAGUACCAUAAAUGGUUUGAGAUUGCUUAGAACAUUGUAUCUCUCUGGCUGCUCCAAACUAAAAAAUGUGCCAGAGACCUUGGGGAAAGUUGAAAGCUUGGAAGUUAGAUUGUCUUGUUAGAAUCAGGCAAAAAUGCAGAAUGACUUCAACUGUGUGGAACAGAGUGCAGUGGAGACAGUAACAAAGUUAGCAAAAGCAGAAUCGCUAAGGUACUUUACAAAAUUAAUAAUUUCCUUUAUAACAUGCAGUACCGUAUUACUUCUAUGUGCAUUCCUAACAUUAUCUUCGACAGAAAGAUUCAGAUUCAUGGAAGAAGAAUGUUGAUAAGGGCAUCAAGCUAUCCACAACAGCAAUAUCAGCUUGCUCACUUGCCUGCCAUAGGCUGAUUCAAACCUCAAGAGCCAUGCCAAGGGUUGAAUCAAAUAACAGCAAAUUCACAUCUUAGGUGGCCUUUUCUUCCAGCUUAGUCACUGCAUCAUUUUUUAUAGCAGGUUCAUUCUAUAAUAAUCUCAUAGGCACAUAUCAUGAACUUUGUUUUAUCAUGCUUGCAUACUUUAUUUACUUCUGCACAGUGAUAUACACAUUCACUAUCAAUUUAAGUAGAAAUUGAUUUUUGAAUAUGCUCUUAUCCUUUACUAAUCAUAUAAAAAGCUCAUACGUCAGGGUAUAUGACUAUUUACAGCUGUCUUGCGGAUGGAUUCGUAACCUUACUUAAGUAAUAUUAUCAACAAUUUUUGGAAUUGAUGAUAUCUAUUCAUCAAUUGCAUACAACUGCAGCAUUUAUUUGAUUUUAGAACCUGGUCUUAGAGUCCAUAAUGCAUUGACAAAUACAGAAGUGAUCAAAUUACUAGCCUCUGGAGUUGCUAUUUAUGUUAUUAUUGAAGGAUGAUUCAAAUUCUUUAUGUUUGUUAGUUUUUGUUUGGGCGGGAAAUUUAAGUUUUAUCUGAGUUGACUCUAUUGACCACUGCUCGUAUCAAAAAAAUCUGAAAAAUAACUUACAACUUGUGAGGCUUGUAACCAAAAGAUGCCUAAAACCAAUUAUUUCUAAGAGAAGUGGACAGCCGUAAACCUUUCUUCCCGAGCCUUAAACAACUUCAAAGAAAAAUGUCAAGCUUUCAACCUUUAUUUUCCAAUCUUUACUUAUUUUAAUGAGAAAAUACUACAAUUUAAAAAAAUUUGAAAGAUUGUACAGGACUUAUUCCAAAAGAAUAUUUUAUUCAUUUUUCCCUAAAAAAUGCAAUUACAUUUGAAAUCCUUUCUUUGAUGUGUAGAUUACUGAAGCUAGCUUUUGUCAACAUCAAAUAGACCAUGUCUUUUCUACACUAAAGACCAAAAUCAUUCUUCAUUAUUCCUUUCGGCACAUGCUUUAGACUAAAAUUGUUGUUUGAGAAAUUAAUUAGAACACAUGAAAAUCCUUUCAUUGAUUUCUUUGAACAAACUUAAUUGGAAAUUCAAGUAAAAAAUGUCGAGCCUUUAACCUUUACUUCCCCAUCUUUACUUCUGUUAACAAGAAAAUUCUACAAUUUAAAUAAAAAAAUUCUUAAAAGAUUAUAAUGGAAUUUUUACAAAAGAGUAAAUUCUUAAAAUAUUUUAAUGGAAUUAUUCCACAAGAAUAAAUUCUUAAAAGAUUAAAGUGGAACUCACUUUGCCCUAUAAAAUGCAAUUACAUUGAAGACACCAUUAAUAACAUGCUUUUGUCAACAUCAUGUCGACCAUAUCUUUAAUCCCAUGCGCCACUAAAGACCAGAAUCAUUCUUCAUAAUUACUUUCGGCAUGCACUUUUUAUUAAACUUUUUGUCUUUGAGGAAUUAAUUAGAACACAUAAUAAUGAAUGUACAAUAAAAAAAAAAAUACUUUUGUUGUGAUUUUCACGGACGAAUUAAAAAAAAAAAGGAUUAUAAAUGUAUUUAAACAGUCCAUUAGCCGGGUCCAGCUACUUUUUUUAACAACUUUUACAAGGCAUUUCCGACUUUCGGAGAACUUUUUUUUUUUUUUUUUUUUUAACGUUUGGAUUUGAUAGAAUCUGGAUUUGGACAAUGAUAGGAGUGGUACGAUACAUACCUCAGCUUAGGAUCAAGCUUCGGGUUUGAUAGCAGGUUCGUUCUAUAAUAAUCUCAUAUGCACAUAUCUUAAUACUUAUUUUAUGGGAGAUUCCCAAUUUUCUUAUGGUGCAAUCAAUAUUUACUAUUUGUCCCUUAUUGCUUUUACAAUCUCUCUUUUGCAUGACUACUAUAAAUUUAAGUGAAAUUUAUAAGAAUAAAUUAUUCUAAAAGAAUAAUUUAAUCAAUUGAGUUGUGAUUCAGAAUAAUUUAAUCAAUUAUUCUAAAACAUUUUUGCGCGAAUCUUGAAAUGCUAAAAGCAAAUUCCCCUUUUUAAGUCCAAUUUUGAGUAGUUUUACCGCCAUUAUUAAUCUUAGAACUUUUUGUACAGCUAAGUGGUACCAAUUACAUCGAAAGUGUAAUACUUGUGCGUUGCCUUCAUUGGUAAAAAACGAAGGUAAAACUUGCAUCCUUUUUAACUGUUACUAAUAAUUUGUACGUGCUUCUCUCUUCCGCAAUUUCAUGAAAGUAUGUAAUGAACCCAAGGGCAAAUGACAAUGAAAUUUCUUACGGACAAGCAUCCUCGAAUCUACAGAUCAUCCACAAAUCUCAGCGAAUGAAUUUUUAGAUCGUCGUUACCCCAUGCAAUACAUAUCAAAUGGUACUGACGAUCAAUCAUUUUGUAUUGAGCUCCUUGCAGCAAACGAUCACUUGAAAAUUAAUCACACAUAUCUUCCCGCAAUGCAUAAUUGAAGCUACCAUUUGCAUUUUGUGAAAACGCCCUUCGCAGCCACAUCUCAGAUCUUUCUUUAUUCACAAAAUAUACAACUUCAAAGAUUAAAAUUUUUCUUUAUUCACAAACAUACAACUUCAAAGAUUAAAAUUUUUCUUUAUUCACAAACAUACAACUUCAAAGAUGUUAAGCAGUCUCUAACAUCUGUUGAGUUUGCAUUAAGUACCAUCAAUUAAAGUAUGCACCAACCAAAAAACAAGACAUGAAUAUAUUUGUGAAAUCAAUAUAUCAAACUCAAUUGGGAAAACACAAACCCAUCCUCCCUUAUUUCCACAAGAAUAAAUUCUAAAAAGAUUAAAGCGAAAUUUUUAUAAAAGAAUAUUUUAUUCACUUUGCCGUAUAAAAUGCAAUUACAUUGAAGACUCACUAAAUAAAACGCUUAAAAAAAUCCUUGCUUUUGUCAAUAUCAUGUCGACCAUAUCUUUGAUUCCAUGCGCCAGUAAAAACCAUAAUCAUUCUUCAUAAUUACUUUCGGCAUACACUUUGGAUUAAACUUUUUGUUUUCACCACCAGUUAAGUAACAUUACAAAUUAAAUCAAUUUUAGGUCUGACAAAAAGCUGCAAAUUGAAGAAAAAGGGCACAUACUAUCUUAGAGGCUAGACUUAGCUCCAAUUAUAAUUUUUUCUGAGACUCGAGUUUUAGAUUCGAGCUCUACUUUACUUGCAUGCCACAAAUUUGAAAAAAAAUGUGCAUACUAAUUUUUUUUGGAGAAAAAUGGAAUUGAAUAAUAAACGUACAGUAAAAAAUUUACUUGUGUUGUGAUUUACACAGAUGGAUCAAAAACAAUGAUUGGCGGAUUGAAUAAUGAGUGUAAAAUAAAAUUAAAAAAAUUUACUGUUGUUGUGAUUUUCACGGACGAGGGGAUUAUAUAGAAUCUGGAUUUAGACAAUGAUAGGAGUUGUACAAUACAAACCUCAGCUUAGGAUCAAGCUUCGGGUUUGAUAGCGGGUUCGUUCUAUAAUAAUCUCCUAUGCACAUAUAUUAAAAUUUAUUUUAUCAUUCAUUAUAGCAAAGCUUUUCUAUUUCGCAUAAGUAUUAUAAAUUUAAGUAGAAAUUUCUUUUUUAAUAUGCUCUUAUCCUUUAUUAAUCACGUCAAAAGUUGUGAGAGUAAAUGUUCGAAUAGUCUAUAUAUUUUUGGUUAAAUAUAUGUUUAUUUUUUAUAUUUCGAAAAAUAUCUUAAGAGACCCUACUUAUUGAAUAUAUGUACUACUGCCCUUUGUUUUUCUUAUGUUUUAUAAUAAUGCCCUUAUUACAAUUUAGAGACAUUAAUUAAUUAAUCUAUGAAAAAUGUUAAUUAACAAAUUUAACCAUAGUUAUUUAUUAGCAAUAUAUAUAUAUAUAUAAAGCUGGGACUUGAGGAGGUGAUGUGGCAUCACCAUUUCUCAUCUUUGUAUAUUCUUUAUUAUCUAAUAAAUAGAAAAAUUUUCUUUUAGAUUUGGCUUUUCAUCUUCUCAUAAUUAAUUUGAUUGUUAUUACACAAUAACAAUUAUGUAAAGAUUUUAAUGAGGCAUAUUCUUUGUAAUGAACAUCCAAGGGGGAGUGUUAUGAAUUUAUUAAAAUAAAUGUAGAUGUUCAUAACAUUUAUCUCUUAGUCUCCCCACUAUCUCCCAUUAGCAAUCUUUGGCUUCCCUAUAACUCCUACUAUCUGACAAGGAAUUAUAAUCCAUAAUUUUUCAUUAAUUUCAUUGAGUGAUUAUGUAACUAUAAAAGGAGAGCUCAUCUUUUUGUUUUGUACACACACAAUUGGAAUGAAUAAAAUCACUCUAUAAUAUAUUCUCUCAUUUUAUUCUUUAUCUUGCGUUGCUUCUUUAUUUGUAUUGCUGGCAAAUAGUUUUUUUUUUUUUUUUUUUAUAAGGCUGCCUCAUCUUAAAAAAAAACCAAUUCAUAUUUUUUAUCAGUUUUAUCAAGUGUAAAGUAAAAAAAAAGAUAAUAUUAAAUUCUUUUUUUAAAGCCGCGUGAAAUGCGGUUCUAUUUUCUAGUUAACUAAUAAUUAUCAGUUUGAAUGAACUGGUAUUUUUCAUACUCUUAUGGCAAUCUUCUAAUGAUUUAAAAUAAAAUUAAUACUAGCUAACUUAAAGCAAUAUUUAAUACCCUUGCGAUUAUAGUCCCUGUAAUAAUUAUUUAAAAAAUUAAUCUACCAAAUUAAUUCCAAAAGUAAAAUAAAAAAUUUAUAUUUAUUUUUACUUUAACUUUCUUUAUAGAUAAAUUAAUUUACAUCCUCAAGAAUAUUGUUGCAAGUGUAUUCCUAUAAAAGUAAAGAAAAAACAAGUGCAUAAGUGUAAUAUACUUAACAACAGUGAUCUCUUGAGACACUUUUUUAAAAUAUAAAAACUAAACAGAUACUUAAACAAAAAUAUAUAGAUUAAACAAAUAUUUACCCAAAAUUGAGACAUCAACCUGUAUAAUUAUUUACAGCUGCCUUGCGGAUAGAUUCAUAACCUUAACAAUUUUUUGAUUGCAACGUAGAGUAGAUGCCUUCUCGACCGUCGGAUGCAUGUGUGAAGAAUCCAAAACGGUAACCCAUAAUAGUGAGACACGUGUGAUGAAGAUUCCGUCCAAUUGUCCUGAUGAUGAGACGGUUUGGAUAUUGGAAGCUGCAUUCCCGUUGUUGGUAACAAUUUAUGUUAAAUAUGUUCGGUAAUGCAACACGUAAAAUCGUAAAAAUAUAUGAUGAAGCAACAUUUUACUUAUUUCAACCUUUACUUACUUCAAUAACAAGAUUCUAUAACUUUAAAAAACAAAAAAAAAAAUCUUAAAGAUUAUGACGGAAUUCUUCCGAAAGAAUAAAUUCUUAAAAGAUUUUAGUGGAAUUUUUCCAAAAGAAUAAAUUCUUAAAAUGAUUAUUGUGGAAUUUUUCUAAAAGAAUAUUUUAUUCACUUUGAGCUAUAAAAUGCAAUUACAUUGAGGCCACCCUUGAUAAAAUACUAAAAGAAAUCCUUGCUUUCCUCAACAUCACGUCGACCAUAUCUUUGAUUCCAUGCACCACUAAAGACCAUGAUCAUUCUUCAGAAUUACUUUCGGCAUACAUUUUUUAUUAUACUUUUUGUUUUUUGAGAAAUUAAUUAGAACACAAAAAAUUUCUCUCAUUGAUUUCUUUGAAAGAAAGCUAGGUCCUCUUUCUUAUUGAGGUACUAUAAUUUUUAAGUUUAAAUUAUUAAAAAAAUUAUAAUUAUAAAAUAAAAAUUAAUAGUAUGUAAUAAAUAUAAUUUUAAAUAAUAAUUUUCACAAAAUUAAUAAAAAUCUAAUAUAUUUUUCAGCAUACAACUUAAGUUUUAAGAUAUAGUUGUGAGUAUUUAUCAAACACGUUGGUGUUGUAAUUUAAAAGUUACAGCUGUCCAACCUCAACUUCGAAUAUGGCCUUAAUUAGAAAUUCAAGUAAAAAUUUACCAUCUUUUAUUGCUUCCAAUAAGCUCAAACAUGCAAGUUAAUUUUCUUACAUUUUAAUUUUACUUGUAUCUCAGCGUUUGCUUUGCAAGAAUAAAUGUCUUACAUAUUUAUGUCUUAUUUUUUUCAUAUAUAAAAUUAAAUUUGAAUUAAUUUAAGAGGAAAUCUUGGUUUUCUGCUCCUUGAAUUUGCUGGUUGUGUGCUGAUUAUGAUUAUUUAAGAGCCAUUUAUUCAUAACAUUUCAUUUCAAAUAAAACUAAAAUGUCCAAUGUAUUAAAAUUUGUCAAAAGUUUAUGCUAAAAAUCAUUAGGAGAAAAAUGAUUAUUUUAGUCAUUUUGCGUCCCCCGACAGAUUUUGAGGGAGAUUGGAAUCUUGUGUAAUUUGCUGUACAGAGUUAUGAUGCAUCUUUAACGACUAUUCUGUUGACUGAACUUGAUUGACCUCCGAAUGCGACCUCAUGUAGGUCCGUCCGCUGAAUACGUGUUCUUUAAAGGAUCAACUCGACCCGUAUUUGCCCCGAUAUUGACCCGCGUUUGGUUUGACCGCAGGAUGUAUGUGACAUGUCUUGUUGGCCGUUGAUCCGCGUUGUGUGAGGGUACUGGAUGGUUGACGUUGUACCUAGACAUUAUUUUGAUUAUAUUGAACGCGGUCCAAGGGUUCUAAAGCUGCCACGUACACUGCUACUCCGAACCUUUGAUUUAAUUCAAUUUUGGUGGAUCCAACGGCCAUUUCCCUCAUCUCUUUAAAAUGUAAAAGCAUCAUUUUAAGCACUACAGGCUGUCGAUUUCGAGCGAGCUUACAAGUGUAUGGGAAAAAUUUAAAGUAGGAAAACUACGAGACUGUAGUUUGAUAUAAUUUUUCACUAUAUUAAUGAGAUUACAAUACAAAUUACUCUCUAAAUAAUGCUAGAGGCUACCAACAUCUAGAAUCUCAUUAUUUUUAGCUUAUAGUAAUCCCCGAAGAACUAUCUCUCUAACAAGUGGGUAUCUCAAAUAAUAGCCAACAAGAGGAUAAAAUAAAAAUCAAGACUAGUAGGAUUAUAGAGGGCGAUGCCAGGAAUUUACCCUCAAAAUUUAAGAGAAAAUGGAGUUAAUUUCGUCUUUUAAUCACCCAAUUAAAGAUUUAAAUAACUAUUCCCUUCUACUGGCUUUCUCUCUCUCUCUCUUGCCGCUUUUUCUUCUCUGCUCGUCCUUUUUAUUAAGUGAAAACUAGGGCUACUGCUUGCUUUUAUAGCCAAAUUACUUGGCGAUUUUCAUCGAAGUCCAAGGCUUAGUAAUAAUUACAAACCAAGCAAACUUAUUUAAAUUUUGGGCCCCAAAUGAGAUGGACCCAACAAGGAAGAAUUUAGUGACUUCUUACUUUUAUGUCCUUAAAAUUUACUUUUAAACCCUAGAUUUUUGAGAAAUACUUUUCUGAAGGGUUAGAAGCUAAUGUUUUAGAUUGGAUUUUUUUCAAACAUCAAGAAUUAAUUAGCAUUUAUUUUCUUCUCUUGUCUUUAGCUCCACCAAGUUCGUUGAUACAAGGUCUUUGAGCUUGAAGGUGUUAAAUUUAAGACGGAUUCUCUCACACCGAUUAUCAUUUUACCCUUAAAUUUUUCUCCUCAGCAAAUUUUGAUGUUUAACUCAUGUAGGAAAAAAAAUUGUGAGGACUGUGCGGAUUUUUUUUUUAAUUAAAAAACACUCUAAGGUGGGGGUUAGGCAGGACCCCCAUACCAAUAGAUUAAUAAAAUUAAAGAAAAUUCAUAUGGAGGGGGAGACAUAUUCCAAAACCUCUAAGCACGGGAACAAAUACACUCAACAAUUAGAAAAAUAACAAAAGCUUAGAAGAUACGAGUAAUUAACGCAACCGGCUACAGAAUAGCAUACAAUUCUUGGGCCAGUAACUAAUGUGAAACCUUUCUUAGAACCGGAGGCAUACAACCAGGCAAUACUAAAGUCAUCAACAUCACGCCCUCUAGUACCCUUAGGCCCAAAUGCAAAAUAUUCAUUAGUUGCAAGAUUCUCAUCAAAGCUAAACUCCUCAUCAGACUGAAAAGGGAUGUCCGUAGAAUGGCAAUUGAAGCCCACGACCAUGGAGCAAAUAUCCUCUACAACAGCUUGAAAAAAAAGUAGCGCCAAUGGAAGCCCUUUAAACACCCGGAUAAUCUAAAAAAUAAAGAGGAGGGUUAGAGACCUUAGAUGUCUGAACUCUUUUCAUAAAAACUGGAUCAUACCCAUCUUCUGUAGUAUCCUGAUAAAUAGGCGGCUAAGCAUCUACCGAAACAUCCUUGCCAGCACCAGGCCUCAAUGGCUUAACAUCUUCACGAUCCCCCUUUAAAUGCACAAUAGCAUCAUAUAUAGGCACCUUGCCUUUAUCACGAACAACAACACCUUGCACCUGACCAACAGGCUGCUGGGGCUCCUAGAGCCCAGGAUUAGCAACAAAACAAGCAUCAGCAGCUUGCCAAGAUGCUUACACGAGACACAAUAUAAAGGAACACACUAAAAAUUGACAAUCUUGCCAGCAACUGCCAUCACCCUCACCAGUCCAAAGUUUGGGCAACAACGACCGCAAAACAUCAUAUUCAAUCAGAAUUCUAGUGAUUAAGGGCCGAUUAACAAUAGUAGUAGCAUGGUCCACCCGUAGAGGCUUACCAAUAGCAUUAGCAGUAGAAAAUAAGGCAUCUUUGUAAUGAUUAAAAUGCAUUAGAAAAUACGACAAAGAAACCCAAACAGGAACAAAAGGAGAUUCCUCAGAGCACCAAAAUAACGUCUAUGAGACGUAGCUACAUGAGACUCAAACCCAAGACCUAAAUCUUGGUAAGGAUGCCCACCUAAAUCCACUUGGAAAAUGUUCAAAUGUAUUUUAGAUAACGUAUUUCAGUUUGUGAGGCUUAACACAAUAGAAUGUAGAUUCGAGAUAUUUACAGGUGCGAAGCUUUGUGAGUGUUGUUGAUCCACUUUAACUUACAUAUUUUCAUAGUGAAUUGUUCUGUCUACAAGUGGACAUAAUAACAUGUUGAGAUUUUUAUCCUAAAUCGUGAGGAUCAAAGGUUUCUUCGUAAAAAAAUCUUCGUGUUGCGGAUAUUCAUUUAUUUUGCAUAUUUAUUUUCAUUACCAUAAAUUGAUUUUUAAAUUUAUUCUAUUGAAUUAUCCUUACUAACUAGGAAAGUAAAUCAUUAACUUUAAAGAGAUUAUUAUUAUUACUAAUUAUAUUGAGAUAGCGAAAUAAAAAAUAAAAUUAAUAAUAAAAAUAUUUACUUUAAAUAUCAAUUAUUAUAUAUACACAAUAAAAAAUAAUUUAUAUGCAUAUUAUAAAUAUGUAAAUAAAUUUUAUUCAAAAUUGUGUCCACUUACAAUCAUUUACAUUCAUGUUAUUUACAAUAUUAUUAUAAUUUAAUAGUAAGAUUUACAAAACACAUACAAUUGUUUUUAAAAUUCAUAGAGCUUUUGAAAAUUGGAUCAAACGUUUAAUUGGUUAUCUUUAUAGUUGAUUAUUUCUAUAAUACAAUUAAUAGUAAUUAUUUUAAAAACUAUAAUAUUACCAAAAUGAUCCAAUAUCUUUUAAGGACCCAACUGAAAUCUAACGAAUAAAGGUUACCAUUCCUAUAGAUUGUCAAUAGUUUUAACUACUUUUAAUUAAUUAUUAAUAUCAACCAUUGGAUUCCAAUCCAUUUUAUAUUGCGUUUACUAAAUUGGAAUCGGAAUGGGUUGAAAUUAGAAUGAGUAAGAAUGGGAAUGAACUGAAAUGAGUAUGGAUAAUGGGAAUUAAAAUAAGGUUUUUACUUGAACUGCAGGAAUUAGAAUCGGAAUGAGCUGAAUUGCCAUUAAUGUAUUUACUUUGUCUUUAAAUUAGAAUAAGAAUGAGUUACAUUGUAACUUAUUACUAUAAAGUACAUAAUGAACUAUUCUCAUCAUUAUUAUUUUAUAUUUUAAUUACAGCGAUUAUUUAUUAAAAAUGAUGAUUAUUAUUAUUAAUUAUUGUUAAUAAUACAUAAUUUAAUUAUAUUUAUAUACUAAUUAUAAAAUAUAUUAAUUAAUAAUAAAUAUUAAUUAUUGUGAUUAUUUAUUAAAAAUUAUAACUAUUAACAAUUAUUGUUAAUAAUAAUUAAUAUAUUAAUUAAUAAUAAUAACUAUAUUAAUUCUUCAAUUAUAGUAAUAUUUUAUAAUUAUUAUUAAUUAAAUAUAAUUACUAUUAAUAAUUAUUGUUAAUAAUUAAUUAUAAUAAUAUAUUAAUUAAUCAUAAAUGAGGAUAAAAUGAACAUUUUGAUUUUUGGAGAGGGGUAAAAUGAUCAAUCCAUCAAAUAAGAGACUCACUACCACAUCCUCCUUAGAAUGAGUCUUCCAUUCCUCAUUUUCAAAUUGUGGUAGGGUAAAUAAUAUCAAUGAAGUCCUUCAGUUUAGUAAAAUUCUUCUGUUACCCACAUAAUUUUAGUUUUGAACAAUUUAAUCAUCCUUAGUUUUUCAACAAUUACUUCUAUGUGAAUUGCUUUCGGUGUUGUUCAACAUAAUAUUAUCAGACUCAUGGAACAAGAAUGUUGAUAAGGUUAGCAAGUAAUGAAAAGCAUAACUGGUCAAGGAAACUCAGGCUCAGAUUCUUACCAGUCCUACAAUUAACAACUGGAAAAGUUAAAUCAAAUAAUAGCAAAUUCAAAUCUUAUGUGGCCACUUCUUUUGGCUCAAUCACAGGUUCAGUUUUGAUAGUAGGUUCUCUAAUAACAUGAUCUUAAUUUUAUCAUGCUUGAAUGCUUGGCUUUACUUCUGGCACAGAUCCAUUUCCAUGCACAUUCACUUUCGCAAAGUUUCUCCGUUUUGCAGGACUACUUCAAAUUCAAGCAAAACUUACAAGCCUUAAUUGCCGAAGAAUGAUUCAAAUUCGUAAAGUCCGAAGUUUUGGUUUUGGCGGGAAAAUCAGAAGCUCAAGCUGCUAGCGCGGAUUCCACUUGUUAGGUUCAUCUCAUUUGGGGCCCCAAAGCCGAAAGUCCAAAUAAAUUUGCUUGGUUUGUAAUUAUUAUUAAGCCUUGGACUUGAGUGAAAUUUGCCAUGUAAUUUAGCUAUAAAAGCAAGUGGUAGCCCUAGUUUUCUCAUCACACAAAAGGAUGAGUGGAGAAGAAAAAGCGGCAAAAGAGAGAGAAAAGCCAGUAGAAGGUUGUAAUUUGGGAAUAGUAUUUUCAAUCUUUAAUUGGGUGAUUGGAAGUGAUUUUGACUCUGUUUUCUCCCAAAUUAUGAGGGUAAGUUCCUGGCCUCACCCUCUACAAUCCUACGGGUGUUGAUUUUUAUUUUAUCCUCUCUUUGGCUAUUAUUUGAUAUACACACUUGUUGGAGAAAUAGUAAUUAGGUUGUUACUUUAAGUUAAGAAUAAUGAGAUUCUUGAUGUUGAUAGCCUCUAGUAUUAUAUAGAAAAGAAUUUAUGCUGUAAUCCAUUAAUAUAGUGGAAGACUAAAUCGGACUAUGGUCCUGUGAUUUUUCUCGUUUUAGGUUUUCCAUGUAAAAAUUUAUACCUCUUGUAGUUGGUUUUUGCUUUGGAUUUAUUGGUUUAUUUUUCUGCCUAUUUAUUUGUGGUACACAUCUUAUUAUAAUCACACAAAGAGGGAAAGAGUUUUGUUUUUGCUAAAUUUACAAAUGUUUAUGAUAGUUCCUUUCCCAACUGAGUGGUAUCAGAGCCAUGUUGUGUGUUUUAUUACUUGUGUGGUUGAGAUGGAGGAAUCCUCGGCCUGCAUGAUUAAAGUAAAGUAAUGGAAUUAUUGUAUUUGAAAGUCUCGAAUGGAAGAUUUGUUAUACAUAAAAGACUUACAUGAACCCAUUAAAAGCGAAGAAGUUAGACACGCCGAUUUAGAUGAUAAGAAAUUGGCUCAAUUAAACCAGAAGGCUGGGGGUACUAUUAGAUCAUGGAUUGAUCAGAGUGUGUAGCACCAUGUCACGAAGAAAUCCAAGGCUGAUGUUCUUUGGAGAAAAUUAGACACAACUUAUGAGCAGCCGACAACACAAAAUAAAGUCAAUCUGAUGAAAAGACUUGUUAAUUUGAAAUACAAGAGAGGCGCAAUAUAACUGAACACACUAAUGAGUUUCAGUGAUUUGUUGAUCAGUUGACUACUAUGAAAAUUAUUCUAGAUGAUGAGUUACAAGCAUUAUUGUUGCUUAGUUCUUUGCUUGGCAGUUGGGAGAAUUAGUGGUUUCAGUGAAUAAUUCAGUGUCGAACAGAAAAUUAACCUUGGAUAUAGUUACAGAUAGGUUGCGGAAUGAAGAAUCUAGAAGAAAAAGUGUUGAAGCACUUUCUUCUAAACCAGAUGCACUUGUUUAAUAAAAGCAAGAAAGGUAAAGGAGAAGCCAAAGUAGAAAUUCCCACCAGCAGAAUAAUGAUAGGCCCAUAGGAAGAUCUAAGUCCUAGAGGAGAAACAUAAAGUGCUUUCAUUGUCAGAAAAUGGGUCACGUUAAAAGGGAGUGUAGAUUGUGGAAAAGAGAACAGGCGAAAGAAAAGGGUGAUACUUAGAAAAAUGACAAAGAAAACACUACAGCCAUAGUUGACGGUGAUUUAGGUAUUGUUUAUGAUGAAAACUCAAUAAAUCUCACUUGCCAUUCCAGUGAUUGGGUGAUUGAUUCUAGUGCUUCACUUCAUAUUACUGCACAUCGUGAUUACUUUACAUCUUAUGUUAAUGGUGAUUACGACCAUGUUCGGAUGGGAAAUGAAGGGGCAUCCAAGAUUGUAUGCAUAAGAGAUAUUUGCUUGGAGACCAGCACUAGUUGUAAGUUGUUGCUUACAGAUGUCAGACAUGUACUCGAUAUUCACCUCAAUUUGAUCUCUACAGGCAAAUUUAAUGAUGAUGGUUAUAUUAACGAAUUUGGUGAAGGAAAAUGGAAGCUCACCAAAGGCUCUCUAGUGUUAGUUAAGGGGAGGAAAGUAAAAACUCUAUAUAUGAUAGAAGCUAAGAUAAAGAAAGAAUAUGUGAAUGUGACUGUAAAAGAUUUUAACAUUGAGACAUGGCAUAAAAGACUUGGUCACAUUAGAGAGAAAGGGUUAGAAACUCUUGUCAGAAAAGGAUUUCUACACAGCUUCACAGGUAUGUCCUUCAAGACUUAUGUUCAUUGUUUAGCUGGAAAGACACACAGCGUAGCUUUUAAAAGUUUUUCUCCAUCUAGAAAGUCGCAAAUCCUUAAUUUGAUUUACACUGAUAUUUGCAUGAUGCAAAGUAGAUCAAUAUGAGGUGCACUUUAUUUUGUGACUUUUAUUGAUAACUAUUUUAGAAAAGUGUGGGCUUUUGCUUUAAAAUCUAAAGAUUAGGUGCUUGAUAUAUUUAAGUUCUUCCAUACUUAUGUUGAGAGAGGGACAAGAAGAAAGUUAAAAUGCGUUAGGGCAGAUAAUGGUGGUGAGUACAAAUGGCCAUUUGAGCAGUAUUGCAGAUCCCAUGGGAUCAGAUUUGAGAAGACUGUACCAAAAACCCUACAGCAGAAUGGUGUUGUAGAAAGGAUGAACAGAACAAUUGAAGAGAGGGUCAGAUAUAUGCUUUCUGAUGCGAAGCUUCCUAAAUCCUUCUUGGCAGAGGCUAUGCGUACUGUAGUUGACUUGAUUAACCUUUCUCCUUCAGCUCCAUUAGAGGGUGAUGUACCUGAGCGAGUUUGGACGGGGAAAGAUGUUUCUUAUAAACAUUUGAUAGUGUUUGGUUGCAGAGCAUAUGCUCACAUCCCUAAAAACGAGAGUUUGAAGUUUGAUGAUAAAGCCAAGGAAUGCAUUUUUUUAGGCUAUGGGCAUGAAGAAUUUGGGUAUAGAUUAUGGGAUCCAGUGGCAAGGAAAUUGAUCAGAAGUAGAGAUGUUGUGUUCCUUGAAGAUUAGAUAGUUGGUGAUGUAGUGAUGAGUGAUAAGUCUCAGUCAUCUCCAGAGAUUCUUAUUAUUCCAACUUCAGUUUCUCCACUUAUGAUUCAUGAUGAUCAUAGGGGAACUAAAGAGGAUAAUAAUGAUGGUCCAGCAAAAACAGUUGACCAGGCACCUCUAGAACCACCAACACCACCAGUUGAGCCAUAAUUGAGAAAAUUUAUCAGAGAACGGUGACCUUCUACUAGAUAUCCUCCACAUAAGUAUGUGAUGCUUACAGAUGUAAGGGAGCCAAAAUGUUUUGAAAAAGCCAUGUCUCACCAGCAUAAUAGUGAGUGGGUUAAAACCAUACAAGAAGAGAUGAAAUCCUUGAAUGAGAACCACACUUAUGACUUAGUGAAGCUUCCUAAGGGAAAGAGAGCACUGAAGAACAAGUGGGUUUAUAGGUUGAAGAUUGAAAACAACUCACAGCAGUGAUAUAAGGCUAAAUUGGUUGUGAAGGGUUUUGGUCAGAAGAAAGGUAGGUAUUGAUUUUGAAGAAAUACUUUCUCCUAUGGUAAAGAUGUCUUCUAUCGGAGUUGUUCUGGGACUAGCAAUUAGCUUGAACUUGGAGAUUUAACAGCUCGAUGUAAAGAUAACUUUCUUACACGGUGACUUGGAGGAGGAAAUAUACAUAGAGCAACCUGAAGGAUUCAGUGUCAAAGGUAAAGAAGAACUUGUGUGCAAGUUGAAGAAAAGUUUGUAUUGACUGAAACAAGCACCAAGACAAUUGUAUAAGAAGUUGGAUUCUUUCAUGGAGAAUCGUGAUUUCAACAAGACUAUGUGCGAUCAUUGUGUUUUUGUGAAGAGGUUUAGUGAUAAUGGUUUUAUUAUCCUUUUGCUUUACGUGGAUGACAUGUUAAUUGUUGGCCAGGAUGCUAGUAAGAUUGGCAAUCUGAUGAAGAAGCUUAGCAAGUCGUUUGCAAUGAAGUACUUGGGACCGACAAAAUAGAUUCUUGGCAUGAGAAAGGCGACGAGUGCUUGUUGCGAAUCCAAACUAAUUGCUCAACUUACAUGUUUAUGAUAUUUGUAACUAGCUAAUUGCUUCACUAUCUUUCAAAUUAUUUCUUUUUUUCUUUUGAAAGUGUUAAUUUUUUUUCCGCAUUGAAAUUAAGACCAAAGACAGUGUUUUAACCCAAAUCUAUUUUAGAAAAGUAUUACAUACUGUGAGAACACUUAAUUAUUUAUUUUUUAAACUCUUGGGUAAGUCUAAUCCAACCCCGUACUUGCAUGGAACACUUUGUUUCGUAUACAAAUACAAUUAGUUGUUAGUAAUAAGUUUCGGCCAAUUUGCUGUAAUUCUUUUCCUAACAAUUGUCUUUACCGGCCUUUUACCACUCUGGUUACUCUCAUGACCUACAUUAAUGGUGCUUUUACUCAUGGGACUUAAGAAUCAAAAUUCAGAAUUAGAAUGAUCCGUAGUGUGUACUUCUUAGAAUAGAAGAGGGAAUGGAAAUGAACUAGAGGGGCUCCUACGUUUCUGGAAAAUUUGUGAAAUUUGUUCAAACCUUUUGUGAAAUUUGUUCAUGGAAUUCCUAACUAGUUACCGCCAACAGCAGAGGUGGAUUACUAGCAAUAAGCAUACAAAUUAGAGUCAGCAAUUUUUAUAAUUUAUACAUAUGGCUAGUAAAUAAAAAGUAAAAUAAAUCAAUCAAUAUAAAAGUGGUAAAUUGAUGUUUUAAAAUUAAAAAUUAAAAAUACUUGUAAAAAUAAUAUAAAACUUAUAAAACAACAUUAAACUUUAACUAGACUAGAAAAUAGUUGAUUUAUUUAUAAAUUAUGCAAAAAAAUUCACUAAUCAAGCAAAAAAAAUCACUCAUUAACUGAAAAAAAAAACUGUAUUUAAAUAAUUAGAAUAAAUUUUAUUGAAUUGGUUUAACCAUGAAUUCUAUAUUUAUCCUUGGAAAUUUAUAAUUUUUUUCAUUUUCUAUCAUAAUAUUUGUUUACUACACAGAAAAAUUAAUUUUUUUUAAAAUGUAGAUCAAGCCAAAAUAAAAUAAAAGUUAUUUUUAUAUUACUAGACAUAUAUGGUAUAUGAAUAAAAUUAGAAUUAAUUUUCAGUUUUAUACAUACUUUAUCUAGUUUUAAACUUUACUUCUUAUACUUAAAGAUCAUUUAGGGUUAUUGCCGAAUAAGUUUAGAAGGAUGCAAAAUUACCUUAUCUUAUAAAUAACUUUAAAAAAACAUAAAAAGAGUUUUAUUCUCUCAAAUACAAGCUUUUAGCGCGGCAUGCAAAAUACACCCCGUUUAAAUCUAAUCACACCUCUCUAAUUUUUUUCUUUUUUUCGCCACUAUGAGGUAAUGAAGUAGUUAAAAAGUAUAACCUUUAGAAUUUAGAUUCCUUUCGCUUUUUUGCUUUUUUCACCCCCACUUUCUGAGAUGACCAAGACUUGCUUUUGGAAUACAUAUAAAUUAAUCUGGGGCAGCUGGAAGUUGCAUUUUCUUUUCCAAAAGAAACAUAUUUGCCUGAGAUUAACUUCUUUCCUUUGAAUCAAGACACUUCAUUGGAGUUGAUCAGAUCAAUCAGGUGGCUUCGUUCAACACACUUAAAGCUGUAAGUUUUAUUUUAUACAUUUCUCUUUUAUCCUCAGAAUUAAUUUGCACAUCCUGGAUGUUUAAAAAAGGAAAUAAAUAAAAUUGGAAGAAAGCUUUGAAUGGUAAUUUAAUUUGUAUUGUAUCAACUCCUUAAUUUGCUUCAUUUUGAGGCUCUAAUUAAGAUUUACUUAAGUAAAAGUCGGCAAACACGCUCUCCAAUCAUCAUCUGAAAAACUUUUUUAUUGUAUUUUGGAAGUAAAUGAGAGGCUGUCAAUUAGUUUGUUUAGUUAAGAAGAAGAUCAUUAAUUUGUUGUUCAAUAAUUUUAUGUUAAAAGAAAUUAUUAAAGUAAUUAUGUUACAUUAUUUUUCUCUUUCUCUCUAUUUUCUCUUUUUUAACACUAAUAAUUAAUAAUUUUUAUCUCCUUGAAUUUCGUAAGUCUCGAUGAAUCUUCAGGUUUGUAAAUUUUUUCUUUAGAUCUCGAUAAAUAACAUUUGACAAUAUUUGUUGAUCAGGCUGUGUUAUAAACAACGCAGAUUUUAUAAGUUAAAUCAAUUUUCACUGGAAGCUUUUAAACAGUAAUUACAGUUUAGCAUAAUUUUUUUUAAGUGUAUGGAUUUUGCAUCUUUCUAUGAUAAAGAACUUUAAUUUUUCUUUCUGUAAGGGUGGUCAUCCAACCCCCCCACUAUUGAUUAGUUUAAAAAAAAUCAAACCAACCAAUCAAAUAAAUAUGUUCAACCCAACCCAAUCUUAUCCUUAAAUCAUUGUGCUGGGUCAAUCGAAUUGAUUAAAACUAAAAAUGAAACAAGUUCAAACAUAAAAGUUGAAAAAAAAAAAAAGCUAUUUGCUACUUAAAAUCAAAUUCAAACAGUAAAAAGCAUAUUGAUUCCCACCUGGCUGGACUCCAUUAAAGUUUCAGUAAUAAAGAUCAUUAUGUUUACCAUUAAUUCCUAUAGAUUGCUGAUAAUUUUAAUAUUUUUAAUUAGUUAUUAAUAUCAACCGUUGGAUUCCGCUCCAUUUUAAUGGAAAUAUGGAAUCCAAUGGUUUCAACACGGCUAAUGGGCAGAAUGGCAAAGAUGCGUAUACAAUUGAAAAGCCUGAUAAUUUUCGUUUAGAUUCCUUGAAGCUUCCAGGAAGUUCGAUGCUAAGUUCAUCGUGUGAGUAAGCAGUGACAACAUUUAUUGAUUAUUAAAGAGGCCACUUUUUGACAACAACACAACUCCUAUUGCUUAAUUUAUUUUUUCCCAAAGGAUAUUUACAUGAAUAAAUUCUUUGAAUCAAACACUGCAUCGGAGUUGUGGUAAUAAUAAUAAUAAUACUGCAUUGGAAUUCAUUUAAGGGCUUCCUGCAAUACACUCAAAAGCUGUAAGUUCUAUCUCAUAAAUCUCUCUCUUUUAUUUUCAGAAUUAAUUUUGCACAUCUUGAUGUAAAAGAAAAAAAUGUAAAAAUUGAAAGAAAUCUUUGAAUGUUAAUUUCGUACAAACUCUCUGCUUUCUUUUAGAGGCUAUAAUCAAGAUUUGCUUAAGCAGAGAUUGGUGUGCACACUCCCCGAUUAGCAUCUAGAAAAAAUUUAUAUUACAUUUUGGGGUUUAUCAUGUGUAAAGAAUUUAGAUCUAUUUUAAUCAGCAUAAACAAAUUAAAACGGUAGAUAUAUUAAUUUUUCUAAUUAAUUAAUCCUGAAAUUACUGUUCACGGAUUACUGUUUAUACAAUAUUGUUCAUGCAAUACUAUUUAGACUCACUAUUCAUACGAGUUACUGUGUAGGUUGUCAAAAAAAGUAGAAUUUAUAUAUAAUUUAUAAAAUUUUCAUUUUUGUGAUGCCCAUAAUUUUGAAUGAAUCUUAUUGUUUGCAUAGUAUUGUGCGUUCACUGGAUUUCACUUGAUUUAUUCUAAAUUUUCAGGAACAAAUUAAUAUAAUGGCUUUCACGAGCUGCCAAGAUGUCUCUCAUAGGAAAUACGAUGCCUUCUUAAGCUUUAGAGGAGAAGACACCCGUCAAACGUUCAUAAGUCAUCUCUAUACUGCUUUGAACGAUAAAGGAAUUUAUGUAUUCAGGGAUGACAAACAACUUGAGAAAGGAGGAUCCAUUUCACCAAAUCUCCUUAAAGCAAUUGAAGAAUCAAGAAUUUCAAUUAUUGUUCUCUCAAGAAACUAUGCUUCUUCCACUUGGUGCUUGGAUGAACUUGUCAAGAUUGUUGAAUACAAAGAUAGAGAGGAUCAAAUUUUUCCAAUUUUCUAUGAUGUGGAACCAACUGUUGUAAGGAAACAGACAACAAGUUUUGGAGAAGCUUUUACCAAACACGAAGAAUUUUUCAGGGAUAAUAUAGAAAAAGUACAAAAGUGGAGACACGCUUUAAAAGUGGUGGCCAAUAAAUCAGGUUGGGAAUUGAAGGACAGGUAAUCAUUCUUAUUCUCAAAUAUUAUUAUUAUUAUUAUUAUUUUGUUCUGCAUGAUUAGUAUUCAUGAUUCAACAUUGUUUUCAAUUUAACAGCUUCUGUUUAAUAUGUAUAUAUAUCAUAUGAUGUGUCGUUAUUAAAGUAGUAGUGCUAUAAAUGCAUUAAUAUUUGCAAAUGAAUAGAUAUGGAUGUUGAUACUAUAAAUUAUUGUGUUCUGAACUAUUGAAGACUAUACAUAUGUAUCUUGUGUUGCUUUGUGCUCUAUUAAUCACAUCUAAAAAAUAAAAAUAAAACAUUACUCUUAGAUUGACUCUUUAGUAACUGUUAAUAAUAACAAUGACAAUAAUCGCAAGCCCAAUGAUACCAUCAAUAUCAUUACAUAUUUAGCUAAUUGUAGUGCUACACAUCUCAAAUUUUUUAUUUCAAAAAACCAUCCCAAAAUGAUGUGACGUCCAUCAAUUAGUUCUUGAAAUAAUAUAAUUAACUCACUCGAAUCUUCUAAAGAAUUAUCAACCACUUAUUAAAUGACACAUCAUUUGGGACAUUUAUCAUCAUCAUCUAAUUGAUUUCAUGUGAGCAAUAAUUGUUCUUAUAAAAAAUUGAUAUAAAUUCUCUUUUAAUCUAAUUUAUCCUCCUACAGAAAGAAAUAAUAUGUACAUGAGAAGAAAACAGCAAAAGAAAUUGAAUUUUCUCAUUCUUGUUGUUUCUAACCCACGCGAUAAUAUAUGUUACUUGCUUAUACGACUUCAAUUUGAUGAAAUGAAUAUUAUAUAGUUUGGAUUGUAUGCAUAAUAUGGAAUUGAUUUGUUACUAUGUUUACACAAACUUUAAUUUAACAACAGUAAUCUUCUCUUGUUGUUUUCAAUUUGCAGCAAUGAGUCAGAAUUUAUUGAGGAAAUUGUCAAUGUGAUAUCAAGUAAAAUUCGUACAGAGUCAGAGAUUCUUAAGGAGCUAGUAGGAAUAGAAUCACGCUUGGAGAAACUGAAGUUUCUUAUGGGUGCAGGGUGCAAUGAUGUUCGUAUGAUAGGGAUAUGGGGUAUGGGAGGUCUAGGAAAGACAACUCUUGCAAGAGUUGUUUAUGACUUGAUCUCCCACGAGUUUGAUGGUAGUAGUUUUCUUGCUGAUGUUAAAGAAAAAUAUGAUAAAGAAGGCAGUGUAAUCUCUUUGCAAAAGCAGCUCAUUUCUGAUUUACUGAAGCUUGCGGAUAAUAACAUACGAAAUGUCUAUGACGGUAUUAACAUGAUAGGACGUAGGUUGCGACAAAAAAAGGUCCUUCUCGUGAUCGAUGAUGUCGCUCAUGUUGAGCAACUACGAAGAUUAGCUGGAAAGCGCGAUUGGUUUGGCCCGGGCAGCAGAAUCAUAAUAACAACGAGGGAUGAACAUUUGUUGAAGUUGCAUCGAGUCGAGGAAGUUUUUAAGCUUGAGGCACUAACUUAUGAUGAGGCAUUCCAACUCUUUUGUUUGAAAGCUUUUGAAACCCAGAAGCCCAGGGAAGAAUAUGUUCAUCUAUCUCAACUUGUUGUAAAUUAUGCUGGUGGUCUUCCAUUAGCUCUCAAGGUUUUGGGUUCUUUUUUGUUUGGUAGACCUGUGGACGAGUGGACAAGUACCUUGGAAAGACUAAAAAGAGAACCUGAAAAUGAGAUUCUAGAUAUACUCCAGAUAAGUUUUGAUGGCUUGAAGGAAGCAGAGAAGGAAAUAUUUCUCGAUGUUGCGUGUUUCUUUAAAGGGGAGAAGAGAGAUUACGUGUCAAAAAUUCUCGAUAGCUGUGGUUUUGAACCGGUAAUUGGCAUUGGUAUUCUUAUUGAAAAAUCUCUAUUAACAAUAUGUGAGAGCGACAGACUAUGGAUGCAUGAUUUGUUACUAGAAAUGGGUCGACAAAUUGUUAGGAGGCAGUCCCCACGGGAGCCUGGAAAACGCAGCAGAUUGUGGGAGGAAGCAGACCUAUGCCAUGUAUUGUCACAAAACACAGUAAGUGACUAAUAAAGGGGAUCGGAAAAUUUUUUUUCUUUUACCCAGUAAAAUCUCUAAUGAACUAUUUUGUUGAUAAUAUUUAGGGAACUGAAGUAGUUGAAGGAAUAAUACUUGAUGAUUAUUACUUUCUCCAAGAUAAGGUUUAUUUAAGUGCUAGUCCGAAAGCAUUUUCAAAGAUGACCAACCUACGAUUGCUCAAAAUCUGUGGUCUGCAACUUCCUCAAGGCCUUGAACACCUCUCUAACAAGUUGCGGUUACUUGAUUGGCAUGGAUAUCCUUGGAAAUCUUUGCCAUCAAAUUUGGAAUUGGAUAAAACUGUGGAGUUUAAAAUGUGUUACAGCUGCAUUGAAGAAUUAUGGAAAGGAAUCAAAGUAAGAUCAAUGUUUUGUCACUAAUUUUUUUUUUUAGUGAAUAAUUGUUGAUGACAAUUUUAUUAUUAUAGCUGUAUAUAAAUUAAGAAAUAUCAUUUCAGCUCCUUUUUGUUUUCAACAGCCUUUAAACAUGUUGAAAGUCAUGGAACUCAGCCAUUCAGAGAAUCUGAUUAAGACUCCAGACUUCACAGAGGUCCCAAAUUUGGAGGAGUUGGAUGUUGAAGGAUGUACAAGGUUGCGUGAGAUUCACCCAUCUUUACUGCUUCACAAUAAGCUGAUUUUGUUGAACUUGAAAGGUUGUACAAGUCUUACAACUCUUCCGGGAAAGAUUUUUAUGAAAUCGCUUAAAACACUUGUUCUUUCUGGUUGCUUGAAAUUGAGGAAAUUUCCACACGUUGCGGGAAGUAUGGAGUGUCUGCGGGAACUUCUUUUGGAUGGAACUGAUAUCAAAGAACUGCCACUAUCAAUUGAACUUCUAUCUGGACUUGUUCAGUUGACUUUGAAUGACUGCAAAAGUCUCGUGAGACUUCCCAGCAAUAUAAACGGUUUGAAAUCACUAAAAACUUUGAAUCUCUCUGGCUGCUCCAAACUUGAAAAUGUGCCAGAGACGCUUGGGCAAGUAGAAAGUUUGGAAGAACUUGAUAUAAGCGGAACAGCUAUAAGACGACCUCCAUCCUCCAUUUUUCUUAUGGACAAUCUUAGAACACUCUCUUUUUUUGGGUGCAAUGGGCCACCAUCAGCUGCAUCAUGGCAUUUGUUCCUUCCCUUCAAUUUGAUGGGAAAGAGUUCAUGUCCUGUGGAUUUAAUGUUGCCUUCUCUGUCAGGUUUGUGCUCUUUAACAAAAUUAGAUCUCAGUGACUGUGGUCUAGGGGAAGGAGCAAUCCCGAGUGAUAUUGGCAACUUACACUCAUUAAACGAGUUGUAUCUGAGUAAAAACAAAUUUGUUACGCUGCCAGCAAGUAUUAACGGUCUUUUAAAUCUUAAAAACCUAGAGUUGGAAGAUUGUAAAAGGCUUCAAUCUCUGCCACAACUUCCAUCUAGCAUAAACGUAGUUACAGUGAAUGGUUGUUCUUCAUUGGUGACAUUAUCUGGUGCUUUAAAACUAGGUAAGUCCGACCACACAAUGAUUAAUUGUAUAGAUAGCUUGAAAUUGCCCGGGAACAACAGUUUUGCAAUUUCGAUGCUACGAGAGUACCUUGAGGUCAGUCUCUCACUCCGUUUCUUCCAGCUAUGCCAAGAUUAUGCCUGAGAAUUAAGCAAUGGUAUGGACCUGUUCAUUUUUUGUUUUUCUGUUGCAGGCAGUGUCAGAUCCAAGCCAUAAAUUUAGCAUUGUUGUUCCAGGAAGUGAAAUUCCAGAGUGGUUCGUGUAUCAGAAUGAGGGUUCUUCAAUAACAGUCACAAGGCCUUCAUAUUUGUAUAAUAUGAAUAAGGUUGUGGGAUAUGCUAUUUGCUGUGUUUUUCAUGUCCCUAACCAUUCAACUGGUACCUAUUUAUGGCGUUCGUAUUCCCAAGUUGAGUUACACUGCUCCAUGGAUGGUUCUAAUGUCAGUCAUUUUAUUCGUUCUAGAGGGAACUUCGGUCAUGCUGGGUCAGACCAUCUUUGGCUAUUCUAUUUGUCUCGACAAGAAUGCUACAAUGAUAAGUGGAAUUUUGAAUCUAAUCAUUUUAAGUUGUCAUUUAUUGAAGAAGGUCUAUAUCGGCGAGGUACUGAUUUGAACGUGAAGAGGUGUGGCUUCCACCCAGUUUAUAUGCACGAAGUUGAGGAGUUGGACCAAGCAACAAAGCAGUGGACUCAUUUUACUUCUUAUAAUCUGUAUGAAUCCCCUCACGAUUUUGUUGGAUCUAAUAUGGAAGUAGCCACAACAUCAAAGCGAGGCCUUGCAGAAAAUGCUGGGACAGCUGAAGCCAGUGGCAGUGGCUGCUGCGAUGAAGAUGAGGAACCACCACCUAAAAGAUUUAGACAAUUCAAAUGAAGGGCAAAGCCUAGUGUAACAGUGUAAGUACACAUCCCAAUUUCAAUUUAUGCUAUUUAAAUUUGCACAUGGUAUUUCAUUUAGUUUUUAUUUAUUCUAAUCUUGCAAUUUAUUUUCACGUUAAAUUACUAGAAAUGCUCUACUUGGAUUCAGAAGUUGGUCAGAAUCAGAAUGUGUUGCUCGACCAAAUUGAAGCUUUGUAUUUUGGGAUUUCUCACGAGUUGAAAAUUAAAAAAAGAAGGAAAGUUAGUCCUCUGUCUUGCAUUCUUACUUGUUUCUCCGUUUCAUUGCAGCAUUCUGUCAUUUUGUAUCCAUUAUUAAACGUCCGAGUUUUUGGGUACACUUGAAAGGGCUGAGGACUGGGGUCAUAAUUGAUGAAUUGCAUACAAAUUGCUAUGAGUGAACAAUAAAAUAAGUAUCUCAUUGCAAUCUGGUUAAAUAUAUUCUUUUAUUAUUAUUAUUAUUAUUUUCACUCUUUUGGCGUACAGCUUCUACUGUUCUUUCUAUUUGAGUAGGCCAACUAAGCUUAUUCUAAAUUAUACAGCACGUGAAGCUGAUAUGGAUUUUCGCUUGUUGAGAUUCUUAUUGAAUUUGCAUAGAUUUUACCCUAGAAUAACACUAGCACCUUCUGAUUUGACAUUUCAAAUUAAAGCAAUUUUAAGUCUCACAAAAAGCUGCGAAUUAAAGAAACUGUACAAAUUAUAACAAUUUAUAGAGAAAAAUGAAAUUGAAUGACAAAUGAACUUUGAUGAAGUAAAAUUAUCAUUUAUGUAUGAAGAUCAUAUCACAUAUUUUUCUGUACAAGGAUCAUAUCACAUAUUUGACCAAAAAGACUUUUGACCCAAAAAAAAAUAUGUUCAUGGUUGUCUUCAUUGUGAACAUUUGUGAUUCUUAUCCCUUUUAUUUUGAUGUUGGAACUUUUUUGGGCCUUCAUGAGUUCGUUGAAUUUAGCUGUGCUUAUUUAAUUUGAGUUUUUUUGACUUUUGUUCUUUUUACGCUGGAUUAUUGACCCCCCGAUCUUUUCAUAAAACCUUUUUUUAUUACUUUUUUUUUCUAGUUAUUCUUAUUGGUAACUCCCAAAAUAUCCCUUUUUUAAUCACUCAUCUAAUUUUUAAUAUUAUUUUCUUAUCAAAGUUGAGGUCUAACUUCACCGCUAAGCUUUUCUAAGACUUAAGUUUUAGGUUCUUGUUUCAAUAGAUGUGUGAGUUAAUUGUAAAAAUAUUUUUUAUUAUUUUCUUGUUAAUUCUUUUCACGGAGUCGCAUUAUUGACACCCCUCUUAUAUCCUUGUAAGACCUCUUUUUUUUUUAAAAAAAAAAGAUUAUUCUUACUUUUAAUUUAAAAAAUGUCCUUUUUUUAUACACUCUUCUAAUUUCUUUCUUUCUUUCUUUUUUUAGCAGUGUUGUUAAUUUCAAAUCAAUCCUACAAACGAAUUAAAAAAUUUUAUCGGUGAUGAAUUUUUUAAUGUUAAUCAUUGACUUAAAUUUAAAAUACUUUAAAUUAUAAUUUAUUGAAUUAAAUUACACAUAUUUUAAAUUAUAAUAUAAUUGUACGUAAUCUGUAAUUAAAAAAAAUUAUUCAAUCAAUAAGAACUACAAAAAGAAUAAUAGAAUAUUUUAAAUUUAAGAAAAUUUAAUUUCAAUACGCAGGAAGUCAUGACAAAUUAAAAAAAAAAAAGGGACGUUAAUGAAUACAGUUAAUUUGCAGGAAAAAAGAUCUAAUUGGUUGACUAAUUGUUAUUUAUCCUUAUAUAUAGUUGUAUUUGAAGUUGGGUUUUUUUAAGAAUGACAAAGGGGUGCUCAUAGGUUCACUCUUUCUACAAGUGUGCUCGACAGCUAUUCAAUUUAUUGAUUCUAAGUUCUGAACAGCUUGUAAUCCAUAAUCAAGAAGAGUCAAGUUUUUGACACCCCGAAAGUCUCUAAAAUAAUCUCAUACGCGCAUAUCUUUAUCAUAAUUUUACUUAUUUAUUUUUUUGAUAUGAUGAGGCUCUAAAAAGAGCUAGAAUAAAACAGAACGCGGGUAAGCCACCCCAUACAAGUCAUGGUACAAAAGAGGAGUCACACCAGGUGGGGGAUUAGCAGGAUGAUGAACACCUAGAGGAAGAGAUAGAGCAUAAUUAGCGAGAUAGUCUGCUGUGAAAUCUGCCUCACGGUAGACAUCGUUAAUGAUAAUGUUGUUCCAAUUACGCUGGAUAACCUCCUCGAUAGGCUGAAGAAGGGAAGUGUACUCAUUGUCAGUAUCCACAGGCUUCCUAACCAGUUCAGUGACACAUAGGCUAUCAAUUUCCACCACCAGCCACUUUAUCCCAUGCUCCCAUGCCAGUUUUAGACCAUGAUAUAAACCCCAUAACUCAGCCACCGUAACAGAGCAAUGCCCUAUAUUCAUUCCGAAGCCAAAGAUCCAAGCCCCUUUGUGAUCACGAAUUACUCCAGCACUUGAUGCUUCUGUUCGCUUACAAGCUCCGUCAGUGUUCAACUUGCAUCAUGGCCAAGUUGGGGCAUCUCCAUGCAGUCCAUUUGUUUACUCUCCCGAUGUCGUGACUAGGCCUGUAUUAUUUAUGCAGUUGAUUUUCUCUGCUCUGGUUCGAAUGUCAUGAAGCAUACUCAGGUUGUCAACAGAGGUAUGCUUAAAUUGAAAUUGAUUGCGUCAGAACCAGAGACGCCGACUAGCGAUUUAUUUUUUAUUUGUAGACAUAAUUUUGAUAUGUAUAACAUUAUAUUACUACUGUGCUUACAUUCCUGUUUCGUACGUAAUGUAUAACAUUACAGCAAUAAUGUUUUAGAUGGUUUUCUCAUCUGGUCAAAUGACUAGCCUACCAUAAACAAUAUUGUUUACUUAGUAUCAUCAUAUCAUAUAUUUGAUCUUAUCUUAUCUCAUUUAUAUUUAUAUUAUUUCAUUUGUCUUAUUUUAGUUACUUAGUAUGUACUGUACAUAUAAAUAAUUCAUAAAUAUAAUAUUACCUGUAUAUUUACAUUUCUGUACUUUCCUGGAAGAUGCUCCAACAGCAAAUUGAAUAAACAAAAUGAAAUGUUGUGUCAUCUACUAAACAACAAGAAGGAGAGACAGAGUAAAAAAAAAAAAAAACACAAUAGAGAAAAUGAUAAGCGGAGAGGUUGGUUUAUUCCAUGUAUCUUAUUUGUCAUAAAUACUUAUUGUUUCAUUAAGUAAUAUAAAUUAUUAUUUAACUAUACUUGAAGAAAAGUCUCUGUGUUUAGAUGAUCGAAGCUUUUGUUACCUUUGAUAAUGUCUUUGAUUCCAUUCUCCACCGUUGACCAUAGUCACUCUUUAUAAUUAUCUUUUGCAAAUACUCUUGAGUCUUUUCUUUCUUUCUUUCUUUCUUUUUUUUUUUUUUUUUGGUUGUUGAUGGGAUGGAUUAAGUGUUUGUAAUCUCUCAAUAAUCAACUGUAAGUGAUCACAUAAUAAUUGACUUUAAGUGUUUCAUUUUGCGCUCCCCCCCCCCCCCUCCAAAUUAUACUCUUGACCAUGUAACCCCAAAUUUGGUAUUAUAUUUUAAAAAUCAAUAUAAAUAUAUUAUUAAAUGAAUUGGCAAGCUUGGAUUGAGGAUUUUAGGAAGAAAGACAAAUAUCUAUAUGAAUAUGAUCAGAUGAAUUGGCAAGCUUGAGUUAGGUUCAGAACGAACGAAAAAUAGACAAUGGAAUGAUCAUAUGGAAUUUGCAGGCCCGGCUGAAGAGGGGAGUUGUUGAGGAAUUAUGGUAUUAUUCUCAUGCCUAGGACGUGUUGGAUAAUAUGCCCACGAAGGAACGUGCAUCCCACCUGAUGUGUUGCAUCAGCUCUAUGAUUUGCCAAGCAAAAGCAAUCAAUCAACAAGGUCAGUUUGUGAAUGUUUGUCCUACACGAGUCAUAGCUAGUGAACACAUUUUGAGAUUCCUUCACUAAAUAUGUAUUGUUUUGAUUCAAUAUAGUGAGCACAAGCCCAGUGUUUAUUUAAUCAAUUACAAUUAGUUUUUCUAGCUACUAACUUUUUUGCAAUUUUCUAAAUAAAAAUAUACGUGACAGAAUCUGAUUAUUUAUUGUUGAAUGAACGAUGUGGUAGAACAAAGGAAUUGUAGAAUUUCUUGAGUUUUAGACAUAAAACAGAGUCAGGCCAUAGAACGCAUGUAUGAAGAAAUUAUCAUCUUCCGAUGAUUGAAAAUUAUCAUCACAUUUAUAGUAAUGAUGCUGUGCUUUAUUCAAAAUUAUUUCUUCCAAUAGAGAAGCAAUCAAUAAUGGUAUUAAUUCUUGAACCAGUGGAAAGCAAUUAAUUUUCUUCAUUUGUUUUCUUGCUUGGCUGUGAAACAGCCCAUUUGCGGCUGAACACAGAAUCUGUUUUUUGUUUCUUUGUUGUUUUUUGUGAAUAUUUGGCUUAAUUUACAAUUCAUGGCAUGUCUGAAAAUGGGUCGAUGAAUCUGUUAAAAUAUGGACUCAGAUCUAAAUCAGAUUUAUCCAUGAUACAAUCAAGAGGUGUUAAGAGUGCAAUUUAUGCACUAGUUUUGCAUUGUUUACUUCCCUUAAUAUCGAUAUUUUGCACUUAAUAAUAGUGAUUUACUUGUGUUUUACUUUUGUAGGUACAAUUCUAUUGAUUGGUGAUAAAAUUGAGCUACAAGAUGAUGUUUAAGGAUGAUUGUUCUCUUGGAGAAAUUAUGAGCGUCAGAAGAACUUUGUUGAUAAGGCGUGGGCGCGUGCUGUCAACUACGGACCUGUAGUUUUUAGUUUAACGUGUUUUGUAAUUUUGGUUAUUUUUGUAAUUACGAAUUUAAUAUUUCAGAUAUUAGUAUUUUAUUUUAAAUAGAAUUCUAGAGGAGAAGAGAGAGAGAGAGUAUUUAAGGGAGGAAUCUAUUGUGAAAAAGAGGGACUUUUGGGGAGAAAAGGGAGAAACCCUAGAUCUAAAUUUUUCUCUUCUCUCUAUGAAGAACUAAACCUAUUAUUCUGGUUGAAGGUUAAUGAAGCUUUGAUUCAUCACUACUGUGAGAUCUUUCUUAUGCUUUAACUGCUUUAUUAUUUUUUGGGUAUUUUUUUAUUCUCUGAAUUAUUAUCAUGAUUAUGCUUGUUAAUUAGAUAAUUGGCCACUAUUUAAUUAUCAACUUAAUCUAUUGUCAAUUAAAGGAUUCAUCGUAUGAAGAUUUUAAUGUUUGUGACAAAUAACAUAGCAGAGAGUUGUGUUGUGAGAAUAAACAAUCUAAUUUAAAUGAACCAUCGUAUGUGUUUGUAGAUUAGGAUUUGGGUCUCUCUGGUUUUUCAGGCUUUCAAUUAAUUAAAUCCUAUGAUCGUAUCUAGGGUUGUCUAUUGAUUAGGGAAAUAACCAACGGUCGUACCUUGGUUAUCGACUAGUUAAGGAGAGAUUGGCUAUUAGAGGGUCUCAGUAGCUAUAAUCAGUCUAUUCAUAAGUAGUAAUAAUUUAUAUUUGAAUCAAUGAUCAGUAGUCGAAUUAAGCUGAGUUAAUUCCUUCAACCAGAGCUUUCUCCAAUUUGAAUUACAACUUUAAUUUGCAUUCUUGUUAUUUUAAUUUGAUUUUUAUUAUUGUCAACAAUUCCCCCAUUUUAUGUUUCACAUUUUAAAAGGAUUUAAAUAAUUACCGAUCUCUGUGGACACGACCCUGCUCAAUCACUAUACACAAUUUAUUUAGAGUAUGUAUUUAUUUUUGCUGGCUUCAACAACCAUCAAAGUUUGGCGCUGUUGCCGGGGAUUGGUGUCAUUUAUUUAAUCCUUUUUACGUUUUACUUGGUGUAUGGUUCGUUCUUCUCGUACAGGUACACUUUCGUUUGAUCCUGAAAUUGAGAAGACAGCUUGCCAGCUGAGACAGCGGAUGAAGCGAGCUAAGCAACGAUCCUCAUCGCCUUUGCUUUCUGAAAUAGAUACGGUGCCUGAUUUAGUUGAAUCAUCUAGCGAUUCAAAAGAAAAAGUGAUGGAUAGAGCUGCACAUGUAGAAAGAACUCUUAGAGAGUUAGCUAAACCAGACUUGAAUUAGCAACCACUCUGCAUUCAAUAUGUAGACUUGGAGGUAAAUUUUGAAUUAAAGUCUGGUCUUAUUCAUUUAUUACCCAAGUUUCAUGGUUUUGUAGGUGAAGAUCCUCAUAAACAUCUCAAGGAGUUUCAUGUUGUGUGUUCAAGUAUGAGGCCACAACAUGGAAUUAGAUGGACUAGCUAAAGACUGGUUGUACUACUUGCCUCCUGGAUCGAUUACAACAUGGAAUGGUUUGGAGAAGCAGUUCCUUGAGAAAUACUUUCCUGCUUCAAGAGCUGCCAACAUCAGAAAAGACAUUUGUGGGAUCAGACAACUUCCUGGGGAGACUUUAUAUGAGUAUUGGGAGCGAUUUAAACAAUUGUGUGCCAGCUGUCCUCAACAUCAGAUUUCUGAUCAACUUCUUAUUCAAUAUUUUUAUGAAGGACUAUCAUUAAUGGAUAGGAGUAUGAUAGAUGCUGCUAGUGGAGGCGUGUUGGUGAACAAGACCCCUACUCAAGCAAGGGAGUUGAUCUCAAAUAUGGCUGCCAAUGCACAACAAUUUGGCAGUAGGCAAGAUUCCACUUCAAAAACGGUGAAUGAGGUAAAUAUUUCUUCUGUUGAACAACGUUUAGAUAAACUUACUUCUCUUGUGGAAAAGUUUGUUGUAGGUAAUGUGCAACAAGUGAAGACUUGUGGCAUUUGUUACAAUAUGGGUCAUUCAACUGAUAUGUGUCCUACACUUCAAGAAAAACCCGUUGAACAAGCAAUGCAGUUGGAGGAUUUCCAGGCAUGCCUCAGAGGAGGUUUUCUUCACAAUCUGAGGUGAAUCCAAAGUAAACAUUAGUGCUGUCAUCCUUAGAAGUGGGAAGGAGUUGCAAGAGCCUAGUGAGAAAGUGACAAAGCAUGUAGAAGAUGAGCUUGAAAAGAAUGAAUUGAUGCCUAAAUCUCAAGAUGCGCAACCCACCAAAGCAAAACCCCUACCUAUUGUGAUACCUCCUCCUUUUCCAAGCCGGUUUGCAAAAUCCAAGAAGGAGGAACAAGAGAAAGACAUCCUUGAGACAUUUCGCAAGGUUGAGGUAAACAUUCCUUUAUUAGAUGCUAUAAAACAAAUACCUCGAUAUACUAAAGUCCUUAAGGAACUGUGCACCUCCAAGAGAAAAUUAAGAGGAGAUGAAAAAGUUCACAUGGGGGAGAAUGUUUCAGCAGUUCUCCAAAAGAAACUACUUCAUAAGUGUAAGGAUCCAGGUAUGUUUACUAUCCCUUGUAAAAUUGGUAGUGUUAGAGUUGAAAAGGCUAUGUUAGAUCUAAGAGCUUCUAUUAAUGUCAUGCCUCGUUCCAUUUAUUCAUCUUUGAAUGUUGGUCCAUUAAAAGAAACUGGCGUGAUAAUUCAACUAACUGAUAGGUCUAAUGCAUAUCCUGAUGGAGUAUUAGAAGAUGUCUUAGUAUAAGUUAAUGAGUUGGUUUUUCCUGUCUUUUUUUAUGUAUUUGAUAUGGAAGAGGAUGACUCCUCUAAUUCUGUCCCAAUUUUGCUAGGAAGACCAUUUCUUAAGACUGCUAAGACUAAAAUGGAUGUACAUAAAGGGACUCUCACUAUGGAGUUUGAUGGAGAGGUUAUAGAAUUCAAUAUGAAUGAUGCCAUGAAAUAUCCUAGUGAGGAACAUUCGGUAUUUUCUGUGGAUGUUAUUAACCCUAUAGUGCAGGAAGUUUUUUAUAAGGAAAAAACGAAGACAUUUCAUGAUAGAAUGAUUUUGAGAAAGGAGUUCUCUGUUGGUCAAAAAGUUCUUCUUUUUCAUUCUAAGCUUAAACUUUUUCCGGGUAAAUUACGUUCUUGCUGGGUUGGACCUUUUAUUGUUACUAAUGUUUUUCCUCAUGGUGCAGUUGAGAUUCGGAGUCCGACCUCUGACAAAGUUUUUAAGGUUAAUGAUCAUCGCUUAAAACCUUUUUAUGAAGGUUUUUGAUGUAGCUGAAGUUUAAUGUUCAAAAUAUUCCGUUGAUUCUAGAGAAUACCGAAAUAAAAGAACAACUAAAUUCACGUUGAUUCAAAAGAAUACCGCGAACUUAGGGAUUUAAGACUCGUUGAUUCCGCAGAAUACCGAGAAUUAACUGUUCAAAUACUCACAAAGAGAUUUGAAAAUUGAAAUAUUAUUGAACUCAAAAUUAUGCCUGUAAAAACUACAAAACACACUUAUUUAUACUAAGUAAGACUUGUCCUAAUAUGAUUAGAAAACCUAUUUUAAUAAGACUUAUACCGAAAUUAGAAAUAUUACCCAAAUAAGCAAUACCUAAACAAUAAGACUCUAAAUAGGAAACCAAAUUAAACUAGAAUACAAAUUAAUUAAAAUAUUCCUAAAUAUUAUACAUUUAACUCUAAUUUGGAUUUCUUCAAUUUCUUGCUCUGCAUCAUUCCCGCCAAGCUGGAGAAAGUUCGUCCUUGAAUUUUGUAUGUUGUAGUCUUCAAGAACAUCUUCAUGUGCACAAGGAUUAAUUUUUAAAACAGAGCUUUGACAUAGACGAUGAACUUUAAAUUUUCCAACUUUUGUAAUAACGUCCAUCCAAUCACUCCAAUAGCGUAAAAUAAAUUCUUCUAUCAACAACUUCUCCAAUAAUGUCUUCUCGUAUUGUUCGUAUCGAACAUCAACAUAGUUGAGGAAAAACGAUUUCUUCUCAUAAUCCAUUAAUUGUUGAAAAAUAUCACAACUUUUUUUGUCUUCUUUUGGCAAAUCAAGAGAACAAUAAGAGAUUGUAUCAACAACUAUCUCUCUUUCCUCCACAAGAUCAAAAGAUGGAUGAACAAUUACCUCUUCUCGUCCCACAAUAUCAAGAUACUCAUCAAAUUUCGGCAAUUGAUCCAAAUCAAUGUCUUUGUGUUGAGAAUUUGUUGUAGACAUGAAUGGCCAAUUAAUAUUCUCCUCGGAAGGAAUAAUAUUGUCGAGGGAAACCAAGUUACCAUUUUCCUCAUUAUCCUCACAACAAAUAUCAUCAUGAACAACUUCAUCAAAUCCAUAUGCCUGCUUUAUGUGUAAAGAUUUUAUAUCUUGAAGUUUCUCUAAAUCUUGAGAAAUCAAAAGUAAAAUCCUCAACAUUCUAUUUAAAACUUCUUUCAAGACAAAAUCUUCGCGGCGAUGUUGUCGUUUCAUGAAUCAAUUUUUUUCUUCUUUUUUGUUUUCUAUCUCUUUUUUUUUUAAAUAAUGAAGCUAAACAGAAAAAAACAAAAAUGAGAAAAGAAAUGUUUGGUGGUAGAUGGGAUUAGAUAAGUAAUACCAGGUUUUGGCUCUGAUACCAAACUGAUGCAGCAGAAGUUUAAUGUUCAAAAUAUUCCGUUGAUUCUAGAGAAUACCAGAAUAAAAGAACAACUAAAUUCACGUUGAUUCAAAAGAAUACCGCGAACUUAGGGAUUUAAGACUCGUUGAUUCCGCAGAAUACCGAGAAUUAACUGUUCAAAUACUCACAAAGAGAUUUGAAAAUUGAAAUAUUAUUGAACUCAAAAUUAUGCCUGUAAAAGCUACAAAACACACUUAUUUAUACUAAGUAAGACUUAUCCUAAUAUGAUUAGAAAACCUAUUUUAAUAAGACUUAUACCUAAAUUAGAAAUAUUACCCAAAUAAGCAAUACCUAAACAAUAAGACUCUAAAUAGGAAACCAAAUUAAACUAGAAUACAAAUUAAUUAAAAUAUUCCUAAAUAUUAUAUAUUUAGCUCUAAUUUGGAUUUCUUCAAUUUCUUGCUCUACAUAAGUUUUUCAGUGAAUAUUGUGGAGGAUGUGGCUCUCGAGAGUCCCAAUUACGGAGAUUGAUGCAUAAAUGUGUCUAGCCAAAGACAUAAAACAGAGGCGCUUUUUGGGAGGCAACCCAAAUGAUUUAUUUAUUUUGGUUUUUGUUAUAUCUUCUUUUAAUUUUGAUUCAGAUUUUUUUUAAAAAAUAAUGUGUUUGCUUAUUUUGGCCAGAAGAAAAUUUUUGAUAAGGCGUGCCCACGUCUUAACUAAUAAGUACUUCUGUGAUUUUUAAAGUAAAAUGGUUUUAAGGCGUGCCCACGUGCUUAUUAGAAAAGUACUUCUGAAAUUUUUUUUGUGUCUUAAAGUGAUUCAUCAUUAAAAAAAAAAAUAUUUAUUUAUUUGAAAAUGAAAAAAAUGAAAAAAAAGGUUUUUUUCCUUUCUUUUCUUUCUUAUAUAUAUAUAUAUAUUUGAAAAAAAAACAAAAAAAAUUACUGUUUACAAAAUCCCUAAUUCACAGAAUUGGUUUUCUUCUCCAGCCUUCACCGAGCAGCCACGCAGCACCAGCAAUCCACCAUCGCGCACCAGCCCACGCAGCAGCAGCAGCAGCCGUGAGCGCAACCAGCACCAUCUCGCGCGCUCGCAGAUCCAGCCUUCACCGAGCAGCCACGCAGCAACCCACACUCGCAGAUCCAGCCUUUACCUAGCAGCACGCAGAACCAGCAUCAGCCCAGCUCUCGUGUGCAAUCAACCCUAGCGCACAGAUCCAGCAGCCCGCGCGCGCAGCAGAAUCAGUCCCAGCCCGCACACGCAACGCAACUAGCGUCACUAGCGCAGCAGAACCAGGCCCAGCAGCGCGCAUCAGAAUCAGGCCCAGCGCACAGCAUCCCGCACGCAACCAGCAUCACCAGCUCACAACCAGCAAUCCACCAUCGCGCCAAACUCCAACUGAGCAGCAAUCGUCCGCAACCAACCUACGCCCUGUAUUCCAACCAGGUGAAUCGAAAUUCGUGAGUGAAAUUAUUGUAACAAUGCCAAAGAGGAAAGCAUCAACUUCCAAGUCAUCUAAAAAGACACCUGGCGCAAAGAAAUCCAAGAUUGCCGCUCCCACUACGGUUCCAUGGAACACAGUUUCAAAUUCACGCCAAGCCGUGAGACAAAGAUCGAAACAUGGAAAAGGCAUGAGUGUUUUGCCACUUGCGGAAUCCAAUCUCGGAGGGUGCCUCGCAUUCACGACUCAACAAGAGAAAGAAAGGUAUAAAGAUAUUUCCAAGCGAAAAAUACUUCCAGCUAAGUAUAUUCAUUACCCGACUCUUGAAAAAUUGAAUAUUAAGGAUAAUUUUGAUUCUUUGAUAGAUAAGAUUGGUUUGCGUAAGUUUGUUGAUGUUGAUUGUUUGGGUUAUGUUGAGUUGAUUAGGGAGUUCUAUGCUACUUUUCAAUUUAAUAUACCGAAUGAUUUUACUUUGCAUAUCCCGGAUGUUAUAAAGUUUAGGUUAAUGGAACGAAAUUUUUCACACUCUAUCACGAAUUUUAACCUAGCUUUAGGAUUCAUUGAUGAUGAUUAUUCUUCUAGUGAUGCAUAUUUAGGAACAACUUGUGACUUUAGCGAAAAUUUUGAGCCUUAUGGUCUUUGGCGUAAUUUAUUUGUUGAUCACAAUGCCUAUGACCCGAGUAAAUCAAAGAGUUCUUUCUUACGUGAUCCUGUUUUGAAAUACGUGCAUCGAUUCUUGGCAUAUAAUUUUUUAGGAAAGAAAGAUCACUUAGGAGUUGGCUGGUUCGCGCUGCGUUACAGGGGCUGUGUGACGCUGGUUGCUUUGCUGGGGAUUGCGUUGCGCGUGGGACUGAUUGUGCGGGGCGCGCGGGCUGCUGGUUGCAUUACGUUGCGCGCGGCUGCUGCUGCUGCGCGAUGGUGACGACUGGAUUGAUUUGAGCUGCGCGCGGGAGCUGGAGUCGAGGAUCUGCGUUGCAGGGCGUGUUCGUCUACUGCUGCUCGGCUGCGUUGCGUGCGCGGGACUGAUGCGCUACGCCAUGGUGAUGGCUGGGGCUUGCUGCGCGCGGGCUGGUGGUUGCAGGUGGGACUGAUGCGGCUACUGCUGGUGAAAACGAUAAUCAACAGUGAAUUUUUUUUUUUGAAUUAGGGAUUUGUGAACAGUGAUUCCAAUCGUACCUAAAAGCUUAAGCUGUUAGGAGGGGCGCUACUUUAUACUUAAGUAGGUAAUCCGCCUAACACCAGGUAACGCCUUCACGUUAAUGCCACAUCACCCACAUGGAUGUUGGUAGAGUCACCACCGUGGUGGUGCGGGCCCCAGUUACAGUGACUGGGAUAUAUAUAUUAAGCCUAUUCCUCCCCCGCGGCUCGAACCCUGGCUGGCUCUGAUACCAUCUUAAGGCGCUUACCAAUCGUACCUAAAAGCUUAAGCUGUUAGGAGGGGCGCUACUUUAUACUUAAGUAGGCAAUCCGCCCAACACCAGGUAACGCCUUCAAGUUAAUGCCACAUCACCCACAUGGAUGUUGGUAGAGUCACCACCGUGGUGGUGCGGGCCCCAGUUACAGUGACUGGGAUAUAUAUAUUAAGCCCAUUCCUCCCCCGCGGCUCGAACCCUGGCUGGCUCUGAUACCAUCUUAAGGCGCUUACCAAUCGUACCUAAAAGCUUAAGCUGUUAGGAGGGGCGCUACUUUAUACUUAAGUAGGCAAUCCGCCCAACACCAGGUAACGCCUUCACGUUAAUGCCACAUCACCCACAUGGAUGUUGGUAGAGUCACCACCGUGGUGGUGUGGGCCCCAGUUACAAUGACUGGGAUAUAUAUAUUAAGGGCUCAGCAUCAAGCUUUGCAAAAUUUAAGCUUAAGCUUUUAGGUACGAUUGGUAAAAAGUCUUUAAAUGUUUGAAAUGUUGAUCGAUGGUUUGAGAGAAAAUCAAGACAUCAUCAAUAUUUGCCAAAAUCCUGACUUCAUGUCAAAUUUUGAAAAUAUGAAUGCAGAAUGCAGUUUUUGAAGCAAAUCCUUUUUAUUUAUUAUUUUAUAUAUAUAUAUAAAAGAAAGAAAAUAAGGAAAAAAAUAAUUAUUUUUUUUUUAGUGAUGAAUCACUUUUAGACACUAAAAAUUUCAAAAGUACCUUUUUAAUAAGCACGUGGGCACGCCUUAAAACUAUUUUACUUUAAAAAUUUCAGAAGUAUUUAUUAGUUAAGACGUAGGCACGCCUUAUUAAAAAUUUUCUUCUGACCAAAAUAAGCAAACACAUUAUUUAAUUUUUUUUUAUUCGAAUCAAAACUAAAAGAAGAUAAAACAAAAACCAAAAUAAACAAAUCACUUGGGUUGCCUCCCAAAAAGCGCCUUUGUUUUAUGUCUUUGGCUAGACACAUUUAUGCAUCAAUCUCCAUAAAUAGGACUCUCGAGAGCCAUUUCCUCCACAAUAUUCACCGAAAAACCUUCAUAAAAAGGUUUUAAACGAUGACCAUUAACCUUAAAGACUUUAUCAGAGGUUGGACUCCGAAUCUCAACUGCACCAUGAGAAAAAACAUUAGUAACAAUAAAAGGUCCUACCCAACGAGAACGUAAUUUACCAGGAAAAAAUUUAAGUUUAGAAUGAAAAAGAAGAACUUUUUGACUAACAGAGAACUCCUUUCUCAAAAUCAUUCUGUCAUGAAAUGUCUUCGUCUUUUCCUUGUAAAAUCGCGAACUCUCAUAGGAUUCAUUUCUAAUCUCCUCCAACUCUUGCAGCUGCAACUUCCUCUGCUUUCCCGCUUCAUCCAUCCGCAUAUUGCAUUGCUUAACCGCCCAGUAUGCUCUGUGCUCAAGUUCUACAGGUAAAUGACAAGGCUUACCAAAUACUAAACGAUAAGGAGACAUACCUAUGGGAGUUUUGUAAGCGGUGCAAUUCUCCCAUAAUGCAUCAUCUAAUCGCAAACUCCAAUCCUUUUGAUUUGGACUAACUGUCUUUUCAAGAAUAGACUUGAUUUCUCUGUUUGAUAUCUCAGCUUGUCCACUUGUCUGUGGAUGAUAGGCGGUAGACACUUGGUGGGUAACAUGAUAUCUUUUGAACAAAGCUUCCACCACUCGAUUACAGAAAUGAGUGCCUCUAUCACUUAUCAUCGCUCUUGGUACACCAAACCUGGCAAAAAUAUUAGACUUGACAAAAUCUACAACAACUUUAGCAUUGUCAGUCCGGGUGGCCUUAGCCUCUACCCACUUAGAAACGUAAUCCACUGCUAAAAGAAUGUAAGCAUUGCCAAAAGAUGAGGGAAAAUGUCCCAUAAAAUCAAUGCCCCACAUAUCAAAUAUUUCACAUACAAGAAUAGGGGUAAGUGGCAUUUGAUUUCUAUGACUUAAAUUACCAGUCUUUUGACAAUUCUCACACGACUUACAAAACAUGUAUGACAAUCCUCAAGCCGGGAAAGCUUGGAGGCGUGGACGGAGGCGAGGUUGGCCGAACCACGUAAAAAUCUCUAUGUUUGAAUCCCUCUUCCCUUAUCUUUUUAUAUUGUGAUCAACUUAAUUGUUAUUGCUUUGAAUUUGGAUUAUAUUUGCAUUAAGUUUUUCUUUAUAAAUUGAAUAGUUUUUAGAAUCCCAAUUCACCCCCCUCUUGGGUUGCAUACUUGUAUUUCAAUUGGUAUCAGAGCCUUGUUCUCUUGUUAAGACUUAAUCGUCUAGAGUAAAAGAUCCAUGGCAACCCUAAAUGACUCAACCUUUAGAGAAGGGCAAUCUACAACUUGACCACCAUUCUUUGAUGGAAAUGACUAUGCUUAUUGGAAAACUAGAAUGAGAAUCUACUUGCAAGCCUUAGAUUAUGAAAUUUGGGAAGUUGUUUGUGACGGUCCAUUCAUGCCUAUGUUUAAAGAUGAAGUAGGAGAUGAUAUUCCUAAACCAUCAAGUCAAUGGAGUGAGUUAGAAAAGAGAAAAAUGUCUCUAAACUCCAAGGCUAUGAAUCUUUGUUUUGUGCCCUUGAUAAGAAAGAAUUCCAUAGAGUAUCUAGUUGUGAAAGUGCACAAGAGAUAUGGAACAAACUUGAAGUUGUCUAUGAAGGGACAAAUCAAGUAAAAGAGUCUAAAAUCAGUAGAUACACUCGUCAAUAUGAGCUGUUCCAAAUGGAACAAAAUGAAAAUGUGUAUUCUAUGUAUACUAGAUUCACGGACAUAGUGAACACCCUAGGUGCCUUAGGGAAAACCUUCUUAAAUAGUGAGAAAGUUAAGAAAAUCAUUAGGUCACUUCCAAAAGAAUGGAGACCUAAAUGAACCGCCAUUGAAGAGGCCAAAGAUUUAAAUACUUUACCUCUUGAUGAUUUAAUUGGUUCUCUUAUUUCAUAUGAAGAGGAUUUAGCUGCAGAAAAAGGACAUGAGGAGAAGAAGAAAAGCAUUGCUCUCAAAGCUUCAAAAUAUGAGAGUGAUGGGGAAAGUGAACCGGAUGAUGAAGAGCUAGCCAUGCUAGCAAGGAGGUUCAGAAAAUUCUUCAAGAAAACCAGAGAGAGAAGAAAUUUCAGAAACUUCAAGAACUAUAGGGAGAAGAAGGAGGCAAUUACAUGCUAUGAAUGCAAGAAGCCUGGACAUAUAAGAUCGGAGUGCCCACUUAUCAACAAACUUAAGAAGAAAGCAAUGGUUGCAACUUGGGAUAAUAGUGAGGAAGAAUCAAGUGAUGAAGAAGGAUCGCAAGAAGUAUCAAACCUAGCACUCAUGGCAAUAGGAGGGGAUGAUGAUCUCAAUGAGGUAAGUGAUCCUACCUAUGAUGAAUUGUAUGAUGCUUUCAAAGAUUUGCAUAAUGAGUUAAUGAAGAUUGGUAAAAAGAACGUAUGUCUUAAAAAGGAAAUGGUAAAGCUUAAAAAUGAAAAUGAAUCUCUAAAUGCAAGAAUUGUAUGCCUAGAAGUAGGGAACAAAACAUUGCAUGAUGAAAUUGCAUUAUCAAAUGAGAAACCUAGCAUCUUACAUGAGCAUUUAGAAUCACACAUAGAUGAGUUGAAAAAUGAGAACGAAAUGCUCAAGAAAAAGAGUAAUGAAUUGAAUGAAAUUGUUUUGAAAUUUACAAAUGGGCAAAAGAUGUUGGAUAAUAUGCUUAACUCACAAAAAUGUGUUUUUGAUAAAGGAGGACUUGGGUAUAAGCCUAAUUUGAAGCAAAAGUAUUAUAAGAAUUAUUUUGUUAAAGCUACCUCCACAAAUGAUCAUAAGAUUGUAUGUUAUUAUUGUAAUCAAAAUGGUCACAUGAAAUAUAGAUGUCCCGUGAAAAGGAAUGCAUAUUAUGGUGUCAAAUGCAUUUGGGUUCCAAAAGGAACUGUUGCUAACUCUCAAGGACCCAAAAAGCUUUGGGUACCUAAAACUUGAGAUUUUUUCUUGUAGGGCUUGAAGAAGAAGAAAAAUAAAUGGUACUUGGACAGCGGUUGUUCAAGGCACAUGACCGGAAACUAUGCAUGGUUCUCAAGCUUCACCAAAAUUGAAAAUGGUGGAGACGUAUCUUUUGGAGACAACUCAAAAGGAAAAAUUCUUGGAAUUGGAAAUGUUGGUAAAGUCUCUUCAACUCUAAUUGAGAAUGUAUGUUUGGUUGAGAACUUGAAACACAACUUAAUUAGCAUUAGUCAAUUAUGUGACAAAGGUUAUAAAGUUAUCUUUGAUAAAUUUAGUUGUGUUAUUGAGAACUCAUGUGAUGGCAAAACCUUGUUUGUUGGUAAUAGAUGUGGUAAUGUUUAUACCAUUGACAUAGAAUGUGCAUCUACUCUUGAUAAAUGUUUUUCCGCAUUACAUGAUGAUAGUUGGCUAUGGCAUAGAAGAUUAGGACAUGCAAGUAUGGAUUUGAUUUUGAAAAUUUCGAAAAAUGAUUUAGUUAAAGGUCUUCCGAAAAUUGGUUUUCAAAAGGAUAAGAUUUGUGAAGCUUGUCAAUUUGGAAAAAAAUCAAAACCUCUUUCAAAAACAAAAACCAUAUCUCUACUUCAAAACCUCUUAAACUUCUUCACAUAGAUCUAUUUGGACCAUCUAGAUAUGCUAGUCUAAAUGGCAAAUAUCAUGCAUUUGUGAUAAUGGAUGAUUAUUCUAGAUAUACAUGGGUAUUAUUCUUAGCCAAUAAGGAUAAUGCUCUUGAUGCUUUUAAAGUGCUUUAUAAGAAAUUACAAAAUGAAAAAGGGUGUGACAUUAUAUGCAUUAGGAGUGAUCAUGGAGGAGAAUUUGAAAAUCAUGCAUUUGAGAACUUUUGCAAUAAUCUUGGCAUUGAGCAUCAAUUUUCAUCACCUAGGACUCCACAACAAAAUGGAGUUGUUGAGAGAAAGAAUAGGUCUAUUCAAGAAAUGGCUAGGACCAUGUUAAAUGAAAAUGCAUUACCUAAAUAUUUUUGGGCCGAAGCCGUCAACACCGCUUGCUAUGUUUUAAAUCGGGUGUUGAUUAGACCUCAUCUCAAUAAAACUCCCUAUGAGCUUUGAAAAGAUAGAAAACCCAACAUUGGCUAUUUCAAAGUUUUUGGAUGCAAAUGUUUUAUUUUAAACACAAAAGAUAAUCUUGGUAAAUUUGAUCCAAAAUCUGAUGUUGGCAUCUUUCUUGGGUAUUCAAACUCAAGUAAAGCUUAUAGAGUUUAUAAUAAAAGAACUUUAGUUGUGGAAGAAUCCAUGCAUGUUACGUUUGAUGAGUCUAAGCCCUUCUCUACGGAGAAAGGAGUUGCUAAUGAUGAUGCAGAUGGAGACUUACAAGAGGAAUCAUCAAAAGAGAUUCAAGAAAAUGCACCAUAAGAAAAUCAAGAGGAUAGACAAGAAGAACAAACCAAUACGGAGCUGGAGCAACAAGAAGGUAUUUCUCAAACACUCCCCAAGGAGUGGAGGUAUGUCUCUUCUCAUCCUAAAGAUGUAAUUUUAGGAGAUCCCUCACGAGGUGUUACAACUAGAUCAUCUCUUAAGAAUACUUGUGAGCAUAAUGCAUUUAUCUCUCAAAUUGAACCCAAAUCCUUUGCGGAUGCGGAAAAUGAUGAAUCUUGGAUUAUGGCAAUGCAAGAGGAGUUAAAUCAAUUUGAAAGAAACAAUGUGUGGGAAUUAGUUCCUAAACCGAAACAUCAAUCUGUCAUAGGCACUAAAUGGGUAUUUAGAAAUAAGAUAGAUGAAUCCGGGUUGGUUGUAAGAAAUAAAGCUAGAUUAGUGGCUCAAGGUUACAACCAAGAAGAAGGAAUUGAUUUUGAUGAAACUUUUGCACCUGUAGUAAGGUUAGAAUCCAUUAGGAUGUUGUUAGCAUAUGCAUGUCAGAAGGAUUUUAUUUUAUAUCAAAUGGAUGUCAAGAGUGCUUUCUUAAAUGGAUAUAUUAUGGAGGAAGUUUAUGUGAAACAACCUCCUGGUUUUGAAAAUGAAAAAUUUCCAAAUCAUGUUUAUAAGUUGCUUAAAGUCUUGUAUGGAUUAAAACAAGCACCUAGAGCAUGGUAUGAUAGACUUAAAAAUUUUUUGCUAGAAAAUGAUUUUUCUAUGGGUAAAGCGGAUACUACUCUAUUUGUUAAGCAUAAGAACCAAGACAUACUUAUUGUUCAAAUUUAUGUUGAUGAUAUUAUUUUUGGUUCUACUAAUGAGUUGUUGUGUAAAGAAUUUUCAUCGUGUAUGAGCAAAGAAUUUGAGAUGAGUAUGAUGGGAGAGUUGAAGUACUUCCUUGGACUUCAAAUCAAACAAAACGAGGAAGAAAUUUUCAUAAAUCAAGCCAAGUACAUAAAAGAUCUACUCAAACGAUUCGGCAUUGAUGACUCAAAGACCAAGAAUACACUAAUGAGCACAACAACCAAGCUGGACAAAGAUGAAAAAGGCAAAGAAGUUGAUAUCAAAAUGUAUCGAGGUAUGAUCGGAUCCCUACUUUAUUUGACUGCAAGUAGACCCGAUAUCAUGUUUAAUGUAUGUUUGUGUGCAAGAUUUCAGUCAUGUCCCAAGGAAUCUCAUUUGCUUGCUGUUAAAAGAAUUUUUCAUUAUUUGAGUGGAACCAUAGAUAUUGGCCUUUGGUAUCCUAGGGGAACUCAUAUAGAUUUAACAUGUUAUUCGGAUGCGGACUUUGCCGGUUAUAAAGUAGAUAGGAAGAGCACUAGUGGUACUUGCUAUAUUCUAGGACACUCUUUUGUUUCAUGGUUUAGCAAGAAACAAAAUUCUGUCGCAUUUUCAACUACCGAGGCUGAAUAUAUAGCUGCCGGAAGUUGUUGUGCACAAGCACUUUGGAUGAAACAAACACUUAGAGAUUAUGGCAUUAAUCUUGAACAAAUUCCUAUUAAGUGUGAUAAUACUAAUGCUAUAAAUCUUUCAAAGAAUCCCAUUCAACACUCUCGAACCAAGCAUAUAGAAAUAAGACAUCAUUUCUUGAGAGAUCAUGUUCAAAAGAGAGACAUUGCAUUAGAGUUUAUUUCUACGGAAAAACAACUUGCCGAUAUUUUUACAAAACCACUUUGUGAAGAACAAUUUUCCAAAAUUCGGCAUGAACUUGGGAUGAUGAAAUUUUCACAUUAACAUCUUCAUUCAUGCUAUUGAGUGUAUUAACAUUGAUUGAUCUAUGACUUGAUGCUUUAAUAUCUAUGAAAUGCUCAAUCGUAAUAUACAUGUGAUGUGUAUGUAUAAUUGAAAAUGUAUGAAUUAAUUUUGCAAUACAUAUAUAUGUUCAUGAAUUAUGCAUUGAAAUGGCACUCAAAUCAUUUUGGAUCAAUAAAAUGAUCUUGAAAUGUAUUAAUAAGUAGCCAAAUAUCAAAAUACAUGUGCAAAAUCAUAAAUUGUAGAAAACGGAUUGUCGUUAUUUCAAUAAACGGCUAACCGUUUUGGGCAGAAACAAUGGAAAGUUUUCUGGGCGCUAUCGGUUCGCCGAUAACUAUCUAUCGGCUCACCCUCCUAAUACAAAAUUUUGAGGAGACUCCCUAGACCCUAUCGGCUCGCCGUUUUGAUGAAAUAUUUUAGAGGACUCUCUGGACUCUGUCGGCUCGCCGUUUUGAUGAAAUAUUUUAGAGGACUCUCUGGACUCUGUCGGCUCGCCGUUUUCUUUAUAACGGCUCGCCGUUAUCACGCGUUAAUUGAACAGUCCUUCGUCUUCCUCCUCAUUUCAGUUUCUCUUUCUCUCUCCCUCUCACUCCAACCCGUGACUGCACCAGUUCUCUCCUCUCAAUUCCAUCACUUUUCUUGUCAUUUUUCACCAAAUUGAAGGAUUACAAAUCAUUUUCAUCAUCUCUAGCAUCUUUUAACCGAUUAAAAUUCUUCUUUUUCUUCAAAAUUUGAAAAAUCUCUUUUUAAAACCCUAGAACCAGCCGAACCUCAUUUGCUCAAAUUUGACCUAAAUUUCUUCCUUUUUCCAACCACAUUUCCACCCACAAUCACUCUCUCAUCUCUCAAACUUCAUUUCCCCCGAUCUAUUUUCCUUCUAACACAUCCAUGGCGGAACGACCACAAAGGCGUGCUCAAACCAAGCACACUGCUCCACGACGUUCUAGUCCACCCAGGUCUCCUCCUCAAGACUUCGAGAGUCUUCAUUUUUCCGAUGCCACCUCUGCUCAGCGAUUUCGUGAGAAAUUCAUGGGUAAACCCGUAACUCCCUCUUUUUCUCUUAACAUUUCGGAGUUUUCGGAUAUUACUGUUUGUGGUCACUCCAUUGCUCAAAUGCUUAGUCAUUGGAAGCAAGCUUUAAGUAUUGAAGAACCAAUUUAUGAAAAUCUAGUUCGAGUCUUUUAUUCUAACAUAGAAUUCCCCUCUACUCGUCGUGACGAGCUUCAUACAUAUGUAGGAGGAAUUCGCAUUGAACUUGAUGAACCCGAAUUAUGUAGUAUUCUAGGAAUAGCUUAUGGAGGUUUAGAUCUGUACACCGCUAGGAAAGAACUAUCUUUUAGUGAUUUUCGUCAUGUGGAUGGUGUACGGAACAUUUGUCGUCGUCGGGAUCUUUCCGAUGACAUCUGCUCUCUGUCCUUUAGGUCUCAACUCCUCCCUUUUCAGAUUCGAAUACUUCACAUUAUUCUCCAACACAUGGUCACUCCUAGACAGGGUCACACUGAUGAGGUCACUAGGCUUGAUACUGGUCUAUUAAAUUCUCUUAUCCGUAGACGCCAUGUGAGCUUAUCCUACACUAUUCUGUGUCAUAUGAUGUCCACUCCUAAAGUCUCCAAUCGAUCUCUUCUUUAUGGCAGCAUCAUUACUAAAAUCUUGAACCACUUUCGAGUUCCUAUCAUCGAGCCUGUUUUUCUCGAGACUCGUAAGCUCGGACGAGAAAUUAUUUCUGCCAUCGGAUUCUUUAAGAAGCGUGGGAAAUGGGAGAAGACCACAUCCUCUAAAAACCCAGAGGAUGAUCGUAUGUUGAAUGAUGUCUACUCCGAGGAUGAGUUACCUGAUUUCUGCCUUGGGGCUAGACCGCAUGUUCCUCGCCGAGCAACAGCUGCAUCUUAGGAUGACGAGCCUACCGAGACUGCCGUCCCUCCUGCAGCAUCGGCUGUUCCUGAGGAUCGCUUCCAGCAGCUUCUCAACAGAGUGGAUACUCUGUCCCAGCAGCAGCAGCUUCGAUAUGAUUUUGCAACCUUUCGGAAGCAAAUUUCAAAUCAGCAGAUGGAGUUACUUGCGGGCCAGCAUCGCAUUCUCGACUACUUUGGAUAUGACCCCGGCAGCUCGUCUUCACAGCCUCCAUCUUAGCUUUUCUGCCCCUCUGAUAUUCGCACAGACAUUUCUCAUUUCAUGUUAUUUGCCUUAUGCAUAUGAUGUUAUUUGUUUUGUGUUUAUGCUUCUGAUAUCUCAUGUUAGACAUGUGCACUUGAUUUAUGUUUGAGUUGGCCUUGGUAUUAUAUUGUUUAUCUUGCUCAUUAUGGAAGUGUGAAAUUGUUGGUAUGGAGAUUGGUUGAUAUGGUGGCAUAUUUAUAUGGAAGUGUUUUUUUCUUUUUAACUCUGUGUAUUGUUGAGGUAAUGCUUAUAUUUAAGGGGAGAUUCGGCCAAAGUUUUUUCAAGCAUAAGUCAUUCCUCAUGCCUCUUUCUUUUUUAUGAUGAAGGGGGAGAUAAUUGGCAUUGGCAUAAAAUUAUUUAUUUCUUCCAAUCAAUCUGUUUUAAACUUGUUUGAGAUUAAAGUUAAAUGAAUUUUUUAAGGGAGAUUAACAAGUCUUUCAAAAUCUCACUUAGGGAGAGCUCAUAUUUAGGGGGAGCAAAAUUACACAAGUAUUUUCUUGAAAAGUUUGUCAUCAUCAAAAAGGGGGAGAUUGCUAACAUAAAUAAUUCCUUAUUGAUUUUGAUGAUAACAAACAUGAUUAAGUUUGAUAAAUCUUUUGAGGACUCAACAUAUUUUUUCAUCUAUUUUUGACAAGUUUCAUAAAGUAUUGUUUAUAAAGAUUUGGAGUCAAAACAGUCAUCUUGCAAAAUAGAUCACUACAGCAAUUUUUGUGGAAAGCGGCGAUCCGAUAUGUGUAAUAAACAGCUCACCGAUUUCAAGCAGAAAUGGAGAUUAGCCUCUGGACGUAAACGGCACACCGACAUGUGUGAUAAACGGCUCGCCGAUAUCAACCAGUAGCCUCUGGACCUAAACGGCGAACCGAUAUGUUGCUAAACGGCUCGCUGAUAUCAACCAAAACUAAAGGGUAGUCUCUGGACCUAAACGGCGAACCGACAUGUGUGAUAAACAGCUCGCCGAUAUCAACCAGUAGCCUCUGGACCUAAACGGCGAUCUGACAAUUUGAAAAAUCAGCCCAACGGUCAUAUUGAUCAGUCAAACGGCGAUCCGACAUCUAGCUAACGGCGAUCCGUCCGUGUGCAGAAAGUUAAUAACGGCUAGUUUUCAACAGCAGCUAUAAAUAAGCUCAUUCAAAUUCAAACAAAAGCUUAUCACAACACGACUACUGAGCAUAUAAUUGAGAGUACAAUCUUCAUUGAGCUAUUAAAAUACAUUCUUGCUUCAUCUAUCUAUAUAUUGGGUAUCAUUGUGUAAUUUUAUAUAUUGUGAGAGGCAAAACAAUUUGUAAUCUUUUACUUUGAGUGAUUGUAAGUGUUGGGAUACACUUGGGUUAAGAGAUUGGGGAUAAUCUCUUGUUGUAAAGGUUUAUUGACACCUUGGAAGUCAAGUGUAAGCAUUUGAAGCCUUGGAGGCUUGCUUAGUGGAAUCCUCAAGCCUGGAAAGCUUGGAGGCAUGGACGUAGGCGAGGUUGGCCGAACCACGUAAAAAUCUCUGUGUUUGAAUCCCUCUUCCCUUAUCUUUUUAUAUUGUGAUCAACUUAAUUGUUAUUGCUUUAAAUUUGGAUUAUAUUUGCAUUAAGUUUUUCUUUAUAAAUUGAAUAAUUUUUAGAAUCCCAAUUCACCCCCCUCUUGGGUUGCAUACUUGUAUUUCAAGGACAUGUGAAGGUAGUCUUCUCCUGAUCCUCAGGCGCAACUGGUAUCUGAUGAAAACCUAAAUAGCUAUUAAGACAACAAAAGUGAGAUUUUCCUGCUAACCUUUCAAGCAUCUGAUCAAUAAAAGGAAUAGGAAAAUGAUCCUUUCUAGUAAGUGAAUUAAGCUUUCUAAAAUCAAUACAAACCCUCCACCCAUUCUGAACUCGGGUAGGUACUAACUCACCAUAAGAAUUCUCAAUAAUUGUUAUAUCAGUUUUCUUCGGUACUACUUGUACCAGACUUACCCAUUUGCUAUCCGAAAUUGGAUAGAUUAUACCUGCAUCAAGAAGUUUUAGAAUUUCUUUCUUCACUACUUCCAUUAUGAGUGGAUUCAAACGGAGUUGAGCUUGAAUUGAAGGUUUGGCAUCUUCCUUCAGCAGUAUUCUAUGCAUGCACGUAGACGGACUUAUCCUUUUAAUAUCUGCAAUUGUCCACCCAAUAGCCUUUUUGUAAUCCUUCAGCACUCUAAUAAGUUUCUCUUCCUCUAAAGUACUAAGCUUUGAAGAGAUGAUCACCGGAAGUGUCUCAUCCUCUCCUAGAAACAUGUACUUUAGAUAACUCGGCAAUGGUUUAAGCUUUAUUUUCGGUGCCUACAAAAUAGAUGGAAGAAGUUUUGCAUGAGAUGAAGGUAAUUCAAUAUUAGACAUAUGAUGAGUUAAAGUUCUCAAAGAAUUUAAUUCAUAAAUUGUCUCUUGCAAUAAAAUUUAAAACAAACUCAUUUUCAUCCUUUUGCAAUCUUUCGAGGCCCAAACUGUUAUUUAAAGCAGCUACCAAUGAAUCUUCAACAUUCAAAUAAAAAACUUCCUGCACUAUAGGGUUAAUAACAUCCAUAGAAAAUACCGAAUAUUCCUCACUGGGAUAUUUCAGGGCAUCAUACAUAUUGAAUUCUAUAACCUCUCCAUCAAACUCCAUAGUAAAAGUCCCUUUAUGUAUAUCCAUUUUAGUUCUAGCAGUCUUAAGAAAAGGUUUUCCUAGCAAAAUUGGGACAUAAUUAGAGGAGUUAUCCUGUUCCAUAUCAAGUACAUAAAAAUCAGCAGGAAAAACCAACUUAUUAACUUGUACUAAGACAUCCUCUAAUACCCCAUCACCAUAUGUAGUAGACCUAUCAGCUAGUUGAAUUAUCACGCCAAUUUCUUUUAAUGCACCAACAUUUAAAGAUGAAUAAAUAGAAUGAGGCAUGACAUUAAUAGAAGCUCCUAGAUCUAACAUAGCCUUUUCAACUCUAACACUACCAAUUUUGCAAGGAAUAGUAAACAUACCUGGAUCCUUGCACUUAGGAGGUAGUUUCUUUUAGAGAACUGCGGAAACAUUCACUCCCAUGUGAACUCUUUCAUCUCCUCUUAAUUUUCUCUUGGAGGUGCAUAGUUCCUUAAGGAAUUUAGCAUAUCGAGGUAUUUGUUUUAUAGCAUCUAAUAAGGGAAUAUUUACCUCAACCUUGCGAAAUGUCUCAAGGUUGUCUUUCUCUUGUUCCUCCUUCUUGGAUUUUGCAAACCGACUUGGAAAAGGAGGAGGUAUCACAAUAGGUAGGGGUUUCGCUCUGGUGGGUUGCGCAUCUUGAGAUUUAGGCAUCAAUUCAUUCUUCUCAAGCUCAUCUUCUACAUGCUUUGUCACUUUCUUACUAGGCUCUUGCAACUCCUUCCUACUUCUAAGGAUGAUGGCACUAGCAUUUUACUUUGGAUUCACCUCAGAUUGUGAAAGCAACCUCCCUGAUACUUGAGACUCUAGACGGCUCAUCGUAGUUGCCAAUUGACUCACUUGGCUCUCCAAAUUCUGAAUGCUUGUUGUGGUUGGCUACUGAAAUUGUUGAGCGUUAGUCGCAAGUGAUUUAACAAUUUCUUCAAGAGAUAUACCUGACUUGGAGUUUGAUUGUGGAGGUGCUGGUUGUCUUGGUGGAUAUUGUUGUAGGAAUCCUGACGGCCUAACUCCAUAGCUGAAGUUGGGGUGAUCCUUCCAUCCCGGAUUGUAUGUUUGUGCAUGAGGAUCAUACCUCCUCUGAGGCAUGCCUGGAAAUCCUCCAACUGCAUUGGCUUGUUCAACGGGUUCUUCUUGAAGUGUAGGAUACAUAUCAGUUGAAUGACCUAUAUUGGAACAAAUGCCACAAGUCUUUACCUGUUGCACAUUACCUAAAACAAACUUUUCCAUAAGAGAAGUAAGUUUAUCUAAACGUUGUUCAACAGAAGAAAUAUUUACCUCAUUCACCAUUCUUGAAGUGGCGUCUUGCCUGCUGCCAAAUGAUUGUGCAUUGGCAGCCAUAUUUGAGAUCAACUCCCUUACUUGAGUUAGAGUCUUGUUCACCAACACACCUCCACUAGCAGUAUCUAUCAUACUCCUAUUCAUUAAUGACAGUCCUUCGUAAAAAUAUUGAAUAAGAAGUUGAUCAGAAAUCUAAUACUGAGGACAGCUGGCACACAAUUGUUUGAAUCGCUCCCAAUACUCAUACAAAGUCUCCCCAGGAAGUUGUCUAAUCCCACAAAUAUCUUUUCUGAUGUUGGCAACUCUUGAAGCAGGAAAGUACUUCUCGAGGAACUGCUUCUUCAAACCAUUCCAUGUUGUAAUCGAUCCAGGAGGCAAGUAGUACAACCAGUCUUUAGCUAGUCCAUCUAAAGAGAAAGGAAAAGCACGCAACUUAAUCUGCUCUUCAGUCACGCCUUGUGGUCUCAUACUUGAACAUACAACAUGAAACUCCUCGAGAUGUUUAUGAGGAUCUUCACUUGCAAAACCAUGAAACUUGGGUAAUAAAUGAAUAAGACCAGACUUUAAUUCAAAAUUUACCUCCAAAUCUACAUAUUGAAUGUAGAGUGGUUGCUGAUUCAAGUCUAGUUCAGCUAACUCUCUAAGAGUUCUUUCUACAGGUGCAGCUCUAUCCAUCACUUGUUCUUCUGAAUCGCUAGAUGAUUAAACAAAAUCAGGCACCGUAUCUGUUUCAGAAAGCAAAGGUGACGAGGAUCGUUGCUUAGCUCGCUUCGUCUGCUGUCUCAGCUGGCUAGCUGUCUUCUCAAUUUGAGGAUCAAACGAAAGUGUACCUGUACGAGAAGAACGAACCAUACACUAAGUAAAACGUAAAAAGGAUUAAAUAAAUUACACCAAUCUCUGGCAACGGCGCCAAAAUUUGAUGGUUGUCGAAGCCAACAAAAAUAAAUACCUACUCUAAAUAAAUUGUGUAUAGUGAUUGAGCAGGGUCGUGUCCACAGAGAUCGGUAAUUAUUUAAAUCCUUUGAAACGUAAAACGUAAAAUGGAGGAAUUGUUGACAUUAAUAAAAAUCAAAUUAAAAUAACAAGAAUGCAAAUUAAAGUUGUAAUUCAAAUUAGAGAAAGCUCUGGUUGAAGGAAUUAACUCAGCUUGAUUCGACUACUGAUCAUUAAUUCAAAUAUAGAUUAUUAUUACUUAUGAAUAGACCGGUUAUAGCUACUGAGACCCUCUAAUAGCCAAUCUCUCCUGAACUAGUCGAUAACCAAGGUAUGACCGUUGGUUAUUUCCCUAAUCAAUAGACAACCCCAGAUAUGAUCAUAGGAUUUAAUCAAUUGACAGCCUGAAAGACUAUAGAGACCCAAAUCCUAAUCAACACAUCCGAUGAUUCAUUUAAAUUAGAUUGUUUAUUCUCAUAACACAACUCACUGCUAUGUUAUUUGUCACAAACAUUAAAAUCUUCCUACGAUGAAUCCUUUAAUUGACAAUAGAUUAAAUUGAUAAUUAAAUAGUGGCCAAUUACGUAAUUAACAAACAUAAUCAUGAAAAUAAUUCAGAGAAUAAACAAAUACUCAAAAAGCAAUAAAACAAUUAAAGCAUAAGAAAGAACUCACAGUAGUGAUGAAUCAAAGCUUCAUUAUCCUUCAACCAGAAAAAUAGGUUUAGUUCUUCAUAGAGAGAAGAUAAAAGUUUAGAUCUAGGGUUUCUUUCUUUUUCUCCAAUCUCCCCUUUUUUUCACAAUAGAUUCCUCCCUUAAAUACUCUCUAUCUCUUCUCUUUUAUACUUCUAUUUAAAAUAAAAUACUAAUAUCUGAAAUAUUAAAUUCGUAAUUACACAAAUAACCAAAAAUACAAAACACGUUAAACUAAAAACUGCAGGUCCGCAGUUGACAGCAUGCGCCCACGCCUUAUCAAUAAAGUUCUUUUGACGCUCAUAAUUUCUCCAAGAAAAUAAUCAUCCUUAAACAUCAUCUUAUAGCUCAAUUUUAUCACCAAUCAAUAGAAUUGCAUCUGUAAAAGUAAAACACAAGUAAAUAACUAUUAUUAAGUGCAAAACAUCGAUAUUAAGGGAAGUAAACAAUGAAAACUAGUGCAUAAGUUGCACUCUAACAAAUUCCCCCACUCCAAGAUGAUGCUUGUCUUCAAGCAUAUAACUCAAGAUUAAUCCCAAAUCUCCACUCAAUUCUCAUCUCAACUCAUCCAAAAAUAAUUUUAAGUAAGCAUACCUCAAGAAAUUAAGUCGAUCAACAUUCGAGAGACAAGGAUUUUUAAAGCAUAGAAUCUCAUAAGAUAGAAUAAGAACAUUCAACCACCAAGAAGAUCCAUUCAAAAUUCAAGUGCAACAAGAUUUAAUAGCCCUCUCAAUGACUUCACUCCAUGCACUCAAAGUGUUUAGGGUAUCAUUUAUACACUCAAAUCAAAUCAAAGAAUGCUAUUACCAUAAGCUUGCUCAUAUAUCACAUCUCAAUCCACAAAAUAUGAAUAAAAUGAAAAAUCUAAGGGUCUUAAAAAGGUUGUAAUGGGGUUAAAUAGGUUAAAUGAAAAUGAAAGGUCUACGAAAGAAAAAGAGAUCAAAAUGAGAAUAAUGAACUCAUUGAAUGAACUUAUGAUAUUAAAAUGCUUAUUUCUAUUCAAGUCACCAAGAAUGUAAACAUUUUUUUUCGAUCUUUUUUUUUUCUUUUUCUUUUUCUUUUUUUUUUUUUUUUUUUUUUUUUUUUUUUUUUUUUCUUUUUUUUUCUUUUUCUUUUUCUUUUUUUCUUUUUUUUUGUUUUUUUUUUCGAAUCAAACAAAAGAAACGAACCUUGCACAAUUUAAUUCAAGCAUAAUGCUUGUUGAUCUAAUUGAGAAACUUUAAUACAAGGUAGAAAAAGCAACAAAAUAUAUCCACACAAUGAGUCCAAAAAUCUCCUUAAAUUGAGGCUCAAAAAGAAGAAAAAUGGUUAAGUAGACGGAGAGAAUUAGAUGGGUAAUGGUUAAGGCUCAAACAAAGAUAGCAAAUAAAGGUCUUCGGGUAGAGAAAAAAAAACGCGAGAAUAGAAAAAUGGAAAAGGGUUUGCCCUUAUCAUUUUAAUGCAUAAAAUGCCAUAAUGUGGCUUUAACAUGCAUAACAAAGCAAGUUCUAGAAUAAACAAACUAAGAUUGAUAUUCACAUAACAAAAAUAUUAGAGCAAAGUGGUUGCUCAUAGGCUCAAAUCCUCAUAAAGUUGGUAAAUUUGCCAUCAAAUCAUGUACACUCUUCAAAUGAAUCAACCAUCAAUAGUGGUAUAGAAUGAGAAGAAGGUAUAAGUGAUAUAUAAAAGGAAAGGUAAAAAUGAUAAGAAGUGAGAAAGAUGUAUGUAGUAAUAUGAAAAGUGAAAGAUAAAAUGUGAGUGAUGAUAGAGUAUGAUAGAAUAAAAAUAGAUGUAAAUAAUUUGAUAUAGAUGGGAAAAGAGUAGUGAGAAAGAAAAGAAAAGAAAAAAUAAUAUAUGAAGCAUACUAACUCCAAAAUCAUUUAAGGAUGAGUAGAGUGAAAAUACUACUUCCAGACAUCAAUAAUGCAAAAAUCCCUCCCCCACACCAAGAACUUACAUUGUCCCUAAUGUAAGAUAAUCAAAGCUCACAUAAAAAUUAAAGCGUAAGGAUAAAAGAUUAAAGACAAAAAAAACUUUCCUGAAUUGUGAGCUUUGAUCCACAUAACGUCCAUGGGCUUGGGGGAAAUGGUGGGAUAAAUCCCACACUCUCGAAGCAAUCAAUAAUGGUAUUAAUUCUUGAACCAGUGGAAAGCAAUUAAUUUUCUUCAUUUGUUUUCUUGCUUGGCUGUGAAACAGCCCAUUUGCGGCUGAACACAGAAUCUGUUUUUUGUUUCUUUGUUGUUUUUUGUGAAUAUUUGGCUUAAUUUACAAUUCAUGGCAUGUCUGAAAAUGGGUCGAUGAAUCUGUUAAAAAUUGGACUCAGAUCUAAAUCAGAUUUAUCCAUGAUACAAUCAAGAGGAUUCAACAUUUGAUUUUUAUUUUUCUUUUCGCCACCCCCGUAUGUAAUUUUGGUUGGAGGACUUGGUUGUUAGGAAUUGACAACUACUGAAUUUUUUUUUUCCUUUAAACAACAGAGGCCGCAAUUUCAAUUUGAAGACUUCGUUUAUAAGAAUUGACAAUGGUUGAUUCUUUAAAUAGAAGAUGCCUUGGAAUUCCGCGUCGUUGACAUGUAGUUGAUAUUUAAAACAUAUUGGAUGUUAGGGCUUAGAAUGUUUGAGGUCGGAAUUCUUAUUAAGAAAAUUCCUCUGCUGCUUGCAACAUAAUCGAAGCUGUAAGUCCUAUGCUAUGCAGUUCUCUUUAUUUUCAUUUUUGUUUUUGAAUUUUCAGAAUUAAUAUGAAGAAAAACAUCAUUUAUUUCCAAAACAGAACCAUUAUCAAGUUUCAUAUUUUUGUACAGGUAAACUUUGGUCUUUGAGAAAUAUUUGCGUCUACAACUCUUGAUUAAUUUUAGUUUUAGUUUAGUUUAGUUUUAUUUUUUUUCCCCUAAGGUGGAGAUGAGAUGAGAAACCUCAUUCACUAAAAACCAAAAACUUAGUUUUGUAAAGUUUUAUUUUUUUCCCCCUAAUGCUGGUGGUCUUCCAUUAGCUCUGAAGGUUCUGGGCUCAUUUUUGUUUGGUAGAACUAUAGCUGAACAGGAAAGUGCACUACAAUGACUACAAAGAGGUCCUGAAAGUGAGAUUCUUCAUGUACUUCAAAUAAGUUUUGAUGGGUCAAAAGAAAAAGAAAAAAGAAUAUUUCUCAAUAUUGCAUGUUUCUAUGAGGGAAGUAUAGAGAUUAUAAGGGUGUUCAGAAUCUAAUCCGAUCCGCUCAAUCCGAUCCGUAUAAAUCCGAUCUGUGGAUUGGUGGAUUGGAUAUGGAUUGAAAAUUUAAAAAUCCGCAGUCGAUGGAUUGGAUAUGGAUUUACUUAUGUAAAUCCGCAAAAAUACGUGAAUCCGUCAAUAUAUAUAUAUAUAUAUAUAAUUUAAUUUAAAAAAUUAUAAAUGUGAGAUUACAUAGUUACAUAAGCACUAUAACAUAUCUUAGCCAUUACCUAAUAAUAAUAUAAAAUGAAAAAUAAUUAAAUAAUCAAAUACACAAAUAUAACUUGUAAAAAUUGUAAAACAAAAUAAAAACAAAGUCACAUGUACUAGCAAAAGUAAAGUAACAUAACGCCAAGUCACCAACAAUUUGCAAAGUCACCCAAAAACAAAAUAAUAUGACGCCAAGUCACUAACAAUUUGCAAAGUCACCCAAAAAUAAAGUAACAUGACGCCAAGUCAUCAACAAUUUGCAAACAAAAAACCCUAAGCUUCCAUGCCGUCACACACACUAGCAACACUCAAUACUGGUUGGAUAUACUCUCGACACAGAUUUGAAGGACAUCGGCCGCGCGAUUCCGGCAAGAGCAAGCCAUCUUCUUUCCCAAGUCCAUCGAGCCACUUCACAUUCACUGGUUCCAGCUGAACAAUUGCACUAUCACAACCUUCAAGAUCGCCACCCGUACAGCUUCUCCUGGUUCCCAUCAUGGACGGCUCCGUAAUCACCACUUUUCGACAAGCGCAUCAGCCCUGGUAAAGGAUCAGAUUGUGUUUGGUUUCUAAAACUUCGCCAUUUCAAUUAAUUGUGGCUUUAUUUGAAUAAUUAAUUUCGGUGUUAUAUUAACAUAUUAUUGUAACUUUAUUUGAACAAUUAAGCUUGGUGUGUUAUAUUUUGAAACUUUGAACGUGUUGUUGUAGCUUUAUUUGAAUAAUUAGUCUCGAUAUGUUAUAUUUUAAAAUUUUAAAUGUAUUAUUUUAGGUUUAUUUAAACAAUUAAUUUAUUUAAAUUUUAUUCAAUUUUAAAUUUAAUUGGUAGCAAAAUUAUUUUUAUAUUAGUUUUUUUUAUUUCAUUAGUUGGAGAGAACUAAAAAUUUUUAAUUCGAAAACUAAUGCACAAAAUGAUGGAUUGAAUAUGGAUUGAGUCAAAUCUGUAUUCAAUCCGUAGACGUGUGGAUUGGAUAUGAAUUGAGUCAAAUCCGCAUCUGAUCUGCAGAUAUAUGGAUUAGAUUUGGAUUGAAUUUUAUCAAUCCAUGGAUUGGAUUGGAUUGAAAAAUUAUAAUUCACAAAAUGAUGGAUCGGAUAUGGAUCAAUGUCCAAUCUGUAAAAUCCGAUCCGCGAACAGCCCUAAGAGAUUAUGUGAAAAAAAAUCUCAAAUAUUGUGAUUUUGACCCAAUUAUCAAAAUUGUUGGUCCUAUUGAAAAACCUCUAUUAACCGUAGAUGAUUUCAGCGGACUGUGGAUGCAUGAGUAGUUACAAGAAAUGGGGUAGACAAAUUGUUAGGAGGCAAUUCCCUCAGGAGCCUGGAAGCUGCAUUAGAUUGUGGGAGGAAGCAGAUGUUUGCCAUGUAUUAUUACAAAACACAAGUAAAUGUUCAGUUAGGUUGAAAACUUGCAAUUUUGGGAUCAUGAUCACUUAUUUAACUAGUUAACUCUUUGCAUAGUUUUAUCAAUAUUUUCUUUCUUUAAUUUUUUUCCCCACUUAUUUUUGGUUAUAAUGUUUAGGAAACUGAUGUAGUUGAAGCAUCAUAUUUGAUUGCUUUAGCAACAAUGUCAGUGAUAAAGCCUUUCUAAUGUGACCAGUCAAACUUCACAAGAGUAGCAAAUUUAGAGGAGCUGAUUUCUGAAGGAUUUACAAGUUUGCAUGAGAUUCACUCAUUUUUUCUGCUUCAAAGAAGCUGCUUUAAAAUUCUACAAUUUAAAUAAAAAAAUUCUUAAAAGAUUAUAAUGGAAUUUUUCCAAAAGAGUAAAUUCUUAGAAGAUUUUAAUGGAAUUAUUCCCCGAGAAUAAAUUCUUAAAAGAUUAAAGUGGAAUUUUUCUAAAAGAAUAUGUUAUUCACUUUGCCCUAUAAAAUGCAAUUACAUUGAAGACUCCCUAAAUAAAAUGCUUAAAGAAACCUUUGCUUUUGGCAAAAUCAUGCCGACCAUAUCUUUGAUUCCAUGCGCCACUAAAGACCGGAAUCAUCUUCAUAAUUGCUUUCGGCAUACACUUUUGAUUAAACUUUUUCUCUUUGAGAAAUCAAUUAGAACACAUAAAAAUCCUCUCACUAAUUAAUUUCUUUGAAACAAACUUAAUGAGAAAUUUAAGUAAAAAUUUAUCAUCUUUGACUGCUUCCAAUAAGCUCAGACAUGUAAGUUAAUUUUCUUACAUUUUCAAUUUUACUUGUAUCUCGGGGUUUGCUUUACAUGAAUUUAUUUGAACUGCACUAGCGCCUUCUGAUGUAAUGGCUGCUGUUUGUUCACCACCAGUUAACAUUACAAAUUAAAUCAAUUUUAGGUGUGACAAAAAAGCUGCAAAUCGAAGAAAGGCUGAAAGGGCACAUACUAUGUUAGAGGCUAGAUUUAGAUCUAAUUAUAAGGGAAGCCUUUCUAACACUCAGGUUUUAGAUUCAAGCUCUACUUUAUGUGCAUGCCACAAAUUUGAAAAAAAAUGUGCAUACUAAUUUUUUUUGGGAGAACAAUGGAAUUGAAUAAUAAAUGCACUAUAAAAAAUUUACUUGGUUGUGAUUUUCAUAGAUGGAUUAAAAAAAUAAAUUUUAUUCAAAACUAUGUCCAAUUUAAUUAUUUACAUUUUUGUCAUUUACAACCAAACAUAUAAAUUGUUUUUAAAACUCACAGAACUUUUGAAGAUUGUAUCAAACGUUUAAUUAGUUAUUUUUAUAGUUGACUAUUUUUACAAUACAAUUAGCAGUAAUUAUUUUAAAAACUAUAAUAUUAACAAAAUAAUCCAACAUCUUUUAAGGACCCAGCUGAAAUUUAACUAAUAAAGGUUUACCAUUAGUAUAGAUUGCCGGUAGUUUUAACUAUUUUUAAUUAAUUAUUCCAUUCCAUUUUAAUGGAAUCCAAUGGCUUCAACAUGGGUGAUGGGCAGAGUGGCAUGGACGCGUAAUCAAUUGAAAAGCCAGAUAUUCUUUGCUUAGAUUCCUUGAAGCUUCCGGCAAGCUCGAUGCUAACUCCAUCGUGUGAGUAAUCGAUUGAAAAGCCAGAUAAUUUUCAUUUAGAUUCCUUGAAGCUUCCAGGAAGGUUGAUGGUAACUUCAUCAUUAGAGUAAACAGAGACAAUUUUUUUGAAUUGUUAAGAAAGUCGCUGUUUGACCAAGACUUGCUUUUGGAAAUACACACAUUGCAACGCAACUGAGGCGCUGGAAACCGUGUAAUCGCUUUAAUUUUCCAAAUUAAACAAAAAAACCUCUGCCUUCCCUUGAAAGAUAGGUGCGCACGUAAAAUUCUAUCAUGUCGUAAUUAAUUGCGACAUUAAUAAGUAAUGAAUAUAAUUUUUUAUAAUUUAUACAUACAACCAGUACAUAAAAAGUAAAAUAAAUAAAUUAAUAUAAGUGUGGUUAAUUGAUAUUUUAAAAUUAAAAAUAAAAAAUACUUGUAAAAAUAAUAUAAAAUUUAUAAAUCAACGUUAAACUUUAACUAGACUAGAAAAUAGUUUAUUUCUUUAAUUUAAUUAAGAAAAAAAUCGCUAAUUAAGAAAAAAAUCGCUCAUUAAUUGAAAAAAAAUUGUAUUAAAACGACUAGAAUAAAUUUUAUUGAAUUGGUUUAACCAUGAAUUCUAUAUUUAUCCUAGGACAUUUAUAAUUUUUUUUUCAUUUUCUAUCAUAAUAUUUGUUUACUACACAAGUUACUUAAGCAAAAUUAUUAUUAUUUUUUUUAAUGUGGAUCAAGCCAAAACAAAAUAAAAGUUAUUUUUAUAUUACUACAAAUAUAUGAUAUAUCAAUAAAAUUAUAUCUAAUUUGCAGUUUUAUAAAUAAUUUAUAUAGUUUCAAACUUUACUUCUUUUACUUAAAGAUCAUUUGGGAUUACUGUCUAAGAGGUUUAUAGAGGGAUGCAAAAUUACCUUAUCUUACAAAUAACUUUAAAAAACAUAAAAAGAGUUUUAUUCUUAAUAAAAUUUUACAUAUAUCGUAUUACAUAAGCCCAAAACUAUCAUGAUUCAAUUUAGAAACAAAAUCAGUUAAAUACAUAAGGUAGUCAUUAUUAUCAUUAUAUGAAUUUAUUUAUUUUACUUUCUAUUGAGAAGCUUUAUAUUCUUAUUACAUAAUUUAUGUUUUAUUUUAUAUUUAAUGUUGAUUUAUAAGUUUUAUAUUACAUUUAUAUGUUUUAUCUAAAUAAUUAAUAUUAAUUAUAAUAUGCACAAAUAUGUUUCACUGAUUAACUUAGCUUCUUUGAAGCAACACUUCAAUGAAAUUCAACAGGUAGCUGCCUGUGCAAUUAAUACACUCAAAGCUUUAAGAUUUAUUUUAAUUUUUAUCUUAUACAUGUUUCUCUCAAAUACAAGCUUUUAGCGCGGCAUGCAAAAUACACCCCGUUUAAAUCUAAUCACACCUCUCUAAUUUGCACAUUCUGGAUGUUUAGAACAGGAAAUAUAUAAAAUUGAAAGAAAGCUUUGAAUGUUUAAAUUAAUUUGUAUCGUAUCAACUCUUUAAUUUGCUUCUCUUUGAGGCUCUAAUUAAGAUUUGCUUGAGUAAAGGUCGGCAAACACACUCUCCAAUCAGAAUCUGAAAAACUUUUUAAUUAUAUUUUGGAAGUAAAUGAGAGGCUGUUAAUUAGUUUGUUUAGUUAAGAAGAAGAUCAUUAAUUUGUUGUUCAAUAAUUUUAUGCUAAAAGAAAUGAUCAUAGUAAUUAUAUUAUAUUAUAUUAUUUUCAUUUUUGUGCUGCCCAUAAUCUUGAAUGAAUCUUAUUGUUUGCAUGGUAUUUUACGCUCACUGGAUUUCACUUGAUUUAUUCUAAAUUUUUAGGAACAAAUUAAUAUGAUGGCUUCCACGAGCUUCCAAAAUGUCUCUCAUGGGGAAUAAGAUGCCUUCUUAAGCUUUAGAGGAGAAGACACCCGUAAAAGGUUCAUAGGUCAUCUCUAUACUGCUUUGAACAAUAAAAGAAUUUAGGUAUUCAGGGAUGACAAACAACUUGAGAAAGGAGGAUCCAUUUCACCAAUCUCCUUAAACCAAUUGAAGAAUCGAGAAUUUCAAUUAUUGUUCUCUCAAAAAAUUACGCUUCUUCCACUUGGUGCUUGGAUGAACUUCCUAAGAUUGUUGAAUGCAAAAAUAGAGAGGAUCAAAAUUUUCCAAUUUUUUAUGAAGUGGAACCAACUGUUGUAAGAAAACAAACAGCAAGUUUCGGAGAAGCUUUUGCUAAACAUGAAGAAUUUUUCAGGGAUAAUAUAGAAAAAGUGCAAAAGUGGAGACACGCUUUAAAGGAGGUGGCCAAUAUAUCAGGCUGGGAAUUGAAGGAUAGGUAAUCAUUCUUUUUUUCAACUAUUAAUUUUGUUUGUUUUGCAAGAUUAGUAACUACAAAACAGAUUUUAAUAAUCAUUCAACACUAUUUUUAAUUUAACAACUUCUAUUUAAUAUAUAUGUAUAUCGUAUGAUGUGUAGUAAAAGGGUUCCUCCUGUGAAUUGAAUAUCUUUAAAUUAUACUUUUACUUUUGAAAACCUUAAUUUACCUCCCAUUUUUGUUAAUAAUACAAAAACAUUUCAUCAACUCACCCCAUUUUUCCUUCUCUUUUGAACAAAAAUAGGGUAAUUGAGGUGUUCAGAAGGGAGUGAUUUGAAGAUAUUCAAAUCUAAAUGGAGAAUAAUCUAAAUUUUAUGAAUGAAUUAAUAUUUGCAAUCAAAGAGAUAUGGACAUUGAUAUGUUGAAUUAUUGGAUUUUGAACUUUUCAUGACUAAAAGCUUUUAUGUUGUGAUGCUUUGUGCUAUCAGUUUUGCAAAAAAAAAAAAAAAGUAAAAUAAAACUUUAUUCUUAGAUUAUUGCCCAAGCUUAGGCAUAUCAAUAUAAUGAUUUAAGCUUGUGAUUAUAAUUUUAGUCCAAAUUUAUUUACUAGAUUAAUCUAUCCCCGUCCUUGCUUGCAAACUGCUCUGUUUUGUGUCAUUUUCUAUUUAUUUUAAUAUAAUUUUCUUCUAUGAAUUGACUCUUGACCUAGAUUGCCAAAUACUAAUAAUAACAAUGGCAAUAAUCGCAAUACGAAUGAUAUCAAUAUCAUUACAUAUUUAGCUAAUCUAAUUGAAUUAAAUUGUCUUUUAAACUAACUCAUCCUGUUGUAGAAAGAAAUAAUAUAUAAAUUUUGAAAUUACCAAUCACAAUGCAACCCAGUCCAAUCCAAUUCUUAUUGGGUUGGGUUUGAAUUUCUCAUUCCAAUUGUUGUUGACUGAUGUAAUAAUAUCAUAUUAUUUAAUUAUAUGACUUCAAUUUGAUGAAAUGAAUAUUGCAUAGUUGGGAUUUUUUAUUCAUAAUAUGGAAUUGCUUUGUUACUACGUUCAUACUUACUUCAAUUUAACAACACCAAUCUUUUCUUGUUGUUUUCAAUCUGCAUCAAUGAGUCAGAAUUUAUUGAGGAAAUUGUCAAUGUCAUAUCUAGUAAAAUUCGUUCAGAACCGGAGAUUCUUAAGGAGCUAGUAGGAAUCGAAUCACGCUUGGAGCAACUGAGGUUUCUUAUGGGUAUGGGGUCUAAUGAUGUUCGUAUGAUCGGGAUAUGGGGCAUGGGAGGUCUAGGAAAGACAACUCUUGCAAGGGUUUUUUAUGACUUGAUGUCUCAUGAGUUUGAUGGGAGUAGUUUUCUUGCCGAUGUUAGAGAAAAAUCUGAAAAAGAAGGCAGUGAAAUCUCUUUACAAAAGCAGCUCCUUUCUGAUUUACUGAAGCUUUCAGAUUAUAGCAUACAGAAUGUCUACGAUGGUAUUAGCAUAAUUGGAAGUAGGCUGCAACGAAAAAAAGUUCUUCUCAUAAUUGAUGAUGUGGCUGAUGUUGAACAAUUACAAAGGUUAGUUGGAAGGCGUGAUUGGUUCGGUCCAGGCAGCAAGAUUCUAAUAACAACGAGAGAUAGACAAUUGUUGGUGGCGCAUGAAGUGGAUCAAGAGCAUAUUCUUGACCUUGAUGUACUAAAUAAGGAUGAAGCUCUUCAACUCUUUAGUAUGAAAGCUUUUAAAAGCCAUUAGCCUAUGGGAGAAUAUGUGGAGCUAUCUGAACGUGUUCUGGAGUAUGCUGGUGGUCUUCCAUUAGCUCUAAAAGUUUUGGGAUCCUUUCUAAUUGGUAGAUCUGCGGAUCUAUGGAGAAGUGCCCUAGAAAGACUGAAAAAAGAUCCUUCAAAUAAGAUUAUGAGUAUACUUCAAAUAAGUUUUGAAGGACUACAAGAUUCAGAGAAGAAAAUAUUUCUGGAUGUUGCAUGUUUCUUUAAAUGGUGGGAUAGAGAUUACGUGGCAGAAAUUCUAGAGGGAUGUGGUUUUUCCCCAGUCAUUGGGAUAGAAGUUCUUAUUGAAAAGUCUCUAUUAACUGUUGAUGGUUGCAACAUACUGCAUAUGCAUGAUUUGUUACAGGAAUUGGGACAACUGAUUGUUACGAGACAAUCCCCCGAAGAACCUGGGAAAUGUAGCGGAAUAUGGAGGGAAGAAGAAGUGCGCCAGGUGUUGACAAACAAUACGGUAAGUGAAUUAUUAAAUGGAAAACUUGUUGAUGCUUGCUACUUUAUUUUUCCCAAUUAUAUCUCUGACGAAUUUUCAACAUCUUUACAUUAUUGUUUUAGGGAGGUGAAGUAGUGGAAGGAAUAAUAGAUUAUUACUCUUCCUACUUUCCUGAAGAUAAGGUUUACUUAAGUGCAAGUGCUGAAGCAUUUUCGCUGAUGACCAACCUAAGACUGCUCAAAAUCAGUAAUGUGCAACUUUCUAGAGGACUAGAAUACCUCUCUAACAGGUUGCGAUUACUUGAUUGGCGUCGGUAUCCUUUGAAAUCUUUGCCAUCAAAUUUGCAAUUGGAUGAUAUUGUUGAAUUUAAAAUGCAUUACAGCUGCAUUGAAGAAUUAUGGAAAGGAAUCAAAGUAAGAUCAAUUUUUUUUGUCACUAAUUUAUAUUUUUCAGUGAAUAAUUGUUGAUAACAAUUUUAUUAUUAUAGUAGUAUAUGAAUUAAGAAAUAUCAUUUUAUCUCCUUUUUUGUUUUCAACAGCCUUUAAACAUGUUGAGAGUCUUGGAACUCAGCCAUUCGGAGAAUCUGAUUAAGACACUAGACUUCACAAAGGUCCCAAACUUAGAGGUGUUGGAUCUUGAAGGAUGUACAAGGUUGCGUGAAAUUCACCAGUCUUUGCUACGUCACAAUAAGCUGAUCUUGUUGAAUUUGAAAGGUUGUACAAGUCUUACAACUCUUCCGGGUGAGAUUUUUAUGGAAUCUCUUAAAACGCUUGUUCUAUCUGGUUGCUCAAAAUUGAAGAAAUUUCCGGACAUUGUAGGAGGUAUGGAGUGUCUGCAGGAACUUCGUUUAGAUGGAACUGAUAUCAAAGAACUGCCAGUAUCAAUUGAACUUAUGUCUGGCCUUGUUUCGUUGAAUUUGAAAGAUUGCAGAAAUCUCGCGAGUCUUCCAAUUACAAUAGGCAGUUUAGAAUGUCUACAAACGCUCGUGCUAUCUGGUUGCUCGAAAAUAGUGAAAUUUCCAGAGACUGUGAUAAGUGUGGUAGAUCUGUCAGAGCUCUUUUUAGAUGGAACUUCUAUCACAGAAGUGCCAUCAUCUAUAGAGCUUUUGACCAAACUUCAAUGGUUGAAUUUGAAUGACUGCAGAAGUCUCGUGAGACUUCCUAGCAGUAUAAAUGGUUUGAAAUCCCUCAAAACUUUGAAUCUCUCAGGCUGCUUCAAACUUGAAAAUGUGCCUGAGACGUUUGGGCAAGUAGAAAGUCUGGAAGAACUUGAUAUAAGUGGUACAGCUAUAAGGCAACCUCCAUCGUCGAUUUUUCUUAUGAAGAAUCUUAAAGAACUAUCUUGUCGUGGGUGCAAAGGAUCACCAUCAUCUGCAUCAUGGUUUCUGCGCUCUCCUAUCAAUUUGAUGCGAUGGAGUUCAGAUCCGGUGGCUUUGAGUUUGCCGUCUUCUCUGCCAGGUUUGUGUAGUUUAACGAAAUUGGAUAUCAGUGACUAUGACCUAGGGGAAGGAGCAAUCCCAAGUAGUAUUGGCGACUUAUGCUCAUUAGAAAAGUUAUGUUUGAGUAGAAACAGUUUUGUUUCGCUACCGGCAAGCAUCUACCGUCUUUCUAAUCUUCAGGAGAUUGAAUUAGAGGAAUGCAAAAUGCUUCAAACUCUUCCUCGACUUCCAGCCAGUAUACAAUGGAUUUUGUUAGAUGGUUGUGUGUCGUUGGAGACAUUAUCAGAUGUAUUAAAAUUAAACGAGCAUCGACUCCCGUUGUUAAGCCUUGAGUGUGUGGAUUGCUUGAAAUUGACUGGCAACUAUGAUUUGGCAACAUUAAAAAUUCUGAGGUCAGUCUCUCACUCUCACCUGUUCUAACAUUAUGCCUAAAACUUAUGCAAUAGAUGUUAUGUCUUUUUAUUUUGUUUAUUUACUCACUUUUUUUUUCCGUGGGGUUGCAGAAUAUGUCACUGUCAGACAAGUACUGUAGUAGAUGGCCUCAUGUUAGUUUCUUACACUGUCUCUCACCUGUUGCUAAAAUUAUGCCUAAAAAUUAUGCAUUGGUAUGGCUUAUAAAAUACAAUUACAUUGAAGCCGCCCUUGAUAAAAUACUAAACGAAAUCAUUGCUUUCCUCAACAUCAUGUCUACCAUAUCGUUGAUUUCAUGCACCACUAAAGAAGAUCAUGAUCGUUCUUCGUAAUUGCUUUCGGCAUACACUUUUGAUUACACUUUUUGUUUUUUAGAAAUUAAUUAGAACACAAAACAUUCCUUUCAUUGAUUUCUUUGAAAGAAAGUUAGGUCUUCUUUCAUAUCGAGAUACUGUAAUUUUUUAGUUUUAAAUUAUUAAAAAAAUUUAUAAUUAUAAGAUAAAAAUUAAUAAUAUAUAAUGAAUAUAAUUUUUAAAUAAUAAUUUUUACAAAAUUAAUAAAAAUAUAAUAAAUUUUUCAUUAUACAACUUAAUUUUCAGGAUAUAAUAGUUAAUAUUUAUUAAACACUUUAGUAUUGUAGUUUAAAAAUUAUAGCUUCCCAACCUCAAUUUCAAAUAAAACCUUAAUUAGAAGUUCAAGUAAAAAUUUAUGAUCUUUAUUGCUUCCAAUAAGCUCAAAAAUGCCAGUUAAUUUUCUUACAUUUUUAAUUUUACUCAUAUCUCAGCGUUUGCUUUGCAAGAAUAUUUGUCUUACAUAUUUAUGUAUUAUUUUUUUUCACAUAUAAAAUUCAAUUGAAUGAAUUUUAAGAGGAAAGUUUGUUCUCUUGGUUUUCUGCUCCUUCAAUUUGCUGGUUGUGUGCUGAUUAUGAUUAUUUAAGAACCAUUUACUGAUAGCACUUCAUUUCAAAUAAAAUUAAAAUGUCCAAUGUAUUAAAAUUUGUGAAAACUUUAUGCUCAAAAUCAUUAGGAGAAAAAUUAUUAUUUUAUCCAUUUUGAGUCCCCCGACAGAUUUUGAGGGAGAUUGGAAUCUUGUGUAAUUUGCUGUACGGAGUUAUGAUGCAUCUUUAUCGACUUUUCUGUUGACUCAACUUGAUUGACCUCUGAUUCUGAAUGCGACCUCACGUAGGUCCGUCCGCUGAAUACGGGUUUGACCCGAUAUCAACCCGCGUUUGGUUGGACCGCAGGAUGUGUGUGACGUGUCCUGUUGGCCGUUGAUCCGCGUGUGUUAGGUUACUGGGUGGCUGACUUUGUAUCCGGACCAUCAUUUUGAUCAUGGAACGCCGUCCAAGGGUUCUGAAGCUGCCACGUACUCCACUACUUCAACCCAUUGAUUUAAUCCAAUUUGGUGGAUCCAAUAGCAAUUCCCCCAUCUCUUUGAAAUGUAAAAGCAUCAUUUUAAGCUCCACCGGCCGUCGAUUUCGAGCGAGCGUACAAGUGCUAAGGCCAAAAAAUUUUAUCUUGGAGAAGAAUUGAGUGAGUGACUUCUUAUUUUUAUGUCCUUAAAAUUUAUUUUUUAAAAUUUAUUUUUAAACCCUAGAUUUUGGAGAAAUACUUUUCUUAAGGGUUAGAAGCAAAUGUUUUAAAUUGGAAUUUUAAUGAGUGCAAACUAUGUUAUUGUCAGACAUCAAGAAUCAAAUUAGCAUUUAUUUUAUUCUCUUGUCUUUAGCUCCAUCAAGUUCGUUGAUGCAAGGUCUUUGAGAUUGAAGGUGUUAAAUUCAAGACGGAUUCUCUCACAUCCAAUAUCAAUUUACUCUUAGAUUUUUCUUGUGAGCAGAUUUUGAUGCUUGAUUCACAUAGAAAAAAAAUUGUGAGGACUAUAAGGAUUUUUUUUUAAAUUAAAAACCACCUUAAGGUGGAGUGUGGGUUUAGGCGGGAACCUUCACUAGUAAAUUAAUAAAAUAAAAUAAAAUUCAUAUGGAGAGAGACAUAUGCCAAAACCUCGAAGUAUGGGAACAAAUACAUCCAAUAACAGGAAAAAUAACAAAAGCAAUGGAAGAUAGGACUAAUUAAUGCAACCGCCUAGAGAAUCGCUUCCAAUUCUUGCGGCUAGUAACUAAUGUGAAACCUUUCUUAGAACAGAGGCAUGCGGCCCGGCAACACGAAAGUCAUCAAGAUCAUGCCCUCUAGUACCCUUAGGCUCAUAUGCAAAAUAUUCAAUAGUCACAGGAUUCCCAUCAAAGCUAAAAUUCUCAUCAAACUGAAAAAGGAUGUCUGUAGAAUGGGGUUUGAAGCCCACGAUCAUGGAGCGAAUAUCCUCUUCAGCAACUAAAAAAAAAGUAGCGUCAGUGGAAGCCCUCUGAACACUCGGAUCAUCUAAAAAAGGAGGGUUAGAGACCUCAGUGCAUCCAGCAGCAUCUCCUAAAGUAGUAGGAUCCUUCAAACCAUCAUCAGUUUGAAUUCUUUUCAUAGAAACCAGAUCAAACCCAUCUUCUGCAGUAUCCUAAUAAAUAAGUGAUUGAGCAUCUAGAGGAGCACCCUCACUACCAUUAGGCCUCAAUGGCUGAACCUCUUCGCCAUCCCCUUUGGAUGCACAGCAGCAUCAGACAUCAACAUCUUGCUUUUAUCAUGAACAACAGUAUCCUGCACCUGACUAAUAGGCUGCCAAGGUUCCCAGAGCCCAGGAUUGGCAACAAAACAAGUAUCAGCAGAGUGCCCAAGAUGUUUACACGAGGCACAAUAUAAAGGAACAUGCUUAAAAAUGACAUUCUACUAGAAACCGCCACCACCUUCAAUCCAAAGCUUGGGCAACAACGGCCACGAAACAUCCAACUCAAUUAGAACUCCAGCGACUGAGGGUCGAUUAACAGCAAUAGUAGCAUGGUCUACUCACAGAGGCUUACCAAUAGCAUUAGCAAUAAAAAAUAAGGCAUCUUUGCAAUGAAUAAAAUGCACUGGUGAAUACGGCAAAGAAACUUAGAUAGGAACAAUAGGAGAUUCCUUAGAGCACCGAAUUAAAGUCUAUAAGACUAUACUACAUGAGACUCAAACCCAAGACCUAAGUCUUGGUAAGGCUAUCCACCUAAAUCCACUUGGAAAAUGUUCAAACGUAUUUUAGAUAAUGUGUUUUAGUCUGUGAGGGUUGGCACAAUAGGAUUUAGACUUGAGAUGUUUAGGAUUGCGAAGCUUUGUAUGUGUUCUUGAUCCAUUGUAAACUCACAUUAUUUUCAUAGUAAAUUGUUUUGUCUACAAGUGGACAUAAUAAUAUAUCAAGAUUUUUGUCUUAAAUCGUGAGGAUCAAAGGUUCCCUCGUAAAAAGAUCUUCGUGUUGUGGAUGUUCAUUAUUUUGCAUAUUUAUUUUCAUUACCAUAAAUUGACUUUUUAAAUUUAUUGAUAGUGUUUAUAUUGAAUUAUCUUUAUUAACUAGGAAAUAAAAUCAUUAAUUUUAAAGAGAUUACUAUUAUUAUCAUCAAUUAUAUUGAGAUAACAAAAUAAAAAAUAAAAUUGAUAAUAUAAAAUAUUUACUUUAGUUAUCAAAUAUUAUAUAUACACACGAAAAAAUAUUUUAUAUACAUAUUUAUAAAUAUGUAAAUAAAUUUUAUUCAAAAUUAUGUCUAGCUUAAUCAUUUACAUUCUUGUCAUUUACAAUCUUAUGAUAGUUUAAUAAUAAGAUUUAUCAAGUACAUACGACUGUUUUUAAAACUUACAAAAUUUUUGAAAUUCGUAUCGAAUGUUUGAUUGAUUAUCUUUAUAGUUGAUUAUUUCUAUAAUUCAAUUAACAAUAAUUAGUUUUAAAAAACUACAAUGUUACCAAAAGAAUCCAACAUCUUUUAGGGAUCCAACUGAAAUUUAACUAAUAAAGAUUUACCAUUCUUAUAGGUUGCUAGUAGUUUUAACUAUUUUUAAUUAAUUAUUAAUAUCAACCGUUGGAUGCCAUUCCAUUUUAAUGGAAUCCAAUGGUUUCAACGUGGCUAAUGGGCAGAGUGGCUUGGACGCGUCAUCAAUUGAAAAGCCAGAUAAUCUUCGCUUAGAUUCCUUGAAGCUUCCAGCAAGUUUGAUGGUAACUCCAUCAUGUGAGUAAACAGUGACAAAUGUCUAUUAAUUAUUAAGAAAGUCACUUUUUGACCAAGACUUGCUUUUGGAAAUACAUACAUAUUUGCUGAUUGCUUUAUUUUUCGCCAAAAGAAUAUAUUUGCAUGAUUAAAUUCUUUGAAUCAAAUACUGCAUCGGAGUUCAUUUAACUAGCGUCCUACAAUACACUCAAAAGCCGUAAGUUCGAUCUUAUACAUCUCUCUCUCUUUUAUUUUCAGAAUUAAUUUGUAUAUCUUAAUGUUUAAAAACAAAUAAAUAAUGAUAAAAUUGAAAGAAAUUCUUUAAUGUUAAUUUUGUACAAACUCCUCUAAGAGGCUUUAAUCAAGAUUUGCUCAAGUAGAGAUCGGUGUACACACUCUCAAAUCGGCACUUGAAAAACAAAUACUUUACAUUUUGGGAUUUAUUAUGUAUAAUUUUAAUUUUCUUUUUGGUAAAGAGAGUAAUUGAGAAGCUGAUGGAUUAUCUGUUUAGUUUGUUUGAGAAUAAGAUCAUUAAUUUGAAUUCAGAACCAUUGUCAAGUUUAAUAACUUUUUAUUUCAAUAAAUUUUUACUUUAAAAAUAUUUGGGCCAAUUUAUUGUCAAUUAUUUUUAAUCAAAUUCACCCUCCCCGUCGAGGUCUGAAAAAAAGAAUACAAUUAUUAUAUAUUUGUCCAUUUUUAUCGGGUUGUUGAAAGGAAAUGAAAAAGUUUCAGUUUCUCUCUCAAAAUCUCUUUGCUUAUAUAUAGUUUCGAUGAUUAGUUAUUGCCUUAAUAUUUUUGUUUUUAUUUUUUUGGUGAUAAAUAUGUAACUCUGAUUUCUUUUAAGUUAUUGUAGAUAAAUCUUUUAUAAAACAACAUACAAAGAGGUACCUAUUGAACUUCUUUAUUUUCAUUAUAUAUUAACCACCAAUCACAUAUUAAAUCAUAAGAGAAUUCUAAUUCAAUCUGAUAUUGAAUAUUAUUAUUUAAAAAUUACUUCAAAAACUGUAUUUUAGCAUUUAACUGUUUAUUAAAAUAAUAAGUUAUAAUCUAGUUAGAAAUUUAAGGAAAUAGUUAUGUAAAGUCCCAAUUUUUUAAUAAAGGACGCCAAAAUCUUUUUUCAGCUAUACUGCUUUUGUAGAGAGUAACUAAAAUACAUAUAUAAUUUAAUAUUUUAAUUUUUCUAAUAGACCAAUAAUAUUAGAAUAUUUUAAAAAUAAAAUAAUUUUAAAAAAUGUAAAUUAUUAUAUUUUACUAAUAUAUUUGUAUUUAUUAUAACAAAUUUAAAUAAAUCAUUAGGUUAAAUAGAUUUUACAAUUAAAAAAAUGAUUUCAUGUAUUAAUAAUAUUAAAAUUAUUUUUAUAUAUUUAUCUUAAUAUUAUAAUUCUAUUUAUUACAAAUAUUUUUUAAUAGAUAUUGUUACAUUUAUUUAAUAUCGUAUUUAUAUUAAUUAUAAAACAUUGAAAUUAAUUUUUUUGAGUUAUUAGAGCUAAAUGGUAUCAUAGUUAAAAGAGGAUUUUAGUGUUUCUUAUUGAAAAUAUGGUGUCUACACAACCAUUUUUUUCCCAAAUCUUGGGGUGUAAGUGUCAUUUUACCUAAAUUUAAAUAAGAUAUUUAAAUCAAAUAAUAUGAAUUAAAUAUAAAUAAAUCCAAAUAAUAUGAAUUUAAUAUAAAUAAUUACACACUUUUUUUUACUUUUAUUAUAUAAAAUCAUUUUUAUUAUUUUACUUUUAUUAUGUAAAAAUAAUUUUAAUCAAUUAUUUUAUUAAUUAACACAUUUAUAAUUUACUUUUUUUAGAGAGAUUUAUAAUUUAAUUAAAUAGAAAUAGAACUACCUCAUUAAUGAAGUUUUUAUUUUAAUAAUGAAUUUAACCAAUAAAUUUAAUAAAAUAAUAUUAUAAAAAAAUUAGAUAAACAAGAUCAUGCAUAUACCGCAAUAAAUAUGGCACUGUUUUAAAGGUUAAUGUAAUAUUGCUACGCAAUAAAGCUCAAGCAAUAUAAUUAAGUAUUAUUUAUUAAUAAAUUUUUAAAUUUUAUUAGUCAAAUAAUAAAAUUGAUAAUAAUAUUAGUAUAAAAUAUUUAAAUAAACACUAUUGUACAUACUACACUAAAACAUAGUACUGCGACAUAAUGUAGUGCACCAAACACUCCCUAAGCUAGUGUAUACGACUUUGACACUUUGAGAUAAUCCAUAACUCUAGAUAAAUGUUGUUGUUUACAUAGUAUUGUUCCUAGGCAAUCAUUUCUUUUUUUUAAAAAAAAUUUCAGAACAAAUUAAUAUUGUAAUGGCUUCCUCGAGCAUACAAAAUAUGCCUCAUUGGCCAUAUGAUGCCUUUUUAAGCUUUAGAGGAGCAGACACCCGUAAAAGCUUCAUAAGUCAUCUCUAUGCAGCUUUGAAUGGAAAAGGAAUUUAUGUAUUCAAGGAUGACAAAGAACUCGAGAGAGGAACAUCCAUUUCACCUGGACUUCUUAAUGCAAUUGAAGAUUCUAGAAUUUCAAUUAUUGUUUUCUCUCAAAACUAUGCUUCCUCCACUUGGUGCUUGGAUGAACUUGUUAAGAUUGUUCAAUGCAAGAACAAAAACGAUCAUCAACAAAUGGUUUUUCCAAUUUUCUAUGAUGUUGAACCCACUGUGGUAAGGAAACAAACCGGAAGUUUUCGAGAAGCUUUUUCUAAACAUGAAGAAGCUUUUAGGGAGAAUCUAGAAAAGGUGAAAAAUUGGAGAGACG
rnacentral:lncRNA from 1 species